UUAGGUUUGUAUGAUCUCCUGUUAGUAAAAUUAUAGCAUAAAUAACUUUCCAUGUGAUUUCAGGUGAAAGAAAAGGCUGUGGAGCUUCCCAAGGCCAUGGAAUCUGAAGACGGCGUAACGGGCGCAGUUAGGGCAUUCCUCAAACAUUUGCCUUGCAAAACAGAUGAAAAUUCACCCCCGCUGACGCAUGGCUUUCUAGAGUUCCUAGCCCCAGUAAGUAAAUGUUUGGGGUCCUCUUAGGUGCUGGUCAGAUGCAGGCAUACCAUUACUCCCUGCUGAAAGAAGAGUGCAAAAAAGGCUCUUGGGUGACCGCUAUGCCUUUGUGUGCGAUAAGAAUGUGGAAGCCAAAUGUUAGAAGUUGAUGUACAUGCAUGCGACCAGGAGCCCGUGAUUUACCGUUUUGCAUUUUUUUAUAUGUGUGUUGUGUAAAGAGUACUUGUCUGGUGAUUUGAUACAUCAUUUUGGUGUGGUUGCAACCUUGGCCUGCAGCAACCGAUGAUCUCGCAUGUAUGACCAGACAAUCUGUGUCUAUGGAGAACUUCAGAGUGCAGAUUAGUUCAGCUACGCCUUUUGCAGUUUACCACAUUGUUUAAUUUGAAACUGCCAAACAUGUCAUGUUUAUAAUCAUGUUUCAAGUGUUUCCUUGUUCUACUACAGGUCUUCAUGUUAAGAUAAAGUAGUGACAUGUGACCUCAUGCACAGGGGAAAGUAAUACUGUCACCCCAGUAUUUCUUUUUUCCCAGUUUCCAAAAAUGUGAAAUAAUUCAUGGUCGUAAAUUAGGCUAUAUAAUAUGCAUUUGCAAAAACUUUGAAAAAUAUGACUUUUGUGACUUGUACAGAAAAUACAACUCUGGCUAUAUCAACUGAGGGUUGUUCAUUUAUAUAUCUGUUUUUCUUGUCUAAGUCACAAAUUGAUCAUAUUUUUGUAGAAAUUAUAUAAUUUUGUGGCGAGAGGUGAACUGGAGAAUGAGCUUUUCAUCUCCAACUGAUAUUUUGCAUUAAAUAUUGGUUUAAGUGCAUCUGACAGGUGUGUAUAAUGUGUAUUUGUUCCAGGCUUCUUCUUUUUCCAGCAAAGAAAACAUAUAAAAUGUCCCCAGUAGAAACCCAUCAUUAUCAGGCAAAGGGCUCUAUGAAUGUGGAAAGAUUCUCAAAAGAUCUUGCCGAGACAUCUGUAGCGUAGAAAACCAAAUUAUUACAGAGAGCCAAACAAAUCGGCUUAUUAAAAAGGAAAAAAGAUGGCAAGAUAGCAAAUUUUCAACAUAUUGCCAUGCCGUAAAGCAACGAGCUUCAACUUCAUCGACCGCCUUUUUUGCCUUAAUAGUGUGUAUAAGGUCAUUGCUUCAGUUGUCCAUAGAGAAAAAUGCCUCUUUUACUUCAGUUACUUCACCGUAGACAUCAUGCAUCGUUGGGCGAUCCUUCGGCGAUUCCGCAGAGCAUAAUAAGCCAAGUCUAAGGAGCCGGAGAGCACAUAUAUCCUUCAAUGCAAAUGUGUUCUGUUCUUGCAAGUUUGGGAUAUGACCGACACACUGAUCUCCCAUAUCUGAAGUAGGCCGUUUAUGUGUUAGCAUUUCCAAAAGAACAAUGCCAUAGCUGUAGACAUCACCCUCGGUCGAGAUUUCACUGCCCAUGCCAUACUCUGCAAUAAUGUUUUAAAACAAAAAGUUCUUCAGCGGAGAACAAAAGUGAAACAUGUAUAUUAAUAAAAAGAAUCUAGCAGCUGAUAUAGUUAAUCAUACUAGAUUUCGUUAACAUAAUGUGCUUGUAAAACAUACUCACCAGGAGCUAUGUACCCAAUAGAUCCCCUUGGUCCAACUAUGCUUGUUGUGCCGCUCUUCUGUCCAGAUGAACAUCCAUGAAUUAGCCUUGCUAGACCAAGGUCAUAGACACAUGCCGUAUCGUCGUUGUUGAAAAGUAUGUUGAUUGGUUUCAUAUCACAGUGAACAACUGGUGGGAUGCAUUGGUUAUGGAGGUAUUCAAGAGCACAAGCAAUGUCAACUGAUGUGACAUAUCAUUGCGCCUAAACUCAUAUCACCACACCGGUGAUUAUGAAGUCUGUCUUCAAGGCUACCGUUGGCCAUAUACUCAAAGACUAGAGCCCUGAACUCAUUUCCCACUGGGUCAUAAGUUGAGGAUGCAGUUAUAACCUUCACGAGAUACCGGUGACGGAUGUGUUGCAAUGCUUUGCACUCAGCAAUGAAGCUAUGCAAUGCGCCGUGCUUAUUGAGCUUGAAGACUUUAACAACAACCGUACCAUCUUCCGCGUCAAACCAACCUUUGUAGACAGUCCCAAAUUGCCUGGAGCCAACUACGUUGGCUAGAGAAAGACUAUCCGUUGCUUUGAUUAUGUCACCAUAUGUUAUCCUUUUCAUCUCCAUGUAUGAAUGGCCAAUUCUCUCACUGGAUUUGUAUCUCCUUCUCAACCAAAAAUUGAACACCCCCAAGAGCAAAGCAAGUGCAACGAGAGUUGACAGAGCUAUCAGGAUAGGAAUGACGAACUUGUGUUUUUGUGUGGAUGCUGAAGCAAAGCACCUAGGCAAAUCUUGUACUGCAAUGUUUGCACACAGGUGUGGGUUUCCUUGGACAAAACUACCACUUCUAUUAGCAAACACUCCAGCAGUGGGAAGUGUCCCUUGGAAGUCAUUGAAGGACAUAUUCAAAUACAUCAAAGAGGUGAAGGUCCCAAGGAACUCCGGGAUUGUGCCAGAUAGAUUAUUAUUGGAGCAAUCCAACACUUUGAGGCCUUUCAAGUUUUCUAGUGAUUGUGGAAUGUCUCCUUGCAGGAUGUUCUCUUCUACACGAAGUGCUUCCAACCGAACACAUGCGCUAAGGGUGGACGGGAUUCUUCCCGUGAGAUUGUUGUGGGAGAUGUUCAAGGAACCAAGGUUUAUCAAGCUACCUAUCUCUAGUGGCAUGGACAUUGUGAGUUGGUUGUGUGAUAAAUCAAGUAACCAACUUAACUGUUCCAACAUAGCCAACACGUGUCCGCUUAUGCUUUAACCAAGGGUAUUACAAGAAAUGUUUAGUGCUAACAACUUCUGGCAGCUGCCUAAACUUUCAGGUAUGAUUCCACUCAAAUCAUUUUCUUGCAAAUAAAGUUCUUCCAGUUGAUUUAAGCUGCCAAUGGAAGGUGGUAUUUCCCCAGAAAAGUUGUUUUGUGGUAGACUAAGAACAACCAAGUUGUGUAGCUGACCAAGGGUAGGAGGUACAGACCCCAUGAAAAGAUUUCUAUCAAGAUACAACAUGUUAAGAUUAGACAAAUUUCCAAUCUCCAAGGGGAUUGUGCCAGAUAUGUUGUUUGACCGAAGAGUUAGGGCGGUCAAGCUUUUCGGCAGAUUUGCUAUGGAAUUUGCUAGUAAAUCCCCGUGCAAGUUGUUUUCACCUAUGUUAAAUUCUAGAAGAUGUGUACAAUUCGCCAAAGAGGAGAAGAAUGUCCAGUCUCCAGCCUCUAGAUGAUUUGAGUACAACAUUACAUGCUCCAAAUUUGCCAUGGAGCUGAAAGAAGGAACCACCCCAGUCAGAGAGUUGUUGGCUAGAUGGAUAUAUGUCAUGGUGGAGGCAUUUUGUAGUGAGGCAGGGAUGUCUCCCCAAAAAUGAUUAUCUUGCAUAAACAAAAAUUUGAUGUUAGCAAGUGUGUUACCCAUGUCAGAAGGCAAUGUUCCUCCAAGAUUAUUGCAAAACAUCCCAAGAAAGUUCAGCGAAGACAAAUUGUAAAUUGAGGGUGGCACUGUCCCUGACAGAUUGUUGGUGGAGAGAUCGAGGUUUUUCAGGCUUGAAAGUUCCAAAUCUGGAAUGAUCCUUGCAACUGGUUAUCAGCAAGCAAGAGCGAGGCAAGGGAUGAGUGGUUGUGUAUGUGAGCGACUACAAUCAUAAUGUGUUUUAAAAAUAAAAAACCGAGUGUGGCACUUAGCUGGGGUGGAUGGUUACUGCUGUAGAUACGUGGUAAGCUCAGCGCUAAGUGGAUAAGUUAGAAAUUUAAGCUACGACUAUUCGAUGUUGGCCGAGUAGGGCGUUGAGCCGCCCUGUCCUUUUCACCCCGGUAUGGAGCCGGUCACGCUUUUUGCGUUAAGAUACCUAUAGCCAGAUGUGUUAAAUCGGUUUCAAACGUCCGGACGAAGUACCGGUCACUAAGGGCAUGGCCAAUGGUUUAGCUGGGAUAGAUGCCCCAUAGUUCUGCGUCGGAUGCUGCCGUGGAGGAAAUUGGAAGCGAAGACUAUAGCUUGCAGAGGCUUGGUGUAGCUUGCAAAGGAGCUAGCUUCUUCAGUCAAAAAGUGUGGUCCUCCACGAGAAAAAGGAAAGGGAGAGAGUGUGCCAUGAGGACAUAAUUGCAUCAUAUAACGAUCCCUCAACGUGCAACAAAAAAUCAUUCCAAUGUUUCUAUCCGAGAACGUAGGACGAAAAUGUGCAUCAACCCCUAUCCAUAGAUUACCUCAAUGUUACCUCGGGAAUUCACGAGUUGAGUGCCAAAACAUACAUUAAGUGAAUCAAUGUAAUACCUCAUUGUCACCAUGGGUAUCCGUAUGCAAGACAUACUUCAAGUGUUCUAAAAUCCAAUAUUCAGUCCAACAUUAAGAAACCUCAAAGAGCAAUACUGAAUUCAUGACAACAAAGAUAGAGAGAGAAGAAAAACCAUAUAAUCCGACUAUAAUAAUAGAGCUCAUGGUUACAUCAAGAUCGUGCCGGAUCAAGCACACGAGAGAGAGAGAAAGAUCAAACACAUAACUACUAGUACAUAUCCUCAACCCCGAGGAUGAACUACUCCCUCUUCAUCAUGAUGGCCGCCGGGAUGAUGAAGAUGGCCUCCGGUGAUGAUUUCCCCCUCCGGGAGCGUGCCGGAACGGGGCCCCGAUUGAUUUUUCGUGGAUACAGGUGCUUGCCGCGGUGGAACUUCUCGUCUAGGGUUCUUUUCGAUGUUUAGGGUAUUUAUAGAAAUUUUUGGCGUUGGUCUCACGCCAGGGGGUGCCCUAGGGGGCCACAAGCUCGGGUGGCAAGCCCUAGGAGUGGGCGCGCCCCCAGUGUGGCUCCCUCGGCCACUUCUUGGCCCAGCUCCGGUGCUCCGGGGGGGGGGGGUGUCUUGGUCCAUAAAAUAUCAUCUAAAUGCCCAUUCCAAAACUUUUAUUUCUGCACAAAAAAGGCAUCAAGGUAGUUCUGCUGAGAAUAUCGCCAGUGCGGGUUAGUUCUAAUCAAAUUGGAUUGACAUGAAUACUUUAUCAACUAGCACCGUGUCUCGGCCCUGGACGCGAAGCAACAGACCCGCCAUGGACGGCAGCAGCAGCACGUCCACCUCGUUGUCGGCCCUGCCACCGUGGACACCUCCGGGUUGAUGAUCUGUGUCGUGCCCUUUCGUCUACAACGCUCCAGUGUCCACCCACAAGGAGCUCUGGUGGACCCUGCCGGACAUGUCCAGCCUCGGACUCCGCUCGUUCUCUAGAAUCUCUCCUCCUCUCAGGCGUUCUCCCUUUCUUCGAGCUUAGAUCUCUGUCCCAUUAAUUCCAUCUUUGACGCCCCCCCCCUUUGUCUAUAACUCACAAAGAUAUUUGAACUGGUGGGGUUGUGUAGAAGUAAAGGAUGUGGGACCAGAUUUUUGGGACGGAUGAGGUAGUCGUUCAUACAGCCCAUCAGAACCUUUUUUUCUACUCCCUCCGUUCCUAAAUAUUUGUGUUUUUAGAGAUUUCAAAUGACUACCACAUACGGAUGUAUAUAGACAUAUUUUAGAGUGUAGAUUCACUCAUUUUGCUCCGUAUGUGAUCACUUGUUGAAAUCACUAGAAAGACAAAUAUUUAGGAACGGAGGGAGUACCAGCUAUCUCUCCUCUUCUCAGGCGUGUUUCAGUGGAUGUGCUCCACCUCAGCGACGGCGUCGACCGCCUCUCGUCGUCUCCCUUUCUUCGAGCUUAGGUCUCUGUCCCAUUAAUUCCUUCUUUGACCAACUCCCCCGCUUGUUUUCUUUAACUCGCAAAGAUAUUUGAACUGGUGGGAUUGUGUAGGAGUAAAGGACGUGGGACUAUCUGUUCCAUUAUUUUUACCAGAUUUUUGGGACGGAUGAGGCGGUCGUUCAUAUGGCCAUCAGACUAUUUUAUUACCACUUAAAUAUGUAUGUAUGUAUGCAUGUAUGUAUAUAUGUAUGUAUGUAUGGACGUAUGUAUGUAUGUGAGCACUUUGAAUUUUACAGCUUCGAGAAAUGGACAUCCACCCAUCCUCUCUUCCCCACGAGAGACGUUCAAUAAACGCUAGUAUGCGUGGUAGGUCGUCUCGUCGUGCCAAUCCAAUCCCUCUCACGGAUGUUAAAGAAUCGCUAGGAGACAUGGUGCAAGAAAGAUUGCUGUGCCUCAGCGAAGAAAGACCUAGUUUGCACAGCUUAGAGCAUCUACAAUCAGGGACAUCAAAGGCCAAGCUGUGUACCUCAUAUUCGGUCCAUCAUAUCCAUGCAGCAAAUGCAACGUACGAAAAAUGAACUAGAAACAAACUUAUUUAAAUCAGGCAUAAUUCACACACAAGGAUCAUCGGACAAUCAAAAUAUGCAGUUUCCAUCGGCCGGACAGUACUUCAACAUAAGAAAAAACUAAAUUAAAUCGAGAAUGGUGGAGAAAAUCACCAUUUUCUCGCCGGCCCCUUCCUCUUGCGGUCGGCAGUGCUGCUUUGGCCCUUGGUGUACGCGUCGGCCAAUCUCCCUCUUCCUCGCCCGUUGCCGCUCGCUCCAUGCGGCCCUUCCCUCUAGCUCGGGCGUCCUCAACCGGCCCGGCGGCGCUAGCGAGGGAACGGCCACCCAACACUGGCCGUGGACGCCCACUGGAGGUGGCUAAGAAGGGGUGGGGCAGCGUACCUAGAGUAGAACGGUGCGGGCGAAGCUGCCGCCAGUGCAGCGCGUCGGACAGGAGGGCCCGGCAACAUCGCCCGCACUGCGACGCCUGGCAAAGGGGCACGGUGCGUCCGAGCGUGAGCUGCGGCCACUGCUAUUACCCUGAUCCAUCUGUGACUUGCGCAAUGUGGUGCGGACAGUGAAUACAUCCAUGUCGGAGUCGUCGCCACAGAAGCCCGCGCUACUGCGAUCGGACGCCAUAGAUCGUAUUGGGAAGAGAAGGGGGCAGAGCGAGUGGAGUGGAGUGGUGCGGACUGAGGUCUAGGAUUCGUCAGACUAGGAUAUUUAUGGCGUCGCCACAGGGCACAGUGGGUCGGGCUAACGCGGCAGACACGCUCGGGCCGCCUCAUAUCCGCCCUACAUUUGGGUGUCAUGUCGAGCAGCCCGGGCAUUUGGGGCUGGUUUAAGACGUCUGAAUCGGCCGGUUAGGGCGUGUACAAUAGAGGCAGUACCAUGCUAUGGCCUCAUCUGCCAACAGGAUAAAGAAAAUCUAAAGCUACAUGCAUUAGAAAAAUUACCCAACGCAUGGGGUGGUCUCAUAUAUUUUACUGGGGCACACCGUGACUCUCCAUUCAUCAACUUUAUUUACAUGUAGUUGCAUUUUUCCUCGCAGCACACUCUCUCCCUUUCCUUUUUCUCGUGGAGGACCACACUUUGUGACUGAAGAAGCUAGCUCCGCAAGAUACACCAAGCCUCUGCAAGCUAUAGUCUUCUCUUCCAAUUUUCUCCACGGCAGCACCCGACGUAGAAUUAUGAGGCAUCUGUCCCAGCUGAACCAUUGGCCAUGCCCUUAGAGACCGGUACUUCGUCUGGACGUUUGAGACCGAUUUAACACAUCCGACUAUAUAGGUAUCUUAUAAAGCGAAAAGUGUGACCGGCUCCAUACCAGGGCCAACAUGGAAUAGUCGUAGCUUAACUUUCUAACUUGUCCACUUGGCGCUGAGCUUACCACGUAGCUACAGCAGUAACCAUCCAACUCAGCUCAAGUGCCACACUCGGUUUUUUUAUUUUUAACACAUCACUAGUGGAAAAGAGGGCUUUGGUCCCAGCAAGGUUAGCCCAUCCAGAACCGGGACUAAUGGGAGCAUUAGUCCCGGUUCGUGAGCCUAGGGGGCCGGCCGGGCCACAUGGGCCAUUUGUCCCGGUUCGUCUGGACCUUUUAGUCCCGGUUGGUGCCACGAACCGGGACUAAAGGGUGCGACGCCCAUUAGUACCGGUUCGUAGCACCAACCGGUACUAAAUGUUAGACCUUUAGUCCCGGUUCGAGCCACCAACCGGUAUUAAUGGGUUUGAGGCAUUAGUACCGGUUCGUGAACCGGUACUAAAGGUCUCAUUUUCAAACUCUCCCCCCCCCCUAGGGUGGAUUGCCUUUUCAGUUUUAAAAAAACUAAAAAAAAUGAUGAAAAUGUCAAAAAAAUAAAGAAAAUAAGUUUCCCAUGUGAUAUGUGGUCUAGUUGUUGGGAAAAUUUACAAAUAUGAAUUUCGACUUUAUUUGCAAAAUCUCUCUAGAAUUUAGUAAAAUGGGCAUACCUUUUGCAUACGAACUCGGAUUAAAAAGUUUUUUAUAUGAAAAAUCAUCUACUCGAAAAGUUACAUCCAAAUUUAAUCGGGGGAACCCUGUUAAACAUUUUCAAAAUCCUCAAAAACCUAACAGAAAAAAAGUUACGGAGCUUUUAAGAUCUGGAGGCAAAAAAAUUCAUCAAAUCUCAGUUUUUUUUGAAUUUUUGUUCAAGAAGUAUUAGUAUUACUAAAUAAUUAUUCAAGAAUAUUAGUGUUAGUAAAUAAUUAUUUCAGUUUUUUUGAAUUUUGGUCAAAUCUGGUCAAACUAUGGUCAAACAAUGGUCAAACUAAUUAUUCAAGAAAUAUUAGUGUUACUAAAUAUUAGUGUUAUUUUUUAGACCAAUAGUCUCAAACUCAAACAGUGAAUUGUGUGACUUCUUGCUCAAGUUAAAUUUCUGAGGUUAAUAGGAUUGACAUCUUACUAUUGUCAGGAAAACAACAAGUGCAGACUUGGAAACGAGGGAGAAUAGAACCCAGAUAUUAAGCGUGCUCAGGCUGGAGUAAUGAGAGGAUGGGUGACCAUCCGGGAAGUUAGAUGAUGAGGGGUGAUUAGAGCUUAAAUUGAGCAGUGAUGAGGGGUGAUUAGAGAUGAGAGGUUAAAAUAAUUCAGAAAUUUGAAAAUCAAAAUAAAUAUUCCAAAAAAAGUAUUCAAUUUUUUUUAAAAAAAACAUAAAAAUUCCUUUAGUACCGGUUAGUGUUACCAACCGGGACUAAAAGUGGAUCUCCAACCAGCGGCCACGUGGAGAGCCUUUAGUCCCGGUUCGUGUAAGAACCGGGACUAAAGGGGGAGGCUUUAGUAACGACCCUUUAGUCCCGGUUCACAUAACCGGGACUAAAGGACCUUAUGAACCGGGACUAAAAGCCCUUUUUCUACUAGUGCAUUAUGAUUGCAGUCGCUCACAUACACGAACAUACAUUCAUCCCUAUGAACCCACAAACACACACCCUACCUCUAUGAGCACCUACGAGAGACUAAGCCGACGUAGCAUCUUAAGAUUUUACGUAGUCACCACAGGCGCUUCUUAGUCGACGGGUACGUCUUCUCCGACUGAAUGAACAUCACCAGAAGCCUGAAAUAAAUUUAAAAAAUGCAAGCACCAAUGUCAAAUUUAGAACUUGAACCUUGAUGGGCUUUGGAUACCACUAUGCUUAUAACCAUCCCACGAUAGGUCGGGUUGGUUCGCAGUGGCACACUCGAUUCAUUCAUUGAGAUAACGAUGGCUUCCGCACUAUUAGCAGAAUAGUUAUUCUGAUAACACUUCCGCACUGCAUGCUCAACGCGAGGGCACUGCAUCCCCAUCAAAUGAGCACUGCAAUGUCACUAGAAAAAACUGCAUGCAUUUUUUCGGCAUUGUUUUCGCUUCAGUUUCUAAACCGUUUGUCGGAACAAGGCGUAUAAUAUACCGUUGGAUAGCUAUGGAAAAUGCACAAGCUCGUCAUGUUGAAUACUUUUCGAGAUUCAUUGCGGUUUAAGAGCAGUUUCAAAAACAGUGCACACAUGACGGGAUGCAGCGAGCGUAUUUUCGCGAUUUUUUCUAAACUGCACAUCGAAAUGGAGCAAACGAUACGGCGUUGGAAAGAUAUCGUCGAGCUGCAUCUUUUUCAUAUCUAUUAUUUUCUCUAAUUCGUUAAGGUUUAAGAGCAGUUUUAAAUUUAGUAAAUCGUGGAAUUCUGUUUUUUUUUUGAUUUUUUUUUCCAAUUUUUGUAUGGUUUUCGCUCUAGUUUUUUGAACCGUUUGUCGAAACGAGGCGUGUGAUACGCCGUUGGAAAGCUACAGAUGAGGCGCAAAUAGUUUUGAGAUUCCUUACGGUUUUAAGUUAAUUUUGAAAAUGGUGCUGCUGGCGAUGAGUGGCAGCAGCCGUUUUGAUGAAAUUUUCACAAACCGCGGAUCGGGAUGAUUAAAAUUAUAUGCCGUUGGAAAGAUAUCGAUAAGGCACAACCUUUUCAUGUAGAACACUUUCUCUGAUUCCUUACGGUUUAAGGGUAAUUUUGAUUUUAAUGAAAUGCGGACACUUUGUUUUUGCGUGACACGAAAAUCGUCGUAUGUACUGCUUCAGACAGAAAACCGCAUUGCAUCAGGCGGGCAAACGAACUGCACGGUUUCUUUUUGAAGUUGUUAUUUUGUGUAUUUUUAUCUUCAAUUCGGAUGAACCAAACAGGAGAAGGGGUCAACAUUUAUUUUGCUACGAGACUAUGUGAACCACAUGACUUUUGUCUUUUUUACUUUUUUUGCUUAUGUGGACCACAUAGUAAAAGUUAGUGAACCGCAUGGUGAAGACUAGAGAGCUGCAUUUUUGUUGGUGAAAGUAAACCCCGUGGCAGAAGCUAGUGAACUACUUCUAAAAGGAAAUGUACUCCUUUGUGAUGUUUUUUUAUUGUAUUUACAAUGGAAACUACAGGAGUGCACACAUCGCAUUGCAAAUACUCCACACAAGUGAAACCGACACGUAUGACAAUACAAAUUCACUGAUGGGGUGGGCUGCACACAUAAACACAAUGCAUUGCAAGCAUACACAAAAGGAACUGCGUGCGCAUGAUGCUCGGGCGUUGUUGUCUUGUCGGCGAGUGAUGUUUUAAUUUCCUUCUUUUUUCCUACACAAGUACAAAAAAUCCCUCCAACAAAGAACAUAAGUGAACCACCAUUGCACACGCUACAAGUGAAACACAGCAAGAGUGCACUGCAAGGGAAAAGCUGUGAAUUUCUUGUGGAACCUUUUUUACAAACUGAUCCACAUUGCUUCAGAGUUGUUUUUACAAUGAAAUGCAGUUUUUCAGCAAAUUCUUUUUUGAGUAAAAGGAACUGCACACGCACGAUGCUUUUGUGGGUUGCUGUCUCGUCGGCGACCGCACAUGCUAGCGCAAAACAAAUCGCACAAUAGCACACAACGGACUGCAUGGCAUCGGCUCCCCCACAUGGACCCAUUUAACCCUCGGCGGCCUGGCUUUGAGCGGUGGCCAGAGUUGUGCAGCGCGUCGGCGGCAAAAAUUUGGACUACAUCAUGGCCGUUGGUGAGCAGAAACAAAAAUAAUUUUCACCUGAGCGCACUGCUUUAGACCCCACGAGCACCUGCACAACUUGCGGUAGCGAACUGUGAGCCGCUGAAUUGCAUCUGAAAAAACCGAAGCAGCCCAAGUUGCAUCUGCAAGCCGCGAUGAUGAAUCUGCAUCCGCUCGUAAAAAGAAACGCCCAAUGCUGCAAGCGCGCGAGAACUAAACCGAAUUACGCAUGCCUCCGAGCUACACUGCCACAGUCGCCAUACUGUCGGUUCCUCGUCGUCGACGCAGAUUGAGGCGAGGGGAUGGUCGACGAGGCCGGGAGAGGGCAAGGGCAGCGGCGUCGACGUGGAGUUCCUACUUCUCCCCCGCCCGCGCAGUACCAGCGCCACCGUCGCGCAUGUCCGGGGGGUCCGCUAGCAGAGGAGAGUGGUGGAGGAGGGGGGAAAGCACGCUGGUGGCGGCAGGUGGCUGGGAGUUGGAUCCAAGCGGGGGGCGCCAGAUCCGGAGCGAGGAUGUAGGUGGACGUCGAUGGGGAGGCCACCGAACUGCACGUCGACCCCACGCGCACGCCCGACAUGCUCCAUCUCGACGGUCAACGGCGGGCGUGGCAGGGCCACCACUACUAGGAAAAGGGCUAUAGACAGGAUUGAUACUAAUGGCGCACCUGGUAAGCAGUGCACCACUACUAUAUACUAAUGGCGCACCGGCCAUUAGUGUGUAAGACACUAAUGGCGCACCGGGCGCAGGGUGCGCCACUAGUAUUGAAUUUUUUUUCCAUUUUUCCAUACACUCUAAUGGCGCAUGGCGCCGAAGUGCGCCAUUACUUGUUCUAUCAAGUAAUGGCGCACCUUGUAAGCAGUGUGCCAUUAGUAUAUAAUAUAUUUUUUUACUUUUGUGCAAAACUGCUAAUGGCGCACCAUGUAUAUUUUCAUGGACACUUUUUGAUCUCGAUCUCGAUCCCACCCGCACCCUCCCCCGCUANNNNNNNNNNNNNNNNNNNNNNNNNNNNNNNNNNNNNNNNNNNNNNNNNNNNNNNNNNNNNNNNNNNNNNNNNNNNNNNNNNNNNNNNNNNNNNNNNNNNNNNNNNNNNNNNNNNNNNNNNNNNNNNNNNNNNNNNNNNNNNNNNNNNNNNNNNNNNNNNNNNNNNNNNNNNNNNNNNNNNNNNNNNNNNNNNNNNNNNNNNNNNNNNNNNNNNNNNNNNNNNNNNNNNNNNNNNNNNNNNNNNNNNNNNNNNNNNNNNNNNNNNNNNNNNNNNNNNNNNNNNNNNNNNNNNNNNNNNNNNNNNNNNNNNNNNNNNNNNNNNNNNNNNNNNNNNNNNNNNNNNNNNNNNNNNNNNNNNNNNNNNNNNNNNNNNNNNNNNNNNNNNNNNNNNNNNNNNNNNNNNNNNNNNNNNNNNNNNNNNNNNNNNNNNNNNNNNNNNNNNNNNNNNNNNNNNNNNNNNNNNNNNNNNNNNNNNNNNNNNNNNNNNNNNNNNNNNNNNNNNNNNNNNNNNNNNNNNNNNNNNNNNNNNNNNNNNNNNNNNNNNNNNNNNNNNNNNNNNNNNNNNNNNNNNNNNNNNNNNNNNNNNNNNNNNNNNNNNNNNNNNNNNNNNNNNNNNNNNNNNNNNNNNNNNNNNNNNNNNNNNNNNNNNNNNNNNNNNNNNNNNNNNNNNNNNNNNNNNNNNNNNNNNNNNNNNNNNNNNNNNNNNNNNNNNNNNNNNNNNNNNNNNNNNNNNNNNNNNNNNNNNNNNNNNNNNNNNNNNNNNNNNNNNNNNNNNNNNNNNNNNNNNNNNNNNNNNNNNNNNNNNNNNNNNNNNNNNNNNNNNNNNNNNNNNNNNNNNNNNNNNNNNNNNNNNNNNNNNNNNNNNNNNNNNCGACCGCCGCCAGACUCCACCCCCGCCGCCCCCGCGCCCCCCGAACGGGAUCGGCCGAGCGCACGCGCUAGGGUUCCUCACCCCGCCGCCCGCUCCUCUCCUCUCCUCCUCCCUCCGACGAGCGAGGGCCUCCUCCGGCCCCUGCAGCAGCCGACAAGCGCGGCCCCGACGACCCACCCCGCCUGCCCCUGCCGUCCUCCGCCACCGGUCACCUCCACAGCAGCCGGCGAGCCAAGAACGGCGUCGUGACCCUCGCCGCCAACCUCGAGCUCCCCUGCUUCCUCUCUGCGCCGUCCAAGGUGAGCUUCCCUGCCCCUUCUCCCUCUCUCUCCAUGUCCUGGACAGCAAGAUCAAGAGAAUUAUGCUUUUAAUUAAAAUUAUGCUUUGAACAGUAGAAACAAAAAACAGAGUAUGGACCACUCAUCCAAUAUUUUAAGUGUUCUGAUUCAUAAGUAAACCGCCUUAAUUCAUUCAGUGUAGGGGGAACUUAGAAGAGAAUUCAACAUCCUUGGUCUGUUUUAUACAAAUUCAGUUUAAUGUUUGACACAACUGUCCAGUACCAAAGACUUAGGAGUAUUGCAAAAUAUUAAGAUAAUGGUAACUGGCUUUUCUUCUUUUCGACAACACGCGGGUUGCUGGUUUGAUAGGCUCCUAAAGGUUCAUGUAUCAUCACUUACUGACAUCCCAAACAUAUGUAGAAAUAUGCCUAUAUGGCCUAGACCUACAACUAUCUCCUGCUAUGGAUGUUUGCUGAACCGAAUAAAUAUGCCUAUAAGGCUAGUACUAGUAGUGCUACUCUCUUACUGCCAGUGACAGUCUAUCGAGGUCAUUAACUCCAACUCAAGUGGGCAUAAUUCUCUGCAGUAGUAUAGCACUUGCAGUAGUAUGGCACUUGCAGCAGUAUGAACAUUUUACUGCUAGUGUACUGAUAGUGUAAUCUAGCUAUUGUACUGAUAUUUCUGUUUCUUUGAACAUUUUACUAUCAAUAAAAAUGAUGUACUGCUGCUUUCAGUUAAUUCAAAUUAGCUAAAACAUUUUACUGUCAAAUAGUGCUAAUUAAUGUUUACUCUAUGAAAUAAACUACUCCAUGUCAAAUAAACCUUGCUAGGUGAAUCUUGUUUGCAUUAGGAGUAGUUGCUGGAAAUUUACUGAAUUUUGUUAUGUGCUUUGUGGUGCUAGUUUGCUGGGUUUUGUCUCCGACCAUUGUGUCGUGAUGAAUUUGCAGGUACCCCGAGAGGCCCUUGAGUUUGCUGGAAUGUCGAUUAACUUCCGUUCCGGCAAAUUCGGGUACUCCAUAUGUCCUAUUUUCAGCAAAGGUAAUGCUGAAAUUUUCCGUGAAUUUUAGCAUUACUUUGCUAAAAAUAGGACAUAUGGGGUACUUGCGACUAAUGCCUGUUAUCAUGCAUGGGUACUAAUUGGUCUCUUCUGCUGCUUAUCAGAGAUGGCGGGAAGCAGCCACCGCCGAUCUGCGACACCGCAGUACGAGUUGGAUGCUUUCGAGUUCUUCACUAUCAUACUUGAGGCUUCAGUAUCAUCCAUGACGCAGGUAUAUAAAACGAGAGAUCUCCCCUUCACCCAUCUCAUUAUGAUAGCUGUUGUUUGCUACAUCACUCAUUGUCCCAAACUGCAGAGGCUGCCUGACAGUUUUAUGAACAUGCUGAUGGGUGAAGAUCCGCCAAAUAAUGUGAAGCUGCGACAGGCCGACAGCGGGUUUCGCAGGCAGUGGGAUGUGCAGUUGGCGAUCAAGAAGGGCGACAUGUACUUGUCUCGUGGGUGGGAGAAGUUCUGCCGUGCCUACGACCUGCAGCUGGGGUACUUACUUGUCUUCAGGUACGACGACGACGCCAACAUGCUCAUCGUGAAGGUGUACAACAAGACUAUGUGUCGCAUGCGCUACGCUGCCGAUGAUGAUGCCAGUACGUUUUGCCUCUUCUUAUUCCUCUACAUUUGGCUUCGUCUCACGUCGAUUGUUAACGGUCAUUGUUGCAUUUUGCACAGGUAGGAGCAGCAGCAGCGACACUGGCUACAGCCAAAGCAGCAGCGACUAUGGCUAUAGCGAAACCAGCAGCGAUUCUGGCUGUAGCGAAAGCAGCAGCGAUUCUGGCAGUAGCAUAGACAACAGGAAGGAUGAUCCGGACUGGAGUGCGGGAGAAGAGGAGCAGAGUGAGGAUGAGGAGCUGCAGGAUGACGAUGGGCAUCAGGCUGAGGAUGACCUAGCGCUGGUGGUGGUUGACCAAGGGCAAGAGAUGGUGGUGGCUGACCAUGGGCAAGAGAUGCAGGUGGCUGAGGAUGACCUAGCGAUGGUCGUGCCUGAAGGUGGCCUCGCGAUGGUGGUGGUGCCUGACAAUGACCACCCACCGGUGGUGGCGCCGGCGAUCCCACAGCUGGGCGACAUGACCACGCCAAUUGUGGUAGAAGACUACAUCCCACUGCCUCCACUGCCUCCACCGCCUCGCCGCUCUAGGCGCAUCAAGGAGAGGAAGGACAAGAAGGAGAAGAACAAUGCAUGAGAACUGAACUUUGUCAGGUAUGUCAGAUCUCCUAUAGGUUAGCUAUCCAAAAUGAUAUAUAUAUAUACUUAGUUACCUAUGUUAUCUCUAAUAUGCUUUGUUUUCUAUAGGUUAGCUUCAUUUUACCUAAGUUGGCUCUAAUAUACUAACUUAGAGCUUAUAUGCUUAGUUUCCUAUAGGUUAGCUCCAAAAUAACUUAUGUUAGCACAAAAUGAUCAAGUUUACAUAAUAAGCUUAUAGUCUUUUUCUUAUUCUUGUUCUUUUCCAAAAUGACAUAGGUUAGCUUCAUUUUACCUAAGUUGGCUCUAAUAUACUAACUUAGAACUUAUAUGCUUAGUUUCCUAUAGGUUAGCUCCAAAAUAACUUAUGUUAGCACAAAAUGAUCAAGUUUACAUAAUAAGCUUAUAGCCUUCUUCCUAUUCUUCUUCUUUUCCAAAACUCUUCUUAUUCUUCUUCUAGUGUUCUUCUUCUUCUAGUAUUCUUCUAGUCUUCUUCUUUUUCUUCUUCUAACUUCUUGUUUAUCAUUUUGCAGAUUUGAUUUAAUUGACGGAAGCUUGCGUGGAUGGAGUGCUUCUUUUCCAUUUGUGUUUUUAUUUUGUAUCAAUGUGAAACUUUUGUGAAUUGAUGGAUAACGGUGUUGGAUGAACAAUGUGAAACUUUUGUAACGACGGAACUAUGUGUUGGCUAUGUAUGUAUAUAUGAUGAAACUUGUGUGUUGGAUAUGAUUGCUAUAUGGAUGCUUGUUGUAUAUAUAUGUGUUGAAUAUCUCAUAUGUGAAAUAGUGACCUGAGAUUAAAUUUUUUUUUUAAAAAGUUGUUACUAAUGGCGCACUACCAUGUGCUGCGCUAUAAGUAUAGCAGAUAAUAGUGGCGCACUGCGGGCAGUACUAAUGGCGCACUGCCUGGUGCGCCAUUAGAAUACCAGAUUCUAAUGGCGCACAUGUGGUGCGCCUUUAGAAAAAAUUCUAAUGGCGUGAGGCUAGUGGCGCACCAGCCAUGCGCCAUUAGAAGGCAAAAUUGGUGCGCCACUAGCAUGCCUUUUCCUAGUAGUGCACGUGCUGUCGGCAUGUGGGAAGGAGGGAUUUGCCCGGGGCUAGCCAUAUCCACUGCACGCGCGGCCGGAUCGGUUCCCGGGGCACGGUGGCAUGGCGCUGGCCGUCGGAUCGGAGCAGGAGAGGUCGCCUGGAUCCAGGGCGGUGCCGCAGCGGCCAGCGGGAUGGGCGGGCCAUGUGGGANNNNNNNNNNNNNNNNNNNNNNNNNNNNNNNNNNNNNNNNNNNNNNNNNNNNNNNNNNNNNNNNNNNNNNNNNNNNNNNNNNNNNNNNNNNNNNNNNNNNNNNNNNNNNNNNNNNNNNNNNNNNNNNNNNNNNNNNNNNNNNNNNNNNNNNNNNNNNNNNNNNNNNNNNNNNNNNNNNNNNNNNNNNNNNNNNNNNNNNNNNNNNNNNNNNNNNNNNNNNNNNNNNNNNNNNNNNNNNNNNNNNNNNNNNNNNNNNNNNNNNNNNNNNNNNNNNNNNNNNNNNNNNNNNNNNNNNNNNNNNNNNNNNNNNNNNNNNNNNNNNNNNNNNNNNNNNNNNNNNNNNNNNNNNNNNNNNNNNNNNNNNNNNNNNNNNNNNNNNNNNNNNNNNNNNNNNNNNNNNNNNNNNNNNNNNNNNNNNNNNNNNNNNNNNNNNNNNNNNNNNNNNNNNNNNNNNNNNNNNNNNNNNNNNNNAGGUGGGUGCGGCGGCUCGCGGGUGGAGGAUGGGGAGGCAGGAGGGAGGUACUGGGGUGGACUAGGUCGGGGUGGGCACGGGGUGUCUCGGGCAGUUGGAGCGCCGGUGGCGGUAGAUGGCUGGGAAAGGGAUGUAGGGGGAACUGGGGGUGGGGUGGGAGUCCUACGGGGAAGAAGGUGGGUUGGGGUGGGGAUUGUGGGGUUCUGUUCGAUUUCAGCUCGCAGUUCUGUUUAGAAGCUUGGGUAGUUUUGAAGUGUUAGCAGAAUAAGGUCUUAAGGGGUGUUAUCAUAUAUAAUAAACCUACUAUACACACACAUAAAUAUAUAUAUAAUAAACCCACUAUCUAUACACACACAGACACACACACACUUUGACCAUGACAAUGACUUUGCAGGAUGUGAUGGGGAUUUUCUUGCAUAAGAAAUGACUUGAAAACUUAAAUCAUGGCUGGGAAGAGAGAAGUUGACGGAUGCAAGAGGAUUGACAAUUGGGUCCUCUAGGACAGAAAAGCAUGCAAUAAGAACCGAGUAAUUUAAUGGAUGACAAUAAAAUGUAGGGUUCAUGGUCUCACCGCCCGUAAUAUGCUGGUCAUUUUGCAGGAUCAGGUGUUUUUUCGACCAAAAGAUGCACUAAAAAUAGGCUGGUACGUAAAAAAUAUUACAGGCGGGCCGCAAAAACGCCACUCCGGUGCUAUAUCUCCAGUUCCGGCCGGGAUUUAGGGUUACCAAACCCUAUCCCUCAGCGGCAAAAUCGCCCGCCCCACCACUAGCCAUCUCUGCCUACGGCGUAAAAUCCCGCCUCUCCUCUGCUGUUUUCCUCCUACCCAAUGGGCGGUGCUGCUCGCGAGCAUGGCGGGUCACCGCCGCGCAAGCUUGCAUGGCACGACGCGAAGGCUGGCAACUCCAGCCGGGCCGUCGUCGAGCCAUGGCGAUCCAAGCAGGCGCGUGACCGCGGCUGCCUCUCCCGCAGCGGCGGGCGGAGCCUGUGGGCCCGCUUCGACAAGCUCAACGAUGCCCUUUUCCCGCACACAGUGAGGUGCCGGAUGGUUGAUUCCAAGCUCCUCUCAGUGGAGCGCGUGGUGGCGGCUGGAGUAGAAGGCACCGCCGACCGACUCGCCGCUGCAAAGAAGGACCAUGCCUAUGCCCUCGCGUGCCGCAAGUCGGCGGAGAGUUCUACCUCGGCAUUGAUGAUUGAGCCGGCCUCCCCUAGGUUUAAUUUGUAGUUUCCACCCUUCAUGAAGUUUCCUUCGUGCCGCCAUCCGUGGCGAACCUCUCAUCCCUUACCUCGCUCUUGCUUGCCGAUAACCAGUUGCAAGGAUUCAUUCCAGAUUUUGGUAAACUUUCAAGCCUGAAAAACCUCGAUCUCUCCACCAACAAUCUGUUAGGGACAGUGCCACCCUCAAUUUACAAUUUGUCUUCGCUAAACUUUCUUGGGAUGUUUGGCAAUAAUCUUGGAGGAACAUUGCCCUCAGACAUGGGUAACACACUUGCUAACAUCAACUUACUAUUUACGCAAGAUAAUCAUUUUUGGGGAGACAUCCCUGCCUCACUACAAAAUGCCUCCAGCAUGACGUAUAUCCAUCUAGGCAACAACUAUCUGACUGGGGUGGUUCCUUCUUUCAACUCCAUGGCAAAUUUGGAGUAUGUAGUGUUGUACUCAAAUCAUCUAGAGGCUGGAGACUAGACAUUCUUCUCCUCUUUGGUGAAUUGUACACAUCCUCUAGAAUUUAACGUAGGUGAAAACAACUUGCACGGGGCUUUACUAGCAAAUUCCAUAGCAAAUGUUCCCAAAAGCUUGACCGCUCUAACUCUUUGGUCAAACAACAUAUCUGGCACCAUCCCCUUGGAGAUUGGAAAUUUGUCUAAUCUUAACAUGUUGUAUCUUGAUAGAAAUCUUUUCAUGGGGUCUAUACCUCCUAUCCUUGGUGAGCUACAUAGCUUGGUUGUUCUUAGUCUACCACAAAACAACUUUUCUGGGGAAAUAGCACCUUCCAAUGGCAACUUAAAUCAACUAGAAGAACUUUAUUUGCAAGAAAAUGAAUUGAGUGGAAUCAUACCUGAAAGUUUAGGCAGCUGCCAGAAGUUGUUAGCACUAAACAUUUCUUGUAAUACCCUUGGUGGAAGCAUAAGCGGACACGUGUUGGCUAUGUUGGAACAGUUAAGUUGGUUACUUGAUUUAUCACACAACCAACUCACAAUGUCCAUGCCACUAGAGAUAGGUAGCUUGAUAAACCUUGGUUCCUUGAACAUCUCCCACAACAAUCUCACGGGAAGAAUCCCGCCCACCCUUAGUGCAUGUGUUCGGUUGGAAGCACUUCAUGUAGAAGAGAACAUCCUGCAAGGAGACAUUCCACAAUCAAUAGCAAACUUGAAAGGCCUCAAAGUGUUGGAUUGCUCCCAUAAUAAUCUAUUUGGUACAAUCCCAGAGUUCCUUGGGACCUUCACAUCUCUGAUGUAUUUGAAUGUGUCCUUCAAUGACUUCCAAGGGCCAAUUCCCACUAGUGGAGUGUUUGCUAAUAGAAGUGGUAGUUUUACCCAAGGAAACCCACACCUGUGUGCAAACAUUGCAGUAGAAGAGUUGCCUAGGUUCUUUGCUUCAGCAUCCACACAAAAAUACAAGUUCGUCAUUCCUAUGAUGAUAGCUCUGUCAACUCUCGUUGCACUUGCUUUGAUCUUAGGGGUGUUCAAUUUUUGGUUGAGAAGGAGAUACAAAUCAAGUGACAGAAUUGGCCAUUCAUACAUGGAGAUGAAAAGGAUAACAUAUGGCGACAUAAUCAAAGCAAAGGAUAGUCUUUCUCUAGCCAACAUAGUUGGCUCCGGGCAAUUUGGGACUGUCUACAAAGGUUGGUUCGACACGGAAGAUGGUACGGUGUAACAUCCCAAUUUUUAAUAUGGAUGUUAUACAUAGAUCAUUCAUAUGCAUUAUUGUUUUAUGCAUAUUUGUUGUUUUGUUUUAGUUGCAUCUUGAUCCAAGAGGCCUUAAGCAACUCAAGGACCAAUUUGAGAGAGUUGGAGGUUUCCCAAAAAAACAAUUUUCAAUUAUCAAAAUUUGGUAAUUGGGUCAAUUUGUUUUUCAAAAUUAUUUUCUAAAUAUUUCAAAAUAAUGAGAGAAGAUAAUAUGACUUCUUCAAAAUUAGUAGAAAAAUAUUAGAAAUUGAAUUUUGAAUUUUUGAAGAGUUUAUUUGAUUUUAUUUGCUAAUUUAUUUAAUAGUUAGCGGAGUAAUUAGUACUAUAAUGUUUGUUUUUAGUUUAGGCAUUUAGGUCUAGAAAAAUAUUCACUAGGUCAUUAAUAAGGCCAUUUAGCUACGUGAAUUUUUCUAGAAUUUUUAGGAUUAUAUUUAUAUUUAUUUUGUGUGUUUGAUUCUUUGGGAAAAAAUUGUUUAAAAAAACUUCUCCCGAACUGGGCCGGCCCAGCCGAGCAGCCCAUGCCGAAUCCGCGCGCCGCCUUCCUCACCGAGUCCGGCAUGGACUCUGGCCGCGCCGUCAUACGAGCUCAGGACGCCUCCCGAGGUUGGCCGCCCCCCAAUUAUUUAUACUCCACCCCGGGACCCCUGGAACCCAUUCCCGCCGUCGCCGCUUAGCCCCGCCGCCUAGCGCCGCCGCCACCCGUUCGCCGCCGCUGCCUCGAGCCGCCACCACCGCCGCCGCUGUCGCCCGCGCCGNNNNNNNNNNNNNNNNNNNNNNNNNNNNNNNNNNNNNNNNNNNNNNNNNNNNNNNNNNNNNNNNNNNNNNNNNNNNNNNNNNNNNNNNNNNNNNNNNNNNNNNNNNNNNNNNNNNNNNNNNNNNNNNNNNNNNNNNNNNNNNNNNNNNNNNNNNNNNNNNNNNNNNNNNNNNNNNNNNNNNNNNNNNNNNNNNAUCGCUGGAGUUUCGCCGCCGGUUCUCGUCGGAAAACCAGUAAACCCUAGGUCAGUUUAUUUUACGGUUUUUCCGGUUCGUUCGGUUUAGUUUUCGUUUGUUUCGGUUAGAUCUAUCUAGCGAAUGUUCGUUCGUUUAGAUCUGUCAACGAACCUUUUCUUUCGUUAGUGACGUUCUUCUGAUAGAUUUUUCUUUUUUUGUUUAUUUUCAGUUAGGGACCUAUCCAUGAAUAAUUUUCUUCGUAGAUUAGCCCCUGAUCUUUAAACCCAUGUAACUUUUAGCUCGUUUGUCCAAAUUAGAAAAAACCAACGCCUAAAUCUUUAGAGUGAUCCCCUCUAUCCAGUAAACCAACUUAAACAUGAUUUUGACAAUUUAAAAUUUGAGUUUAGUUCAGAUUAGUAUUUGAUCUUGUUUUGUUUGUAUCUUGAGUUUCGUAGCUUUGUUUGAGUUGAUUCUUUUUGAAAAUCGUAGCUUUUCACAUGUAUCUACUUUUAAGAUCUAAUCCACCUAAAUAUAAUGCUGUUAGAAUUUGUUUUCUAUUUAGGUUAGUUAUUUGCUUGUUUUGAGUUUUAUUUGGAUCUUUUCUCGUUUUCUCUUUGCAUCGUUUGCUUGAUUGCUUAUGUAUGCUAUUGUUUGUCGACGCUAGAUUUUCCAGAGUGCGAAUCUUGUUACUACAAAUCUCUAGAGUUUUCCGAUCGUCAGCAUGGCAAGUUAUACUUUGAUCAUAAUUUUCAAUACCCAAUUUUUACUAUGCAUUAGUUUUGCGCCUCAAAUAUUUGCAUGAGUAGGAUUGGGAACAUGUGGUUUGGUUGUAGUACUUGAGGUAGGAACAUAUUACCUUUGAUCACCCCGAGAAUAUACAUUAUGCUCAUAUAUUGCUUAGCCAUGCUCGUAGAUGAGGAUUGGAUUGUGAUCUACAUGGAAGUUGUGAGAUUUAAUAAUUUUUGGAUAACACUAAGGUGGCAACUUUAAUACACAUCUGGGUGGAUUGGUUAGGGCACCUGGAGAAACCAGUGCUUGCCCAUGAGAAUCCUGGAGUACCCGUGUGAUUUUUCCUCGGUUCGCCACCCAGGCUCAAAGGGAUCAUAUGAUAUUUCAUGCCUAGAAACUUCCGUUUGUAGCCACAAGCCAUUAUGGGUUCUGGCAUAGUUGAGUAAGUUGUGUGAGCUCUUGAAGAGGUGACUAGAAGAUGUAGGGGAAAGUAGCUAUACCGGUCUACCCAAAGUAGAGAGUUAAUGCUUCAGAAAGACUAUGUCUCGAUCUUCCGAUCAUGGAUCUGGUCGAGUCUUGUGGGGAAAAGUGCGCAACCUCUACAAAGUGUAUAAGCUAAUCAUGGUUAGCCGUGUCCCCAGUUAUGGACAUUUUGAGUAUCUAGAAGUGGAUAUUAUUGUUGAUCUCAUCACUCUUUAAUUAAUGAAUUGGGUUUCAUGAUGAUAGUUGGUUAAUGUUGGGAUUUGAGUUGGAGGAACCUUCUCAACCAUUGGUAUAACUUUGUUGUCCAUCAAAUUUAUUCCUUUAUUGUAGGAAAAGUUUAGCUUUAUGCAAAACAUUAAACAUAGAGCCUCCACCAGCCAAAUAUGCAUGUAGAUAUAGUUUCUUGCAUUCAUUUUCUCUACAAUGUAACUCUGCCAGCAUAUUCCAUGUGCUGACCUACACGGCUGCAACGUCUCAUGUUGCAGACUUUACCAACGAAGAAUAAGGUGCGAUAGGUCGCUGUCAUGCACUCAGCUAUGCCGUUGGAGUUGAUGGAAUCAUUUAUCUUCAAAACUUCCGCAAUUAUUUUGAUUAGAUGGUCUUCAGCCAUAUUAUUUGUGUAACAGAUACUCUUUAUGAGGACCUCGAUGUAAUAAGUAUGUGAUUGAAACUUUGUUAUAAUUCCUCGAGUACUGUGGGUCAGCAUACCGAUCCAGGGAUGACACUUAAGCACAGAGACUUCAGUCCAUUUGGUUCGUGGUCGCUACAAGAUGGUAUCAGAGCACACACUGACUGUAGGACACGACCACUAGGAAAAGCCACAGGAUACUCCUCUCUGCUCAUUUCUAAUUCUCCUCUAUUUCUACUCUAUAGAUGACGGACCCCAAGAACAAUUUCACUCAGCCGGAUGACGACACUCCUUUCGGACGACACUUGAAGGAGACCACGAAGUACCUGAAUAUUGGACUACCAAGAUUCACUGGAACCUUCACUGCAACUUUACCGGAAGAGGAGCGCUGGAGGAUCAAAGUUCGUGUACCUGGGAGGAUGUUUGCACCAACAACGAGCCCAUUGAUUUUACCUUGGAUGCACCAAGUUGGAACUUGGGAAAGAGCAUGGCAUCCUACAUCACUUUUGGAUGCAUUUGUGAGGUGUACCACAAGGAGCUUGAAGACACCGUCUAUCAGAUAUGUGGACGCCAAGACGAGAAAUGGGAGAUGAUUCGUACCAGGAAGGAUGGAUCUAUUGCAGCAUACAUUCAGGAGAUGGAUCAACACAUCCGUCGAUAUGAGAACCAGAUGUGCGCUAUCAUGAAGAAGACCAAGAAGGUGAUGAAGAGGAAUAUCAAGCUAGAAGAGGAGCUCAAGUCAACGCGCGAUGGAUAUGAGGAAGAAAUUGCUGUGCUACUAGAGAAGCAUGAAGAGCUGAAGAAGAAGCUAGGAAUACCUGUGGUGAACCCAAAGCAAGAACCUAAAGUGGAUAUUCAUUUGGAGGACUACAUCAUAUUGGACGACACCGACACAGGCAGUGAUGCCAAUGAUGACAGUAAUGAUGAUUAUGAAGACGAAGCUGGAGCUGAUAUUAUGGAGUCUUCCACCAAUCAAAAAUUCUAGACGACCAUCAUGUUAUUAGUAGUAUUCUUCCAAGUAGUUAGUAUCGAUCAUUUUGUAAUAGUAGUUAGAUCGUUGUGUGACCUUCUUUGAUAUUGAGUGGUGUGAAUUGAUUGUUUUUGCCACAUAUGCAUAUGGGUAGUGAAAUCUCUCGUAUACCUUAUUCUAUUCUGUUUUCUCACCCCUCUAACCCAUCAGAUGACUCCGAGAUGUGACCCCAGACUCACUUUCCCGCCGGUGCUCACCAAGUUGAUCCAGCAGCUGAAUCCCUUAAUGCAGAUGUUGGUCUAGAACCAGAACCAAGGCAACAACAACAACCCACCGCCACCACCCCCUGUUGACAACCUAGCCCGUUUUCUGAUGUUAAAUCCGCUGGUGUUUUCUAGUAGCACCGAGCCGAUUGUUGCAGAUGAUUGGCUCUGCAGGAUUGGAAGGGAGAUGACCACUGCUAGAUGCACAUAUGUGGAGAGAGUGCGCUUUGCUGCACAUCAGCUUGUUGGACGUGCAGCCUCUUGGUGGGAGAAUUUCACACCACUUUCCCCAUAGCUACAGUUACAUGGGAUCAAUUUCAGUAGGCCUUCCGCACUGCACAUGUUUCAGCUGGAGCCAUGAGUUGGAAUAAGUGUGAGUUCUGCAACUUACACCAAGGGAGUCGUACAGUGGGACAGUAUGUGAAUGAGUUCAGCAAGCUAGCAUGCUAUGCCCCAGAUGAUGUGGCCACAGACGCCGCGAAGCAGGAGAAAUUUCUCGAGGGACUCAAUGAUGAGCUGGGCAUGCAGUUGAUGGUGGCAACCUUCAACAACUACCAGGAGCUGGUAGAUAGGGCCCUCAUGAUUGAAGGCAAGCAGCAGCAGAUAGAUAACCGCAAGAGGAAGUAUGGACAGGGGAAGUAUAAUUCUGGAGCUCAGUAGAAGCCUCGCUAUUCCCCGUACUCAGGAGGACACACUCAUAACCAUGGAGGGCAUAACCAUGGAGGACAUUCACACAAUGGAGGAAGUUCACACAACCACAGUCGCCCAAAGAAUGGUAAUGGGAAUGGAAGAAGCAACAGUCAGAGCCGUUCCAACCCCGCGACACCCGCCAAGAAGGAUCUGAGUCACAUUACUUGUUUCAAGUGCAGGAAGACCAGACACUAUGCCCUUAAUGUUCAGAAGCAAAGAGUGGUAGUGGCAACGGAAGAUCUGGAAAAAAGCCCAACCCUUUCACCAGAGGUCAGGUGAACCACGUCAGUGUGGAGGGGAUUGAGGAGCAGCGUGAUGCAGUUGUCGAUAAGUUUUUGAUUAAUGCAUUUACAGCCCUUGUUCUUUUCAAUACUGGUGCAUCUCAUUCAUUCAUAUCAAUGGGAUUUGUGGACAAGUUUAAGUUGCCAACCAUAGCCCUUAAGUCACCUAUGUUAGUAAGUUCCCCAGGAGCAGAGUAUAUGGCUAGUAGGGGAUGUUAUCAGUUGCCAAUAACAAUAGGUAGACAUGUUUUCCCCGCCGACCUUAUUGUCCUGGACUCACAAGGAUUGGCCGUGACCUAGGCAUGGAUUGGCUAUCCAACUUUGAGGGAAACAUCGAUUGCACCAGUAAAUCAAUUCUUCUCACCACCCCAUAGGGAAAAGGAUCAAGUAUGUGUCUAGGCAUGCGCCGAGAAGGAUUCAAGUGAAUUCCCUAUCGGGAGUUGUUCAGGAGGAAGUACUAGUGGUGAAGUAUUAUCCCGAUGUAUUUCCGGAGGAGUUACCAGGCAUGCCACCAGAUCGUGAUAUUGAAUUUAUAAUUGAGUUGUUGCCAGGCACCGGGCCGAUAUCAAAGAGACUGUAUCGGAUGCCCGGAAAUGAUCUGGAAGAAAUUAAGAAGCAGAUUAAGGAGUCAUUGGAGAAAGGUUAUAUUCGACCAAGCUCAUCACCUUGGGGAGGCCCAGUGCUUCUAGUUGAGAAGAAGGAUGGAUCUUUGAGGAUGGUUGUUGAUUAUUGUGCGCUGAAUGAGGUGACGAUCAAGAAUAAAUACCCUCUGCCGAUGAUCAAUGAUUUGUUUGACUAGCUGUAGGGAGCUAAGGUUUUCUCCAAGAUCGAUCUUCGGCUAGGUUAUCACCAACUGAAUAUCCGAGAGCAGGAUAUACCUAAGACAACUUUUACCACAAGGUAUGUGCUAUAUGAGUCUACAGUAAUGUCAUUUGGUUUGACUAAUGCCCCUGCCUAUUUCAUGAGUAUGAUGAACAAGGUGUUCAUGGAGUUUUUGGAUAAAUUCGUCGUGGUUUUCAUUGAUGAUAUAUUGGUCUAUUCGAAGAAUGAAGAACAGCAUAAGGAACAUUUGCGCUUAGUUCUCGAGAAGCUCAGGGAACAUCAGUUUUAUGCCAAGUUCAGCAAAUGUGAGUUUUGGUUGAAGGAAGUUGGAUUUCUCGCACAUGUUAUAUCAGGAGAAGGAAUAGCAAUAGACCCUACUAAGGUUGCAUCUGUCACUGAGUGGUUGGCACCCACCUCAGUUGGGGAGAUCCGAAGUUUUCUUGGACUCGCAGGUUAUUAUCUGUGAUUUAUUGAGAUUUUUUCCAAGAUUGCGAAGCCCAUGACGGAGUUAUUGAAGAAGGACACCAAGUUUAAAUGUACUGAGGAUUGUGAGGCCAGUUUUCAGGAGUUGAAGAAACGUUUGGUUACAGCCCCAGUGCUAAUUCUCCCGGACAUACGCAAGGAUUUCCAAGUUUAUUGCGACACUUCACGUCAAGGACUUGGAGGUGUUCUUAUGCAAGACGAAAGAGUUGUUUCAUAUGCUUCAUGACAGCUUCGACCUCAUGAGUUGAAUUGUGCUACGCAUGAUUUGGAGUUAGCAACCGUAGUGCAUGCGUUCAAGACAUGGAGAUACUUUCCCAUCGGUAACUGUUGCGAUGUUUACAUGGAUCAUAAGAGUUUGAAGUACAUCUUCACGCAGAAGCAGUUGAACCUCAGGUAGAGAAGAUGGUUGGAGCUCAUAAAGGAUUAUGACAUGAGAUUACAUUAUCAUCCAGGAAAGGCCAAUGUCGUAGCAGAUGUGUUGAGCCGCAAGAGUUGUGUUAACACGCUCAUAACCAGAGGAUUACCUCAGGAGUUAGCCGAUGAUGUUCGAGAACUACGCUUGGAGAUAGUUCCGAGAGGUUAUGUUGCAGCAUUGGAAAUUCAGUCCACUUUGUUGGGAAAGAUCCGAGAAUCCCAGAGGACGGACAAGGAGAUUGCAGAGAUAAAGGAAAGGAUGAGUAAAGGAAACGCUAAAGGUUUUCGUGAGGAUGAGCACGAAACGUUAUGGUUUGAGGAGCGUAUCUAUGUGCCCAUUGACCCUGAAAUCAGAAAGUUAAUUUUUCAGGAGGCUCAUGAUUCGCCUUAUUCGAUUCACCAAGGCAACACCAAGAUGCACCUGGAUUUGAAGGAAAGUUUCUGGUGGACAGGAAUGAAGAAGGAUAUUGCAGAGUAUGUAGCAGUAUGUGAUGUAUGUCAGAGAGUUAAGGCAGAAGAUCAGAAACCAGCAGGGUUACUUCAGCUUUUGCCGAUACCUGAAUGGAAGUGGGAUAAACUUGGCAUGGAUUUCAUCACAGGAUUACCCAGGACCCGUUGUCGGUGUCAAAACCGGCGGAUCUCAGGUAGGGGGUCCCGAACUGUGCGUCUAAGGCUAAUGGUAGCAGGAGGCUUGGGACGCGAUGUUUACCCAGGUUAAGGCCCUCUCAAUGGAGGUAAUACCCUACUUCCUGCUUGAUUGAUCUUGAUGAUAUAAGUAUUAUAAGAGUUGAUCUACCACGAGAUCAGAGAGGCUAAACCCUAGAAGCUAGCCUAUGGUACGAUUGUUGUUGUGUCCUAUGGACUAAACCCUCCUGUUUAUAUAGACACCGGAGGGUGCUAGGGUUACACAGAGUUGGUUUACAGAGAAGGAGAUCUACAUCCGAAUCGCCAAGCUUGCCUUCCACGCCAAGGAGAGUCCCAUCCGGAUACGGGACGAUGUCUUCAAUCUUGUAUCUUCAUAGUCCAACAGUCCGACCAAAAUAUAGAGUCCGGCUGUCCGGAUACCCCCUUAUCCAGGACUCCCUCAGUAGCCCCUGAACCAGGCUUUAAUGACGAUGAGUCCGGCGCGUAGAUUGUCUUCGGCAUUGCGAGGCGGGUUCCAUCUCCGAAUACUUCAAGAUAAAUUUCGAACACAAGGACCGUGUCCGGCUCUGCAAGAUAAAUCCCAUAUACCACCGUAGAGAGAAUAAUAAUCCACGAAUCUAAUCUGCUGUCCACCCUUUGUAGUGUGACAUCACGCCACGGCUCGACAAUUAUUCGAACCAUUUUCUACAACCUGCUUCCACACAUAUUGCGAGGCGGUUUCUUCGGCACGUCUUGUCAAAGCAGAGAUCGUGUCCCCUUAACGCAUGAUCCUCUUCAAUACGGGCGUGGGUAACCCAACCGUACCACCAAUUAUGGUGAGUGGGGAACGAGCAGGUUUCAUUAGGCAAGCGGGGAGGCAUAAAGUUUCAUCGCCUCUAUACAGGGGAAAGGCCUCCUCCUUUCUACCCACGCCUUCUUCUACUUCUGCUCGCCCCUUUCCUUUUGCCCGAGCCCUAGCGCCCAAGCGUUCAUCUUCCCUACAAACAAAGGUCCUCCAAAAAUGUCUGGAUCCAGAGCAGUAGGCAAGUGGAUGGCCUCCUCCGUCCAGGAGAAGGAUAUUAAAAAGCUGCGGGCGGCCGGAUAUCUGGCCAAGAAAAUCGGUCACCGUCUUCCGAUGGCGGGACAGAUCGUCCCUACUCCGGAGCCCCAAUAAGAGAGUCGUUUUCCUCCCCAUUUCGUCCGCGGGCUUGGGUUUCCCCUUCACCCUUUUGUUCGCGGCAUCAUGUAUUACUACGGGAUUGAUUUUCACGAUCUAUCCCCCAAUUCUUUCCUCAACAUCUCGACAUUUAUCGUCGUGUGCGAGGCCUUUCUCCACAUCUCGCCGCACUUCGGGCUAUGGCUCAAGAUCUUCAAUGUGAAGCCCAAAGUGGUGAAUGGCAAACACGCCGAGUGCGGAGGUGCCAUGGUGAGCAGGAUGCCCAAGGUCACAUGGCCGACGGGUAUUUUAAAUGACUCCGUCAAGGAGUGGCAGCAAUAGUGGUUCUAUAUCACUGAGCCGCGCGGCAAAAAGUGGGCCACUACCCCUGAGUUUUGAUCUGGAGCCCCUUUGCGGCUCACAUCCUGGCCCAAGAAGGGCGUGAACUGGUCAUCGCCCGACGAACUGUCAGUGAUCUAGGUGUGCGUCAAAGGUAUGGAGGGCAAGGCCAUCAGGCUUGUUGACGUGGUCCAGGUGAUGCUGGUCCGCCUGAUCCUUCCUUGUCAGCACAGAGGCUGUGAUUUGUGGGAGUAUGACCUGGCCGAGCACCAGACCCUGCAGGAGCUUUUCAGAUCCUCGCACAAGGACCGUGGGUACCAAUUGUCCCACCCCGCCAGUCUGGUAAGUCGUUAUUAUAUCUUGGCUAUCCAUAUGUUUCAUUGAUAUGCCCCGAGGGAGAUGUUUUUUAACAUGCUUUUCCACGAUCACCUCAGGGAUGGACGAAGAAGGCGGAGCAGAUUUAUUGUACGGCCCCGCUGCCGGAAGAACCGGCGGGACCUCUUCUGACGAAGAUGUUGGUCCCAGGGCCUUACGAGGCGUAGAAGAAAGAGGCCAACAAAAAGGCCAAGGAGACCAGGGACGGUCUCCGUCGUCGCGGUGCUUCGGACACGAAGUUCGAAGAUUCUAGUGACCAUCCCUCCUCCGGCGAGGAGGAGGAAAGAGGACGACGAGGAGGGAGAGGAUGCGGAGGAAGAAGAGCUCGAGUCCCCUACAAGGAGGAGGAAGAAAAGGACGGCCUCCUCAUCCUUAGAGGUAGAUUCGCCUAAGAGGGGAAGAACAUCCAUCCCCGAGGCGUCCACCACGGCUACCGAUAGUAGCCCGGAGUGGGAUCCCAGGGCCCAGCCCCUGGUAAACUCGUACAUGCGCCCCAAUUCUUUACUAGAAUGUAGUAUUUUGAUUGGCACUGUACUUUUUAUAGUUCGGCGAGGUCUCCUGCCCAAUAGGCCUCAUUGGAGGACUCGUUGAGCUCCGAUGCCUUGGAGAGCGAGACACCUCCCAGGGCCCUUUCCCCAAAGCCUGGUUGUGACACCAAGGUGUCGUCCAAAAAGGACCUGAGCCAGGUGGGGCGUACCUCGGGGGCCGAACACGUGGGAGCGGCGGUUCCCAUGAACGUCGAUGGCGGGGGCGAUCAUGAAUUCGGCCCACAGCCGGACACAGUCCCGGAGACCCUUAAGGCUCCGGGGUCAGGCAUGCAGCCCCUCUUGACUGGAGGGGGCGAUCCUGCUCCACCUGCGACCUCCGUCUAACCAAAGGUGUCGGCCGGCCUAUCGACAACACUGGAGAGUGCGCCCAUCAUUGAUGAACACCGCGCCCUUAUGGGCGUGGUGAUAGAAAAGAUUCAGGCCACCGAGAGCAGACUGAAUGAAUCCUGCAUCAGCCUAAUAAAAAGCUUGGAGGUAUGUUUUUAGGAGUUGUUAGAAGAUUCUCAUAGUAUAGAUGGUAGCCCCUGAUGCACUGUUCGGAGAGGACAGGAACCGGAGAGGGGAUCAAAGCUCUGCCCGCAGGAGACUCAGCUAAUGACAUAGAUUUGUUGAAUUAUGAAUCAGACGUCUACAACGACUGCCUGCUCUCAUACUGUGGAGGUGUCCGGACUCAAGCAGAGUCUGGAGCGGGCCGAAGAGGAACUCGGCCGAGUGAAGAAGCAACUGGAGGAUAAACAAGGUAUGUUUUGAAACUUUUAGUAAGCUUUAGCACAAGUAAGUAUUUGUGUCUAUCUUAAAGCAUAUAUAUCGCGCACUCUAGGGGUAGAUGCCAAAAUUGAGGCACUCAAGAAGGCUGUUGCCUUGGCCGAGAAGAAAGCGGUCACGGUGCAGGCUCUCCGCGAAAAGCACGAGGCGAGGGUCGUGAAAGCUGAGCGAGAGCUUCAGGAAGCUGUAAAGAAAAGCGAGAGUUUGGAGGAGAGUCUAUCAUUGAAAAAAAAUCCAAACUCGCCCAAGCUCUCCAGACCACGAAUGAUGCUCGGGGGGAAGCCCAGGCUGCUCUGAAGGAUAUUCAGGAGGCGCGGAAGAUUGCGGCUGGUAAGGGUUUUUUCUUAUUCAAAGCGCCUUACGCCUUCGCAGGGGGAUUCAUGGUGACUCAUUGAAUCCUAAUUUUUCCAGGGGCAUUUGCGGAUCUGCCGCGCAGCAUAUCUGAUGCUGCCUAAUUCUACCGAGCUGAGAAGAAGAAAACUGCAGAGAAGCUCUUUUGGUCGCAGUAUUUGGCGCCGAAUUUUCCGGUGCCGUUUGUCGACCAGCUGAAACAGCUGAUCGAACUGCAUCAGGCGGCGGAAUUGGCCAUGAAGGAUUUGAUUAUCCGGCUAUGGCCCGCCGAGCCUAUACCGAGCAGUUUCUUUGCGCUCGUGAAGCGAAUUGUGGAUGCCCGCCCUCGGCUGGACGUCAUUAAGCGGUCGGUUUGCAUAGAAGGGGCACAAAUGGGAUUCGCCUGUGCGAAAGUACAUCGGGGGAAGCUUGAUGCUGAGAAGCUGAUGACUGAGGGGCCGCCGGAGGGGAAGGAGCACCGUAAGCCCUAAUUAUAUUAUGAUGGUGUGCUGAAAGGGGCCCGCCUCGUGGCUGAGCAAUGUGCGAAAGACAUUAUUUUUCCCUGAAAGCAGUUGUGCUAUCCUUUGUAGGGCGAAACAGAGUCACUUAUAUGUAUGUGCCUGUUAUGUGUAAAUUUUAUUCCUGUGCGGCCGUUUAAUAUGUUAGUCUUGAGAGUUGGCCAGUCGUCGGCUUCUGCCCCCACGUAGGAACUACGGGGGUGUUCGGGAUACACCUGAACACUCUUUAUCCCAUUCUUGGGUCCAUGAAGGAGGUGUUCAACACAGCGAACCAGGCAAUCAGACUAUAGGGCUUUAUUACUCUCACUUAGCCAUAGGAAUUUGAGUAUGGGAGGCGCAGCCCCUGGUGUUUGGAAGACCGCACGAGGGGCUCUAAUAGCGCCUGAUCGGUGGACCGAUCCUUCGCACGCUGCAUUUUAUUAUGGCAUUAUGCGGAAUAAAUCCUUAAAGAUUUUACAACCUCUCGAACAGCUGACCAGCUCUCGCCUUAUCAUGACAGUCGGUUUUCGGCUUUCUCUACUGAGGUGUUCGUCCGGAAGAACCGAGACACAAUCGCAGUAGUUCUCCCAGCGCUACCUUAGCCGAUAUUGCGGAACGUAAGUUACCAAAGCAUGGGAGCUGGGCAAACCCAACCAAUGAGCCAAGACAUGAUUCGGAGCUGAUGCAUAUAAUGCUAUAAGUUCGGGGUGCCAAACGACUGAGAAGGUGUUCGGACUUUAGUCGCCGCAGUACGGGCGUAAUGAAGCCCCUGGCGUUUAAAGGCAUAACACGAUGUUCGGAUGCCGUUAUGACAAAAUGUCGUGGAGAAAUAAUAGCAGAUAAGCGUCAAAUGACUCUACAUGUUGUAUUUAAGUAAUACGUCUUAGCGUAUGAGUACGGUGCAUGUUAUAAAAGAGAGGCAUGACGGCAGAACCUGUUGGGGCUGGGCGGUGGUUAGCUAUGCACGAGUCCGGAGGAAUAUCCGAAUUGUAUUCAGGUAGGGUGGAGAUUCCCCCUGUGUGCGUCCGAGCUGUUUCCAAGUCGCCGGUCCAGUUAUGCGUGAAGGCGAACCUGCAAAUAAUGCUUAAAAGGUGUGUGUGAGCAGUGGCUGAGCCAUGGGAUGUGACUCGUCCGGCUUAUGCUAAAGGAUCUGUAUGAGCUAUGGUCAGGCUGGGGUAUCAUGAAGUAGUUCGGACUCCUUUGUCGGUGUCCGGGAGUUCGGCUGUCGAAUCUAAGUUCGAUUGAAAAAACCGUGACUCGCUGCUUUUGUUAAUAAAGUAGCCGAUUACUCUUGGGCGCCGAGGCGAAGCUCGGUCCUGCCCGCAAUUGUGACUACAUCACGUGGGUCUUGGGCGAUAAUGCGUCGAGUCGCAGUGUAUCCUGGCGGUGCUGGAUAGCUACUUCCUAGAGGUGUAAGACCGAAAGUUGGUAUGUCAAUUUUUGGAGAUCCGAAGACCAUCUCCAGAGUGGCGGGGCCUAGGUAGCCUUCAUGCCUAGUUGUGAUACUCUAAAAUGAGUUUUUUGGUGGGUCUGAUCCUCGAGUGGUCAAUCCCUAGACUUGAUAAUCUGGGCUUCUUGCCCUGGGACCUAUUCAUGCUCCUUCCGGCGUCGGCCUGCCGAUUUGUUUAAAGACCCAACAUUUUCUAUUAGUAUGAUUGGCUGCCGCUCCUGGGGUAAUAUGAAUUUGACAUGGGGGGUCAAGUAUGCGGUUCAGGCUGGACGGGCCCGAAUUAAGAUGUUGAAGUCUCUUCUCCCUUUCAAUGGGUUGAGGACUACGGGCUCCUGUGUUGAUCGCCAUUUCCUGGGCGCCAUUCUUUGUCUUGGGACGCUUAUAUUUGUUGCACCAAGGUUUGUGGACUCUGUUUUUGUCUGCUGAUGCGCCCGGGGUGCUUGCUAUGUUGCUAUUUGGUAUGUAAUGCUGGUCUUGUGUGCAGCCCCUUGCCGCAGUGUAUUGUCGGCGAGGUGUAGGCCUGCGUUUGAUUUUUAGUGCCGCCACCUCGAAUUGAGGUAGUAGCCUGCGCUUUGGGUAGUAUUUUGUUCGGCGCUGAGUCCGUAUUCCUCGGCUACCCGGGCCUUAGUCCGUCUAUCUGUGAGCAGAUUUUUAUCUGCUUGAAGCUGCUGCUGUUUCUUUUUCAGGCUUCUUGCAGUGGCUAUAAGCCGGCGCUUGAAGCGCUCCUGCUUUAUGGGAUCCUCUGGUACACCGAAUUCGUUGUUGCUGAGGCUCACCUCGUCUUCUGAGGGAGGCAUAUAGUUAUCGUCCUCCAAGUAUCCGUCCGUCACCUGUUCGUCUGGGCUAGCCCGCCCGUGUUCCUGUUUGGCUUGCUCGAAGGUAGGUUGAUCGGGAUCGUAUUCCUCUUCGGCACCAUCUGGAUUUUCUUCUCCAGUGCCGGUGUUGUUUUGACGGGACUUGGAGCGGCGCUGAUGAUGCCCAUGCUUUGAUUUCUUCCCUGAGGGUUUAUCUCCCGUUGCCUCAUCGCCAUUGGUUUCUUUGGGAGUGUCCACCAUGUAUAUAUCAUAUAAAGAGGUGGAUGUCCAGCGCCCUGUGGGCGGUGGUUCUUGUUCUUCUCCCGCCUCGUUGUCUAUACCGUCGAUGUCUUCGGAAUCGAAGUUAAGCAUGUCGGUCAGAUUGUCGACCGUGGCUAUUAAGUGGGUGGUGGGUGGGUAACGAAUUUCUUCGUCGCCAACUUCCCACUCGAGCCGGACAUAGUUCGGCCAGGAAUCUCCUGACAAAGAGAGAUACGUCAAUGAAUCCAUCACGUCUCCAAAGGGUGAGUGCUGAAAUAUAUCUGCGGCGGUGAACUCCAUAACCGGAGCCCAAUUAACCUCGAUGGGCAUGGACGCGCGCGGUCCGGAACAUACGGCCGGAGACGAGUCUGGGGGUCCGGAGAUACAGACUUCCUUAGGAGAGGAAUCUGUGUUCAGCUCCAACGCCGAUGAGUGUGCGGCCUCGGGGGCGGGGUCCAUCCACCCGUCCUCAGAAGGCGCGAUAUGUUCUAGAACGAAGUCCGGAGCUGUAGCAGGUGUGAUGUUCCGAAUACUGCCCAAUGGAAGAUCUAGGUCAUGCCCGUCGUGAUUGUUCGGAGCUCCUGACAUGGGCCCGAAUCCGUCGAAGACCAAGUCUCUGCGGAUGUCGGCAGUGUAGUUUAGGUUUCCGAACCUGACCUGACGGCCAGGUGCGUAGCUAUCGACCUGCUCCAGAUGGCCAAGCGAAUUGGCCCGCAGUGCGAAGCCACCUAACAUGAAAAUCUUUCCGGGGAGAAAAGUCUCACCCAGGACGACGUUGUUGAAGGUUGGAGGAGCCAUCAAGCCUUGCAGCGACGACACAGAGGAACUCUCAAUGAAAGCACCAAUAUCGGUGUCAAAACCGGCGGAUCUCGGGUAGGGGGUCCCGAACUGUGCGUCUAAGGCUAAUGGUAACAUGAGGUUGGGGACACGAUGUUUACCCAAGUAAGAGCCCUCUCGAUGGAGGUAAUACCCUACUUCCUGCUUGAUUGAUCUUGAUGAUAUAAGUAUUACAAGAGUUGAUCUACCACGAGAUCAGAGAGGCUAAACCGUAGAAGCUAGCCUAUGGUAUGAUUGUUGUUGUGUCCUAUGGACUAAACCCUCCAGUUUAUAUAGACACCGGAGGGGGCUAGGGUUACACAGAGUCGGUUUACAGAGAAGGAGAUCUACAUCCGAAUUGCCAAGCUUGCCUUCCACGCCAAGGAGAGUCCCAUCUAGAUACAUCACGAAGUCUUCAAUCUUGUAUCUUCAUAGUCCAACAGUCCGGCCAAAAUAUAUAGUCCGGCUAUCUGGAUACCCCCUUAUCCAGGACUCCCUCACCCGUUCAGGCUAUGAUUCUAUCUGGGUUGUAGUUGACCGCUUGACCAAGGUAGCCCAUUUCAUCCCUGUGAAGACAACUUAUACGAGUGCUAAGUUGGCGAAGAUAUACAUGACUAGGAUCGUAUGUCUGCACGGAGUUCCGAGGACCAUCAUAUCAGAUAGAGGAACAUAAUUUACUUCAAAGUUUUGGAAUCAGUUGCAUGAAACUUUGGGUACCAGGCUAGAGUUCAGUACAGUCUUUCAUCCGCAGACAGAUGGAUAGACCGAGAGAGUCAAUCAGAUUUCUGGAGGACAUGUUGAGAGCUUGUGCGCUAGAUCAUGGAUUUAGUUGGGAUGAUAAUUUACCCUAUGCAGAGUUCUCCUAUAACAACAGUUAUCAAGCCAGUAUGAAGAUGGCCCCUUUCGAAGCUUUGUACGGAAGGAGGUGCAGGACACCAUUAUCAUGGGAUGAAGUUGGGGAUCGACAGUUGUUUCAACCAGACUUAAUCCGAGAUUCUGAGGAGAAGGUUAAGUUGAUUCGAGAUAGACUCAAAAUAGCCCAGCCGAGGUAGAAGACUUAUGCAGAUACUAAAUGCAAGGAGGUAGCCUACAAAGUCGGAGACAUAGCAUAUGUUCGUGUGUCCCCACUUCAAGGAGUUAAGCAAUUUGGAGUCAAAGGGAAGCUAGCACCACGAUUUGUGGGACCAUACAGAGUUUUGAAACGUAUGGGAGAAGUUGCUUACAAUUUGGAAUUACUCGAAGGUUUGUCAGGAAUUCAUGAUGUGUUUCACGUUUCCCAGUUAAAGAAGUGCCAUGCAGAGAUGGCCGACAUUCCUUUGAGAGAUACAGUGCCACUGGAACCGAUUCAGUUGGAUAGUGAUCUGUCCUAUGAGGAGAAACCCGUUAAGAUUCUCGAGUUCUCUAGCCGAGUUACUCGCAGCAAACUCAUCAAGUUUUGCAAAGUUCAGUGAAGCCACCAUACUGAGGAGGAAGCUACCUGGGAGUGAGAGGAAGACCUCCGCAAGGACCACCCACACCUUUUUGCUGACCAAUCCGAAUCUCGAGGGCGAGAUUCAUCUUAAGGUGGGUAGGUUUGUAACAUUUCAAUUUUCAAUUUGGAUGUUAUACAUAGGUCAUUCAUAUGCAUUCUUGUUUUAUGCAUUUUUGUUGUUUUGUCUUAGUUGCAUUUCUUUACCUAAUAAUAAAGCAAAUUGGGUUUCUGGUCGUCCGUCGUCGCUCGUGAUUUUGCAUAAAAGUCCCUCGGUUUAUAAGAAAUUAACCCGCAGUCCCUGUUUUAGUGGGUCUAUAUAUGGCAUUUUAAUUUUGCAAAAAAAACCCUGUACUCAUUUGAAUUCCACCCGCUGUCCUCCCGUCAUCUUAUCCAUUUCUCCUGCGACAGCAACAGCGGUUUCGCCCAUUCCUUCGUGCGCCGUCGACGGCCGCCGCCGUGCCUCGCGCGGGAGGAUGGAGGGCGCUCGCCAGGAGGUUGGAGGAUGUUCGCCGGGGCGAGUGCUGCGGAGACGGCGUGGCGAGGCGGGGCAGUGGCGGUUGUUGACCGGCCGUCGUGCGUCGCGGGGGAGGAUGGAGGACGCUCGUCGUGGCGGGCGUGGCGGGAGAGACGGGGUACGGCAGCCGCCGCCGUGACAUGCGGAUGGUCUUCCUGUCCGGCCAUCCGCGCAGUCCACACAGGCGAGCUGCCGAUCUGGCUGGGCUGCCUGGCCACGCAGCAGACGGCGGCGGUUCAAGCAACUCCUCGACGCAGGGUAAAGGGUUGGUGGCGCUGGAGUUGGUCGGAAUGGGCAGGCGGACGGUGGGUGACGCGACGCCGCGGCGCCGGCGCGAGGAAUACGGGCGGAUCCGGGGGCGACAGCGACCGAUCUGGCUGCUGGUGCGGCGGCUUGCUCCUGCUCAUCCAUAGAGAGACAGGGCGUGAGGGAGAUAGGAAGAAAGGAGAAGGAGCAGGGGGCGCAGGGUCAGGGACGCGGUCGCUAGCGGUGGCGGCUUCGGCGACCGGCUGGCAGGCUUGCCAGGCAAGGCUGAGUACACUAGCCUGAGAUUCAAUAGAGGUAUGUUUGAUUUUUAGAAUUGGGCUUAACAGCCUAUUUGCUGUGCUUCAUCUUCUGAAUUGGAAACCAUGGCAUGCCUGAAUAUUUUUUCUAGAACAUGAUGCUUGAGUUGGUAAUCAUUCUUGGGUGAUUGGAGUGCAUGACUUGAAUGGAUUUCUGAAUUCCAAACAGUAUGCUGUCGUGAUGUUUGAUUAGGGUCUUCUGUGAAUCCGUACCAAAACCAUGCUUGUAUUUUGUUGUUCCCUCUCUCUAAUCCGGGACAGACACGGUGAUUCUGGUCGGGGCCGUGGCUACGUGAUUCUGGCCGGCGUGCAUCCAUAGUCAGAGGACGCCGAGCCUUCCUCGCUGCCAGCAACAUCAGCUCGUCUCGGCAUGAGGUCUGCACGCGUACCUUACCUUUCUAAUGGAGACUGAACUGAAAUUUUUGUCUGCGCUGCUUCUUGCAGAUAGUCCAUGGUUUGUACAAAUACCCACAUGUAAAUCUUAAUUUAGUUGAUAUUGGAAAAGAUUGUUUCUUUCGAGCAACUAGAAAUAGUACGUAUGUGUUUUUGCCCUGGCUCCCACAUCAGACCAGUGCUCUAAUGUUUGUUCCGAGUUGAGCAUGGCAAUAAUGUACAGUUUGAACUUGUGCUGGCAGAACUUUUUCGCCUUGAAGCAUUCUGUGAAUUACAUAAUGAAUAGCAACAACAUCAGGCCAUUUGAGAGAAGGGGUGUCCCUGGAGUUCUCCCUAAAUCUUACUGCAUUCUUAGUGACAAUGAGGAAUUAUUAUUCACUUGAGAAAAUAAAGAUUAAAUCGGUGAGGCUGUCAAAAGUGAAAUGACUUUCUGAGCUCGACAUUGACUUUUUGAGCUAGAUAUUGACUUUCUGAGUAGCACAAUAUAGGUCCUAUCUGAAGCCUUUUACGCGCCUGUUACAAUGAUCUUUUCAUUUUCCUUUGUAUAUUAACUAGAGAAUAUUAUUGUCUGCUAUAACUGCUGAAAGAUGUCAUAUUCCUUUGUUAUAAUGGUAUUUGCAGUAGGAGUGUAUGCCUCUCAUUCAAAGAAGAGGCUCGACAAUCUUUUGGAUGGACUUAUGAUUACCACAUAUAUGAUCUUAUGAAGCAGGAGUUGAGAACUACAAAAUCCAUCUACUCCUAGAAUCGAGCUGGUUGAAGUUGGGCCUUCAAUGGACCUGGUAGUUAGGUGGCACCGACGUUUUGUAAAGCCAAUUUUUGAUGAGGAAAAGCACCCAAAAAAAGUUUAGUGGAAGUGGAUUAGAUUGUUUGUAGUCAUAUGCUCUUGAGAAAUUUUGCGCUUUCUUUAUUUCUUCUGAUUAUAAUUCUGUUUAUUUCUAACUGACAUUGAUAUGCAAAAGAAAUCCUGUGAUUUUUUUGCCCUCUCAUUGACCAUUUAAUUUUUCAGUCAUAGCUAUAUACAAAGAAGUAUUGUACCAUAUAGUUUUGUGUUUUCGGAAACAUCUAAAGGCCUGUUACAUGCAUCAUUUUCUCUUUCAUAUCCUUCAUCUCAAACUGAAAAUAUGAACCAUUUUGUUGAUAUGUACAUUAGUUGCAAGGUGAGUAAAUAGUGGUCGACGAUGUGGCUGGAUGUACAUGAGCAUAUGUUGUAUCUUUGACGCCAUUCAUUUUGAAUCAUUAGAAUAAUAAAAGAGGUUUGUUUGGAUAAUUAUUUUCCAGGUUUCUAAACACAUUUAUUUAUCUAUUUUGUAUCCAUUGCAACACAUAUGUUUCCCUAAAUAAAAUGACUGUACAAUUGUGUGAACUGAGUGGCUGGUCGUUACGGUAGAUUAAAUUCCUCACAGUAAGAAUCUUUGCCUGACGCUACAAAAAAAAUCUAUGUUUUGUAGCAGGAUUAGUGAUCAAAUAUAUCCUUUUUAUUGUAAAUAUUUUAGUCUGCUACUUUGUUCAUUAAUUUUUCUAGGCAUUAUUCUUAAGUUUUAUUUCAAAGCAAAAUCAUAUUGAGCUAUCUACAAGUUAGAAUUGUCCAAAACAGUUUCUGUAACAUUAUUGUAUAUCAUGUGUUUUCUCUUUUAUUCAUAACAUAAUAUGCAGUCACACAAUUUAUAUCUUGGUUGUGAAUUCCAGAGGGGAAGAUAGCCUUUCUGGCAGUUAGAGCUUCGUCACUUGCUGAUCUAACAAUAUAGACAAGCAAUGCAAGCCAACAAAGAAAAUUAGUUAGGGAAGCACCGAGUUCGCCAGAGGUAGCAGAACGUUUGUCGAGCCAUCCAAUAUCGCCAACGGUGGCUACACUAGAGGUAUGUGAUGCCUCGACCACCCUAAAAAACAGCCUUGCUAUUCCCCCUUCCCUUUCUUCUUGAGAAUGGUUGUAGCUAACUGAGUGCCCUCAGUCAGUCCCUCAAGCUUUUCUGUAUUCAGAGAUGGUAACUGAGCACUAGGUUGUUAUCUGUGUUGUUUGAUUUUUUCCAUGCACUGUGGCUGGACAUGAUGUUGGCAAAUACACUAGACAUCAUGGGCUGAGACAAUACAAUAGAAAUCAUGUCGAGGCUGGAAAAUUUGCUGAACUUGUGGUUGUUAGCAAUAAACCAUGCGUUGUGGCGUGCGUGGGUGCGCAUGUGUGUUGUGGUGGUGCGUGAGCCUGGGUUAGGCUGUUGGCGAUAGUUGUGGGAGGCCGUUGGCGUUCUGUUGAGGGAGGCCCGCGAUGUGCGCGUGUGGGACGCGUCGAGGGAGUGGACCGGACCAAGCGGAUCGUGGCGUGCAAGCAGCGUCGUGCGUGUAUGGGCAGCGGUGUUGGCCUGGGUAUAAGAACUCCUCCCUUGUGUAUGCUUGUAAGUUGAGCCGAGAGGAAGAAAUACAAGAGAGAAAAAAGGCCCCGGCGUUCCUUGCCAGGGUGGGCGUCCGUCGCCGCGGGUGUUUGUCGCCCGGCAAAAUCGUCUCCUCAUAUUCUUGUGAUUGUUUGUCAAUCCUCGGUUCCAACAGUGGUGCCUGUGUUCCUUCUCACAGUAGUUGUUUUAUGUGGUGAAAGUUUUAGAGGCCAAAUAACAGUUAUGUUGUUCCAGGCUUUUCAGUCCAAGCAGAUUUAUGUUUGCAAGAAUUAGUGUACUUACAUGCAGAACCAGUUUUUCGUAGAUAAUUGCUUACAAGAUUUAUGUGGUUAAUAUUUCUGCAGAGUUUUCAAACAAGAGUGAAACCUAUAAUGAUGAGUGAUUGUUAUGGUAUGAUUACUAGAUCAAUAAUUCAUAGCAGGGAAGCAAUUUUACUGGAACAAGUAAAUCCAGUAUUAAACUUAGUAACUUGUUGGGUAGAUCAGAUUAGAUGCGGCUUAAACCUUCACCGCUCCCUGCCAUUUAGUACUGGCUGGAGUCUGUUUGAGCUGACCAAUGUGGAGCAGAGUUGCAAUGGAGAUACCCAGUCUCACAUGCUUUAUUCUACUUCUUGUAGUAUAACAGAGCUUGGUUGUAGCUAACAGUCAGUCCCUCAAGAUUUUGUGUAUUUAGAAAUUUAUUUAGAGAUGGUAAAAUAAAGAUCUUGAUGUAUCGAUGGUUUGCGGUAGUGGGGCUGUUCUGUUACAGUUUAGGAUACUCAAAUUCCUCCUGCUCGUAUCAUCGUCUCCGUGUAAUGUGAUGUAGCACAGUACUAUGCACUUCUGCACUAAGCCCAGAACCUAGCUAGCUUACUUGAGGGUCGGCUCCGGAUUUUGACGAUUGUGUUUGUGUAUAAUUUUUGAGGGGCUGUAGAGAGUCAAUUAACAAGUCAAUUAAUACAAACCUGUUUUUCUCUACGGUCCUCUGAACAUACUCGCUAUAAGAACAUAUAUUUCAAUAUUUGAGCACUGAAAAAAUUGUCAAAUUGACUAACUGCCAUGUGAAAAAGUAGCAAGAACGAACUCAGGAAAUUCUGCAAAUGAUAUCAGCAUUGGUUUGUGUAGAACUGUGGAUGUUUCUCUUGCAAGUCUAGGUUUUAGAGAAAAAAAUCCUGCAGUUGUUUGGGUAAUGUUUUUUUGGUUAGGAAUUAGGAGAAUUGUUAUGUAGUAAAAUUACCAAAAUUCUUACAAAAUAUUCUGCAAGUUUUGUUUGCUGAGCAAAGCCAACUGCUUGCCACUAUGUGCGGUUCUCUUGCCAUUUCAUGGGGUGCAACCGCAAGUGGCACAAGACUGUAGUUGUGGUGUUCUAAAAUUUACUGGUGUUGAUGUUUCUUUUCAAGAUUGUGGUAUUGUUUACCAAUUUGGUCCCCGGGUUAUGUACUCAUUUCCUUUUCUAUUCUUUGUAGAUAAUUUGCUUCAGUUCAUCGAACUACCUGCUGAAACAUGUGUAUUGUUUCUCAAUAUAUUGGGCAUCUAUCCACCUCUCAUGAGAUCUCUGAAUUUUCGACGCAUAUUGUAUUUGCUGAAUUAUUUCCUCCAGAUAACUAUGCUUGAAUUCACAAAUGCGUGCAAUGCUUUCAAGUAGAGGUUAGUUCAAUACUUAAGUUGUGCUAUUCCUCUUUCAAGUUUUUGGUCCUAGAAGUGUAAUACUUGGUAGGUGAGCUGCAAAAACGGAAUGUACAUGGCCUGAAUUUAUAUUUCAGAGUGUAUAAUCUGAUUCAGAGUAUUUUGACCCCUUGCGUUCUAAAACGUUUUGUUGUAUCUUUCUGUCCUGAAAGAAUAGAAGCAAUUCUUCUGUGUGAGAGAAUAUAAACAUUAUUCGCAAACAACAUGUAGCGUCAUUAAGUUUCUUAUUACCAAUUUAAACAGUAAUAGCACAACUAAAGUUUGUGAACAUAUCAUUAUAAAAUGGUCGGUUGGAUUGAGUUUGGUAUGGAUUCUACAAGGUCCAUUUCUAUGGAAUUACAAAUUAGCUUUACAUUUUUAUGGAUGAGUUCAUCGUCUUUGGAUUGCCCAUGUUCGGAUGUCUUUCUGAUCAAGUGGACACCACGACCACCAUCAGUAGGGUGGGAAGGAGGGUGUGUGAUAUUUUUUCUUUUCCCGUUGCAACGCAUGGGGAUUUUUGCUAGUUGAUCCAAGAGGCCUUAAGCAACUCAAGCACCAAUUUGAGAGAGUUGGAGGUUUCACAAAAAAUCCAAUUUUGAAUUAUCAAAAUUUGGUAAUUGGGUCAAUUUGUUUUUCAAAUUUUUUUCCAAAUAUUUUAAAAUAAUGAGAGAACAUAAUAUGACUUCUUCAAAAUCAAUAGAAAAUGUUGGAAAUAGAAUUUUGAAUUUUUGGAGACUUUAUUUUAUUUUAUUCGCUAGUUUAUUUAAUAGUUAGCGGAGUAAUUAGUACUAUAAUGUUUGUUUUUAGUUUAGGCAUUUAGGUCCAAACAAUUGUUCACUAGGUCAUUUAGCUACAUGAAUAUUUCUGGAAUUUUUAGGAUUAUAUUUAUAUUUAUUUUGCAUGUUUUAGUCUUUGGAAAAAAUUGUUAAAAAAAACAUCUCCCGAACUGGGCUGGCCCAGCCGACACAGCCCAAGCCCAAGCCACGCGCCGCCUUCCUCGCCGAGUCUGGCAUGGACUCUGGCCGCGCCAUCGUACGAGCUCGGGACGCCUCCCGAGGUUCGCCCCCACUAUUUAUACUCCACCCCCGGGACCCCUGGAACACGUUCCCGCCGUCGCCGCUUAGCCCCGCUGCCUAGCACCGCCGCCGCCCGUUCGCCGCCGCCGCCUCGAGCCACCACCACUCUUGUCGAUCGCCGGCGCCGCUGUCGCCAGCACCGCCGCUGCCGCACGCCGCCGCCUCCUGCUGCCGCAGCCCCGCCGGAGCCACCACCGAUCACCGUAGUUUCGCCCCCGGUCCUCAUCGAAAAAUCGGUAAACCCUAGAUUGGUUUAUUUUACGGUUUUUCUGGUUCGUUCAGUUUAGUUUUUGGUUUUUGUUUUUUCGGUUAGAUCUAUCUAGCGAAGGUUCGUUCGUUUAGAUAUGUCAACCAACAUUUUCGUUCGUUAGUCUCUGUUAGCUGACAUUCGUCCGAUAGAUUUUUCUUUUUCUGUUUAUUUUCGGCCAGGGACCUAUCCGUGAAUAAUUUUCUACAUAGAUUAGCCCCUGAUCUUUAAACCCUCAUAACUUUUAGCUCGUUUGCCCAAAUUAGACGAAACCAACGCCCAGAUCUUCAGAGCGAUACCCUCUAUCUUGUAAACCAACUUGAACAUGAUUUUGACAAUAUAAAAUUUGAGUUUAGUUUAGAUUAGUAUUUGAUCUUAUUUUGUUUGUAUCUUGAGUUUUGUAGCUUCGUUUGAGUCGAUUCUGUUUGCAAAUCGUAGCUAAUCACAUGGACCUACUGUUAAGAUCUAAUCCACCUAAAUUUAAUGCUGUUAGAAUUUGUUUUCUGUUUAGAUUAGUUAUUUGCUUGUUUUGAGUUUUAUUUGGAUCUUUUCUCGUUUUCUUUUUGCAUCGUUUGCUUGAUUUUUUAUGUAUGCUAUUGCUUGUCUAUGCUAGAUUAUCAGAGUGCGAAGCUUGUUACUACGAUUCUCUAGAGUUUUCCGAUCGUCAACAAGGCAAGUUACACUUUGAUCAUACUUUUCAAUACCCAAUUUUUACUAUGCAUUAGUUUUUCCCCUCAAAUAUUUGCAUGAGUAGGAUUGGGAACAUGUGGUUUGGUUGUAGUACUUGAGGUAGGAACCUAUUACCUUUGAUCACCCCGGGAAUAUAUGUUAUGCUCAUAUAUUACUUAGCCAUGCUCAUAGACGGGGAUUGGAUCGUGAUGUAGAUGGAAGUUGUGAGAGAUAAUAAUUUUUGGAUAACAUUAAGGUGGCAACUUUAAUACACAUCUGGGUGGAUUGGGUGGGGCAUUUGGAGAAACCAGUGCUAGCCCAUGGGAAUCCCGGAGUACCCAUGUGAUUUUCCCUCGGUUCGCCACCCAGGCUCAAAGGGAUGAUAUGAUAUUUCAUGCCUAGAAACUUCUGUGUGCAGCCACAAGGCAUUAUGGGCUCUAGCAUAGUUGAGUAAGUUGUGUGAGCUCUUGAAGAGGUGGACUAGCAGUUGUAGGGGAAAGUAGGUGUAUCGAUCGACCUAGAGUAGAGAGUUAAUGCUUCAGAAGGCUAUGUCUUGAUCUUCCGAUCAUGGAUGCGGUCGAGUCUUGUGGUGAAAAGUGCACAACCUCUACAGAGUGUAUAAACUAAUCAUGGUAGCCGUGUCCCCGAUUAUGGACAUUUUGAGUAUCUAGAAGUGGAUAUUAUUGUUGAUCUCAUCACUCUUUAAUUAAUGAAUUGGGUUUAAUGAUGAUACUUGGCUAAUGUUGGGAUUUGAGUUGGAGGAACCUUCUCAAUCAUUGGUAUAACUUUGUAGUAAAUAAAAUUUAUUCCUUUGCUAUAGGAAAAAAUUAGCUUUAUGUAAAACAUUAAACUUAGAGCCUCCACUAGUCAAAUAUGCAUUUAGAUAUAGUUUCUUGCAUUCAUUUGCUCUACAGUGUAACUUUGUCAGCAUAUUCCAUGUGCUGACCUACACGGCUGCAACGUCUCAUGUUGCAGACUUUACCGGCAAAGAAUAAGGUGCGAUAGGUCGUUGUCAUGCACUCAGCUAUGCUGUUGGAGUCGAUGGACUCAUUUCUCUUCGAAACUUCCGCAGUUAUUUUGAUUAGAUGGCCUUCAGAUAUAUUAUUUAUGUAAUCGAUACUCUUUAUGAGGACCUCGAUGUAAUAAGUGUGUGAUUGAAACUCUGUUAUAAUUCCUCGAGUACUGUGUGUGUCAACAUACCGAUCCAGGGAUGACACUUAAGCACAGAAACUUCGGUCCAUUUGGAUCGUGGUCGCUACAUACGGUUGUUGCUAAAGUCUUCAAGCUCAAUCAACAUGGCGCACUGCAUAGCUUCAUUGCUGAGUGCAAAGCAAUUCAACACAUCUGUCACUGGAAUCUCGUGAAGGUUAUAACUGCAUGCUCAACUUAUGACCAAGUGGGAAAUGAGUUCAGGGCUCUAGUCUUUGAGUAUAUGGUCAACGGUAGCCUUGAAGACCGACUUCAUAACCACCGGUGUGGUGAUUUGAGUUUAGGUGCAGUUAUAUGUGUCGUGGAAUAGUCACGUCAGAUGUCCUCAUGAAAGGACUUAGUUGUGGAGCCAUCACAACUAGGAAGCUUGAAGGGGUUAAAUCGGGACAAGGGACACGAGAGAGUUUAUACUAGUUCGGCCCAUUACGGUGAAGGUAAGGCCUACGUCUAGUUGGGUUGGUAUUGAUGUUUCGAUAACCUGGGAGCGAGACACGCUAUGCCCGGUUCUCGAUGAGUUGUUUCUUGCCCUAAGUCGCCCGCAGGUCGUCCCCUUAUAUACACGGGUUGACACCUGCGGCUUACAGAGUCCCGUCCGACUUAUAAAUAGAGUCCGGCUCGGUGACCAGUUAAAUCCACCUUACAUUACACGUCAUGCCAUCAUGGCGGUUUACUACAAUGGGCUUAAGCCGCCCAUGGGCCUUAAGCUCUUUAUUGAACCGCCAUCUUCAUGCUUGGCCUUGGGCUUCUUCUGAUGAGUACUCUUUGCGUAACCCGGCCCCUCAUGGCGGCUUACACAAAUAGUCAUAUCUCCAACAUUAGGCCCCGGAUUGAUUUAACCUGUUCAUGUCAAUCUAAAAAAUAUUUGUAAAUAAUUAAAUCUUCAAUCUUCUGACUAUACAGAGGGUUUUUGUUAACUCGCCAUGGCGUCAUCUUCUGGAUCCGUCUUAACCCGGCGUGACGUCAUCCUUCCUUUAACUCAUUUUUUAUUCCACCGAAUCCUUCAACGGAACUCUUCUUUACUGACUGUUCCGAAAAUCGAGGCGCCAGGGCCGUUGGAUAAUAAUUGUUAUCUCCUCGUUUCCCGCGCCGUCUCAGUCAUUUUUUCCUUAUAAAUAGCCACGACUUGGGGCCUUCCCCUUGUACUUCUUCAGUCGUCUUCUUCCUCUCCUCUCUGCCUCUCAAGCUCUGCCGGCGUCGCCAUCGACCCCCUCGUCUUCGUCGACUCAGGCCGCUGCAUCAACCUGUCUGUAACCAGAGAUCGACGGCGAGCCUCCGCAGCUCAACCUCAUCCGUGAGUUCUUUUCUUCCCUUUCCUUAGAUCUAUCUCGAAGCUCCACCAAGUUCAUCAGGUUCAUCGCCGCCCGAUGCGAAUCCUUGUUAGAUGCACUUCCACAGCCUGUUUAGAUUGUAAAAACUGUGCAGAAACACUGCGGUAGUAGUUUGUGUCGAUCUUGUAUAGAAAUAGAUCGCACUUCUCUUGUUUGGAAACCUCCCUUGAAUGCAUGAACUUCUCUGCCCUGUUUUAGGUCUAGAAAUUUUUCCUUUAGAGCAAUAGUUUGAUCCAUAAUAAUAAUUGUUAUCCGUGCAACUUGUUUCCAUCACCCGGAAAGCUUCUUCUGGAAAACUUACUUUUAUCAUCCCUGUAUAGGCGUCCGGCUUAAAUAAGUGACACUGAACUGUAAGCCUUGCCUUCCUCUCAUGACCUUGAAAAUCUUUGAAUCACUGUUGAUCCUGUUAGCGGCUUAAACUUUACUGCACAAUUACCCUUAUAUCAUUAGGCCCCUUGCUUAAGCCGCUAUUUUAAAUAAAUGUAAAAUUUCUCCCGGGUUAAAUGUGAACCAGAACUUUUUACUUUGUCGUAGGCCACUGCUGUUAUGGCUCGUAAGGCGGCCAAGGCCCUUGUGACUUGCAACUGGGUUCCAUCCACAGUCACCAAAAGUACACUUGCCGAGUUUGUAGCAUUUGGCCAUCUGCCAAAAAAGGAGGUCAUGUCCUACCGUGCCCCUCACCCGUCUGAGGAGAUACCUCAACCCAAAGACGGAGAGGUAGUAGUUUUCACAGACCAUAUGAACCGGGGGUUUGCCCCUCCCGGCUCAAAAUUCUUCAGGGAAGUUCUGGCUUUCUUUGACCUGAGGCCUCAGGACAUUGGACCCAUUUCCGUGUCCAAUCGGUGUAAUUUCCAAGUCUUCUGCGAGGUAUAUUUAGGAGAGGAACCAAGUCUGCUGCUGUUCAGGGAGCUUUUUUACUUGAACCGGCAGAAUGAGCGCGCCAGCGGACCUAGUCUUCAACUUGGCGGCAUCUCAAUCCAGCGGCGGAGAGACUGCCGUUUUCCUUACGCUGAGCUGCUAAGUCAUCCCAAAGACUGGAACCAGACGUGGUUCUAUUGCCAAGACACCUCUCCGGCUAACGAGAAGCCUCUGCCCGGCUUUCGCGCCCUGCGCGUUGAGUCCAAUCAUCCUCUGGCGGACAAGUUAACUACUAUUGAGCGCCUGCCUCUUAACCCCACCAUCAGAAAGAUCAAGGCCCUUUUGGGCAAUGGGUUAACUGGCAUUGAUUUGGUCCGGGUCUGGGUCACCUGGCGGAUACUACCAUUAAGCCGCCGCUCCGGCUUAAUGUGUACUUACACAGGCGAAAAGGACGACUCAAUGCGUCAUAGUCCUGAGGACUUACGAGAUGAUGUAGCAGACGCUACAGUCCAAUCACUAUUGAAGGAGGGCACUGUAACCAGUAAUACAUUCAGUUUGCUUCCCUUCUGCAAGAAGAAUCCGGCUCCUGCAGUAAGUUACUAGUCUUCACAAAUACUCUUUAAUAUGUUACCUUCUGGUACUUAUGAUUCCUUGUCUUUUUCCAUAGGCCGAUGACAACUUAUGGAAGGUCAAAUAUGACCAUGAGGCUGCAAAACUGGCUCGGGCGGGCAAGAAGACCGAAAGGAAAGCCGCCAGGACAGGUACCUGUAAAAAGAAAAACCCCAGCGCCUCUGAUAUGGUGAGAUUGGACGACUCUUCUUCAGACGAGGAAGAGGUAUUCUUUUUAAUUUUCUUUAAUUCCUUCAUCGUUACCUUACUAACAUUUAAAUCCUUUCAGGAGGAUACUGGGAGCAGCCAAGCAGCUGGCGAAGAGGUAACUAUAAUUUCCUCGGACUCAGAGCCUUUGCCAACACAAAGAAUCCGAAGGGUGACCCGGAAAGUAAGGGUUUCACACCCUCUCGCUUACCAAGAUCCUCAAUUUCUUUUGAAGCAACAGCAGCUCGAGAACCGGCGACAGACUCGGGCCAACCAGGACGCAGAGCUUUCCUCCGACUUACCCGAUUUAACCAGGAAGCGUCGGACCGAGGUUAUCUCCGACUUACGUUUUGUUUUACCCUUGAUGGGUUUGAUUCACCAACCUCUCAAUUCAUCUGACUGCAACUAUCAGGAUACCUCUCCUUCUUCUGGUGAGUCGAUGCAAUCGAACAUGCCGGCUUUCAAAACGGCUCCCGGGUAAUAUAACCUUUCUUACUUUGAAUUUAUCCAUACUUAUGUUUUGAUACUUAUCCUUCCACUUUGAUUGACACUGGGCAAGUAAAGCCCAGCAAGAGGGCAAAGAAGAAUAAGCCGUCCCAAGACCCGGUGGUUACUGAACCGGUGCUUGACUCAUCUGUUCCAGACAGCUCCGCUCAUCAGCCACCGCCUGAACCGGCUUCUAACAUUCCGGAGCCAUCUUCUGACCCGCCUGCAGAGGACGUGAUUCACAACUCGGAUGACCCGGAAAGUCCUAGCCCGGCCAAGACAGUUGACCUGGAGGUUCAAAUUGUGAACAACUAAUAUGUUGAACCGGGCCGGCCUACUGCCCUUGCCCAAUGCACCGCCAAGGAGGAAUUUGCCCAGCGUCGGAAGUCAAAACAAGACAUCACCGAUUACUCUCACUUAAGUAUUGGUGAUAUAGUCUCGGGCUAUCUGAACCAAGUACACAGUAGUCGUGACCAGGAAAUUGACAACAUAAAUACAACAUAAAUCAGAGGUAAAAUUUAAGCUUUCACUCUAAAUCUUACUUACUGUACCAGCCCCCAAGUCUAUUGAUUAUUAAUGAAUAUGCUGUAGACUUAAUAAUCUGCUAGCUAUUAGUUUCGUCCGGUUUAAAUUGAAUAUGUUUAACCCGGAGAUAACAUGAAACUUUAAAUUUGGGUUACAUUAGCCCCCAAGUGUCAUGUACUUUUACUUGUAAAGUGCUUGAGACUUAAUAUGUAUGACUUGGUAAAAUAAACUAAAAAUUCUUUAAACAUACAUUAGCCCCCAAGUACCAAGUAUCUUUACUUGUAAAAUACUUGGGACUUAAAUGUUAUCUUACCAAGAUUCUUACCAUAACCUGAUGUCAAUGCAUGCCACCGCAAGUCAAUUUGAGGCGGAGAUUGCUGAUUUGAAGAGCCAGUUGAAAACCCAAGAGCUCGAAGCUCAGAAAGCCAAUUCCAAGUUUGAAUUCAGUGUCUCUAAACAAGAGAAGUUGAAGAAAAAUUUUGAAUCGGAAAAGAAGGCUUGGGUUGAUGAGAGGGCUUCAUUGGUGACCCGGGUUGAAAUAGCAGAGACAUCUCUUGCCGAGGCAACCAAUGAGCUGUCCAACUUAAAGCGGCACAUAUCCCAAAUGGUCUCAGCUAUCUUUGGUAAGCCGCUCAUAAAUAUUGUAAUCCUUCAAGAGUUAUCGUGAUAGUUGCCUCUAGCUUAUUGUUAUACCUGUGAAUAUGCAGGCCCCAGGAGUACUAAUCUGAAGGAAAAUAUGCUUGUCAAGCUUAGGGCAGUGUACACCUUGACAGAAUAGCUGUACUCCGGGUCACAGCGUGCGUUGACCGCUGUGGCUCUAUCAAAUACCUCUCCCCGGCUCCUGCAAGACGUAUUGAGACAUCUGUCGGUGCUACCUCAACGUAUUCAAGACUUAAGGCGGGCAUCUGCAAGAGCCGGAGCCGUGGCUGCUUUGAGUCGGGCAAAAGCAUGGGUGCCAGAGCUUGACCUUGUUGACCUCUCGCUUGGAUAUCCAAGUCUUAAGGAGGACGGCACUGCUUUUGGCGAACAUGACUUCACCGCCUGUGUUAAAGUCGUACGCCCUCUGGCGACUCUUAUUGGAGAGGAUACUGAUCUCACCAAGUAUUCUUCAGGUUAUGACAGCGAGAACCGAAGAAUCCUAAAUGUCCCAUAUGACCAAGUCAGCCUGAUCCCUCCAACGCGUAAGCAUACCUUUGCCCCUGAAGUGGACCCGGCCAGUUUAAUAGAUGAUGAAGCUGAAUUUGAAGCUUUGAGCGGCAUUGACUGGGCCUCGUCCACCUUCCAGGACAAAACAACCGAAGGAGAGGCGGGGAAGGCUAAUCCGGAGUCAUCAAGCCAAUCGGAGGAAUGAGCCGCCAGCCGGGUUAUAAUUCCGCAAAGAACAAUGCUUCACUUAUUCAAACUCGGGGAGUCUUGUAAUAGGAUAGCAAAACAACUUAAUGCCUGUCAUGCCUUAUGGUACUUAUCGCUUUUGUUAAGCCGCCAGUACUAAAGUCAUCUUGCUUAUGUUAAUCAAGUGUUUCCUUUAUCCUUCACCUUGCUCCGUUUUAACCUGCACGUAAAACAGGCAAGGCUUUCCUGUACGAUUCACUGCACCAGCGGGUUAUAGAAUAUUGAUAACCCGGAUAUGAUCAAAAAUCAUAUGUAUAAGCCGGUUCAUGAUUAGUUUAAAACAAAAUCAGAACAGUAUACCUGUGACACCUUUUUAAUAACCUCUCUGGCUCAUAUAAGUUUUUACCUGGCACUUGUUAGAACCUGAAGUAACUAAUAUAAAACCGGAAAAAUCAAGAACCAUCUCCUCCAGAAGGUUUCAAGGAUGGUGAAAACAAUCAUACUUGCAAAUGUUCACAGGCUCCUGAUUCGAAUACGAUCAGAGAACCAUUACAAAGGGGUUAAGCUAAGAUUCGGAUACGAUCAUAUAGCCCCCAGUGGCUUUUGGCGAUGCCGAUCAAGUGGGUAUCGACAACUAUGUUCUCUUUGGUUCGAAUAUGACCUAUGUUUGAAUAGGAAGCCCCCAAGUGAACAUAAGAGUUGUUUAAUGACGCUGAUUCAAAUACGAUCCACGUCAGACCCAAAGGGGUUAAGCUAUGAUUCAAAUUUGACCAGGAAGCCCCCAAGUGGGUUUGGCAAUUUUCCCAUCAAGUGGGUAUCGACAGCUAUGUUCUAUUUGGUUCGAAUAUGACCUAUGUUUGAAUAGGAAGCCCCCUAGUGACCAAGGCUAGAUUCAGAUAUGAUCAUAAGCCGGACCAAAGGGAAAGCCGGAUUCAGAUAUGAUCCUUCCCCUGUUGGCAGUGUCCAUCACCUGAUAAAGAAAACAUGAAACAUUUCUUUAUGGGGAAAAAGGACAGAGGUCCUGCUUUAUUGCUUUAUAUAAUAUGUACAUUAUAGAAAGGAUCUUAAAAAAAGAAACUUAAGUAUAGUAAGGCCGGAGAUGAGCUAUGUUCCACGGCCGGCGGGUCUCUUCCUCCGACUUAAAUGAGUCCUUGCGCUCUCGAAUGUCGAUGAGAUAAUAUGACCCGUUGUGCAGAUUCUUGCUGACCACAAAGGGCCCUUCCCAAGGCGGGGAUAGCUUGUGCAUAUCAGACUGAUCCUGGAUGAGCCGGAGCACCAAGUCGCCUUCCUGAAAGGUUCUGCUUCUAACCCGGCGGCUGUGAUAGUGGCACAGGUCUUGCUGGUAAAUCGCCGAGCGGGCUAUUGCCAAGUCUUGCUCCUCGUCCAACAAGUCAAGUGCAUCCUGACGAGCCUUUUCGUUAUUUGCCUCAACGUAAGCCGCCACUCGGGGUGAGUCGUGCCGGAUGUCACUUGGCAGGACCGCCUCUGCUCCAUAAACCAUGAAAAAAGGUGUGUAUCCCGUGGAUCUGUUAGGCGUAGUGUUGAUGCUCCAUAACACGGAGGGUAACUCCUCCACCCAACAACCCGGAGUCCGCUGUAAAGGGACCAAGAGCCGGGGCUUGAUGCCUUUCAGGAUCUCUUGAUUAGCUCUCUCUGCUUGACCAUUGGAUUGAGGAUGAGCAACAGUCGAAACAUCAAGCCGGAUAUGUUCUCUUCGAUAGAACUCUUCCAUGGCACCCUUAGAGAGAUUAGUGCCAUUAUCAGUUAUGAUGCUAUGUGGAAAACCAAAGCGAAAGAUCACCUUUUUUAUGAACUAAACCGCUGUGGCUCCAUCACUCUUACUGACCGACUCUGCCUCAACCCACUUGGUAAACUUGUCCACUGCCACCAGCAGAUGUGUCUUUUUGUCUUUAGACCUUUUGAAAGGUCUGACCAUGUCAAGCCCCCAGACUGCAAACAACCAGGUGAUUGGGAUCAUCCUUAACUCUUGAGCCGGCACAUGAGCUUGUCGUGAGAACUUUUGACACCCGUCACAUUUACUGACCAGGUCCUCUGCAUCAACAUGAGCCAUCAGCCAAUAGAAACCAUGACGAAAGGCCUUGGCUACGAGGGAUUUUGACCCGGCAUGAUGCCCACAAUCUCCUUCAUGGAUCUCACGGAGUAUUUCUUGGCCUUCUGUAGGUGAUACGCAGCGUUGAAACGCUCCCGUGACGCUGAGGUGAUGUAACUCGCCGUUAACAAUCGUCAUGGAUUUGGAGCGCCUGACGAUUUGUCUUGCCAACGUCUCAUCCUUCGGCAACUCACCCCGGGUCAUAUAAGCCAAGUAAGGCACCGUCCAAUCCGGGAUAACAUGAAGAGCCGUAGCUGUGCCUCCGGGUCUGGCACUGCUAGGUCUUCCUCGGUAGGUACCUUGACAGAAGGGUUAUGUAACACAUCAAGAAAGGUGUUGGGCAGCACCGGCUUACGUUGGGAUCCCAACCGGCUUAAAGCAUCAGCCGCCUCGUUCUUCCUUCGAUCAAUGUGCUCCACUUGGUAACCCGUGAAGUGACCAACCACAGCAUCUACUUCACGAUGAUAAGCCGCCAUGAGGGGGUCUUUGGAAUCCCACUUGCCUGACACUUGCUGAGCCACCAAGUCUGAGUCACCCAAGCAUCAUACCCGGCUUAAGUUCAUCUCCUUAGCCAUCCGGAGACCAUGGAGUAAUGCCUCAUAUUCAGCUGCAUUGUUUGUACAUGGAAACAUAAGCCGGAGUACAUAGCGAAAUUUGCCACCUCGAGGGGAAGUUAACAACACUCCAGCCCCCGAGCCUUCUAGCUGCCUAGACCCGUCAAAGUGAAUAGUCCAGUAUGUGUUAUCCGGCUUCUCCUCAGGUGCCUGCAGCUCUGUCCAAUCAUUGAUGAAGUCCACCAAGGCCUGAGACUUAAUAGCUGUCCGAGGCAUGUAUUUCAAGCCAUGAGGCCCAAGCUCAAUAGCCCACUUGGCGACUCGUCCUGUGGCCUCCCUAUUCUGAAUGAUGUCUCCCAAAGGGGCAGAACUUACCACAGUUAUAGGAUGGCUUUGAAAAUACUGCUUCAACUUCCGGUUUGCCAUGAACACCCCAUAAACAAGCUUUUGCCAGUGCGGGUACCUUUGCUUGGAUUCAAUGAGCUCCUCACUGAUGUAGUAAACUGGCCGUUGAACCAGAUGCUCCUUGCCGGCUUCCUUAUGCUCCACCACGAUGGCAACGCUGACGGCUCGUGAAUUGGCAGCAACAUAUAACAGCAAAGGCUCUUUGUCAAUUGGAGCCGCAAGAACCGGCGGCUCAGAUAAUUGUCUCUUUAAGUCUUCAAAAGCAGCAUCAGUGGCCUCACUCCAAACAAAAGUGUCAGUUUUCUUCAUCAUCUGAUACAAUGGGAGGGCUUUCUCACCGAGCCGACUUAUGAACUGACUUAAGGCGGCGACGCGACCUACCAGUCGUUGAACAUCAUUGAUGCACACCAGUUUAGCCAGAGAGGUAAUCGCCUUGAUCUUCUCCGGGUUAGCUUCGAUGCCCCUGUUGGACACCAGAAAGCCCAAAAGCUUGCCUGCAGGGACACCAAACACGCAUUUGGCCGGGUUAAGCAUCAUCUUGUAGACCCGGAGAUUAUCAAAGGUCUCCUUUAAGUCGGAUAUCAAUGUCUCCUUUUCUCUGGACUUCACCACAAUGUCAUCCACAUAGGCAUGGACAUUACGCCCAAUUUGGUCGUGCAAACAAUUCUGCACACACCAUUGGUAAGUCGCCUGUGCACUCUUGAGCCCAAAUGGCAUAGAUACAUAGCAGAAGGCUCCAAACAGAGUCAUGAAAGCCGUCUUCUCCUGGUCCUUAACUGCCAUUUUAAUCUAAUGAUAACCGGAGUAAGCAUCCAAAAAGCUCAAACGCUCACAACCCGGCGUAGCAUCAAUGAUUUGAUCAAUACGGGGAAGAGCAAAAGGGUCAGCUGGACAAGCCUUGUUUUAGUCCGUGUCAUCCAUGCACAUCCGCCAGGUGCCAUUCUUCUUGAUGACGAGCACCGGGUUAGCCAACCACUCCGGGUGAAAAACUUCAAUGAUAAACCUGGCGGCUAAGAGCCGCGCGACUUCUUCCCCAAUAGCUUUCCGUCUUUGUUCAUUAAAACGGCGAAGAAACUGCCUGACCGGCUUAUACUUUGGAUCAAUAUUGAGAGUGUGCUCAGCGAGUUCCCUCGGUACACCCGGCAUGUCAGAAGGUUUCCAUGCAAAGAUGUCCCGGUUCUCACGGAUGAACUCGAUGAGCGCGCUUUCCUAUUUGGGAUCCAAGUUGCUGUUGAUGCUGAAUUGUUUAGAAGAAUCACCCGGGGUGAAGUCAACAAGCUUUGUCUCAGCUACCGACUUAAACUUCAAUGCCGGGUCAUGCUCUGUAGUUGGCUUCUUCAGGGAUGUCAUAUCCGCCGGGUCAACAUUAUCUUGAUAAAAUUUGAGCUCCUCUACUGCGCAGGCCGACUCAGCAUAAGCCGCGUCACCUUCUUCACACUCCAAUGCUACCUUACGACUGCCAUGUACAGUGAUCGUGCCCUUGUAACCCGGCAUCUUGAGCUGUAAAUAAACGUAACACAGCCGGGCCAUAAACUUAGCAUAAGCCGACCGUCCAAACAGAGCGUGGUAUGGGCUCUUGAUGUUGACCACCUCAAACGUCAACUUCUCAGCUCGGGAGUCAUGUUCAUCUCCAAAAGCCACCUCUAGCUCAAUCCUGCCAACCGGGCAAGCCGACUUACCAGGGACAACUCCAUGGAAAACAGUGUUGGAUGUUCUCAGAUUUUUAUCAGUCAACCCCAUGCGCUGAAAGGUUUCGUAGUAAAGGAUGUUGAUGCUACUACCCCCAUCCAUGAGCACCUUGGUGAACUUAUACCCACCAACCUGUGGUGCCACUACCAAAGCCAACUGACCCGGGUUAUCGACCCGCGGAGGAUGAUCCUCUCUGCUCCAUAUGAUGGGCUGCUCUGACCACCUUAAAUAAUGAGGGAUUGCCGGCUCAACGGAAUUCACAGCCCUCUUAUGAACCUUCUGGUUACGUUUGCACAGGCUAGUGGUAAACACGUGAUACUGUCCACCACUCAACUGCUUCGGAUGGCUUUGAUAACCCGACUGUUGCUGCUGCUGUCCACCUUGACCAGACUGCUGCUGACUGUUGCCACCUGGAUGCCCCUGAAAACCGGAAUUUGAACCGCCGCCUGGGCCAUGAAAGCCGCCGGCCCCUGAGCCGCCGCCAGAUCCUUGACCACCGUCGAAGGUGUUGGAGUUUUUAAUCGCCUUCAUGAUUGCACAAUCCUUCCAUAGAUGUGUGGCCGGCCGCUCCCGAGUGCCGUGUCUCGGGCUGGGCUCAUUGAGUAGCUGCUCCAGCGAUGGGCCUGACCCGCCGGAGCGAGGCGUUUUACCCUUACGUCUCUGAUUGUUACCUCGUGCAUUGGCAUUGGCCACAAACUCCGGGUUACCGUCCGCCUUACGCUUAUUGCCGCCUUGAUUCCCCGGGUUAUGCUGCUGACCUUUUCCAUUACCGUUCCUUUUUCCCUUCCCUGUCUUCUCAUCAUCAGACGCGGGAUCCUUGGUACUAUCAGAAUCGGCGUAUUUGACUAAAGCUGCCAUCAGCAUACCCUUAUCCGUGAGGUCACGCUUAAGGCGCCCCAGUUUCAUCCUCAACAGCUCAAAACGGCAAUUUUUCUCCAGCAUAAGAACUGCAGAGCCGGCGUCCAUCUUAUCAGAGGAAUGAAUUAUCUGUUUGACCCGGCGUACCCAAUGGGUGGUGGAUUCGCCUUCCUCUUGCUUGCAGUCUGUCAAAUCCACAAUUGACAUGGAUUGCAUACAUGUGUCUUUGAAGUUCUGGAUGAACCGGGCCUUUAACUCGCCCCAUGAACCAAUGGAAUUGGGUGGUAAGCCUUUUAGCCAAGACCGGGCCGUUCCAUCCAACAUCAUGGUGAAAUACUUAGCCAUUGCCGCAUCACUGACCUCUAGCAACUCCAUGGCCAUCUCAUAACUCUCAAUCCACGCUCCGGGCUGUAAAUCGACCGUGUAAUUUGGUACAUUUCGAGGUCCCUUAAAGUCCUUGGGCAGACGUACAUCACGCAGAGCUGGCACCAGGCAGGGAGCUCCACCGGUUCUAGUGGCUACUCCCGCCUCAACAGAUGUCAUUGGAUACUCCGGGUGAUCAUUCUCCUGAUGUACUUGGUCCUGCGCCGGAUUAUAGCCCCCGGGCGGGUUACGUCGCUGGGCAUUACUUGACAAAGCUUCCGACUCCAUGCGUCUGCUGUAACUCGGGCUCCGGUUCUGGCGAGGUGGUGCUCCCCAGGGCCGUGGAGUGGAAGGAAUCAUGUCCCGGCUGUAAGAAUAGUUCUCCUGCUGAGCCAGGGCCGUCUGGAGGAGCUCUCUGACCCUCCGGGUCUCCACCGCCGUCGGGUCAUCUCCUUCCAUAGGAAGAGCCGCUAAACGCGCUGAGGCUGCGAUCAAGUUCUCCAUGGGGUUGGAAAAGUGACCCGGUGAAAUCGGCACAUAACGCGGCAGUGGCAUGCUCACGUGAGGCGGCACCACAUCCCUAGGCUGAGCCGGUCCUCCUAUUCCGGCUGUCAUAACCCGAUCGGCUUCUGGCGGGUUACUAGGACUGGCUCCGGGUGUAGCAAAGAGAACCCGGGGGUUGUAACUCAGAGGUAAACAGGACUGCGUUUUCUGAUGUCUCCUGCUCAUUAUCUCAUUGGAUGCAUUUAAGCUCAUUGUGAGCUGGUAAGCUUCUGACUGCAAACACUGUGCCCGGGCGUAGAGAGCCUCCCGUUCUGCAGCUAGUCUAGUAUCCUCAGCUGCCAAGGCCUCCUUGGCCUGAGCUAUCUCCCCACGCACCUGAGCUACUGCUGCGUCGUGCUCAUCCUUGUCGACAGGAAUAACCGUGGCGGUUAACAGGGCCGUAAGCUUGUCCAUGAGGUCCAUCAGCACCUGAGCCGGUGGGCGCACGGGGCCGCCUGCUCCGGCUGCUCCUGAUCCGGACGUGAUCGCCGCAGCUGCUGUAGAGUUUGAGCCGGGCUGAGUUCCAGCCAUGAAGAUUCCGGCCCAUCUUGGCAGCUCAUCGGGGUCCGGAAUACUGAUGCCAUCAGAACAGCCCCCGAGCGCGCCGUCUUGUACCUGAUACAACGAAUCUAUUGAGCCUGCGGACGAGUCACCAUCUGAAAGGACGGCCGUCUCACCCCCAUCUUUAGAUCCAGAAAGUCCCUCUCCGUGGACGCAGCCCACGAAGGCACGCCUCAUGACCGGCUGAGUCCGGGUCUUCCUCGCACGCUGAGCCGUCUCGACGAGGUCGGUGCAGUUGUCCGGCUCAGGGCCCGGCUCACCGAUUCGGCCGAUGAAGACGUGGAUUCCGCCGAAGGGGACCCGGUACCCGUACUCAAUUGAGCCGGCGUCGGGGCCCCAGUCUUCGUCGUCGAUGUAGGUCUUGCCGUGACGACUCUUGGUCAUCCGGCCCACUACGUACCCCUUGAGCCCUUCGAAGUUGCCCUUCAAGAACUCAAAUCCACCGUGCGCUUGCCCCACGGUGGGCACCAACUGUCGUGGAAUAGUCACGUCAGAUGUCUUCGUGAAAGGACUUAGUUGUGGAGCCAUCGCAACUAGGAAGCUUGAAGGGGUUAAAUCGGGACAAGGGACACGACAGAGUUUAUACUAGUUCGGCCCCUUACGGUGAAGGUAAGGCCUACGUCUAGUUGGGUUGGUAUUGAUGUUUUGAUAACCAGGGAGCGAGACACACUAUGCCCGGUUCUCGAUGAGUUGUUUCUUGUCCUAAGUCGCCCGCAAGUCGUCCCCUUAUAUACACGGGUUGACACCUGCGGCUUACAGAGUCCCGGCCGGCUUAUAAACAGAGUCCGGCUCGGUGACCAGUUAAAUCCACCUUACAUUACAAGUCAUGCCAUCAUGGCGGUUUACUACAAUGGGCUUAAGCCGCCCAUGGGCCUUAAGAUCUUUAUUGAACCGCCAUCUUCAUGCUUGGCCUUGGGCUUCCUCUGAUGAGUACUCUUUGCGUAAGCCGGCCCCUCAUGGCGGCUUACACGAAUAGUCAUAUCCCCAACAAUAUGCAUAUCAGUUGACAUUGCUUGUGAUCUUGAAUACCUCCAUAACCAAUGAAUCCAACGGUUGUUCACUGUGAUAUGAAACGAAGAAACAUACUUUUCAACGAUGACGAUACUGCACGUGUUUGUAACUUUGGUCUAGCAAGGCUAAUUCAUGGAUGUUCAUCUGGAGGCCAGAGCGGCACAACAAGCAUAGUUGGAAAACCUGUGCAGAACUCCUGCGGUAGUUGUUUGUGUUGAUCUUGCAUAGGGAUAGAUCUCAUUUCCCUUGCUUAGGAACUCUCUUCGAAUGUAUGAACUUCUCUGCCCAUUUUUUAGGUCUAGAAAAUUUCUCUUUCAGAGCAAUACUUUGAUCCAGAAUAAUAGUAGUCAUCUGUGAAGCUUGUUUCUAUCACCCGGCAAACUUCUUCUUCUUCUCAUGAUCUUAAGAAUUCUUGAAUUGCUCUUGACACUACUUGGCGGCUUAAAUAUGAUUGCACAAUCGCCCUUAUGUCAUUAGGCCCCUUUCUUUAAGCUGCCACUUUAAAUAAUUUUAAAUAUUUCUCCCGGGUUAAACUUGAACCGGAGCUUUCUUACUUUGUCGUAGGCCACUGCUGUUAUGGCUCCUAAGGCGGCCAAAGCCCCUAUAACUUGCAAUUGGAUUCCACCCACCGUAACCAAAAGCAAACUUGCCGAGUUUGUGAAGUCUGGCCAUCUGCCAAAGAAGGAGGCCAUGUCUUAUCGUGCCCCUAACCCGUCUGAGGAGAUACCUCAACCCAAGGAUGGGGAGGUAAUAGUCUUUACAGAUCAUAUGAACCGGGGAUUUGCCCCUCCCGGCUCAAAAUUCUUCAGGGAAGUUUUGGAUUUCUUUGACCUGAAGCCUCAGGACAUUGGACCCAAUUCCGUGCCAAAUCUGUGUAAUUUCCAAGUCUUCUGCGAGGUAUACUUAGGAGAAGAACCAAGUCUGCUGCUGUUCAGAGAGCUUUUUUACUUGAACCGGCAGAAUGAACGUGCCAACGGGCCUAGCCUUGAGCUUGGGGGCAUCUCAAUCCUGCAGCGGAGAGAUUGCCUUCUAGAUCCAGUUACCGUACGAUGUUCAUCCAAUAGCCGUUGUGCUUCUUCAACCACUGGUCUUCUUGCUCCAGCCGCCCAAACCAGCACUGGUCGUGUCGCGUGCUCCUGCCUCCUGUGGCCGGCUGUGAUGCCGCAGACGCCUCACCGCCCCCUACUACUCCUAUUGCUGGCGAGGCCAUCCCUCUACUCACCCGCACCCCCUGUUAUUCUGCAGCGACACUAGCCCCACAGCGCAACCGAGCCAGUGAACUCUCGUACUCUCUCCACGUGGGCAUCCACUUUCGAGUCUUCCCCUGCUUCGGGUCGUCCCCUUCCUAGGCCUCGCCAUCGUCCACCGCCUUGGUACUCUCGGCGCGGCGUGGUCAAUGUGGUCAACGACCGACUUCCAUCGGAAGAGUACUGUGGAGAGGCUGACAGCUGGGUCCAUGGCCGCAGCAAGGAAGUGCCUCCUUAUUACACGGAAAAUAAUGAUUCCUCCACCUGACAGUAGGGACCCACUGGAUGGGUAACUGUAUUUCGUGAAAAAAACAUUUCUCCCCUGACUGCUGGGACCUACAAACUACAUCUUCGCACGCAAGGAAGUGCGUCCAUAUUACGAGCAAAAAAAUGAUUCGCCCCCUGACUGCUGGGACCCACCAGCUACAUCUUUGCACGUAAAGAAGUGCCUGACAGUCGGGACCCACCUGGUCGAAGCAAACAUAGCAUUGUCAUUCUGGUCGCGAACGUGUACGUACAUAGUGGUUGAUGUAGAGGCGCGCACAUGUCGAAGUAGUGGCGAGCCCGUAGCAUGUACACGUACGUAUAGCGGCCAGGGUGCAAGAAAGUAAAUACGGCCACAUACGUACAUAUGGGCGGGGACUCGAACGCCUACGCGCGCAUACGUACGGCCAGGGCUCAUGUACAUGGCUGGGUUGGAAUGGAGAAGCUGCAUCGUCGUCGUGUUCAUGGGGAGCCAACCGGCUGGGUCGGAACGGAAUGUGUCAUUGUGUUCAUCGGGAGGGCUUGGACGGAAUAGCCGAUGGAAACGAGGCCUGGCGUACCGCAUAACAGAGGAAACAUCCUUGUGUUCGACCGGCCACGGUUGAAACGGGAUCCUGUUCAUCGGAAGGGGUCUGGCGUACCGCAAAACAGAGGAAACGGACUUCUGUUGCACCUCCUACGAUCGAAACGGGGUCCUGUUGAUCGGGAGGGGUGUGGCAUACUGCAAAACGGAGGAAACAGACUUGUGUUGGAGCGCUAUGGUCAAAACGAGGGUCCUGUUCAUUGGGAGGGGUGUGGCGUACCACAAAACGUGACUCCACAGGAUACUGUUAAUCUCCACCGUCAACCUCCUCCAGCCUCCAUGGGCUAUUGUUCAUCCACCGUCGACCUCCUCCAGCCUCCACCUGCGACUGUUCAUCCACGGGCUCCUGUUCAUCCAGCCUCCAUCGCAUGCUACUCCACCUGCUACUGUUGAACUAUCCCUCUCCACGGGCUACUGUUUAACAACCCCUCUGUCGGUGUCAAAACUGGGGGAUCUCGGGUAGGGGGUCCCGAACUGUGCAUCUAGGCGGAUGGUAACAGGAGACAAGGGACACGAUGUUUUUACCCAGGUUCAGACCCUCUCGGUGGAGGUAAAACCCUACUCCUGCUUGAUUGAUAUUGAUGAUAUGGGUAGUACAAGAGUGGAUCUACCACGAGAUCAAGGAGGCUAAACCCUAGAAGCUAGCCUAUGGUAUGAUUGUUGUAAUGGUUGUGUGUACUACGGACUAAAAGCCUUCGGUUUAUAUAGACACCGGAGAGGGCUAGGGUUACACAGAGUCGGUUACAAUGGUAGGAGAUCUACAUAUCCGUAUCGCCAAGCUUGCCUUCCAUGCCAAGGAAAGUCCCAUCCCGACACGGGACGAAGUCUUCAAUCUUGUAUCUUCAUAGUCUUGGAGUCCGGCCGAUGAUGAUAGUCCGGCUAUCCGGACACCCCCUAGUCCAGGACUCCCUCAGUAGCUCCUGAACCAGGCUUCAAUGACGAUGAGUCCGGCGCACAUAUUGUUCGGCAUUGCAAGGCGGGUUCCUCCUCCGAAUAAUUCAUAGAAGAUCGUGAACACCAGGAUAGUGUCCGGCUCUACAAAAUAAAUUCCACAUUCCACCGCAGAGAGAAUAAUAUGUACACAAGUUCAAUCUGCUGACGUAGUUUGUGUCAUGAUGUCAUUCCACUACCAAGCCUUUACUUGAAUCGUUUUUUAUUAUACCACCUCAGCGCAUUUAGCGAAGCGGUUUCCUUGGCACGUCUUGUCAAAGCAGAGAUCGUGUUCCCCUUAUUUCGGGAUUCCCAUCAAUACGGACGUGGGUAUCCCAACCGCGCCAUUGAUGGUGGCGCUUGGGAGAUAAGUGAGUUUUACCAGGCCGGUGGGGAUGCAUAGUCUUCGUCCGCCCAUAUAUAAGGGGAUAAGGAUCCACCUUUUUUACCUACGCCUCUUCCUCCUUUGCUUAUCCAUCCCCGCAUACUCGAGCUCUAGCGCCCAAGUCCGCACAUCUCGUCUCAACCUUCUCCAGCCAUGUCCGGAGCGGGAGGCAAGUGGAUGACCUCCUCCGUUACGGAGGAGCACAUCGAGAAGCUGCGCGGCGCCGGAUACCUGUCCAGCGACAUCGCGCACUGGCUGCCCAACAAGGGGCAGCUCAUCCCCACCCCCAGGCCCCAUGAGAGGGUCGUAUUCCUUCCCCACUUCCUCCGCGGACUAGGCUUCCCACUUCAUCCCUUUGUCCAGGAGCUCAUGUACUACUACGACCUGGACUUCCACAAUCUGGCGCCAAACUUCAUCCUCAACAUCUCGGCGUUUAUCGUCGUGUGUGAGGCCUUCCUCUGCAUCCAGCCCCACUUCGGCUUGUGGCUAAAAACCUUCAAUGUCAAGCUGAAGGUAGUGAAGGUCGUCCAAGCGGAGUGCGGAGGCGCCAUGGUGGGCAAAAUGCCCAACGUCCUCUGGCUCGAGGGCGCCUUUGUGGAAACCAUCAAGGGGUGGCAAUCGGGGAGGUUCUAUAUCACCGAGUCGCGUGACCCUAAAUGUGCUACGGCCCCCAAGUUCAGAUCUGGUUCCCCCACGCAGCUUACCUCCUGGAAAGAGAAGGGCUUGCUAUGGGGCAGUUCGGAGGAGCUGACCGGACUCCAGUCCUGUCUCCAGACCUUGGUGAACAAGAAGCUCAAGCUUGUCAACGUGAUCCAGGUCAUGCUCGUCCGCCGGAUUCUCCCCUGCCAACAACGGGCCUUCAACCUGUGGGAGUUCGUUCCGGCACAGCACCGGGCCCUGAGCGGGCUCUUCGACACGACGUACAAAGCUGCCUGGAGGGUGCUGUUCAAGGGCGGAGAAGCCCCCGCGUCCGCGACUGAAGAUCGCGGAUUCAGCACCAAGCGCCCGGCCGGUGUGGUAAGAUGUGUUAUCCUUUAUGGGACAUUUAUUUCUUUCAUAGUUUGACUCUAUGUGGGAUCUAAAAUUCCCAAUGCCUUUAACAGGACUGGCAGAGGACGUUCGGACAGGUUAACUGUCCGGCUCCCCUCCCCGAAGAACCAGCGGACGCCCGUUUAACGGGGCUGCUAGUCCCGGCACUUUAUGUGGUGCCGGAGAAGAAGGCCAAGAAGAAGGCCACGGGAACCCGAAGGAGUUCCCGGCGCCUGGUGGUAUCAGACUCAUCGUUCGAUGGCUCCGAGGCGGACUCCUCCCCUAAAGACGAGGAGGAGAAGGAUGACUCUCCCAGGAGGGGGGAGAGAGGAAGAGGAAGGCUUCCCCAACGGGGGAGGCCGAAGGGUCCAAGAGGGGAAGGACCCUUCCUCCGGACAGUUUCGCCAACGCCGACAUCGGCGACGAAGGGUGGCCCUCAAGGGCCAAGCCUCUGGCAAGAUCGUAAGUAUCCGGAUUCCUGAAUGAUUUAUAAUUUCUCUUUUGUGCCACAUAGUGUCCUUCUAAUGCCGCACACUACCUGUAGUCCGGCCGAGGAUGAUCUUCCUGCUUCAUCAAGUGGGUCCUUGGCUCCAUCGGAUGUCGAUUCCAUUCCGACCGCCUCCACCCCUCGCGAUGCUGAGGACGCCAAGGUGGGAUCCCAGGAGGGGACCCGCCAGGAGGAGGCUCCAGAGGUGCCGCGAGGAAACCUCCCGGACUUCGUGCCGGACUCCACGCCGGAACCCGCAGUGGUUCCGGAGUCCAGCAGGCGGCCCCUUCGUAAGAAGGGAAAGACCGUGACGCCGACAGACUCCGUCCAACCGGAGGCGCCGGACAACUUGUUGGAGGCGCUCAACGGCGCUUCCAUCGAGGAAGAACACCGCACUAUCAUGAGUGCGGUGAUUCAGAAGGUUCAGCUCGCUAAGAGCGGGCUAACCGAAGCCUGCAGCAGCCUUCUAACAGGCUUUGAGGUAAGAAGUUUUAAAAUAUGCAAUGUAAUACCGCAUAGACAGUAGCCCCUGAUGCUCGGUUCGGUGUUCGGAAAGAAAAGCCGGACAGAGGAUCUAAAAAGAUAUACGCAGGAGUUCUAAAAAUUAUGUCAAUAUGGGAUUGCAGGCUGCACUGUUGACCUCUGCCGCACUGACUGCGGAGGUCGGUGCUUUGAAGCAGGACCUCGAGCGGUCCGAGCAUGAGCUCGGCCUUGCCAAGAAGCAGCUCGAGGACAAAGAAGGUGAGUAACACCGCAUUAAAUUUGUACCUUACAGAAAAGGAUUUUGGUUGCAAUAGAAAUAACAAGGAUAAGGUGGGUACUGCAGGGGCCACGAAUGAGGUGGCGACCCUGAAGGAGGCCAUGUCCAUGGCCGAACAUAGCGCGGCCGCGGAACAAGCGGAGCGAGAGAAGCGGGAGGCAUGGGUGGCGGAGGUGCGGCAAGAGCUCCAGGCUCUCAUGGAAAAGCAUGAGAGUUUGGAGCGCGACUCGAAGACUCGAGAGUCCGAGCUUGCCUCGGCUCUUGAGAGUGCCAAAGCCGCUAAGGCCGAGGCCCAUAAGGCCCUCCGGCAGAUAGAGGCGGUGAAGAAAAUAGCGGUGGGUAAGGCAUUUUUCAUGCAAAGCAAGCAUCUGAAUGUGAAUUACCUGUUACUUACCCGAAUUCGGAGCUCUCCAGGAGCGAUUGCAAAUCUGCCUUGCAGCGUGUCUGAUGCCGCCGCAUUCUACCGGGCCAAGGAGGGGAGCUCAACGGAGAAGGUCUUCUGGUCACAGUAUGCUGAGGCCGGACAUCCGGUGCCCCUUAGCGACCAGCUGAAGCAGCUGGUCGAGCUCCACAAGGUAGCCGAGCAGGCCAUGAAGGGCCUCAUAGUCCGGCUGUGGCCUGGAGAGGCCAUGCCUGGGAGCUACUUCGGCCUCGUGCGGCGGCUGGUGGAUGCGUGCCCUUGGGUGGAGGUCAUCAAGCGCUCCGCCUGCAUUGAAGGUGCCCGUCGGGCCCUUGCCCGCGCAAAGGUGCACUGUUGCAGGCUGGAUGCUGAGAGGCUUUUGACAGACGCGCCGUCGGCGGGCAAGGAGUAUCGUAUGCCCGACAUGUACUAUAAGAGUGUCCUGAAGGGUGCCCGCAAGAUUGCGGAUGAGUGCCCCAGAGAUGUAAUUUUUGAGUAGACUCGCAAUGUGUUAUCCUGUGCGCUGAAAACUUUGUUCAUAUGCGCUAAGCAACACUUAUUCAUUUAAAAUAUUACCUUCUUUGCGGCCGUUUAUCAAAUCUGAGAGAUGGUAAGUCGUCGGCUUCAGCCCCCAAGCCACGAGUGCUAGGGUGUUCGGGAUAAACUUGAGCGCUCUUGUUCCCAUUUUUGGGUCCAUCUAGGGAGGUGCUCAACACAACGAACAAGGCAACCGGACAUAUAAUGCUUGAACACUCUCACUUAGCCAUAGAAUUCUAUAAUUUCAAAUUUCGGCGAAGCCCCUAGUGUUCGGAAGACCGAAUUCGAGGCGCUAUCCACGCCUGGGCCGGACAUAGCCGGUUCCUCGCUCUAAGCGGCAUAAGUCUUUAGGGACUCGAAAAGACCUCUCGAACAGCGACCAGCUCUCGCCUUAUCAUGACGGUCAGUUUUAGCUUUCUCCACUGAGGCGCUCGCCUAGCUCAACCGGGGCGCAAUCGCAGUGGUUCUCCCAGUGCUACCUUAGCCGAUAGAACGGAACGUAAGGUACCAAAACAUGGGAGCCGGGCAAACCCAACUAUUGACCCAAGACAUGAUUCGGAGCCAAUGAAUAUAAUUGUAUAACUUCGGGGUGCCGCACUUGUGAAAGUGUUCGGACUUCUCACACCAUAAUGCGGGGAACAUAAGCCCCUGGUGUAUUCGGCCGUACCAAAGUGUACGGAUGCAAGAUGUCGUAAAUGAACAUAAAAAAAGGAAUGCAAUUAUAAACAAAAAGUGAUGCAUUGUUUUUUCAAGGAAUUCUGCUAUGAGUGCAGAACGAUACAAAUAGUGCGGUAAGCAAGGGUUUGGACUAUUAGACAUGUCCCCCUCUAGGGGUAGGCUGCGGAAUGGUGUAUUAAACAGAUUUAAUGCUCAUAAUGGAGACCACCUGAGUGUUCGUCGUAGCCAUUGUCCCUCCUUGGCUGUUGCAUCGUGAGCUCGGCCGAUUCUCCGCCGGACAGGGUCUCUGGUGAGUGGAGCCCUGUGGAUAAGAUAAAAAAGGAAAAGAAAAAGAGCGACAUGCUUGGGAGCCCCUGGUGUGGUUGAGCCGCACUCUGGGCCUGUCGUGGUCGCGCCCCUCCCCCUAUGCCCAAGGUAUCUCCAGAGCGUAAUGAUGUACACGGAGGGCUAGCCUUGUAAUCAUGCCAGGGCUGGGGUUGGGGACGCAUUGCUACGCGUGCUCGGAACGUGCCAGGUGGUCUUGACGUAUGUUGCUCCGGGCGCGUUUGGCCAUGUUCGGUCGUUUAACGGCCGGACUCGAAAGUUGCCUUAAGAGGCUGCUCUGUACUUCUGCCGCGAGAGCCGCUGUGUGUUCCUCCGUUCGGAGGGAGUGUUCAUUGUUUCCAUUGACCGUGAUGACUCCACGAGGGCCUGGCAUCUUGAGCUUGAGGUAUGCGUAAUGCGGCACCACGUUGAACUUUGCAAACGCGGUUCGUUCGAGCAGGGCGUGAUAGCCACUGCGGAACGAGACUAUGUCGAAGAUUAACUCCUCGCUUUGGAAAUUAUCCGGGGAUCCGAAGACCACUUCCAGUGUGACCGAGCCUGUGCAAUUGGCCUGGACACCUGGUAUGACGCCUUUGAAGGUUGUCUUUGUAGGUUUAAUCCUUGAGGGGUCUAUGCCCAUCUUGCACACUGUAUCCUGAUAAAGCAGGUUCAGGCUGCUGCCAGCAAGUGGUCCCUUCGAUCGAAAGUGAUCGAGCAAGGGGACCAUGGAUUGAACUUCGGGGUGACUGGCUCCAUCGCAUAUACGUCCCGAAGUGCACGCUUCCGCUCCCUCUUGGGUAUGUGGGUUGCGUAUAUCAUAUUUACCAUCCGCACUUGUUGGGGGAAACCCUUCUGUCCUCUACUGUUCGGCGGCCGGGUCUCCUCCUCGUCAUCGCUAUGCAGCCCCUUGUCAUUGUUUUCGGCAAUGAACUUGCCUGCCUGCUUGAUACCCAACAAUCCCUGUUGGUGUGGUUAGCUGGCUUUUCGGGGGUGCCAUGUCUCUGGCAAGAGCGGUCGAGUAUUCAGUCCAAAUUGGACGGACCCGGAGUGGUUCUUUCGAAUGGCUUCUUCUGCUGACCGGGUUUAGAGACUCUGAAUCCGGCGUUGACUGACGUAUCCUCAGUGUUAUCGCCAUUUACGCGGCGUUUGUUUUUGUUGCGAUGCGACCUGCCAUUGCGGUCCUUGCUGUCCGGACUACCAGAAUUUUUGCUGAGGUUGUUACUGCAAGUUAGCCAGCUGUCCUCUCCUGCAUAGAAGCGGGUCAUGAGUGGUGUGAGGGCUGCCAUGGAUUUCGGCUUUUCCUGUCCUAGGUGCCGGGCCAGCCACUCGUCGCGGAUGUUAUGUUUGAAGGCUGCGAGGGCCUCUGCAUCCGGACAGUCGAUGAUUUGAUUUUUCUUUGUUAAGAACCGUGUCCAGAACUGUCUGGCCGAUUCGUCUGGAUGCUGGAUUAUGUGGCUUAGGUCAUCGGCGUCUGGUGGUCGCACAUAUGUGCCCUGGAAGUUGUCAAGAAAUGCGGCUUCCAGGUCCUCCCAACACCCAAUUGACUUUGCUGGCAAGCUGUUAAGAAAAUGCCGAGCUGGUCCUUUAAGCUUGAGUGGAAGAUACUUGAUGGCGUGGAGAUCGUCACCGCGGGCCAUAUGGAUAUGAAGGAGAUAAUCUUCGAUCCAAACCGCGGGGUCUGUUGUGCCAUCGUAGGAUUCAAUGUUCACGGGUUUAAACCCUUCAGGGAUUUGAUGAUCCAUUACUUCAUCCGUGAAGCAUAGUGGGUGUGCGGCGCCUCUAUAUUGAGCAAUAUCACGACGUAGCUCAAGAGAGUUUUGUCUGCUGUGUUCGGCCCGGCCGGAGUUGCUGUAUCCGGCGCGACGGUAGUCGUCGUGGGUCGUGGGGUGCCUGCGUGAUCCGUAGAUAGAUCUUGAUUGUCUUUCCCUAUCCUCCAAUAUAUCCCGUAAGUCCGGCGCAUUCCCCCGUGGCUACGCGCUUUUCGAGCGGUGCCGGGGUAUGGUUCUGGCGAAGGGCCUGGAUGCCUCUCUGUCGCGGCCACGAGGUGGUCGAUCUGCCGUAUUGUGCGCUGAUGAUGAAGGUUUGUAUGCUUCCUCCUCCAGUCGGGGGAGUAACUUGCGUUUUGGGUAGCUUUUGGAGGGGCGUUCGAGUUCAUACUCUUCGGCCGUGAGGACCUCGGUCCAUCUGUCAGCCAGCAGAUCUUGAUCAGCUUGAAGCUGCGGCUGCUUUUCUUUAGGCUGUUCGGCGUGGCCAUUAGCCUGUGUUUAAAACGCUCUUGUUCGACGGGAUCCUCAGGCACGACGCAUUCGUCGUCAUUGAGGCUUGCCUCGUCUCCGGAGGGAGGCAUGUAAUUUUCAUCCUCCUCGUCUGCCGCUCUCUCCUGAGGGCUGGCUUCUCCGUCCUCCUGUGCUGAAUCUUGCUGGAGGGGGUUGUCUUCGACACUCUCUGGGGUUUUGUUAUCUCCGGUGCCGGAAUCUCCAUUCUUGCUGUGGCGGGAUUUAGAGCGGCGCCGCUGACGUCGGCGCUUGGGCUGUUUCUUAGAGGAAUCUGCAUCUGCUGCUUCUUCGCCGUCCCCAUCCUUUGGGGUGUCCACCAUGUAUAUGUCGUAUGACGAGGUGGUCUUCCAGUGCCCCGUAGGCGCUGGUUCUUGAUCGUCUCCGGCAUCGUCGUCGAUAUCGUCGAUGUCUUCGGAGUCGUAGUCUAGCAUGUCGGUUAGAUCGUCGACAGUGGCUACAAAGUGGGUGGUGGGUGGGCUUUGAAUUUCUUCGUCGUUCACAUCCCAACCAUCCUGACUGCAAUCCGGCCAGGGCUCUCCUGAUAACGAGAGAUACUUUAGUGAAUUCAGGAUGUCACCGAAGGGUGAGUGCUGAAAGAUGUCCGCAGCGGUGAACUCCAUGAUCGGCGCCCAAUCGGAUCCGAUUGGCAGGGGCGCCGGAGGUUCGUAGUCCGGCAAGGAGUCCGGCACCUCGGAGUCACAAGCUUUGCAAGGGACAAGGUCUGUAUUCGGCUCCAUCGCCGUGGAAGUUGCAGCCCCCGAGGCAGUGUCCAGCCACCUAUCCUCGAUCUGCGCGGUCGGCUCCAAACUAUGGGUCAGAGCGGACUCGUGUGCGGCCUCCAGGGUACUGUCCAGCGGCAGAGUUAAGUCAUGCCCAUCGUGACAGUGCAGCACGCUCGGUUGUGGCUCGAAUCCCUCGAAGAUCAAGUCUCCGUGGAUAUCAGCCGUGAAGUUUAGGCUUCCAAAUCUGAUCUGAUGGCCAGGGGCGUAGCUUUCGAUCUGCUCCAGAUGGCCAAGUGAAUUGGCCCGCAAUGCAAAGCUGCCGAACACGAAGAUCUGUCCGGGGAGAAAAGUCUCACCCUGGACGGCGUUGUUGAUUGAAGAAGCCGUCAAGCCUAUUGGUGACGACACAGAGGAACUCUCAAUGAAAGCACCAAUGUCGGUGUCAAAACUGGCGGAUCUCGGGUAGGGGGUCCCGAACUGUGCGUCUAGGCGGAUGGUAACAAGAGACAAGGGACACGAUGUUUUUACCCAGGUUCGGGCCCUCUCGAUGGAGGUAAAACCCUACUCCUGCUUGAUUGAUAUUGAUGAUAUGGGUAGUACAAGAGUGGAUCUACCACGAGAUCAAGGAGGCUAAACCCUAGAAGCUAGCCUAUGGUAUGAUUGUUGUAAUGGUUGUGUGUCCUACGGACUAAAACCCUCCGGUUUAUAUAGACACUAGAGAGGGCUAGGGUUACACAGAGUCGGUUACAAUGGUAGGAUAUCUACAUAUCCGUAUCGCCAAGCUUGCCUUCCACGCCAAGGAAAGUCCCAUCCGGACACGGGACGAAGUCUUCAAUCUUGUAUCUUCAUAGUCUUGGAGUCCGGCCGAUGAUGAUAGCCCGGCUAUCCGGACACCCCCUAGUCCAGGACUCCCUCACCCUCCAUGGGUUACUGUUCAUCCAGCCCUCCAUCGGCUACUAUUCAACCAGCCCUCCACGGGGUCGUCCUAUUCAUCCAACCCUCCACGAGGUACUAUUCAUCCAGCCCCAACCGGCUCGAUCGGGGUCCUUUUCAUCCAGAGGCAACACCACGGGGUCCUAUUCAUCCACCCCCACUGGGAAUUGUUCAUCCAAACCCCCCAGCAACGCUCAUUGUUUAUCCAUAGGCAACAUCGAUCGACUUCAGUUAGCAGCAGUAGCGAAGGCAUCACUCGAUUGCUCGGGUUCAGUAACGCGUAGCCUGAAGUGCAAUCUCUCGGGUUAAGUUAGGCGACGCCUCACUCGGGUUCAGUUAGAGCCCAAUGCCUCGCAUACUACGCGCGUACGUGUACGAGAGAAACGCGCAUCGCUCGGCCCCCGACCACCCACCGUAACCGGGAAAUCCUCGAAAUUUUCCUCGCCCUCGCUUCUACCAUGGUUUUUUCCGUCAUAGACCGCCCAAAGAAUGUCAUGCAGCUGCGACUCUGGCCCGCCCAGGACAGAAAGCCCAUUUUCUAUCAUGAUUGUUUGUCAUAGAAGUAGGAGCCCACCACAUCUAUGAUGAUACCGGGUUUUGUAAAAAUUAUCGUCAUAGAAGUGUUAUAAAUAUGACAAAAAAUAUUUGGUUCGGCCCAAAAUGUCACGGAUGUGUCUUUUUUUGUAGUGUUGUCUUCCUCCUGAUCAGACUCUUUGUCCUUUUCACUGGGCAGGCUCUCUCGGAAGCUCUGAAUCAGGAGUUGACACUGUCGAGUGGUAUGCUUGGGAAGAAUCAGAUUCCCCUCUUCAUCCUUUUUGGUGUGUAUGUGACACAGUAAAUCAAGCACAUCAUUUCCCGCUUGAUCUUUCACUUUUCAGGGGUCCAAGGCCCGUUAGGCUUCCCUUUGAACUUCCCUUUAUUCAAAAUUGUUGCCACGGUAGGGCCUGCAGCCCUAGCUUUUCGUUUCUGCUUCCGACUGGAGUUUCCUCCUCAAGUGUCCUGGGUGCCUGAUCUGUUCUUGCCGCUCCGGAGUCGGUCCUCUUCUUUGCCGUUAGCGUACCGAGUGGCAAUCUCCAUCAUCCGAGUCAGAGUCAUGUCUCCGGUCCGACUGAACUUCAGAUUAUGCUCUCUGUAGAGAACACCUUCUUUAAAGGCACAAACUGCUUGGUGGUCCGACACAUUCUCCCCCGUGUGGUGAAGAGUAGUCCAUCUCUGGAUAUAGUCUCUCAAAGUCUCAUUUUGUUUCUGAAGACAGUGCUGCAAUUCUGUCAAACCGGCAGGCCGCUUACAAGUGCCCUCAAAUGUUUUGGUGAACACCUAAGCUAACUGUUCCCAAUUGAAAAUGCUCCCAGGGGCCAACUGAUUGAACCAGGCUCUGACAGAACCUUCAAGCAUCAAAGGGAGGUGCUUCAUGGACACCUCAGCCGCCGCCAAUAUGCACAACCACCCAGUAAUCCUCCAAUCAAGUGUCAGGCUUUGACUCUCCGGUGAACUUACUGACGCCAGUGGCCAACCUGAAGUUGUGAGGGAUCUCGGCGGCUCGGAUGGCUCUUCCGAAGCACUCGGGGCCAGAAACGUGCACCCUGCUUCCACCGGAUCUAUCUCUAUCCAACCCUUCUCCAUAUGCUCUAUUCCGGUCGACCAAACCUUGUACACGGACUAACCUUGCGUCGAACCCAAGCUCUCUUGGGUCGACUAGAACUCUGCAUUCAUUACCAUACGGGCGCAUGUCAUCAUACCGCCGGGGCGCAUAUGACCCAUAGGCACUCGACGGUGGUUGUCAUGGGCAUACUCAUGAUCAAACUCUCCAUGAGCUCUUCCCAGGUGCCGAUCUCGACAGUGAUCACGAUCUUCAUGUCACAAAGGUGACCCAGGACUGUGUGCUGACUAAACAGUAUCUGCCCUUACUGACCUACUGUGGAUCCUGUUCCAUGACUGGGAAACAACGGAGUUUUGCUCUCCCACUGCUCGGAGCAGUGCUCGGAUCUGUUCCAAGCCUCUUCCAGCUUCUGAAUGAACAACUUAAUAGACUCUGCUCUACGUGCACCAGCUGUAAGAUUCUGGAUCGGAGUGCAGUAUACCUGGGGUUCAAGAGGAAACAACUGUCGUUGGCAUCGACUAGAUUCGGGAAUCAGUCGACGGGCACGUUCGUCAAGAGAAUGUUGGAGGUUCUCCAGACGUGUGCACUCAGCCAACAUGACCAGGCGCAUAGGCUUCAAGGCCCGAGCCUCGGCGAUUUCCCCCAUGAUGGGGGUCUGGAGUGCCUCCACGUUGCGGUGGUGCAACUCUUCCCUCUGCUGUGAAUAGAGAGGUUGGGGCUGAUACUCAUCAUGGUCGUAUGACGGGAAGUCACCAUCGCCAUUGCCGCUGUUGCGGUGAAAUUCGGGGGGGGGGGGCUGCGAUGGGAGUCGACCAUGAGAACUUCUGCCACGGGGCCACAGCUCCCGCACUCGGAAAAAGUAUCCGCAGUGCCAGUUGACGGGUCGACUGGACCGCAGUGAAAUUCAUCGGGCUCAAUCGCCGCGACUUGAGGGGUGGUCACCUGGCGAGCCAGUGCGUGCUUCACCCACCGUUGGAGCCGCGACCGACCAGAUUGCUUGCGGCGGCAUCCAGCAGAGUGAGCAGGCGAUGCGAAGACGAUCGAUACGAAGUCGAUGACUGUCAUAGGAGGACGCCAUAGGCACUCGCGCGAAAGUGCGAUGACCUACGGAUCGGAAGAGCCUCGACGUCAAGGGGGGCUUCUUGGAGCCAAGCAGAGUCGGCGGCGAUGAAACUAAGCAUGCCAAGUCGGAACUGGCGGCCCAUGACUAAACCGCCACCGGAAACCAUGUUGAUGAAGAUCGGAGGAAAUGCAACGUCGCCGGAAGUUGCCAAGACGCUUUGCCCCACUGUGGGCGCCGACUGUCAGGGUACUAAGUCUGACAGUAAGAGUAGGGGGUACGUAUGAGGAGACAAGGCCCUAGCUACAGCGAGUGACACGUCUCCAACGUAUCUAUAAUUUUUGAUUGUUCCAUGCUAUUAUAUUAUUUGUUUUGGAUAUUUAAUGGGCUUUAAUAUGCUCUUUUAUAUUAUUUUUGGGACAACCUAUUAAACGGAGGCCCAGUGCCAGUUUCUGUUUUUUUGCCUAUUUCAGUGUUUUACAGAAAAGGAAUAUCAAACAGAGUCCAAACGGAAUGAAACCUUCGCGGGGAUCUUUCUUGGACUAAAAGCAAUCCAGAGACUUGGAGUUGAAGUCAAGGACUCUACGAGGAGACCACGAGGCAGGAGGGCGUGCCCAGGGGGGCAGGCGCGCCCCUACCCUCGUGGGCCCCUCGUAGCUCCACCGACGCACUUCUUUCGCCUAUAAAUACUCUUAUACCUGUGAAACAUCAGGGGGAGCCACGAAACCACUUUUCCACCACCGCAACCUUCUGUACCCGUGAGAUCCCAUCUUGGGGCCUUUUUCGGCCAUCUUCCGGAGGGGGAAUCGAUCAUGGAGGGCUUCUACAUAAACACCAUUACCUCUCCGAUGAAGCGUGGGUAGUUUACCAUAAACCUUUGGGUCCAUAGUUAUUAUCUAUAUGGCUUCUUCUCUCGCUUUGAUUCUCAAUACCAUGUUCUCCUUGAUGUUCUUGGAGAUCAAUUCGAUGUAAUAUUCUUUUGCAGUGUGUUUGCCGAGAUCCGAUGAAUUGUGGAUUUAUGAACUUGAUUAUUUAUGAAUAUUAUUUUGUUCUUCUCUGAAUUCUUAUAUGCAUGAUUUGAUAUAUUUGCAAGUCUCUUCAAAUUACCAGUUUAGUUUGGCCUACUAGAUUGAUCUUUCUUGCAAUGGGAGAAGUGCUUAGCUUUGGGUACAAUCUUGUGGUGUCCUUUCCCAGUGACGGUAGGGGCAACAAGGCACUUAUUGUAUUGUUUCCAUCAAGGAUAAAAAGAUGGGGAUUAUAUCGUAUUGCUUGAGUUUAUCCCUCUACAUCAUGUCAUCUUGCUUAAUGCGUUACUCCAUUCUUAUGAACUUAAUACUCUAGAUGUAUGUUGGAUAGCGGUCGAUAUGUGAAGUAAUAGUAGUAGAUGAAGAAUCGUUUCAUUCUACUUGACACGGACGUGAUGCCUAUGUUCAUGAUCAUUUCCUUAGAUGUCUUCAUAAUUAUGUGCUCUUCUAUCAAUUGCUCGGCAGUAAUUUGUUCACCCACCGUAAUACGUGCUAUCCUGUGAGAAGCCACUAGUGAAACCUAUGGCCCCCCGGGUCUCUUUUCCAUUAUAUUGAAUCUAUUAUUUUCCUGUUAACUUGCCAAUUUCAGUCACCGUUACUUUUUAUUGCAAUCUUUACUUUCCAAUCUAUACAACAAAAAUACCAAAAAUAUUUACUUUACUAUCUCUAUCCGAUCUCACUUUUGUGAUUGGCCAUGAAGGGAUUGAAAACCCCUUUAUCGCGUUGGUUGCAAGGUUCUUGAUUGUUUGUGUGGGUACUAGGUGACUUGUGUGUCCUCUGCUAUUGGAUUGAUACCUUGGUUCUCAAAACUGAAGGAAAUACUUACGCUACUUCGCUGCAUUACCCUUUCCUCUUCAAGGGAAAACCAAUGCAUGCUCAAGAGGUAACAAGAAGGAUUUCUGACACCGUUGCUGGGGAGAUCUACGCCAAGUCAAGACAUACAAAGUACCCAUCAUAAUCUCUUUUGCCUUACAUUACAUUAUUUUCCAUUUGCCUCUCGUUUUCCUCUUCCCCACUUCUAAAAGGAUUUUCCAAAACCUUUGCCUUUCCUUUGCCCCCGUCUCUUUUUGCUUGCUUCUUGUGUGGUUGUGUGUUGGAUUGAUUGUUUGUAAUGAUGGCUCAAGACAAUACUAAAUUAUGUGACUUUUACAAUACCAACAACAAUGAUUUUAUUAGCACUCCGAUUGCUCCUUCUACCGAUGCUGAAUCUUGUGAAAUUAAUACCGCUUUGUUGAAUCUUGUUAUGAAAGAUCAAUUUUCUGGCCUUCCUAGUGAAGAUGCCGCAACCCAUCUAAACAACUUCGUUGAGUUGUGUGAUAUGCAAAAGAAGAAAGAUGUGGAUAAUGAUAUUGUUAAAUUGAAGCUAUUUCCGUUUUGGUUUAGACAUCAUGCUAAAACUUGGUUUUAUUCUUUGCCUAAAAAUAGUAUUGAUUCAUGGAAUAAGUGCAAAGAUGCUUUUAUAUCUAAGUAUUUUCCUUCCCCUAAGAUCAUCUCUCUUAGGAUUUAUAUUAUUAAUUUUAAGCAACUUGAUCAUGAGCAUGUUGCACAAGCUUGGGAGAGGAUGAAACUAAUGAUACGUAAUUGCCCCACACAUGGUUUGAAUUUGUGGAUGAUUAUACAAAAAAAUUAUGCUGCAUUGAAUUUUGCUUCUAGAAAUCUUUUAGAUUCGGCCGUGGGAGGCACUUUUAUGGAAAUCACUUUAGGAGAAGGUACUAAACUCCUAGAUAAUAUUAUGGUUUAUUAUUCUCAAGGGCACACCGAAAGAUCCACUAGUAAAAAAGUUCAUGCAAUUGAAGACAUUAAUGUUUUGAGUGGAAAGAUGGAUGAACUUAUGAAAUUGUUUGCUAAUAAAACUGUUUCUUCUGAUUCUAAUGAUAUGCCUUUGUCCACUUUAAUUGAUAAUAAUAAUGAAUCUAUGGAUGUGAACUAUUUUGUUGGUAGGAACAAUUUUGGUAACAGUGUGUAUAGAGGCAAUUUUAAUCCUAUGCCGUUUCCUAGUAAUUCCUCUAAUAAUUAUGGUAAUUCCUACAACAAAUCUUAUGGAAAUUUUUAAUAAGAUGCCCUCUGAUUUUGAAAAUAGUGUUAAAGAAUUUAUGAGUUCGCAAAAGAAUUUGACUGCUUUGCUUGAAGAAAAAUUGCUUAAGAUUAAUGAGUUGACUAGAAAAAUGGAUAGACUUUCUCUUGAUGUUGAUUCUUUGAAACUUAGAUCUAUUCCACCUAAGCAUGAUAUCAAUGAGUCUCUCAAAUAUAUGAGAAUUUCCAUUGAUGAGUGCAAAUAAAGAACCGCUAGGAUGCGUGAUAAAAAAGAUUGCUUUAUAUAAGCGUGUUCUUCUAGUUUUCAUGAUAAAAAUGAUCAUAAUCUAAAAGUGAUUGAUGUGACUCCUAUUAAAUAUUUGUUUUUAAAUAUAAAUCUUGAUAAAGAUGGGACUGGAGAUGAGUCAACUGUAGCUAAAAGGCUGUAACGCCCCGGAUGUAACUUUCCAUAACUGUAACUCCAAUUCUUGACUUUUCUAGAGAUGCGAUAUGAUAUUUCCUUCGUGGUUGGGUUUUUGUCUUUUGUUUUGCAUUUUGUUCAUGUCAUGCAUCUCAUAUCAUAGCAUCAUGCGCAUUGCAUCUGCAUGUUUUCAUAAAGCUUGCAUCCGCUCGUAGUUGCCGCGUUUCCCCCUUGCCUUUGUUAUCCCUUUCGAGACCAACCGUUCAUUUGUUGUCCGACCGUUUGAGCCUAUCUGCACAACCACCACCUCCCCUCGCGCGCGUCUGAAACUUCCCCAAACCCGAACCGCAUGCUCAUCACCGAUGGAUCCGGAUCAUCUCCAAACGUCCCUCUAAAACAUUAUCGGUUCUUUGUUGGACUCACCUAGUCUAUUUUUCUCAACCGCCCGAUUUCGAUCGGAGGGUCCGAAUCUACCCUAAACUCCCCCUCUUUCCUUAUAUAAGAGACUCCUAGUCUAAAUCUAGACAAACCCUAAAAUUAAGGACCCGUGUCCCAUCAAUCCUCCUCCCCGCCGCCACUCUCUCGGGAUCCAUCCCGCAGCCACCCGGUCUCGAUCCAUCUCUGGAUCCCCCUCCUCGUUUUCCUCCACCCACCAACCAGCGCUCUCCACUGCUCCUCCUCGAUUUGCUAGCUUCGAUCCCGAGCUCCUUCGCCACCCGUUGCCCCUUGCCAGAGCAACACCAGCAGGACCACGCGGCCUCCUCUGCCCUCUCCUCGAGCUGCCGCAAGCAGCACCACCACCAGGCCGGCCCCGUCGCGCCACCUCUCCCUUCUCUUCCUUCCUAUGGUUCCAAGUGAUCUAGUUUCUUCUUUCUAGAGUUAUUCAUCAUGUCACAUUUCUCGGUUUGAGAUGCUUCAUCUUUUCUUUUUCGGAGUUCCAAGUUUUCCGCAUUAUCGUCACGGAGCUCCAUCUAAAUCAUUGCAAGGCUUCACCUUAUGUUUUCAACUUCUCUUUCUUUUUAUGAUCCUUUUAUUACCGGAGUUCUAUGGAGGAUCUAAAUGGUUGUUCGUCAAGGAUUCCUUUCAUUCUUCAAGUGUUCUUCAAGUCUUCGCUCAAAGUUAUGACCAGCCAAGCUUUACUCAAAUAUAAACAUGGUGCCCAACAAAUGUUUUGUUUUGAGGAGUUCAAGCAUUCUUCGUCUUGCAUUCCAAAGUGCAAUUCUUUCUACCUUAUCUUUUGAGGUGGUGUUAUGUCACUCUUGACAAUUUCCUUCAUGUUUCACGAUUCAUAUGUUGUCAAGAAUGAGGUAUUUUAAAUCCAUCAAUCUCUUUGUUGGAGUUAUCUUGGUAUAGAUUUCACCUGAAGCCUUCCCUAAGGAAUGUUGCUAUUUGUGGUGCUUAUCAAUGAUCCAAGCUUUCUCCAUAUCCUUCUUGGUGAAAGAGGUUUUUCAUCUCUUCGUUGAUCUCAAGCAAGCAAUUGUUUUUCGUUAGUGGCAGAAUUUCACCUCAAGUGUUGAGAUGUUUCCAUAAGCCCACUACAAGCUUAUUCUUUUCGUUGUUGGUUUUCCAACAACUCCGUCGUAACCUUCUUGGAAGGGUGCUUUCCAAGCUCUUUCACUACAAGAAAUAUGUCAACUAGUGACCUUCUGUCAGUGACCCUGGAAGAAUUGGUCAUAGAUCUAUGACCAUUUGAGACCAAUUGGUCAAAAGCUGUUCGGGGGGCUCCAAACCCUAAACGAUUGCGACCAUUUUGGUCAAAAAGGUCAUAAUUUCCUUACACGAAAUGGUCACAAAUCAAACAGGGCUGGUCUGCUGCCUUAUUUCUAGUUGUUAACGACCAAUAUAGAUGGUUAUAGCCUUAUAGAUUGUGGUGGGUUGUGAUGACUAGGCGCCAUCUCAUCAGUUUUGCCUAUGUGUCAUGUCCAUGUGUCAAUUUUUGCCCUAGGUUGUGAAGCAACCUAUAUUUCUGUUACUCCAAAAAAUCCCAAAAAAUUCUCAUAAAUUGUUUGGAUCAUAUCUUCAUCAAAUUUGUCAAAAACCUUCCUUGCCUAGUUCAAAAAUAACUCAACAAUAUUCAUUUUCCUAUCCUGUUCAAAGCAGCACUUUGUGACGGAAGUACCACUUUGGCAUGUCCAAAUGGUAUCCAUUUUUUACAGUGCUUUCCUAUGCCCAAAUAACCAUCCUCCACCAAAGGCCAGCUCAAUCCAUUCAUUAUUUUGAGCCCAGCUUCAACAUUCGUAUUUAUGUCCAGUGUGGUACUUUGCAAAGCAAGUACCACCUAGGCUCCUCCUUUUGAGGUGAAAAUUUGUGAAGACGGUCUUCUUAGUAACUGAUCAUCCUUAGAGAAAACUCACGCCCAUUAGCCAUGUCCAUUUUCCAUACCGCAAAUCAAACACCUGGCUGCUUAUUCAUGUUUGAGCAUCGAUCGGUCUCCUCGUGAGAAUCUUAUGUUGUGAUUUUCUUCCUAGCACCUACCUGGGGAGUGCCCAACCCACUAGACAUGCCUAGGCCGCACAAAACACAUGGCAAUGCCACGGUCACGCGGUGACCACGCGGCGGGCAUGCGAGCUUACGCGCUCUAGAGUUGGGGCCCUCGGCCAUCGUCCAAACCUCGAUGUCUCGCCAUCAAACCAUGUAUUUCUGAUUAAAUAGAUACUUAUUUACCUAGAAAUGAUUUUUGGAAAAAAUAAAGAGCAAACUAUGAGGCAGCUGCAGUUUAAAUAUGACCCGCUUCCAACUGAAUCGACGGGAAUUUAUCUUCUUCACCAGAGGUGGAUCAAAACUUUUGACACCCAACCAUUUUGUCAAUUGUGCAUUAAAUAUGUCCUAGUAUUUUAUAAAAUUGAUUAGGUCCAAUUUUGUAACAAAUAUAUGGUAGGUCCUUCACAAAAAAAAACUCAUUUCGGGCACUCGGAAAAUGGAAAAUGAAUUUUCCGUGCAAAGAAAAUGAAAACUCCCUUAGGCAACAUUGUUUGGAAUUCCAAGAUGCACCCUUGUGCACAAUAUUAGAUCAUUUGAACAAACUAUGCCAUGAAUGUGGCCAUAAGAUUGAUCAUUUGGCUUGAAAGCCAUGAAUCUUCACACUUGAUAGCUCAUUUCUGAGAACACUUUUUUUAAAAUAAUUACCAUAUUACAAGUUUAUUAUUUUUCCUGGAAACUUGGUCACAUAUAAUGAUACAAUGCGAAGGUUUUCCAAUUUUUUGAUUUUAUUUUGAAUUUUUUAUGCCCGUUUCAAAAUACGGUCAAAACGGCGGGAAUGACCGUUCCUAGCUAGUGGUUGAAUCUUGGAAUUUUUUUUGGUGUUUCUCUUAUUAAAUAGAUACUUAUGUACCUAGAAAUGAUUUUUGGAAAAAAUAAAUAGCAAAGUACGAGGCAGCUGAAGUUCAAAUUUGACCCGCUUCCAACUGAAUCGACGGGAAUUUUUCUUUUUCACCAGAGGUGGAUAAAUUUUUUUGACACCCAACCAUUUGGUCAAUUGUACAUUAAAUAUGGCCUAGUAUUUUAGAAAAAUGAUUUGGUCCAAUUUUGCAACAAUUAUUUGGGAGGUCCUUCACAAAAAACCUCCUUUUGGGCACUCAAAAAAUGGAAAAUGGUUCUUUCAUCCAAAGAAAAAGAAAACUUCCUUAGCCAUUCCAAUAUGCACCCUUGUGCACAAUAUGAGAUCAUUUGAACAAACUAUGCCAUGAAUGUGGCCAUAAGAUUGAUCAUUUGGCUUGAAAGCCAUUGAUCUCCACACGUGAUAGCUCGUUUCUGAGAACACUUUUUUAAAAUAAUUACCAUAUUACAAGUUUAUUAUUUUUCCAGGGAACUUGGCCACAUAUAAUGACACAAUGCGAAGGUUUUCCAAUUUUUUGAUUUUUUUUGAAUUUUUUAUGCCCAUUUCAAAAUGUGGUCAAAACGACGGGAAUGACCGUUCCUAGCUAGUGGUUGAAUCUUGGAUUUUUUUGGUGUUUCUCUGAUUAAAUAGAUACUUAUGUACCUAGAAAUGAUUUUUGGAAAAAAUAAAGAGCAAACUACAAGGCAGCUGCAGUCGAAAUUUGACCCGCUUCCAACUGAAUCGGCGGGAAUUUGUCUUUUUCACCAGAGGUGGAUAAAAACUUUUUACACCCAACCAUUUGGUCAAUUGUGCAUUAUAUAUGGCCUAGUAAUUUAGAAAAAUGAUUAGGUCCAAUUUUGCAACAAAUAUAUGGUAGGUCCUUCACAAAAAAACACAUUUUGGGCACUCGAAAAAAUGGAAAAUGAAUUUUUCGUCCAAAGAAAAUGAAAAGUUCCUUAGGCAACAUUGUUUGGAAUUCUAAGAUGCACCCUUGUGCAUGAUAUGAGAUCAUUUGAACAAACUAUGCCAUGAAUGUGGCCAUAAGAUCAAUCAUUUGGCUUGAAAGCCAUGAAUCUUCACGCAUGAUAGCUCAUUUUUGAGAACACUUUUUUAAAAUAAUUGUCUUAUUACAAGUUUAUUAUUUUUCCUGGAAACUUGGUCACAUAUAAUGAAACAAUGAGAAGGUUUCCCAAUUUUUUGAUUUUUUUGAUUUUUUUAUGCUUGUUUCAAAAUGCGGUCAAAACGUCGGGCUUGACCGUUGCUAGCUAGGGGUUGAAUAUUGGAAAACUUUCGAUGUUUCUCUGAUUAAGUAGAUACUUAUGUACCUAGAAAUGAUUUUUUGAAAAAAUAAAGAGCAAACUAUGAGGUAGCUGCAGCUCAAAUUUGGCCCGCUUCCAACUGAAUCGACGAAAAUUUGUCUUUUUCACCACAGGUGGAUAAAAACUUUUUACACCUAGCCAUUUGGUCAAUUGUGAAUUAAAUAUGGCCUAGUAUUUUAGAAAAAUGAUUUGGUCCAAUUUUGCAAUAAUUAUUUGGUAGGUUCUUCACAAAAAAACCUCAUUUGGGGCACUCGAAAAAUAAAAAAUUAAUUUUCCAUGCAAAGAAAAUGAAAACUCUCUUAGACAACAUUGUUUGGAAUUCCAAGAUGCACCUCGUGCAAAUAUUUGAUAGCUUCUUCACAAAAAAAAUUCAUUUUGGACACUCAAAACAUAAAAAUUAAAAUGCUGACAUGAUUUUACACUUUAUUUUUAUUUGACCACGACCAAUUUUGAAUGGUCAUAACGUCCAAUAAUAAAUGGUCAUAAUGUUAUACACGUGUACUGUGUUCUGAUUGGGCCAUAGACAUCUCACGCGGAUCAUGCGUCAAGCACCUAUGGAUGCUCGUGGAUCCAACGGUAGCCCUCGCACCCCCACCCUCUCACCCACCUAGCCCUAACACAACCCCCCACGCCCCCAGUUCCCCACCUUCUCCACCUUCUCUCCCUCUCUCCCUUCUGGAUCCACCGUCGCCGCACAACACUCCUCCUUCUGGAUCCCCCCAUCUCCACACCGCCGCGGCCCCCCUCUCGAUCCACUCCUCUCCGUGCCCACCACCCCCUUCCUNNNNNNNNNNNNNNNNNNNNNNNNNNNNNNNNNNNNNNNNNNNNNNNNNNNNNNNNNNNNNNNNNNNNNNNNNNNNNNNNNNNNNNNNNNNNNNNNNNNNNNNNNNNNNNNNNNNNNNNNNNNNNNNNNNNNNNNNNNNNNNNNNNNNNNNNNNNNNNNNNNNNNNNNNNNNNNNNNNNNNNNNNNNNNNNNNNNNNNNNNNNNNNNNNNNNNNNNNNNNNNNNNNNNNNNNNNNNNNNNNNNNNNNNNNNNNNNNNNNNNNNNNNNNNNNNNNNNNNNNNNNNNNNNNNNNNNNNNNNNNNNNNNNNNNNNNNNNNNNNNNNNNNNNNNNNNNNNNNNNNNNNNNNNNNNNNNNNNNNNNNNNNNNNNNNNNNNNNNNNNNNNNNNNNNNNNNNNNNNNNNNNNNNNNNNNNNNNNNNNNNNNNNNNNNNNNNNNNNNNNNNNNNNNNCUUCCUCCUCACCCACCGCCCCGACCUCCGCUCCGCGCCGCUCCGGGAUCCAUCCACCGACCCAGGAUGUCAUCACCCUAGGGUUCCGGCGCAUGCACCUCGCCCCCUGCCUCUCCACCCACACGGCCAUGCCCUACCUCUCCUUCGUCGCAGACCUAGACCUCGACAACUUCGUCGCAUCCCUGCCGCAGCCCCACGGCUCCUCGUCGUCCUCAUCUUCCUCCUCUCCCUGUCUGUCGAUCCACCAAAUCAGCCGCCGCCGCCGGCGAGCUUGUCCCCCUCAAAUCUCUCGCCGCCGACGGCCUCUCCUUCUCUCCCAGGCUGCAGAUCGAGCCAACAAAGUCAGGUUGCGGCCAGAUCUGCCAGGCUCGGGACGGGAGAGACGGAGAGGGAGAGUGGUACGCCACCACCACGCCGUCGUCGAGCUCCAUCUGUCCAGCACCUCCGCCAUGGAGACGGAGACGAAGACAGAGCUCUUCUCCCCUCCCCAACCACGCAGCGCAGCGUAGCAUAGCGGCAGAGGACCCCUCCCUAGCGCCUAGGGUUUCGGUCCGCCCACACCGUCGUCGAGCUCUCUCCGGCGACCCUGCAGCAUCUCCGAUGACGCACAAGGUACGUACGCCCAUCCUCCUCCUGUAACCCUAGCCCCUCCCCUCCCCUCCCCUCCCCUCAUCCUCUUCUGGAUUUGUUGGUCUGACCCAUGCGGUUGGUUUGUGCAGGUCAUCACCAUGGAACGUGUGAAGGAAGAGCACCAUCCCCAUGGCCAUGGCCAUGGCCAUGGACAUGGAAGGCCCUUCCUUCCUUCCUUCCGUCCCUCUCUAUGUGGAGGCCAUGGUCAGGUCAAUCUCUUUCCCUUUUCUAAAUCUCUCCUCUGCCAUACUUUGCUAUUGCUGCUGCUGCUAUGAGAUCCAUAACAAAUAUCAAGGGGUUUGCAUAUUUUCUUAAUCUGAACCAUAACAAAUCCAUUGUUUGUGUGGUUUCCAUCCAUCUCAUAUCAUAUCCAUGUCUUUGUCUUCUGUCAAGGGAAGGCCGACCAGGCCGGGCCGACAGAGGAGGGUGGACUUGAUCAAGAAGUCGCUCUCGUGGUCCAAGGCGGCGCCGAUCACAGAGACGGCCAUCCGCGCUGCCGUUGGCGACAAUGUUGUAACUAGAAAGGCUGUGCGCUGGUGAGUAGGACACUUCCGCUAAUCCAACUAUCAUCUCUGAAGAUGUUCUGAAAUUUGUUGGCUGACUCUCUGUUUGGAAUUCGCAGGUUGCUGAAGGAGAAGAGAGGGUUGCGUCGUGCGGGCACUGGUGGCCGCUCGGAUCCGUAUGUGUACAUGGUACAUGAAAUCCAUGCCACACAGUUUGCGUUUGGAUGAUGAUUUGAUUUCUAAAAGUAGCUAAAUGUAAGCUCUGACUAAAUCAGUAUAACUGAGAGUCAGUGUCCAACUUCUAGAUGGAGUUAGGGAGUUGUUACUUAUUGGACUAGUAAUUUCCAGUUAUUCAGUAGAGAGUAAGUAGAAUCUGAAAGCAAUUGUUAAAUCUUAUUAAUUUAUCCUAGUUCCACUCACAGCCUCAGUCCUAUAAUUCUGGAAGCCAGUUGAAUCCCGAACACUGCACAUUUCAAAAAAUGCUUCCACACCACAUAAUUCCAUUCCUUGAUACAGAAAGUACAUCAAGUUCUGAUAUACAUCGAUCCUGCUUUCCUCGUACCAAUAAAGCAUGUCCAUAACUUUGGAUUAUAGCAAAAAAAUUGCUAAAAGAACAAAUGCCCAGUUAAAGCUCUGAAUGAACCGAUAGUUGAUCUGAUUUGCUUUUAAACUGUACCUGUGUACUAAACCCAGUUUCAGUUGGCCUUGUAUUUAUAUUUUUGUCUUGUUUGUCGUUUUGCUAGUCUCACUACAGUUAGCUCUAACAACCCAGUUCAGUAUUUCAAUUACGGAGUGGCCUGUCCUAUGCUGUGUCCUGCCACUCAAACGUAUUUUGGGGGCAUGAUCAAUCAUUUUAUCAUGAUUGAAAGAAUAGCCCAUAAUUUGCUUCUACUUUUAAGCUAAAAAAUGUUUGUGCAGUAAACAUUAUAUGCAAGAUUGUCACUGCCAUGCAUGCACAUUAUACAUUUGGUUCUUCUCUAUCUAUGCUUACAAGUCAGGUUGUUUUUGUGGCAUCCAGGGGCACAAUGCUGGUGCUAGUAGGCAAGCUAGCACCCAUGGAUUCGUGAACUGGCUUGGAUGUGUACUUGGUCGCCGGGGUUGGAUGAGGACGCGCCAACAAGGUGAGACCAUCACGAUCCACCCUCCUACUUCCUUCUCGUGAUUCCCUAACUGCUCAACAUGUUGAUCUGUUCUGAACAUCUGAAGCUUGCUAUGUGCAGGGUGACUAGUGAUGUUUAGUGUUUAUUGUGCGUGUUUUCUACACACAGACACAUGGUCCUUAUGUUUCAAUCUCCUCUACUGCUUACUGACAAAGUACUACGCACGUACAGUAGUUGAGUAGUAGUGUGUAGGGACUCUUGAGGAAAGUUUACGUACUUAAACAUUAUGCUUAAAAUAAAAGUUGUAAUUCCCUUGUAGUAGUAUGUUUAGGAAUGGCUGCAUGAAAUGAUUGUCCAGUACUUCAAAUAUUUGAAUCGGGGUUAAUGUAAUCACUUGUUGCAUCCUGUUUGAUUGAUCGGAGAAGCUAAUAGGAAAGCAAAGCAAAUAGGAAAAGCAUGUGCUGCUACUUUUGCUUAUCCUCCGCACACUAGUAAAGCGAAGCAUCCUAUUUUGAUUUCUUCAUUCAUGAUGCAUAAAAUUCUGGUAUUGUGUUCAUAUGGCUAAUCUGCUGGUGUUGUGCAUAAAAUUCCAGGAUCUUUGCGUGUAAGUUCUGGCUGUAGUGCCUAUCUUUAGUAAGAUUAAAUUGCUACUAUUACUAAUGAAUGGUUGAGUUCUACUAUUACUGAUGAAUGGUCCUGUAGUGUUUAAAACUGAUAAUUAUGAUGCAUUGGUUGUCCAUAUGGCCUUCUUUUUUAAUGCAUAUAUAUAUUAUGUAGUUGAUAAGCCUUGAUCUCAACCUAUCAAGUUUAUGUUCCCCGGUGUGUAGUUAACUUGUCAUUUUUAUUGGCAAGCAUGUAAUGAAUUUAUUAGAAUUUUUCUCCUAUAGUCGUGUACAGUAUGUAGCAAAAAGGUCUGUGAGGGAGUCCUGGACUAGGGGGUGUCCGGAUAGCCGAACUAUCAUCAUUGGCCGGACUCCAAGACUAUGAAGAUACAAGAUUGAAGACUUCGCCUCGUGUCCGGAUGGGACUUUCCUUGGCGUGGAAGGCAAGCUUGGCAAUACGGAUAUGUAGAUCUCCUACCAUUGUAACCGACUCUGUGUAACCCUAGCCCUCUCCGGUGUCUAUAUAAACCGAAGGGUUUUAGUCCAUAGGACGAACAACAAUCAUACCAUAGGCUAGCUUCUAGGGUUUAGCCUCCUUGAUCUCGUGGUAGAUCUACUCUUGUACUACCCAUAUCAUCAAUAUCAAUCAAGCAGGAGUAGGGUUUUACCUCCAUCGAGAGGGCCCGAACCUGGGUAAAAACAUCGUGUCCCUUGUCACCUGUUACCAUCCGCCUAGAUGCACAGUUCGGGACCCCCUACCCGAGAUCCGCCAGUUUUGACACCGACAUUGGUGCUUUCAUUGAGAGUUCCUCUAUGUCGUCGCUCAUAGGCCCGAUGGCUCCUUCGAUCAUCAACAAUGACGCGGUCCAGGGUGAGACUUUUCUCCCUGGAUAGAUCUUUGUAUUUGGUGGCUUUGCACUGCGGGCCAAUUCGGUUGGCCAUCUGGAGCAGAUCGAAAGCUACGCCCUUGGCCACCAGGUCAGAUUUGGAAGUUUGAACUAUACGGCCGACGUCCGCGGAGACUUGAUCUUCGACAGAUUCGAGCCACAGCCGAGCGCACCGCAUGCACUGCCACGAUGGGCAUGAUUUAGCUCUGCUGCCGGACAGUGCCCUGGAGGCCGCACGAGAGUCCGCUCCGACCCUUAACUCGGAGUCGACUGCGCCGAUCGAGGAUGGGUGGCUAGACACCACCUCGGGGGCUGCUACGGCGAUGGAGCCGAAUACCGACCCUGUCCCUUGUGACUCCAAGGUGUCGGAUUCUUCUCCGGACACCGAACCUUCCGCGUUUCGGCCAAUCAGAUCCGAUCGGGCGCCGAUCAUGGAGUUCCCUACUACGGACAUCCUUCAGCACUCGCCUUUCAGCGAUAUCCUGACUGCGCUAAAGUGCCUCUCUCUAUCAGGAGAGAUAUGGCCGGAUUUUGGCCAGGAUGGUUGGGAUGCGGAUGACGAAGAAAUUCAAAGCCCACCCACCACCCACUUCGUAGCCACUGUCGAUGAUUUAACCGACAUGCUAGAUCUCGACUCCGAAGAUAUCGACAGUAUGGACGAUGAUGCCGGAGACGACCAAGAACCAGCGCCCAUAGGGCACUGGAAAGCCACCUCAACUCACGAUGUAUACAUGGUGGAUACACCAAAAGGAAGCGAUAACGAGGAACAACGGGACGCUGCAAACGAUAAUUCCCCUGAAAAACAGCCAAAACGGCGAUGCAAGCGCCACCCGAAGUCCCGCCUCGACAACAACAACACCCAUAUAGACCCAGCCAUAGAGCAGGCCGAACCAGUGGACGACGAACAUGCCAACAAGCAACCAUCCGAACAAGAUGAAUUGGAUAAACAACACAUCCCCGGCGAAAACAACAGUCCGGAUGAUCUCACACCGGACACAUCGUUGGAAUAGAAAAACCUUCACAAAAGGCUCGUCACCACUGCACAAAGUCUGAAGAAGCAGAAGCGGAAGCUCAAAACAGCGGAAGACAUACUCAGAAUGAGAUGGAGAAAAGUACUCAAGACCACGGACAAGUACGGCGAUAGCCGCCAAACAAAGAGCUACCCGAAGCGCAAACUACUGCCCGAAAUUUGACAAAGAGGUCAUGCAUAGAUCCCCCACAAUCAAAAAACAAAGGGGCUGCCCGGUCGGAUAGACGACCACAUGACAAACAAAGAACGGCAAGCGGCGCCACACACAAGCCGGCACAGGAUCCACAUAAGGAUCCUCAUAAAAAGGAUGGCCCGGUCAGGUCCAUCUACGGGCCAAGAAGGAAGGCUCCAGGGAGCAAAACAACACGUCGAGUGUUCGAAAAUAACGGCACACCUAAAUACAGGGGCGCCGCACACCCCCUAUGUUUCACCGAUGAGGUAUUGGAUCAUGAGUUUCCAGCGGGAUUCAAGCCCAUAAACAUAGAGGCAUACGACGGAACAACAGAUCCCGGAGUCUGGAUUGAGGAUUACAUCCUACACAUACAUAUGGCUAGAGGAGAUGAUCUCCAUGCCAUAAAAUACCUACCCCUCAAGCUCAAAGGGCCAGCCCGGCAUUGGCUAAAAAGCCUCCGAGAAAAUACCAUUGGAAGUUGGGAAGAGCUCGAGGAUGCGUUUCGGGCAAAUUUUCAGGGGACUUAUGUCCGCCCUCCGGAUGCAGACGAUUUAAGUCACAUAACUCAACAGCCCGGAGAGUCAGCCCGCAAAUUCUGGAAUAGGUUCCUCACCAAAAAGAACCAAAUAGUCGACUGUCCGGACGCCGAAGCCUUAGCAGCCUUCAAACAUAACGUCCGAGACGAAUGGCUCGCCAGACACCUCGGCCGGGAAAAGACAAGGACAAUGGCCGCACUAACGAGCCUCAUGACCCGCUUUUGCGCGGGAGAAGAUAGCUGGCUGGCAAGAUGCAGCACCAGCGACCCGAGUACAUCAGAGGUCAGGGAUGUAAAUGGGAAACCACGACACCGAAAAGACCAGCGCCGGACUAAGGAAAAUGGCCCAAAGAGAACGGCAGUCAACACCGGGUUCAAAAGCUCUCGGCCGAACAACAAAACACUGCCUCUUAAGGACAACAGUGACGAGCUAUCCAACCUAAACAAAAUCUUGGACAGGAUAUGUCAAAUCCACAGUACCCCCGGGAAGCCUGCAAACCACACCCACAGAGAUUGUUGGGUCUUCAAGCAGUCCGGCCGACUUAACGCCGAACACAAGGGGCUCGACACACCAAGCGAGGACGAUGACGAACCCCACAAGCAGAGCGCCGGAAAACAAAAGAAUUUCUCACAAGAUAUUAAAAUAGUGAAUUCACUUCAAGUGACAACAAGGAAAAACAGGGUGGCGCCUACUAAAGUACGCGCCGCACGGUCCACCCCAGCGGAGUCCCGAAACUGGAUGUCAAAACCAAUUACUUUCGACCAUCAGGAUUACUCCAGAAGAAUUCGAAACACAGGAUGGACUGCUUUGAUAUUGGAUCCCAUAAUCGACGGACUACAAUUUACACAAGUCCUAAUGGAUGGCAGAGGCGAUAUAAACCUGCUAUACCAGGACACAAUCCGCAGAAUGGGGAUAGACCCUACCAAAAUUCGCCAUAGCAACACCUCCUGUAAAGGGGUGACGCCAGGCCCUUAUGCCAAUUGUAUGGGCUCCUUACUACUAGAAGUCGUGUUCGGUUCAUCCGACAACUUCCGUCGCGAAAAGCUAAUCUUCCAUAUCGCCCCAUUUAAUAGUAGCCAUCAAGCACUAUUGGGAUGCGAAGCUUUCGCCCGCUUUAACGCAAUACCGCAUUACGCGUCUCUUACACUUAAAAUGGCCGGUCCACGCGGUAUCAUCUCAUUAAAGGGAAACUUCGAGUGUUCCUCGACCGCAGAAGAACGUGAGACUGCCUUAACAACCACACACUAAUCCGGCUUUGCUGAUCAAAAGCUCCUAAAACAAGUCAUUCAGACCCCAGACACGGUUAGGCGAGUCCGGUAUAAAUAAACAAGGGGCUUACUAGCCGCGUACCCCUUUACAAGGGGCUGCACGCAUGAACAAUGAGAGCCAAUAAAGCUCAAUUCUAUUCAUUUUUUAAAUCAUACUCUGUUUUAAAUACAUUUUUCGGACAAUAUUUUUCCAAACUAAGUUCUUCUCUUUUUACACAUGAACAACGUGCUACACCCGUUCAGGAUACAGCACAACGGAGACACAGGCACAGACGUGCAGCAGGGACCCGUUACAAGGAUUCUUUUCAGACUAAGACCCCGUGUAAACCUUUUUUACUGUCUCUUCUUGAUAAACAUCCCCCGGUUUCUUACCAUAACCGAGGAGGAGGCUGGUGUUUUGGCAUCGGCCGCGUCAGAAGUUUUCGCGCGUACCUGAACACUAGGGGCUUCGGGCAUUGUUCUGCCCAUUAUCAUAAAGACCGAAUACCUUAGGGAGUGUUCGGCGUCUCGAGUUAGGCCUUAUAUGCACCAGCUCCGAGUCAUGUCUUUGGUCAAAUGUUGGGUUUGCCCGGCUCCUGUGUUUUGCUGCCUUACGUUCCGCUCUAUCGGCUAAUGCGGCACCAGGAGAACUACUGCGAUUGUGCCCCGAUUCGGCCGGGUGAGCACCUCAGUAGAGAAAGCCGAAAACUGACUGUCAUGCUAUAGCGAGAGACUGGUCAACCACUCGAUCGACUACCAGAAUGUUUAGAAUUCCUCUGCUUUGACGAAGGACCGUUUCCCGGUCAGGCACACACGCGCCCCGAGUUCGGAGAGCGCGGUGCCCCUAGGGGCUAUAUAGUAGCCCCACCAUCGAACUCCUAUGGCUAAGUGAAAGUGAUAAAGCAUCAUAGUCUGGUUGCCUAGUUUGCUACGCUAUCACCUCCUUCACAGGACCAAGACGUUGGAUUAAGUGUGAAAAUGCGCUUUUUCGCAAACACCCCCGCACCAUGUGCAUGGGGGCUGAAGCCAAAGACUGCCAUCUUUCAGGUUAUAUAUACAUAUACGUUAACGGCCGCACAGGAGGUAUUUCCAUACUUGAACGCACAAGUAUAAAAAGCCCUUAUAUUAUAAAUAUGGUUUCACAAAUCAUGCAUGUCAUUUGAACACAACGUUUUUCAAGCACUGCGACUCUAUCAAACGAGCGCCCUGCAGGACUUCCCCAAAAUAGUGCUCGGCGGGUAAUCGACUCCUAUCCGAAUAACGGGAUGCAACGUCGGUGGCCUCCAUUUCUGCCCAGUAUAUUUUGACACGGGCGAGAGCCAUCCGUGCACCCUCUAUGCAUGUCGACCUCUUCAUCGUCGUGAUAUGCGGCACCGCAUCAACGAACUGCUGCACCAAGCCACAAUAACUCUUCGGCUCGGGCCUUUUCGGCCACAGAUGAGCCACGACAUCCUUCAUGGCAAGUUCGGACAACCUGUUCAGCUCAGCCCACUCAGCCAACCGAUCGGUUAACGGAAGUGGAUGCUCCGGAUGGAAUUGAGACCAAAAAAGCUCUUCCAUUUCGUGAUCCUUUUGGCUUCGGAAGUGCACGACUCCGUCCGCCGCACUCGUCGCCAAAUUCAGAUAAGCAUCCUCCGCACCCCACAACUGGCCCAACCGAGCAUACUUCGGGUCCGUGAACUUCCUACGCAGCAGAAAGGGCUUUCCAGCCGCAAUAUCCCCGGCCUGACGUAGCUCCUCCUUUAUAGCCCUCAUCACGGAGCGGGCAUCCUUGGCGUUCUCUUGCCCCGCUCGGCGUUCUCUUUCAAGAAACUCAUAGCGGUCGGUAGCAUCCUUCAGCUUCACGACCAUUUUGGCCAUCUCCUCCCUGCUUCGGCAGUGAGCAGCCCGUUCGGCUUUUAGCUCUUCGAACGCCUUCGAGGCAGCCGCAUCACUUUUUCUGGCUUGCUCCUUGGCUCGGGCAAGCUCCGCCCGAAGGACCUCCGUAGCAGCGGCGCCAUCUGCAUCAAGCAUACAUGUCAUAAAGCGUGGGCAUCAAGCUCCCUUACAGAGGUGUCUGCGGAGAAGCCACAUACCUUGUGACUCAUCAAGUCGUUUAUUGACCAACGCGAUAUCCGCAUCCGCAACGUCAAGUUGCCGCUUCAGUUCGGCAACUCUAUCAGUUCGGCUGGGCAUCGAACGUUCCGCCACCUGAAUAGGAAGGGAGACAUCUUAUAACUGAGAUUAUGAUCCUCGGCACGCCAUCGCUUUUGACAACGUACCGAGUCUCAGGGGCUACUAUCUAUAAAGGGCGCACUCUAUGUGCAAAACUGUCAACGGGUAUAUCAUUUUUAUGUACCUCAAACCCUGUCAGUAAACUUCGGACGGCCUCAUGCAACCUGCUCUCAACGGAUGAAAUCCUUUCAAUCACCGUACUCAUUAAUGUACGGUGAUCUUCUGAGAUAGACACCCUCUCGAGCAGAUCCUUCAGCUCCUCCGGCCGUACACCAGUUGGUGCCGAACUCUCCGGCCCCGCCGGACUCGGCGAGACCCUCCGCGACGACACCUCGGGGUCGUCCGUCCCGCCUGACGGUGCGGAAGAUGGAGGCGUCUCGCUCUCCAUCAUCUCCGUACGAAGAUCCCCUGAAGAUGAGCUCUGCUGAGAAGGGCUGAGAUCCGAACUACAAGGUAAGAACUUCGGUUAUCCUCAGAAAUAAAAAAAGGGAUGUCCCUUAUUACAGAACUCCCCUUUUUCUACUUAUGGCUCGCUGGAGGGCCGAUUCCCUUGGGGAAAUAGUGCGUCCGGGGCUUCUCCUGGCGCAGGACCCUCCGGUGAAGAUUUCUUCCCCCGCUUUGGGGCCUUGGCCUCCGGAUCUUAGGAAGCGGUCCUCUUCUCCCCCUGGAGGGAGGGAUUCUCGAUCCCCCCUUUCUUGAGAGCCUCUUUAGUGGAGGCGGUAGUUUUCCUGUUUUCCCCUUCGCCCUCUUCUAAAGGCGCAACCUCCAGCAUCUUGACCAACACGGGAUCCGGCGUGGUCUUAGGGAGGGGGGCCGGACACCGUAUCAGUUUUGCUUUCGCUGUCCACUCCUGUUCAAGGGAUUGCUGGUUAAAAGGCAAAUCUACGAUAAAUGAACGGACGGUAUGUCCGGACACAGGACUACUUACUUGAGUAUCCUGGUGAUUGCAGCUUAGGCCGGCAUCCUCGGUCAUGUCCGGACAUAUCUCCUGUGAUCUGAAGAACAAUUUAUACAUCUCCACGGGUGUCGCACCCAUGAAGUGUUGAAGAGCUCGCGGUCCCUCUGGAUUGAAUUCCCACAGGCGGAGGGGGCGACGUUUGCAGGGCAGAAGGCGCCAAAUCAACAUGACCUGCGCCACUACGACCAGAUUGAUCUCCCUUUCUUGGAGGUCUUGAAUGCGGCCCUACAAUAGUGGCACGUCCUUGGACGGCCCCCAGUCAAGCCCUUUAUUGACCCAUGACGCCAGCCAUUGUGGAGGGCCCGAGCGAAAGGCAGGUGGCGCCACCUGCCUGGUGCCCCUAGGAGCGGUGAUGUAGAACCACUCCUGUUGCCACAAAACAAGCUCCUCUUGAAAAGAGCCCUCGGGCCAUGGAGCAUCGGCCCUCUUGCUUAUAACUGCCCCUCCGCACUCUGCCUGUCGCCCCUCGAUCAUCUUCGGCUCCACGUUGAAGGUCUUGAGCCACAAUCCGAAGUGAGGGGUACUGCGGAGGAAGGCUUCGCAGACAACAAUGAACGAUGAGAUGUGGAGGAUGGACUCCGGAGCCAAGUCAUGGAAUUCCAGCCCAUAAUAAAACAUGAGCCCCCUCACGAAGGGGUCCAUCGGGAAGCCUAAACCCCGACGGAAGUGAGAUAUGAACACCACGCUCUCGCCAGGCUCGGGGGUGGGAAUGACUUGCCCUUGGGCGGGCAGCCUAUGCGAAAUCUCGCAGGUUAGAUACCUGGCGUCUCUCAGCUUUAGCACGUCCUCUUCCAUGACAGAAGAGGGCAUCCACCGGCCCUGUAGGUCAGAGCCGGACAUUGUCGAAAGUCCGAAUUGCCCGAAUCUGGAGCCUUGGGUGUUGGAACUCGGGGCGAGGGGUGGAUUCGAUUAAGGAUCGAAGAAAAGGAACAUGCCUUGGUCUCAUUAUAAAGGGGUAGAAUACCAAGAGUCGUCCCCGUGACCGUUUGGAACUCGCCUUCGAUGGAGGGGGCGUGGCAACGGGCGCGGUUGGGUUACCCAUGUCCGUAUUGAUGAGAAUCCCUGAAUAAGGGGACACGAUCUCUGCUGUCAUAAGAUGUGCCAAGGAAACCGCUUCGCUAAACGCGCUGAGGUGGAACAAUAAAAACAAUUCGAGUAAAGGCUUGGCCGUGGCGUGACGUCAUGCCACGAAAUACUUCAGCAGAUUGAAGCUGUGUAAAUGUUAUUCUCUAUGCGGUGGUAUGUGGAAUUUAUUUUGCAGAGCCGGACACUAUCCUGGUGUUCACAAUCUUCUAUGAGUUAUUUGGAGGAGCAACCCGCCUUGCAAUGCCAAAUACAAUAUGCGCGCCAGACUCGUCGUCAUUGAAACCUGGUUCAGGGGCUACUGAGGGAGUCCUGGACUAGGGGGUGUCCGGAUAGCCGAACUAUCAUCAUUGGACGGACUCCAAGACUAUGAAGAUACAAGAAUGAAGACUUCGUCCCGUGUCCGGAUGGGACUUUCCUUGGCGUGGAAGGCAAGCUUGGCAAUACGGAUAUGUAGAUCUCCUACCAUUGUAACCGACUCUGUGUAACCCUAGCCCUCUCCGGUGUCUAUAUAAACCGGAGGGUUUUAGUCCAUAGGACGAACAACAACCAUACCAUAGGCUAGCUUCUAGGGUUUAGCCCCUUGAUCUCGUGGUAGAUCUACUAUUGUACUACCCAUAUCAUCAAUAUCAAUCAAGCAGGAGUAGGGUUUUAUCUCCAUCGAGAGGGCCCGAACCUGGGUAAAAACAUCGUGUCCCUUAUCUCAUCUUACCAUCCGCCUAGACGCACAGUUCGGGACCCCCUACCCCAGAUCCGCCGGUUUUGACACCGACAGUCUGUAUUACUGAGGAUGUAUAAUGUAGAAGUAUAGGAACCAUAAAUUCAAGCUUCUGCUGUAGCAUGCUCAAUAUAUAUUGUUAUAGAAUAGUGUUCUACAAAAGGUUGAAACACCAUGGUCUCAGUCAUUUGUAGGAAGUAGAAACACUAAGGCUGACAUGCACUUCACCGUUUCAUUUGUUUUUUCCAAUUUAAUUUUGUGGAUAGUAAAUUUGCGAUUGUAUGCCCUUUGUGAAAAAAUUGCAUUCUACGUUUCCAUGCCCUAUAAUGCUGAAGCGUGGUUCUCUGAUAUUCUGCACCACUGAAAGGCUGAUAUCUUGUAUAAAUUUGGCUUUUGGCAGGUAAUCCUUUUCCCUGCCAUGUUCGGGUGCAUCACUCUCAUGCCGAUGAAGGGUGAGAUCUUGGUCGACACUAUGAAGAAGACCCUGAAGCCUGGUGUGUUCCUCAAAUCGGGACUGAUAGAAACCGAAGGGCCACUCGAAGCUGUCAAAGGGAACUUGUAGAGCUUGUGGUUGUGAUUACACUUGUAGAGCUUGUGGCUGUGAUUACCAUUGUAUCUAAGUUAUAUGAUGUAACAGAGUUAUUUUGGCUGUUAUUUGAAGUAUUAUCUUAUUUGAAGUAUUAUCUGUGCUUUCUGGUAUUUUUGAUUUGAAUAUUGGUUAUUUAUUUAUCGGUGAAUUGAAAAUAUGGACCCACAUAUUAGAACAUGACAAUCGGGACCCAUUUGAGUACUGGACCCAUCUUCUAAAAAAAUACGAACCGUUGAGCCAGAAAGGCCUCGACCCAAAAACAAAAAAGGCUGAAAUAUUAGGCCAGGCCCAUGUAGCAGACCGGAAUGACAAAAAAAUGAUAACUAAAAAGGCCGAAUUUUUGGGCUAGGCCCGUGUAGAAAACCGAAUUGGACCGGGCUGAAUCUUGUGCCACAUCAGCUUGCCACGCUGGAUGCCUAUGUGGCCUGGGGAGGUUGCUAGUGACCAAAACGCGAGAGUGGCUAUAUUUUGGUCAUAAACAUCCACGACCAUUCCAGAAGAAAGGUCGCUAUAGUCAGUUUACGACCGCCAGCUUUUGACCUUCUGUUUUUGGUCACAAAAAGGUCGCAAAUGAAAAACCAUGAACUUUCAGUGACCAAUAGUGGUGGUCACAAGUUGACAUAUUUCUUGUAGUGUUUUGUGGCAGAAGUUGGCAUUUUCUCCUCCAUAUGUUAUUCCAAUGAUCUAUCUUCUAUUCUAUCUUCCGGAGGCAUUGUAAUGUUGCUCUUUUCACUCAUCAUAUCGAAUUGUGAAGGUCAUGUUCUUUUCAUGCUUAUCCAUUUAACCAGCGUACCAUGUCCUCCAUUCAAGUUCUUUUCAUCUUAUCAUGUCUUGCAUCUCUUUUCAACCGGAGGGCCGCCCAACUUCUGGCAUUCGUGUUCUUUGGCUAUCUCAUGAUAUCGGUGUGGCUCCAUAUUCUUUUGGUUCGUUAAGCCCUUGUUUCAUGUCUUUGCAACCUUCAAGGUUCUCGAAUGUUCCUUGUUCCUCUUUGCUAACAGAGUGUUUGCAAUCUUGUUCAUCUCCAUUGUAUUCGUUCUUUCAAUUUUUUUCAACCUCUUAAGGUUCAUGGUUUCACUCGUUUUUCAAAGAAGCAACUUAGUUUUACCUCUUAUCUUCCUCUUCCUUUUCCCUCCGGUGCCAUCCUAGAUCUCGGGACGAGAUCGUCUCGUAGUGGUGGAGUGUUGUAACGCCCCCGAUGUAACUUUCCAUAAUUGUAACUCCAAUUCUUGCCUUUUCCGUAGAUGCGAUAUGAUAUUUCCUUCGUGGUUGGGUUUUUGUCUUUUGUUUUGCAUUUUGUUCAUGUCAUGCAUCUCAUCUCAUAGCAUCAUGCACAUUGCAUCUGCAUGUUUUCAUAAAGCUUGCAUCCGCUCGUAGUUGCCGCAUUUCCCCCUUGCCUUUGUUAUCCCUUUCGAGACCAACCGUUCAUUUAUUGUCCGACCGUUUGAGCCUAUCUACACAACCACCACCUCCCCUCGCGCGCGUCUGAAACUUCCCCGAACCCGAACCGCAUGGUCAUCACCGAUGGAUCCGGAUCAUUUCCAAACGUCCCUCUAAAACAUUAUCGGUUCUUUGUUGGACUCACCUAGUCAAUUUCUCUCAACCGCCCGAUUUCGAUCGGAGGGUCCGAAUCUACCCUAAACUCCGCCUCUUUCCUUAUAUAAGAGACUCCUAGUCUAAAUCUAGAAAACCCUAAAAUUAAGGACUCGUGUCCCAUCAAUCCUCCUCCCUACCGCCACUCUCUCGGGAUCCAUCCCGCAGCCACCCGGUCUCGAUCCACCUCUGGAUCCCCUCCUUGUUUUUCUCCACCCACCAACCAGCGCUCCCCACUACUCCUCCCCGAUUUGCUAGCUUCGAUCCCGAGCUCCUUUGCCACCCGUUGCCCCUCGCCGGAGCAACACCAGCAGGACCCCGCGGCCUCCUCUGCCCUCUCCUCGAGCUGCCGCAAGCAGCACCACCACCAGGCCGGCCCCGACGUGCCACCUCUCCCUUCUCUUCCUUCCUAUGGUUCCUUCCUUCUCCUCUCAUGUUUCGCCCCUCUCUGUGUUUUCCUCGCAUUACAACCACACCAUGGCCGCGACCCAUCGAAGCUUGCAGCCCCUCCGCCAGCCCGCCGCCGCUUUGAUCCGGCAGGCAACGGGCACACCGGCGACCUCCUGCAACCGGAUCCGGGUCCGCCUCCCUUUGCCCGUCCCUCUCCUUCUCAUAUCUCCUUUCUCCCUCACCGCUAAUUCUCUAAAUGUGUUCCCCUGCCAUGUCCUUGCAGCACCAUAGCCGCCCGUCAAGUUCGUGUCCCGGGCCCGAUUUGGACCGGAUCCCCUCUGCUCCGCCGCCUGGCUGCCGAAUCCGCCCCGUUCCGGCCGGUUCCCACCAACCCCGGCGCUAGGACCUUCGGUGAUGCCGCCUCGUGCGUCGCCUUGAACCUGCAGCUGCCUCUGUUCUUCAGUAACGAGAAUGAGCAGCUCGCUCGCCUCGCGUUGACCACGGCCGGGCCACAUCUCGCGCUGCUGGCAAGGCCUAGCGCCCAUUCCAGCCUCCCCCUCCACCGGACCAGGCCAUGGACCAUGGUGAGAAACCCCCCCAGCGCCUAGUUGUUUUUUUUGUGCCCUGCGAAUUUUGCUAAUUAUCCAGGAACUGCUAUAUUACAGAAAAGUCCCUCAUGUUCAUGCAUUUAAUAACUCAUCAACCGUGCAUCUUGUGUAAAUGAUUUAUAUAUGUAGAAUGCUUAGAAUUUCAUCUAGUUUCAUAAUAUGCAACUUUCAACCAUGUUUGAAAUGUUUAAAAUGUUGAUUGUUUAAAUUUGCUCAAAUGCCUUGUUAAAAUGAUUUAUUUCAUAACUAAAUAACCAUAUAUAGCUUCAACUUUAAUAAACUUUAUAUGUAAAUGGGGUCGAAAAAUGCAUAGAUUAACAUGGUGCACUUUGUUUUAUUGUUUAACAACAUUAAAAUAUGGUUCAGGGCAGAAUAGUACCAAAUUCAAAAUAUGGACAUGAGGAUUUCCGGAAUUGUUGUUUGGUGUUCCGGCCUCAUUUAAAUUGCCAAGAUAGUCAGUUUAAUUAUGACUCACCUUUUGCCAUGUUUAACAACAUUUAAUAUUGUUGGGUAGCAUAAAUGAGAGAGAACUAAAUAUUUGAUGUGGUGUUUCGUCAAUAUGCAACUCGUUGCAUAUUGAGCUCCACUUAACUUGUAGUAUUGUUUGUGCACUUCGCCAUGCCAAUUUAAAGUGGACAUGCAUCAUACUUGAUUGUGCAUCAUGCCAUGCUUAUGUGAUGGUUGUUGAUCAUGUUGUUUGCUUCUUUCCGGUUUGCUUCUCUCGUUAGCUUCGGUGUCAUUCCAGAGUUGUGAGGAUUCGUUCGACUACGUCCGUUUGUCUUCUUCUUUGACUCGUUCUACUUCCUUGCGGGAUCUCAGGCAAGAUGACCAUUACCCUCGAUACCACUUCUAUCUUUGCUUGAUAGUUGCUUCGUUCUAUUGCUAUGUUACACUACCUAUCACUUGUUUAACAUGCCUCCCAUAUAGCCAUGUCAGCCUCUAACCUUUUCAACCUUCCUAGCAAACCGUUGCUUGGCUAUGUUACCGCUUUAAUCAGCCCCUCUUAUAGCGUUAUUAGUUGCAGGUGAAGUUGAAGAUUGCUCCAUGAUGGACAGGAUUAUGUUGGGAUAUCACAAUAUCUCUUAUUUAAAUUAAUGAAUCUAUAUACUUGGUAAAGGGUGGAAGACUCGGCCUUAUGCCUGGUGUUUUGUUCCACUCUUGCCGUCCUAGUUUCCAUCAUACCGGUGUUAUGUUCCUUGAUUUUGCGUUCCUUACGCGGUUGUGUGAUUUAUGGGACCCCCUUGACAGUUCGCUUUGAAUAAAACUCCUCCAGCAAGGCCCAACCUUAAUUUUAACAUUUGCCACCUAAGCCUUUUUCCCUUGGGUUCUACAGACUCAAGGGUCAUCGUUAUUUACCCCCCCUCCCCGGGGGCCAGUGUUCGUCCGGGUGCUGGUCCAAACCGAGCAAUGUCCGGCGCCCCCUGGGCAACCAGGUCUAUGCCAACCCGAUGUCUGGCUCAUCCGGUGUGCCCUGAGAACGAGAUACGUGCGACUCCUAUCGGGAUUUGUCGGCACAUCGGGCGGCUUUGCUGUUCUUGUUUUACCAUUGUCGAAAUGUCUUGUAAACCGGGAUUCCGAGACUGAUCGGGUCUUCCCGGGAGGAGGUAUAUCCUUCGUUGACCGUGAGAGCUUGUGAUGGGCUAAGUUGGGACACCCCUACAAGGUAUGAACUUUCGAGAGCCGUGCCCGCAGUUAUGCGGCAGAUGGGAAUUUGUUAAUGUCCGGUUGUAGAGAACUUGACACCAGAUACGAAUUAAAACGCAUCAACCGCGUGUGUAGGCGUGAUGGUCUCUUUUCGGUGGAGUCCGGGAAGUGAACACGGUUUUAGGUUAUGUUUGACGUAAGUAGGAGUACAGGAUCACUUCGUGAUCAUUGUUAGCUUCACGUCCAUCCGUUGCUUCUCUUCUCGCUCUUAUUUGCGUAUGUUAGCCACCAUAUAUGCUUAGUCGCUGCUGCAACCUCACCACCUAUCCAUUUCUUUACCCAUUAAGCUUUGCUAGUCUUGAUACCCAUGGUAAUGGAAUUGCUGAGUCCUUGUGGCUCACCAGAUACUAUCACAACAGUUGCAGGUGCCGAUGAUACCAGUGCAGGUGACGCAACCGAGCUCAGAUGGGAGCUCAACGAAGGUCUUGGUCGUUGCUAUGUUUCGUUUCAUGUUGAUCAGUAGUGGAGCCCAGUUGGAACGAUCGGGGAUCUAGCAGUUGGGCUAUCUUCUUUUCUUUUGGCUUCGUCCGUAGUCGGACUAUGUGUGUGCUCUGAAUGAUGUAUGAUUUAUUUAAGUACUUGUGUGUAGUGACGAUUGUAAGCCAACUCUUUAUCCCAGUCUUGUUCAUUACAUGGGAUUGUGUGAAGAUGACCCUUCUUGCGAUAAAACCACAAUGCGGUUAUGCGUCUAAGUCGUGCUUUGACACGUGGGAGAUAUAGCCGCAUCAUGGGCGUUACAAGUUGGUAUCAGAGCCUCGACCGACCAUAGGAGCCCCCUUGAUUGUUGGCCGUUGUUGAGUCUAGAAGAAAAGUAUUUUUGAGUCUUAGGAUUAUAUAUAUCGGAGAGUAGGAUUCUUUUUACUCCUCUGCCCCUUCGUCGCUCUGGUGAGGUCUCCUAACGUAGAUGUUUUGUCUUUCCUCUCCUCAAAUUUUCACUAAUUUUUUAGGAUCACGCGGGUAUCUUCGGAUCGUUCCGAUAUUCUUAUGAUGAGAACAUUGUUAUUGGUGCCUCCUGACAAUUAGGGGUUGUGGCAAUGUCCCGGGGAGUUGAGCUCCGAGGUGUUGUCGUCAUAAUUUUAUCGUUGCAGUUCUACAAUACCUGAGUUUUGCCGACAUCGAAAAUCUCUUUUAUGCAGUUGUUGGUGAGAUAACCUCGUCGCCACCAAGUACUGGGGCGGGAGUUCGGGAGUAUUGCCAUAACUCAUAUAACGGAUGCUUUUCGAAGGUUGAGGUACACGAUUUCCGAAGGUUUCUUGGUUAUGUGUUGACGGAAGGAUACAGCUUGGAUGUAGGGAUUGUUAGUUUGGGUGAGAUAUAUUGCUUCCCCUGUAUCCCCAACACCAUAUUGCAUAACCAGAAAGCUUCGGGAGUUUACAGGUGGAAAUUCAAGUAGCUCCUAGAAUAUCUUUCCGACAGAUGCAUGAUAUGAGAUUGGGUUCGAUGUCUAGUGGUCCGCCUAUCCACGGUCGUUUUUACAGUGGUCUUGUUGUGUCUUAAAGAAUCCUUGGCUAUGCCGAUUCGGGGACGCUUCGUAUGUCAUGUGCACUGCCUUGUACAUGAUGGUGCUGUACGAUCGAGCCUGUGUGGGCCCCACCACGAAAACUUCGGACGAAAUCUCUAUCAUAUGUUUGUUUCCGGCUUAUUUCUGCAAGCCAAUCCUUUGUUUUGUUUUAAGUUGUGGUAUUUGAGUUGCUUCAAUGUCAAGUGUUGAAUCCACACCUUUCCUAAGCGGUGUUCUCAUAUUCCUAUGUGAAUACUAAUCCUUCAUGUUUACCGAGUUUGUCAUCCCAAUUCUAUUUCCAACCGGUGCGCUUCUCUUCGAGAUGAUCCCAUAAUUCUCCCCAUCCGCAAGAUCAAUUCUAAGUUUUCUCAAUGGUAUCCAUUCCAUCUGCCCCAAAUUGCCUUUGUUUUCCCCCUCCCACCCUUUUAUUGAAGGACUCAUAUAUUCUAAUCAAGUAUUCAUUUACUCAUGUGAAGUCUCUUCAUUCUUUUCCGUCAAUGUUCUUAUCCGGUGUUUCUCAUGAAAAUACUAACGGAGCUUCAAGUUCAUCAUUCUUCAUCUCUUUUUCUUCUUCGGUGGAUCCAAUUCAAGCUUUUCGGUGUUGAUCGUAUUCUUUCCCUUGGUUAAAGUGUUUUCCAUGCUCAUUCGCCUCUCACCAGUUUAUCCUUCCGGAGUGCUCAAGACAUCUCAGGAGGUUCGUCUAUGUUUGAAUUAAUUCGAGGUUUUCACCUCAUUCAAAUAUUUCAAUCGUUCCGGUGCAUCAUCUAUCUCAACAAUCUUUUUCAAUGGUGUUUUCUUUUAGUGAGUCCUAACCUACAGGUCUUCUUUUCCAGGAUCUUACCUGACUCUUCUAAUUUUCCCGGAGCUAUUCUCAAAUUCCUUUCAAAUUUUGACGUAAGAAUGAAUUUUCAUCAGUCAUAUUCUUUCUUUAAGAUUGCUUUCAAAAUAUUUUGAUCGUUCGUUCAACCUUUCUAAUUUUCUCCCGGAGUAUCUCAACAAUUCAUGGUUGUGUUUUCCAUCGUAAUUCUCAACAUUUGAAGACCAAAGAAGAGUUUUCCUCCAAAUCUUAUCCGUUCUCUCAAAGAUUCAUGAUUCUAGCUUGAAGCCAUCCUCAUAAUUGUUUUUGAUUGUGACAAUUCUUUUCACCCAUCUGAAGCAUUUCAUGAGUGAUUUCCAUUUCUUUCCUCCGAAGGCCAUCAUGUCAUAAUUCUUCAUUCUCAGCGUGUAGCUAUCGUUCUCCAAAUCUUACCGGUGAAUUGUUCAAAUAUCCUCUAAUCAGUUCAUAUUCUCUUCGUUCUCAUGUAUCAAAAUCCCUUCAAGUAUCUUCAUUCGUUUUCAAAUUCUUUCCGGUGAAUUGUGCCCUUGCUACUCUCUUUUCCAAAAAAAAUACGGUGGUUCGUUCAAGAUUUCACUUCCUUUGUUAUCAUAUCAAUUCAUUCGUUGUUUCCAAAUCCCACCAGUGGUUCCAUCAAUACCUUCUCAAGUUUGCGCUAUCUCUAUCCUCAAUCCCUCACGAAGAAUAAGUAGUAAGCCAAAUCUGUUGCUUGUCAUCAAUUUAAAUUGGUGAAGGAGACACAUAACAUAAUUCUUAUUAUUGUUUCAUCCAAGUGAUCUAGUUUCUUAUUUCUAGAGUUAUUCAUCAUGUCACAUUUCUCGGUUCGAGAUGCUUCAUCUUUUCUUUUUCGGAGUUCCAAGUUUUCCGCAUUAUUGUCGUGGAGCUCCAUCUAAAUCAUUGCAAGGCCUCACCUUGUGUUUUCAACUUCUCUUUCUUUUUAUCAUCCUUUUAUUAUAGGAGUUCUCCAUGGAGGAUCUAAAUGGUGGUUCAUCAAGGAUUCCUUUCAUUCUUCAAGUGUUCUUCAAGGUUUCGCUCGAAGUUAUGACCCACCAAGCUUUACUCAAAUAUAAACAUGGUGCCCAACACAUGUUUUGUUUUGAGGAGUUCAAGCAUUCUUCAUCUUGCAUUCCAAAGUGCAAUUCUUUCUACCUUAUCUUUUGAGGUGGUGUUAUGUCACUCUUGACAAUUUCCUUUAUGUUUCAUGAUUCAUAUGUUGCCAAGAAUGAGGUAUUUUAAAUCCAUCAAUCUCUUUGUUGGAGUUAUCUUGCUAUAGAUUUCACCUAAAGCCUUCCCUAAGGAAUGUUGCUAUUUGUGGUGCUUAUCAAUGAUCCAAGCUUUCUCCAUAUCCUUCUUGGUGAAAGAGGUUUUUCAUCUCUUCGUUGAUCUCAAGUAAGCAAUUGUUUUUCGUUAGUGGUAGAAUUUCACCUCAAGUGUUGAGAUGUUUCCAUAAUCCCACUACAAGCUUAUUCUUUUCGUUGUUGGUUUUCCAACAACUCUGUUGUAACCUUCUUGGAAGGGUGCUUUCCAAGCUAUUUUGUGGCAGAAGUUGGCAUUUUCUCCUCCAUCUGUUAUUCCAAUGAUCUAUCUUCUAUUCUAUCUUCCGGAGGCAUUGUAAUGUUGCUCUUUUCACUCAUCAUGUCGAAUUGUGAAGGUCAUGUUCUUUUCAUGCUUAUCCAUUUAACCAGCGUGUCGUGUCCUCCAUUCAAGUUCUUUUCAUCUUAUCAAGUCUUGCAUCUCUUUUCAACCGGAGGGCCGCCCAAGUUCUGGCAUUCGUGUUCUUUGGCUAUCUCAUGAUAUCGGUGUGGCUCCAUAUUCUUUUGGUUCGUUAAGCCCUUGUUUCAUGUCUUUGCAACCUUCAAGGUUAUCGAAUGUUCCUUGUUCCUCUUUGAUAACGGAGUGUUGGCAAUCUUGUUCAUCUCCAUUGUAUUCUUUCUUUCAAUUUUUUUUCAACCUCUUAAGGUUCGUGGUUUCACUCGUUUGUCAAAGAAGCAACUUAGUUUUUCCUCUUAUCUUCCUCUUCCUUUUCCCUCCGGUGCCAUCCUAGAUCUCGGGACAAGAUCCUCUCGUAGUGGUGGAGUGUUGUAACGCCCCGGAUGUAACUUUCCAUAAUUGUAACUCCAAUUCUUGCCUUUUCCGGAGAUGCGAUAUGAUAUUUCCUUCGUGGUUGGGUUUUUGUCUUUUGUUUUGCAUUUUGUUCAUGUCAUGCAUCUCAUCUCAUAGCAUGAUGCGCAUUGCAUCUGCAUGUUUUCAUAAAGCUUGCAUCCGCUCGUAGUUGCCGCGUUUCCCCCUUGCCUUUGUUAUCCCUUUCGAGACCAACCAUUCAUUUGUUGUCCGACCGUUUGAGCCUAUCUGCACAACCACCACCUCCCCUCGCGCGCCUCCGAAACUUCCCCGAACCCGAACCGCAUGGUCAUCACCGAUGGAUCCGGAUCAUUUCCAAACAUCCCUCUAAAACAUUAUCGGUUCUUUGUUGGCUCACCUAGUCAAUUUCUCUCAACCGCCCGAUUUCGAUCGGAGGGUCCGAAUCUACCCUAAACUCCGCCUCUUUCCUUAUGUAAGAGACUCCUAGUCUAAAUCUAGAAAACCCUAAAAUUAAGGACUCGUGUCCCAUCAAUCCUCCUCCCUACCGCCACUCUCUCGGGAUCCAUCCCGUAGCCACCCGGUCUCGAUCCACCUUUGGAUCCCCCUCCUUGUUUUCGUCCACCCACCAACCAGCGCUCCCCACUACUCCUCCCCGAUUUGCUAGCUUCGAUCCCGAGCUCCUUUGCCACCCGUUGCCCCUCGCCGGAGCAACACCAGCAGGACCCCGCGGCCUCCUCUGCCCUCUCCUCGAGCUGCCGCAAGCAGCACCACCACCAGGCCGGCCCCGACGCGCCACCUCUCCCUUCUCUUCCUUCCUAUGGUUCCUUCCUUCUCCUCUCAUGUUUCGCCCCUCUCUAUGUUUUCCUCGCAUAAGCACCACACCAUGGCCGCGACCCAUCGAAGCUUGCAGCCCCUCCGUCAGCGCGCCACCGCUUUGAUCCGGCAGGGAACGGGCACACCAGCGACCUCCUGCGACCGGAUCCGAGUCCGCCUCCCUCUGCCGUCCCUCUCCUUCUCAUAUCUCCUUUCUCCCUCACCGCUAAUUCUCUGAAUGUGUUCCCCUGCCAUGUCCUUGCAGCACCAUAGCCGCCCGUAAAGUUCGCGUCCCGGGCCCGAUCUGGACCGGAUCCCCUCUGCUCCGCCGCCUGGCUGCCGAAUCCGCCCCGUUCCGGCCGGUUCCCGCCAACCCCGGUGCCAGGACCUUCGGUGAUGCUGCCUCGUGCGUCGCCUUGAACCUGCAGCUGCCUCUGUUCUUCAGUAACGAGAACGAGCAGCUCGCUCGCCUCGUGUUGACCACGGCCGGGCCACAUCUCGCGCUACUGGCAAGGCCUAGCGCCCAUUCCAGCCUCCCCCUCCACCGGACCGGGCCAUGGCCCAUGGUGAGAAACCCCCCCAGCGCCUGCCCUAUUCCAGAUUCAGCCCAUAGUUGUUUUUUUUGUGCCCUGCGAAUUUUGCUAAUUAUCCAGGAACUGUUGUAUUACAGAAAAGUCCCUCAUGUUCAUGCAUUUAAUAACUCAUCAACCGUGCAUCUUGUGUAAAUGCUUUAUAUAUGUAAAAUGCUUAGAAUUUCAUCUAAUUUCAUAAUAUGCAACUUUCAACCAUGUUUGAAAUGUUGAAAAUGUUGUUUGUUUAAAUUUGCUCAAAUGCUUUGUUAAAAUGAUUUAUUUCAUAACUAAAUAACCAUAUAUAGCUUCAACUUUAAUAAACUUUAUAUGUAAAUGGGGUGGAAAAAUGCAUAGAUUAACAUGGUGCACUUUGUUUUAUUGUUUAACAACAUUAAAAUAUGGUUCAGGGCAGAAUAGUACCAAAUUCAAAAUAUGGACAUGUGGAUUUCCGGAAUUGUUGUUUGGUGUUCCGGCCUCAUUUAAAUUGCCUAGAUAGUCAGUUUAAUUAUGACUCACCUCUUGCCAUGUUUAACAACAUUUAAUAUUGUUGGGUAGCAUAAAUGAGAGAGAACUAAAUAUUUGAUGUGGUGUUUCGUCAAUAUGCAACUCGUUGCAUAUUGAGCUCCACUUAACUUGUAGUAUUGUUUGUGCACUUCGCCAUGCCAAUUUAAAGCGGACAUGCCUCAUACUUGAUUGUGCAUCAUGCCAUGCUUAUGUGAUGGUUGUUGAUCAUGUUGUUUGCUUCUUUCCGGUUUGCUUCUCUCGUUAGCUUCGGUGUCGUUCCGGAGUUGUGAGGAUUCGUUCGACUACGUCCGUUUGUCUUUUUCUUGGACUCGUUCUACUUCCUUGCAGGAUCUCAGGCAAUAUGACCAUUACCCUCGAUAUCACUUCUAUCUUUGCUUGCUAUUUGCUUCGUUCUAUUGCUAUGUUACGCUACCUAUCACUUGUUUAAGAUGCCUCCCAUAUAGCCAUGGCAGCCUCUAACCUUUUCACCCUUCCUAGCAAACCGUUGCUUGGCUAUGUUACCGCUUUGCUCAGCCCCUCUUAUAGCGUUAUUAGUUGCAGGUGAAGUUGCAAAUUGCUCCAUGAUGGACAUGAUUAUGUUGGGAUAUCACAAUAUCUCUUAUUUAAAUUAAUGAAUCUAUAUACUUGGUAAAGGGUGGAAGACUCGGCCUUAUGCCUGGUGUUUUGUUCCACUCUUGCCGCCCUAGUUUCCGUCAUACAGGUGUUAUGUUCCUUGAUUUUGCGUUCCUUACGCGGUUGGGUGAUUUAUGGGACCCCCUUGACAGUUCGCUUUGAAUAAAACUCCUCCAGCAAGGCCCAACCUUAAUUUUAACAUUUGCCACCUAAGCCUUUUUCCCUUGGGUUCUGCAGACUCAAGGGUCAUCGUUAUUUACCCCCCCCCCCAGCCCGGGCCAGUGUUCCUCCGGGUGCUGGUCCAAACCGAGCAAUGUCUGGCGCCCCCUGGGCAACCAGGUCUAUGCCAACCCGACGUCUGGCUCAUCCGGUGUGCCCUGAGAACGAGAUACGUGCGACUCCUAUCGGGAUUUGUCGGCACAUCGGGCGGCUUUGCUGUUCUUGUUUUACCAUUGUCGAAAUGUCUUGUAAACCGGGAUUCCGAGACUGAUCGGGUCUUCCCGGGAGAAGGUAUAUCCUUCAUUGACCGUGAGACCUUGUGAUGGGCUAAGUUGGGACACCCCUACAGGGUAUAAACUUUCGAGAGCCGUGCCCGCGGUUAUGCGGUAGAUGGGAAUUUGUUAAUGUCCGGUUGUAGAGAACUUGACACCAGAUACGAAUUAAAACACAUCAACCGCGUGUGUAGCCGUGAUGGUCUCUUUUCGGUGGAGUCCGGGAAGUGAACACGGUUUUAGGUUAUGUUUGACGUAAGUAGGAGUACAGGAUCACUUCGUGAUCAUUGUUAGCUUCACGUCCAUCCGUUGCUUCUCUUCUCGCUCUUAUUUGCGUAUGUUAGCCACCAUAUAUGCUUAGUCGCUGCUGCAACCUCACCACCUAUCCAUUUCUUUACCCAUUAAGCUUUGCUAGUCUUGAUACCCAUGGUAAUGGAAUUGCUGAGUCCUUGUGGCUCACCAGAUACUAUCACAACAGUUGCAGGUGCCGAUGAUACCAGUGCAGGUGAUGCAACCGAGCUCAAAUGGGAGCUCAACGAAGGUCUUGGUCGUUGCUAUGUUUCGUUUCAUGUUGAUCAGUAGUGGAGCCCAGUUGGAACGAUCGGGGAUCUAGCAGUUGGGUUAUCUUCUUUUCUUUUGGCUUCGUACGUAGUCGUACUAUGUGUGUGCUCUGAAUGAUGUAUGAUUUAUUUAAGUACUUGUGUGUAGUGACGAUUGUAAGCCAACUCUUUAUCCCAGUCUUGUUCAUUACAUGGGAUUGUGUGAAGAUGACCCUUCUUGCGAUAAAACCACAAUGCGGUUAUGCCUCUAAGUCGUGCUUUGACACGUGAGAGAUAUAGCCGCAUCAUGGGCGUUACAGGUUGGUAUCAGAGCCUCGACCGACCAUAGGAGCCCCCUUGAUUGUUGGCUGUUGUUGACUCUAGAAGAAAACUAUUUUUGAGUCUUAGGAUUAUAUAUAUCGGAGAGUAGGAUUCUUUUUACUCCUCAGCCCCUUCGUCGCUCUCGUGAGGUCUCCUGACGUAGAUGUUUUGUCUUUCCUCUCCUCAAAUUUUCCCUACUUUUUUUUAGGAUCACUCGGGUAUCUUCGGAUCGUUCCGAUAUUCUUAUGAUGAGAACAUUGUUCUUGGUGCCUCCUGACAAUUAGGGGUUGUGGCAGUGUCCCGAGGAGUUGAGCUCUGAGGUGUUGUCGUCAUAAUUUUAUCGUUGCAGUUCUGGAAUACCUGAGUUUUGCCGACAUCGGAAAUCUCUUUUAUGCAGUUGUUUGUGAGAUAACCUCUACGCCACCAAGUACUGGGGCGGGAGUUCGGGAGUAUUGCCAUAACUCGUAUAACGGAUGCUUUUCGAAGGUUGAGGUACACGAUUUUUGAAGGUUUCUUAUUUAUGUGUUGACGGAACGAUAUAGCGUGGAUGUAGGGAUUGUUAGUUUGGGUGAGAUAUAUUGCUUCCCCUGUAUCUCCAACACCAGAUUGCAUAACCAGAAAGUUUCGGGAGUUUAUAGGUGGAAAUUCAAGUAGCUCCUAGAAUAUCUUUCCGACAGAUGCAUGAUAUGAGAUUGGGUUCGAUGUCAGUGGUCCGCCUAUCCACGGUCGUUUUUACAGUGGUCUUGUUGUGUCUUAAAGAAUCCUUGGCUAUGCCCAUUCGGGGACGCUUCGUAUGUCAUGUGCACUGCCUUGUACAUGAUGGUGCUGUACGAUCGAGCCCGUGUGGGCCCCACCACGAAAACUUCGGACAAAUUCUCUAUCAUAUGUUUGUUUCCGGCUUAUUUCUGCAAGCCAAUCCUUUGUUUCGUUUUGAGUUGUGGUAUUUGAGUUGCUUCAAUGUCAAGUGUUGAAUCCACACCUUUCCUAAGCGGUGUUCUCAUAUUCCUAUGUGAAUACUAAUCCUUCAUGUUUACCGAGUUUGUCAUCCCAAUUCUAUUUCCAACCGGUGCGCUUCUCUUCGAGAUGAUCCCAUAAUUCUCCCCAUCCGCAAGAUCAAUUCUAAGUUUUCUCAAUGGUAUCCAUUCCAUCUGCCCCAAAUUGCCUUUGUUUUCCCCCUCCCACCCUUUUAUUCAAGGACUCAUAUAUUCUAAUCAAGUAUUCAUUUACUCAUGUGAAGGCUCUUCAUUCUUUUCCGUCAAUGUUCUUAUCCGGUGUUUCUCAGGAAAAUACUAACGGAGCUUCAAGUUCAUCAUUCUUCAUCUCUUUUUCUUCUUCGGUGGAUCCAAUUCAAGUUUUUCGGUGUUGAUCGUAUUCUUUCCCUUGGUUAAAGUGUUUUCCAUGCUCGUUCGCCUCUCGCCAGUUUAUCCUUCCGGAGUUCUCAAGACAUCUCAGGAGGUUCGUCUGUGUUUGAAUUAAUUCGAGGUUGUCACCUCAUUCAAAUAUUUCAAUCGUUCCGGUGCAUCAUCUAUCUCAACAAUCUUUUUCAACAGUGUUUUCUUUUAGUGAGUCCUAACCUACAGGUCUUCUUUUCCAGGAUCUUACCUGACUCUUCUAAUUUUCCCGGAGCUAUUCCCAAAUUCCUUUCGAAGUUUGACGUAAGAAUGAAUUUUCAUCAGUCAUAUUCUUUCUUUAAGAUCGCUUUCAAAAUAUUUUCAUCGUUGGUUCAACCUUUCUAAUUUUCUCCCGGAGUAUCUCAACAAUUCAUGGUGGUGUUUUCCAUUGUAAUUCUCAACAUUUGAAGACCAAAGAAGAGUUUUCCUCCAAAUCUUAUCCGUUCUCUCAAAGAUUCAUGAUUCUAGCUUGAAGCCAUCCUCAUAAUUGUUUUUGAUUGUGACAAUUCUUUUCACCCAUCCGAAGCAAUUCAUGAGUGGUUUCCAUUUCUUUCCUCCGAAGGCCAUCAUGUCAUAAUUCUUCAUUCUCAGCGUGUAGCUAUCGUUCUCCAAAUCUUACCGGUGAAUUAUUCAAAUAUCCUCUAAUCAGUUCAUAUUCUCUUCGUUCUCAUGUAUCAAAAUCCCUUCAAGUAUCUUCAUUCGUUUUCAAAUUCUUUCCGGUGAAUUGUGCCCUUGCUACUGUCUUUUCCAAAAAAAUACGGUGGUUCGUUCAAGAUUUCACUUCCUUUGUUAUCAUAUCAAUUCAUUCGUUGUUUCCAAAUCCCACCAGUGGUUCCAUCAAUACCUUCUCAUGUUUGCGCUAUCUCUAUCCUCAAUCCCUCAAGAAGAAUAAGUAGUAUGCCAGAUCUAUUGCUUGUCAUCAAUUUAAAUUGGUGAAGGAUACGCAUAACGUAAUUCUUAUUAUUGUUUCAUCCAAGUAAUCUAGUUUCUUAUUUCAAGAGUUAUUCAUCAUGUCACAUUUCUCGGUUCGAGAUGCUUCAUCUUUUCUUUUUCGGAGUUCCAAGUUUUCCGAAUUAUUGUCGUGGAGCUCCAUCUAAAUCAUUGCAAGGCUUCACCUUGUGUUUUCAACUUCUCUUUCUUUUUAUCAUCCUUUUAUUACAGGAGUUCUCCAUGGAGGAUCUAAAUGGUGGUUCAUCAAGGAUUCCUUUCGUUCUUCAAGUGUUCUUCAAGGUUUCGCUCGAAGUUAUGACCCGCCAAGCUUUACUCAAAUAUAAACAUGGUGCCCAACACAUGUUUUGUUUUGAGGAGUUCAAGCAUUCUUCAUCUUGCAUUCCAAAGUGCAAUUCUUUCUACCUUAUCUUUUGAGGUGGUCUUAUGUCACUCUUGACAAUUUCCUUUAUGUUUCAUGAUUCAUAUGUUGUCAAGAAUGAGGUACUUUAAAUCCAUCAAUCUCUUUGUUGGAGUUAUCUUGCUAUAGAUUUAACCUAAAGCCUUCCCUAAGGAAUGUUGCUAUUUGUGGUGCUUAUCAAUGAUCCAAGCUUUCUCCAUAUCCUUCUUGGUGAAAGAGGUUGUUCAUCUCUUCGUUGAUCUCAAGCAAGCAAUUGUUUUUCGUUAGUGGUAGAAUUUCACCUCAAGUGUUGAGAUGUUUCCAUAAGCCCACUACAAGCUUAUUCUUUUCGUUGUUGGUUUUCCAACAACUCCGUUGUAACCUUCUUGGAAGGGUGCUUUCCAAGCUCUUUUGUGGCAGAAGUUGGCAUUUUCUCCUCCAUCUGUUAUUCCAAUGAUCUAUCUUCUAUUCUAUCUUCCGGAGGCAUUGUAAUGUUGCUCUUUUCACUCAUCAUGUCAAAUUGUGAAGGUCAUGUUCUUUUCAUGUUUAUCCAUUUAACCAGUGUGUCGUGUCCUCCAUUCAAGUUCUUUUCAUCUUAUCAUGUCUUGCAUCUCUUUUCAACCGAAGGGCCGCCCAAGUUCUGGCAUUCGUGUUCUUUGGAUAUCUCAUGAUAUCGGUGUGGCUCCAUAUUCUUUUGGUUCGUUAAGCCGUUGUUUCAUGUCUUUGCAACCUUCAAGAUUCUCGAAUGUUCCUUGUUCCUCUUUGACAACGGAGUGUUUGCAAUCUUGUUCAUCUCCAUUGUAUUCUUUCUUUAAAAAAAAUUUCAACCUCUUAAGGUUCGUGGUUUCACUCGUUUGUCGAAGAAGAAACUUAGUUUUUCCUCUUAUCUUCCUCUUCCUUUUCCCUCCGGUGCCAUCCUAGAUCUCGGGACAAGAUCCUCUCGUAGUGGUGGAGUGUUAUAACGCCCCGGAUGUAACUUUCCAUAAUUGUAACUCCAAUUCUUGCCUUUCCCGGAGAUGCGAUAUGAUAUUUCCUUCGUGGUUGGGUUUUUGUCUUUUGUUUUGCAUUUUGUUCGUGUCAUGCAUCUCAUCUCAUAGCAUCAUGCGCAUUGCAUCUGCAUGUUUUCAUAAAGCUUGCAUCCGCUCGUAGUUGUCGCGUUUCCCCCUUGCCUUUGUUAUCCCUUUCGAGACCAACCGUUCAUUUGUUGUCCGACCGUUUGAGCCUAUCUGCACAACCACCACCUCCCCUCGCGCGCGUCCGAAACUUCCCCGAACCCGAACCGCAUGGUCAUCACCGAUGGAUCCGGAUCAUCUCCAAACGUCCCUCUAAAACAUUAUCGGUUCUUUGUUGGACUCACCUAGUCUAUUUCGAUCGGAGGGUCCGAAUCUACCCUAAACUCCCCCUCUUUCCUUAUAUAAGAGACUCCUAGUCUAAAUCUAGACAAACCCUAAAAUUAAGGACCCGUGUCCCAUCAAUCCUCCUCCCCGCCGCCACUCUCUUGGGAUCCAUCCCGCAGCCACCUGGUCUCGAUCCACCUGUGGAUUCCCCUCCUCGUUUUCCUCCACCCACCAACCAGCGCUCUCCACUGCUCCUCCCCGAUUUGCUAGCUUCGAUCCCGAGAUCCUUCGCCACCCAUUGCCCCUCGCCGGAGCAAUACCAGCAGGACCCCUCGGCCUCCUCUGCCCUCUCCUCGAGCUGCCGCAAGUAGCACCACCACCAGGCCGGCCCCGCCGCGCUACCUCUUCCUUCUCUUCCUUCCUAUGGUUCCUUCCUUCUCCUCUCACGUUUCGCCCCUCUUUUUGUUUUCCUCGCAGAAGCACCACGCCAUGGCCGCACCCCGUCGAAGCUUGCAGCGCCUCCGCCUGCCCGCUGCCGCUUUGAUCCGGCAGGGAACGGGCACACCGGCGACCUCCUGCGACCGGAUCCGGGUCCGCCUGCCUCUGCCCGUCCAUCUCCUUCUCAUAUCUCCUUUCUCCCUCACCGCUAAUUCUCUGAAUGUGUUCCCCUGCCAUGUCCUUGCAGCACCAUAGCCGCCCUUCAAGUUCGCGUCCCGACCCCGAUCUGGACCGGAUCCCCUCUGCUCCGCCGCCUGGCUGCCGAAUCCGCCCUGUUCCGGCUGGUUCCCGCCGACCCCGGCGCCAGGACCUUCGGUGAUGCCGCCUUGUGUGUUGCCUUGAACCUGCAGCUGCCUCUGUUCUUCAGUAAUGAGAAGGAGCAGCUCGCUCGCCUCGCGUUGACCACGGCCGGGCCACAUCUCGCGCUGCUGGCAAGGCCUAGCGCCCAUUCCAGCCUCCCCCUGCACCGGACUGGGCCAUGGCCCAUGCUGAGAAACCCACCCAGCGCCUGCCCUGUUCCAGAUUCAGCCCAUAGUUGUUUUUUUGUGCCCUGCGAAUUUUGCUAAUUAUCCAGGAACUGCUGUUUUACAGAAAAGUCCCUCAUGUUCAUGCAUUUAAUAACUCAUCAACCGUGCAUCUUGUUUAAAUGAUUUAUAUAUGUAAAAUGCUUAGAAUUUUAUCUAGUUUCAUAAUAUGCAAAUUUUAACCGUGUUUGAAAUGUUUAAAAUGUUGUUUGUUUAAAUUUGCUCAAAUGCCAUGUUAAAAUGAUUUAUUUCAUAACUAAAUAACCAUAUAUAGCUUCAACUUUAAUAAACUUUAUAUGUAAAUGGGGUGGAAAAUGCAUAGAUUAACAUGGUGCACUUUGUUUCAUUGUUUAACAACAUUAAAAUCAGAAUAGUACCAAAUUCAAAAUAUGGACAUGAGGAUUUCCGGAAUUGUUGUUUGGUGUUCUGGCCUCAUAUAAAUUGCCUAGAUAGUUAGUUUAAUUAUGAUUCACCUCUUGCCAUGUUUAACAACAUUUAAUAUUGUUGGGUAGCAUAAAUGAGAGAGAACUAAAUAUUUGAUGUGGUAUUUCGUCAAUAUGCAACUCGUUGCAUAUUGAGCUCCACUUAACUUGUCACUACUAGGGAAAAGCCUAGCAGCAGCGCGGGUUUUGGCCCUCUCAGUAGCGCGCAUGCUGGAGCUACUAAUAAGGCGCUACAGCUAACAUAUAGCAGUAGCGCCUGUUGACCCACGCUACUACUACAGAUGAAUAGCUACCGCGCUCUUUGGAAAAGGGCGCUACUGAUAUUAUCUACAGCGCUGUUUAGCGGGAAGCGCUACUGGUAAGUCGGCGCUACUGCUAAAUUUCCACCCCUCGCUACUACUAGUUUUAUUAGUUUUUUUUCCUACAUAUUUGUUUUUUAUUUGUUUUGUAUUUGAAUAGGCUUUAUACAAUAAUCUUUAGCAUAUCAUCCACAUACAAAUGUAAUCAUAGCAUAUACAUACAAUUAGUCUCAUCAAAUCAUGUCAUCAUCAUAAUCAUCAUCCAACACAAAGUGGUCUCUCGUCAUCAAUCUCGAAAAUAGCGAUACAAGUCUCGAUUACUUGCAAAUACAUCGUCAUCCAUCUAAACAAUGAUAUACGCGAGAAUAGCUAUCACUUUGAGUACAUGAGUUCGUAUCCCUCUCUCGCAUUAGCGUGAACCUAAACUAAGUACUGCGUGUCGCUCGGAAACCGAAAACCGGUACACCUGGGCCUGACACUCCGGCCACUUGUUGUAUAUAUACUUCUGGCGUAGCACUUCUUCACCAUCUAUGAUCUAUGCACCUGCAUCGUCACAUGAGUCGAUGAUAUGCAACAUAUAUAGUUGAGCAACAGAAAGAAACAGACUUGGCAAAAAUAGAAACAACAUAUCAUAAGCAUAAAUAACAAAGUUCAUCGUACCCAAAAUGACCUAACUAGAGUGAUUUUCGCUAGUCGAGGAGGAGGACGGUUUAAUUACAUCACAAAUAAAGUUUCACCGUGCAUAACUCAAAGUUUUGUCAUAAAAUUCGUCUGCCGCCCGGUAGACGUCGUCGCAAUCAUCAGAACCCUGUCCCUCAUCGUUGCUAGCCAUGUUCCUAUGAUUAAAUCUAGUCAAUUAAUUCUAGACCUAAUAAAAUGAAUAAUGACAUAAAAAGGACAACUGUUUUGUAGGAAUGUUGACUCCUUCCUGGUGCGGCAAAUCCCGGGCACUCGAUAUGUCCUAGUUUGUAGCACAAGUCAUGCCAAAAUUCACGGAAAGUUUCGGCAUGACCUUUGCUAAAAAGUGGACAAAUCGAGAACCUGAAAUUUGCCAGAAUAGAAAUGAAUCAACAUUCCGGCAAAACAUAGGCCACUCAGCAUCAUUCCCUGGAAACAGUGUUCAAGUAUCCCUCUUCGACACCGCAACACAUGUCCAAAUAUACACGAGCAACCACAUGUCCAAAUUUCACAAGCUAAUUCAAAAACAAAAUGUAGAAGAAAAUUCAUUUAACUACUAAUAGAACAAAAUUCAGUUAACUUUAGUGCUCUAUAAUGAUGAAAGGAAAAUUUUUUCAGUUAACUACUAAUUUCAUUCAUUUAGGUUAUUCAUUUAACAUCACAUAAUUAGCCUACUGUACCACUACUACUAGUAGCACUUCUAACCUAAUUAACCUAGCAAAACUCUAGUGCCCUAACUAAAAAACAUCUAAUUAACAUCUAUUAGUACCACUAUUGCCCUAACCUAAUUAACAUCUACUAGUAUCACUAUAUACUAUACAAGCAGCAUCUACCCUAAUUAAACCCUACUGCCCUAACUAACUUUUGUUGUAAACCAAAUUUUUUGCUCUAAACUAAUUUUUGCUCUAACAUCUAGUACUUAACAUCCUUUGCUCUAAACUAAAUUUUUUGCUAUAAACAAAAUUUUGCUCUACUAAUUUUUUCUCUAAAAUUCAGAGAGAGAGGAGUGGGUGGGAGGGGUGGGGGACUUACAGAGAGGGGAGAGACGAUGGCGGGGAGGUGCUCGGUGAUGGAGCAGGGGCGGAGAGGGCGGGCUCGAGCACGGGCAACNNNNNNNNNNNNNNNNNNNNNNNNNNNNNNNNNNNNNNNNNNNNNNNNNNNNNNNNNNNNNNNNNNNNNNNNNNNNNNNNNNNNNNNNNNNNNNNNNNNNNNNNNNNNNNNNNNNNNNNNNNNNNNNNNNNNNNNNNNNNNNNNNNNNNNNNNNNNNNNNNNNNNNNNNNNNNNNNNNNNNNNNNNNNNNNNNNNNNNNNNNNNNNNNNNNNNNNNNNNNNNNNNNNNNNNNNNNNNNNNNNNNNNNNNNNNNNNNNNNNNNNNNNNNNNNNNNNNNNNNNNNNNNNNNNNNNNNNNNNNNNNNNNNNNNNGCUAUAGCUAAGUUAGCUACAGCGCGUUUUUGGAAACGCGCUACUGAUAUUCCUUUCUCCUUUUUUCCCUUUUUCUUUUAUUUUUCUUUACAUUUUAUUUUUUUCCUUUCUCCUUUUUCUAUUUCUUUCAUUUUCAUUUACUUUUCUACUUGUUUUCACUUUAUUUUAUUUCCGUUAGCAGUAGCGCCUUACACGUAAGCGCGCUAUAGCUAAGGAGAGUAGUAGUAGCGCUGGGCCAGUAUAUGCGCUACUGCUAGGUUGGGCUAGCCAUGUGCGCCUAUUUCAAAUAUAGCAGUAGCGCUUUUUGCUAGUAUGCGCUACUGCUAAAGUCAUAGCAGUAGCGCGGUUAAUUUACACGCGCUGCUACUAAGUAGCAGUAGCGUAUGAUUUUGUACAGUGCUACUGGUAACAUUCUGUGUAUAAGGUUUUCCCUAGUAGUGUGUAGUAUUGAUUGUGCACUUUGCCAUGCCAUGCCUAUUUAAAGCGGACAUGCAUCAUACUUGAUUGUGCAUCAUGCAAUGCUUAUGUGAUGGUUGUCGAUCAUGUUGUUUGCUUCUUUCCGAUUUGCUUCUCUCGUUAGCUUCGGUGUCGUUCCGGAGUUGUGAAGAUUCGUUCGACUACGUCCGUUUGUCUUCUUCUUGGACUCGUUCUUCUUCCUUGCGGGAUCUCAGGCAAGAUGAACAUUACCCUUGAUAUCACUUCUAUCUUUGCUUGCUAGUUGCUUCGUUCUAUUGCUAUGUUGCGCUACCUAUCACUUGUUUACCAUGCCUCCCAUAUUGCCAUGUCAGCCUCUAACCUUUUCACCCUUCCUAGCAAACCGUUGCUUGGCUAUGUUACCGCUUUGCUCAGCCCCUCUUAUAGCUUUGUUAGUUGUAGGUGAAGUUGAAGAUUGCUCCAUGAUGGACAGGAUUAUGUUCGGAUAUCACAAUAUCUCUUAUUUAAAGUAAUGCAUCUAUAUACUUGGUAAAGGGUGGAAGACUCGGCCUUAUGCCUGGUGUUUUGUUCCACUCUUGCCGCCCUAGUUUCCGUCAUACCGGUGUUAUGUUCCUUAAUUUUGCGUUCCUUACGCGGUUGGGUGAUUUAUGGGACCCCCUUGACAGUUCGCUUUGAAUAAAACUCCUCCAGCAAGGCCCAACCUUGAUUUUAACAUUUGCCACCUAAGCCUUUUUCCUUGGGUUCUGCAGACUCAAGGGUCAUCAUUAUUUACCCCCCUCUCCCUGGGCCAGUGCUCCUCCGGGUGCUGGUCCAAACCAAGCGAUGUCCGGCGCCCCCUGGGCAACCAGGGUCUAUGCCAACCCGACGUCUGGCUCAUCCGGUGUGCCUUGAGAACGAGAUACGUGCGACUCCUAUCAGGAUUUGUAGGCACAUCGGGCGGCUUUGCUGGUCUUGUUUUACCGUUGUCGAAAUGUCUUGUAAACCGGGAUUCCGAGACUGAUCGGGUCUUCCUGGGAGAAGGUAUAUCCUUCGUUGACCAUGAGAGCUUGUGAUGGGCUAAGUUGGGACACCCCUGCAGGGUACAAACUUUCGAGAGCCGUGCCCGCGGUUAUGCGGCAGUUGGAAUUUGUUAAUGUCCGUUUGUAGAGAACUUGACACCAGAUACGAAUUAAAACACAUCAACCGCGUGUGUAGUCGUGAUGGUCUAUUUUCGUCAUAGUCCGGGAAGUGAACAUGGUUUUGGGUUAUGUUUGACGUAAGUAGGAGUUCAGGAUCACUUCGUGAUCAUUGUUAGCUUCACGUCCAUUCCAUUGCUUCUCUUCUCGCUCUUAUUUGCGUAUGUUAGCCACCAUAUAUGCUUAGUCGUUGCUGCAACCUCACCACUUAUCCAUUCCUUUACCCAUUAAGCUUUGCUAGUCUUGAUACCCAUGGUAAUGGGAUUGCUGGGUCCUUGUGGCUCACUAGAUACUAUCACAACAGUUGUAGGUGCCGAUGAUACCAGUGCAGGUGAUGCAACCGAGCUUAGAUGGGAGCUAAACGAAGGUCUUGGUCGUUGCUAUGUUUCAUUUCAUGUUGAUCAGUAGUGGAGCCCAGUUGGGACGAUCGGGGAUCUAGCAGUUGGGUUAUCUUCUUUUCUUUUGACUUCGUCCGUAGUCGGACUAUGUGUGUGCUCUGAAUGAUGUAUGAUUUAUUUAAGUACUUGUGUGAAGUGGCGAUUGUAAGCCAACUCUUUAUCCCAGUCUUUUUCAUUACAUGGGAUUGUGUUAAGAUGACCCUUCUUGCGACAAAACCACAAUGCGGUUAUGCCUCUAAGUCGUGCUUCGACACAUGGGAGAUAUAGCUGUAUCGUGGGCGUUACAAGUUGUGAAUUCCCACCUAUAAAACUCCCAAACCUAUUAAAUAUUUGUUUUUCAAUAUAAAUCUUGAUAAAUAUGGGACUGGAGAUAAGUCAACUGUAGCUAAAAGGUGUCCCAAUGAUUCGGAGUUUUUAGUUCUAGAUGCAAAAAUUGAUAAAAGUGGGAUUGAAGAGGUCAAGACUUUAAGUAGCAAUGAACCCACUAUUUUGGAUUUCAAGGAAUUUAAUUAUGAUAAUUGAUUUUUGAUAGAUUGUAUUUCCUUGAUGCAAUCCGUGUUAAAUUCUCCUCAUGCUUAUAAUCAAAAUAAAGCUUUUACUAAACAUAUCCUUGAUGCUUCGAUGCAAUCCUAUGAAAUAAAGCUUGAACUAGAAGUUUCUAUCCCCAGAAAACUUUAUGAUGAGUGGGAACCUACUAUUAAAAUUAAGAUUAUAGAUUAUGAAUGCUAUGCUUUGUGUGAUUUGGGUGCUAGUGUUUCCACGAUUCCAAAAACUUUAUGUGACGUGCUAGGUUUCCGUGAAUUUGAUGAUUCUUCUGUAAAUUUGCAUCUUGCGGAUUCCACCAUUAAGAAACCUACUAUGGGAAGAAUUAAUGAUGUUCUUAUUGUUGCAAAUAGUAAUUAUGUUCCCGUAGAUUUUAUUGUUCUUGAUAUAGAUUGCAAUCCUACAUGUCGUAUUAUUCUUGGUAGACCUUUCCUUAGAACGAUUGGUGCAAUUAUUGAUAUGAAAGAAGGAAAUAUUAGAUUCCAAUUUCCGUUAAGGAAAGGCAUGGAACACUUUCCUAGGAAGAAAAGUAAAUUGCCUUCUGAAUCUAUUAUGAGAUCCACUUAUGGAUUGCAUGCCGAAGAUGGCAAUACCUAGAUCUAUUCUUGUUUUUAUGCCUAGAUAGUGGCGUUAAACAAUAGCGCUUGUUGGGAGGCAACCCAAUUUUUUUUGUUCUUUGCUUUUUGCUCCUGUUUAGUAAUAAAUAGUUCAUCUAGCUUCUGGUUAAAUAUGGUUUUAUGUCUUAAUUAGUGUUUGUGCCAAGUAGAACCUUUGGGAAGACUUGGGUGAAGUCUUUGCGAUCAUGCUGUAAAAACAGAAACUUUUGCGCUCAUGAGAUUAGCCGUCAUUUUUACUGGAGAGUGCUUUUAGGUUGAUUCUUCUUGAAGAUUAUUAAUAGAAAAAUUCCUCACGUCCACCAAUUUAUUUCAGAAUUUGUAGAGUUACAUAAGUAUUCGAAAGUUACAGAUACUACAGACUAUUCCGUUUUUGACAGAUUCUCUUUUUCGUGUGUUGUUUGUUUAUUUUGAUGAAUCUAUGAGUAGUAUCGGGGGGUAUGAACCAUAGAGAAGUUGGAAUAAAGUAGGUUUAACACCAAUAUAAAUAAAGAAUGAGUUCAUUACAGUACUGUAAACUGGUGGUUUGCUUUCUUAUACUAACGGAGCUCAUGAGAUUUUCAGUUGAUGUUUUCUGUUGUGAAGUUUUCAAGUUUUUGGGUAAAGAUUUGAUGGAUUUUUGAAUAACGAGUGGCAAGAGCCUAAGAUUGGUGAUGCCCAAGGAACCCCAAGAUAAUUCAAGGACAACCAAAAGCCUAAGCUUGGGGAUGCCCCGGAAGGCAUCCUCUCUUUUGUCUUCGUCUAUUGGUAACUUUACAUGAGGCAAUAUUUUUAUUCACCACAUGGUAUGUGUUUUUCUUGGAGCGUCUUGUAUAAUUUGUGUCUUUGGUUUUUAUUUUACCACAAUCAUCCUUGCUGUACACACAUUUUAGGAGAGACAUGCAUGAAUCGGAAUUUAUUAGAAUACUCUAUGUGCUGCACUUAUAUCUUUUGAGCUAGACAAUUUUGCUCUAGUGCUUCGCUCAUAUCUUUUUAGAGCACGGUGGUGGUUUUAUUUUAUAGAAAUUAUUGAUCUCUCGUGCUUCACUUAUAUUAUUUUGAGAGUCUUUUAGAAAUUUGCUUUGGUUAUAAAAUUAGUCCUAAUAUGAUGGGCUUCCAAGAUGGGUAUAAUAAAAACUUUCAUAUAAAGUGCAUUGAACACUAUGAGAAGUUUAAUUCUUUAUGAUUGUUAUGAGAUAUGAAGAUGGUGAUAUUAGAGUCAUGCUAGUAGAGUAUUUGUGAAUUUGAGAGAUACUUGUGUUAAAGUUUUUGAUUCCCGUAGCAUGCACGUAUGGUGAACCGUUAUGUGAUGAAGUUCGAGCAUGAUUUAUUUAUUGAUUGUCUUCCUUAUGAGUGGCGGUCGGAUAUGAGCGAUGGUCUUUUCCUACCAAUCUAUCCCCCUAGGAGCAUGCGCGUAGUACUUCAUUUUGAUAACUAAUAAAUUUUUGCAAUAAGUAUGUGAGUUAUUUAUGACUAAUGUUGAGUCCAUGGAUUAUACACACUCUCACCCUUUCACCAUUGCUAUCCACUCCAGUACCGCGCAACUUUCACCGGUACCAUACACCCACCAUCUACCUUCCUCAAAAUAUCCACCAUACCUACCUAUUAUGGCAUUUCCAUAGACAUUCCGAUAUAUAUUGCCAUGCAACUUUCCAUCAUUCCGUUUAUUAUGACACGUUCAAUCAUUGUCGUAUUGCUAGCAUGAUCAUGUAGUUGACAUCGUAUUUGUGGCAAAGCCACCGUUCAUAAUUUUUCAUACAUGUCACUCUUGAAUCAUUGCACAUCCUGGUAACCGUCGGAGGCAUUCACAUAGAGUCAUAUUUUGUUCUAAGUAGCAAGUUGUAAUUCUUGAGUUGUAAGUAAAUAAAAGUGUGAUGAUCUUCAUUAUUAGAGCAUUGUCCCGGUGAGGAAAGGAUGAUGGAGACUAUGAUUCCCCCACAAGUCGGGAUGAGAGUCCGGACUCAAAAAAAGGCCAUAAAAAAGAUAAAAGGCCCAAAUAAAAUAAAUAAAAUGAGAGAAAAAUAGAGAAGGGACAAGCUACUAUCCUUACCACACUUGUGCUUCAAAGUAGCACCAUGAUCUUCAUGAUAGAGAGUCUCCUAUGUUGUCACUUUCAUAUACCAGUGAGAAUUUUUCAUUAUAGAACUUGGAUUGUAUAUUCCAAUGAUGGGCUUCCUCAAAGUGCCCUAGGUCUUCAUGAGCAAGCAAGUUGGAUGCACACACACACUUAGUUUUCUUGUUGAGCUUUCAUACACGUAUAGCUCUAGUGCAUCCAUUGCAUGGCAAUUCCUACUCACUCACAUUGAUAUCUAUUGAUGGGCAUCUCCAUAGCCCGUUGAUAUGCCUAGUUGAUGUGAGACUAUCUUCUCCUUUUUUGUCUUCUCCGCAACCACCAUUCUAUUCCACAUAUAGUGCUAUGUCCAUGGCUUACGCUCAUGUAUUGCGUGAAGAUUGAAUAAGUUUGAGAACAUCAAAAGUAUGAAACAAUUGCUUGGCUUGUCAUCGGGGUUGUGCAUGAUUAAAUACAUUGUGUGAUGAAGAUAGAGCAUAAGGAAACUAUAUGAUUUUGUAGGGACAACUUUCUUUGGCCAACUUAUUUUGAGAAGACAUGAUUGCUUUGUUAGUAUGCUUGAAGUAUUAUUAUUUUUAUGUCAAUAUUAAACUUUUGUCUUGAAUCUUAUGGAUCUGAACAUUCACGCCACAAUAAAGAAAAUUACAUUGAUACAUAUGCUAGGUAGCAUUCCAUAUCAAAAAAUCUGUUUUUUUCAUUUACCUACUUGAGGACGAGCAGGAAUCAAGCUUGGGGAUGCUUGAUAUGUCUCCAACGUAUCUAUAACUUUUGAUUGUUCCAUGCUAUUAUAUUAUAUGUUUUGGACGUUUAAUGGGUUUUAAUAUGCUGUUUUAUAUUAGUUUUGGGACUAACCUAUUAACCGGAGGCCCAAUGCCAGUUAUUUUUUCUAUUUUAGUGUUUUACAGAAAAGGAAACGAAGUCCAAACGGAAUGAAACCUUCGCGAGGAUCUUUCUUGGAACAAAAGCAAUCCAGAAGACUUGGAGUUGAAGUCUGGGACUCUACGAGGAGUCCACAAGACUUGUCACCGUGGGCUCCUUGUAGGUCCACCGACGUACUUCUUUCGCCUACAAAUACUCUUAUACCCUAGAAACAUCAGGGGGAGCCACGAAACCACUUUUCCACCGCCGCAACCUUCUGUACUCGUGAGAUCCCAUCUUGGGGCCUUUUCCGGCGAUCUGCUGGACGGGGAAUUUAUCACGGAGGGCUUCUACAUCAACACCAUUGCCUCUCUGAUGAAGCGUGAGUAGUUUACCACAGACCUUCGGGUCCAUAGUUAUUAGCUAGAUGGCUUCUUCUCUCUCUUUGAUUCUCAAUACCAUGUUUUGCUCAAUGUUCUUGGAGAUCUAUUCAAUGUAAUAUUCUUUUGCGGUGUGUUUGCUGAGAUCCGAUGAAUUGUGGAUUUAUGAACUUGAUUAUCUAUGAAGUUCUUCUCUGAAUUCUUAUAUGCAUGAUUUGAUAUCUUUGCAAGUCUCUUCGAAUUAUUAGUUUAGUUUGGCCUACUAGAUUGAUCUUUCUUGGAAUGGGAGAAGUGCUUAGCUUUGGGUUCAAUCUUGCGGUGUCCUUUCCAACUGAUAGUAGGGGCAGCAAGGCACAUAUUGUAUUGUUGCCAUCAAGGAUAAAAAGAUGGGGGUUAUAUCAUAUUGCUUGAGUUUAUCCCUCUACAUCAUGUCAUCUUGCUUAAUGUGUUACUCCAUUCUUAUGAACUUAAUACUCUAGAUGCAUGCUGGAUAGCGGUCGAUGUGUGGAGUAAUAGUAGUAGAUGAAGAAUCGUUUCAUUCUACUUGACACGGACGUGAUGCCUAUGUUCAUGAUCAUUGCCUUAGAUGUAUUCAUAAUUAUGCACACUUCUAUCAAUUGCUCGACAGUAAUUUGUUCACCCACCGUAAUACAUGCUAUCUUGAGAGAAGCCACUAGUGAAACCUAUGGCCCCCGGGUCUCUUUUCCAUUAUAUUGAAUCUAUUAGUUUCCCGUUAACUUGCCAAUUUAUGUCACCGUUACUUUUUAUUACAAUCUUUACUUUGCAAUCUAUACAAAAAAAAUACCAAAAAUAUUUACCUUACUAUCUCUAUCAGAUCUCACUUUUGUGAUUGGCCGUGAAGGGAUUGACAACCCCUUUAUCGCGUUGGUUGCAAGCUUCUUGAUUGUUUGUGCGGGUACUAGGUGACUUGUAUGUCGUCUCUUACUAGAUUGAUACCUUGGUUCUCAAAACCGAGGGAAAUACUUACGCUACUUUGCUGCAUCACCCUUUCCUCUUCAAGGGAAAACAAACGCAUGCUCAGGAGGUAGCAGCGAGGUUGUACACACGAGUUUACUAGUUCAGGCCCCUCUCGGAGGAGGUAAAAGCCCUACGUCUCGGUGCCCUGAGCUGGUCGACUGGAAUAUGGGUGUGUGUUACAUGGGGUGCGAACCCUUGUCCCAAAGGAGGGGGUGGCUUAUAUAGAGUGCGCCAGGACCAUAGCCGUCCCCCGUUACAGGGUUCAAUGUACAUUAAGACAGGGUGUUACUUGUAACGCCAGCUAUAAAGUGCUAUUAAUGAUCUUUAAGACUACGGAGUGAACGCCUACCCGUUGCCAUCCUCAGUGACUCUAGGUCUUCUGUACUCCGAGUGGUUUCCUGUAUGGUCGAAUGACUUCAUCCAGGUUGAGUGAAAUUGCGGGUAUCCGUGUGAGGUGACUGGUCGAAUGGAUUGCACUCGAUGGCUACUUCAGUCGGUAUUUCUUGCUAUACUUUGAAUGUCCUUGAUUCUAGGGUAGUGACCAUGGGUAGGGCGUAUAGGUCAGGCCAAUGACCCUACCUUAGGUUCAUGGCAUCGUCAGGUCCCCCUGUCUGACUCCUCUUUUGCACGAGAAUUGUUUCCCAGGUACACCAUUAAGUAGAACAGCAGAAUAACCAGAGGAGAAAAGCAUGUCCAUCCACAUUAGCCACCUAUUACCAAAGCCUCUAGCAAUGAGAAUAUCUUUGAUUGAUUGAUGUUCAAUAAGGUCAAAUGCCUUCUCAAAAUCUGGUUUCAAGACUAUGAUCUCCUUGCCAGACAUUUUACAUUAAUGGAUGAAUUCAUAAGACCAAGCUAGACAGUCCUGAAUAGAUCUUGCAUUUAAGAAACCAUAUUGAUUUGUGUGGACCAGGUUCAGAAUGACAUCUUGGAGUCUAUUUGCCAAAAGCUUGGUAAUAAUCUUAAUAGAGCAGUUGAGCAGAGAGAUGGGUCUGAAAUCAUUAGGAGUAGUUGGAGCAUGUUUCUUGGGAAUGAAUGAUGAGUUGAUGCUUUUCAAGCUAAUUCUUCCAUGACAGAAAUCCUCAAUUAAGUUGUAGAAAUCUGGUGCUAGAAUAUCCCGGCAAUGUUUGAUGAAGUUUGCGUUUUUCCCAUCAGGCCCAUGUGCCUUGUCAUUUGGUAGGUAUUUGAAUCAAUGUCUUCCUUGGAGAAGGGGGUUUCAAGCACUGAAAGAUCCACAUCUUUGUCAAGAAGACUGCCCCAAGUUCAGAGGAUUAAAAGUUGGCACUGAGUUAUUUAGUCUUUGCUUGAAAGCUUUGAGGAGAAUAUUGGCUUUGGCAUUGUGAUCUCUAUGUGUGUUGCACAACUCAUCUUUUAAACUGGCAAUAUGGUUGACCCUAUAUUUGAUAGUUGCUUUUGCUUGAAAGUAUUUGGAAUUGGCUUCACCAAAUUUAACCCACCUGAUAGUAGCUCUUUGUUGCCAAUAAAUCUUUUGUAAUUCCAACAGUUUAAGCAAAUGUUGUUUCAGAAACUCUCUCCCAUUCAAAGUAAGUUCUCUAAAAUUUUCCAAAAAAUCUAGGAAAGAAAUGACUUCAUUGGUUGUUGUAAUGGAGAAGCUGAGCUGAGCGAUGGAUUUUGACCAAAUUUUUAGACAUUUCCUGAGCCUUUUGAAAUUGGCAGUUAUCCUUUUAGCACUGUCCUGAAUUUGAGUGUCCUGAUCCCAGUUCUGUUUGAGAACUUCUUUAGAACCCUCAAUUUGCAGCCAAAAAUUUUCAAACCUGAAUAUUUUGGCUUUGCGGAUAUGAGUACCAAUCUGAAUCUGGCAGGGUAUGGGGUCAGAGACAGGUUCUGACAAAGGCAAUACCAAAUUGUUUGGAUAUUGGGAGGUCCAAGCUAUAGAGGUGAAUACCCAAUCCAACUUUUCUAGUAAUUGGGCCUGUUGCAUAUUGCUCCAAGUAAAGCUUCUUCCCUUUAAAGCAAUUUCCACCAAAGCCAAUUUGCUAAUGGCAUCAUUGAAUUUCAGCCUAUCAGAGAUAUUGCCUCCAUUCCUGCUUUUGUUGUGUGGGUACCUGAUAUAAUUGAAAUCCCCCAUGAUAAUCCACUUGGUAUCAUCAGGCAUUUGAAUAUUGCUGAACCAAUUAAAUAAACAUCUGUAGCUGCACCUUGACAUGGACCAUAAAUAUUAAAUAGAAUCCAAGAAUCACCAGUCAAUUUAGAAAUGAGCCUGAUGGAGAUGGAGAAGUCAUUAUGGAAGAGAGGUUCUCCCUCAAAGAGAGUGCCAUUCCAAGCAAUGAGAAGAUCACCAGAAGCUCCCACUGAAGGGAGAAAAUCAAAAUGAUUUAUCCUUUUUGGGCAGAAAUUCUUGAGAUAUCUGAAAUCAAACUGUUCUUUUUUAGUCUCCUGCAGACAGAUGAUAUCUGCAUUUAACUCAUCAAUUUUGUUUCUCAGAGCAAACCAUUUCUUGCUGCCAUUUAUUCCUCUGAUGUUCCAAUUGAGUAAAGAUGAGCAUAUGGCCGGCUGGUGUGUAAAGAUGGAGCUAGCUUAAUUCAACGGCUUCCGGUGAUGCAUCGCGCUGGUGAGGGGCGCGGUAGCGUGACGGCAUGCUCUGAAAGCGCGCGGUGGCGUGACGGCAGGGUCGCGGGUGCCUGGUGCCGGCACGGUGGGCCUCACGGGGCUUACUCGUGCCCGUGGCUACGGUGGCGGCCUGGUCUGGGCUCCGCCAGAUCUGGCAGGCUGGGGGUGGCCGUGGGUGGCGUGCGGUGUCUGCAGUGGCGUGCUGCGCGGUUGACAUCACCUGCGUGCCUGUUCUGGCGCGGCUCAUGGCACCUCUUCUGCUCAUCUUCGGGGACGGAUCUCGGCCACUUUGGCGCCCUCGUCGUCGGUCGGAUGGUCGAGGCAUGCUCCUCGCACUCCUAUCCUGGCGGCUGUGGUUCGGCAUUGCAAGAGCCAACAUAGGGGAGGUAGGUUGGAGGGAUCGAUGGUGAGGCCAUCCAUCACUGGCAGGGGUGCUGGUCCGAGGUUUGCUCCGCUCCUCGUCCUACACCUUUCCUUGACCUGGUGCCCCCAGUCAUAGUCUUGGCGCGGUGGAGGCUUGCUGGCCGUUGUCUGCUGCAGUUGUGUAGGGGUCUGCUAGCUGUGGAGGCCCUUCCCUUUUCGAUGGCCGAUGAAGUGUCAGGAUGCAGGGCGGCGGCUCUGUGGUGAGAGCUACGGUGUUCGUGGGUGGUUCUCGUUUCUCGAGUGCGGCCUGGCAGCCUUGGUCGUGUGGGCGGCCGGGUGGCUGGGGCUCGACGGUGCAUGGUUGUGGUGCGGCAGGUCUCUCGUGACCUGUUGCCCUCUAUACGGAGGUGGAUCGUGUGUGCCAGGUAGAUUUGCCCGUUUGGCGGUGGUCAGACGGAUGGCGCCAAUGCUCGUGGGUGUCGUCCUCUUCCUGAAGACGUUGUCGCGGUUGCUCCUAGUACUCUAUUUGCUCUGGGUGAAAAUCUUGAUCCUUUGGAUCGGGCGGUGGCGAUGCUCUGGCGUCGUAACCUUCCUGAAGGCAUCGUCUUGGAGCUCAUAUGGUCAACUUGGGUCCUCGGAGCAGCUAGUUCACAGUUGAGGGCUUUGUCGUCCCUGUAGUGGUCGUUUUUAUUUAUCCUUUGGACACUCUGGGUUGAUGCUGUUGAUCUUCUGUACCCUUGUAUCUCGUGUUGGGUGUGUGCGAUGUGGGUUGGUGUUGUAUGGUCCCGAUGUUUGUGGUUCGUUGCUUUAUCUAUAUCUAUAUCUAUAUCUAUUCUAUAUAUAUAUAUAUAUAUUUAAUAAUAAUAAAUAAAGGGAGGUAAUAUUCUUGGUUUGGUUUAGUCUGCCGCUUUGAUUUUCGUCCGUCGUUAUUCACGUUAAAUUUAGUCUGUCGUUCGUUAUCCUGUCUCUUUACUUGCCCAGUUUAAACCGAUUGGAAACCGACUCAAGCCAACGAGAGGCAAGCAACCAGCGAUCGGGCAGCCAUCUAGCGGCAGCAGCCCAGAUUUUUUUUCCUGAGCUAACGGUAGCAGCCCAGCCUGAGCUAACGAGGUAAUUUUUUUUGCCACCUUAAAUAAUCCCACCUUGCUUUCUUACAUCGAAUCGUGUCAGUUUAUAUACGUCUUAACUUGCUACGUAAUCAGCAAGCUGAUUGAAGAAUCAUUAACCAGAUGGGGAGGCAUGGAGGCAGAAAGCAAUCAAAUCUGUGUGCACCGGUUUUGGGCAAAUUUAUCUGGAUUCAUGAGUUCAUGACAUGACCCGGUACUGGGCUAAUUUGGGGCUAUGGCAUUUAUGAUAAUUACAAUAUGAAAAGCAAGAGUUAAAUCUGAAUUCCAAGGAAAGCUGAGAGAUGAAAUCUCCUGAAUUUUAAUUAAAGGAAAAAUAGUGCAUAUAGAGAGAGUAAAUACAGAUUUGGCUAAGGGCACUUCCAACACAUUAUAUGUACUCCCUCCGUCCAGAAAUACUUGUCGGGGGAAUGGAUGGAUCUAGACGUAUUUAGAUUUAGAUACUCCCUCUUUUCUCCCUUUAAAAUGAGUAGUAGCUUCUCCAACGAACACUGUUUGGAAGCUGGUUCUCACCAAAUUUAGUUACACGUUAAUUUUUUCUUCUAUUGCAACGCACGGGCAUUUGUGCUAGUAUAUAUAAAGCAACAAACUACAAACGAAAGCCUUUUGGUAAAAAACUUAGUGAUACAUUACCAAACCCGAGGCGAGAAUUCUUUUGUAUCCCCGCGAUGAAAUCCUAUCAAUAUACGUAGAUAUCCUUGUUACCGGUUUGUACUGUUUUGUCAUUUUCAUAUUUCGGUAUCCCAUUAACUAACUCCUGGUCAUAAUACCUGGUCUGGUCAGGCAAUGGUGGAUAGUAGAAUACCCAGUGAACUAGAGUGUACCUCCCCAUUGCAGGAGGGGCAAAUACGAGUCUUACAUAUCUAGCACAAUAGCAUACUUUUCAGUAUACCCAAAAGAUAAGUUUAUUUUCACAUUUCUUCUAUUUUAAAAAAAGUCAUUUCUUAUACAAGAAAACCCCCUUCACAUCCUGUGAGCCUGCAUCAUGGUCACGAGUCUUCAAUAGUCAUUAUCGCAAAAUAUCAGGUGUGCCACUUGACGUGGGGUGGAUGGUUACGGCUGUGACUAACUACUAGCGGGUAGUGCGCGGCGGCACGCCGCGCCACAUUGAUUGAGAAGCAAUUUAGUUUUGUUGUAAUAUUUGAUAAACUGAUUCAAGACUUGAUUCGUGACACAGUAGAUCAUACAAGGAAAGGGUACAUUUAAUUGAUACAUGCACAUAAGUGAUCUACAAACCAUAGUGAUAGUGAUAACUGGAUGCAGACCUGAGAUGUUGAUCCUCCGGCUGGGUUUAUUUCUUUGAUGUAGUGAUAGAGAGUUGAAGCUAGUUCUUCUGCUCUUGUUUUUGGUGGUUUGUUUCAUGUGCAGACAAUGUUAAAGUUGUUGUUGUAUGCAUGUUCUGACUCUUGACUGAAUGGCAAAAUAUUUCAAAAUUGGAGACAAACUUUUUUAAGGGUUCUUGUUCGCCUUGACAAGGCUUGCUUUUUACCGUUUCUGUAUUUCUAAUUCUUUUUCCUUGAUCUUACUCCAUUCCUGUGGAGCUGAUUACUCCAUUCUUGUGUGGCUAAGUAGCCUUGUACAAGAGAGACGAUUGUGCCCUGGUUGUUUAUUAGUUGUUUGUUAAUGAGAAUUGUACAUAAUACGAACGUGGAUACAAAGAAACUGGGAAGUACGAUUAGAUAUACCGGUUGAGUUAUUCAUCUUUAUAACGCAAUAUUUAGAGCUGAGGUGGAAUUUCCUGUUGGGUUGUCUCAGUGAUAUUGUGACAAGAGGGUAGAAGUUGAAACUUGCUGGUUUCUCUCAGUAGUCACAGAGGGCAGAGACAGCUUGUUUGUCUCGGUGAUGUAUCUCUUCCCUAUUGGUCUUCAGGGUAUUGUGAUUUUUCAUAUAUACACAAGUUGAUUACGGGUCUCCGGGGGUAUUAUAAUUUUGCAUAUAUGAUAUAUAUGUUGAUUUGUUUCAACAUGACAGCGGAAGAGAUCAUAUUGUGUAUGCGCAGUCUGGUCGAGUUAAAUCCCUCAUAUAGUACUUCUAAAGUAAAUUACAAAUUGAGGCCUGAUGACCAGGAUUGCUAUAAUGUUCUCUUUGAAUUUGAAAGCAUGAAGAGACAUAGAAAUAAUAGUGUGUUUAUGCUAUUCAUGCAAUCUUUUCAAGUUAGUUUUCAAUGAUUUUUAAGAAAAAAAUACUAAAUAUAUCUAAAUUGCAAGAACAAUUGUUAUUUAGUUGUCUAUCUGGACUUGAGGCAUGAACACAUAGUAUAAAAAAAUAGCAGAGAAUGAAGGAAGUACAUAUAUCAAUUUCUACAAUUGAAUAUCAAUUUACAUCUCAAAUAUUAGUUGAUCAACAUUUCACAUUUGUUAGAAAAUCAGAGAAGAUCAUAGACAAUUGUACAACAUGCAUUCAUCAAUUCUCUAGUGCUGCCCAAAAAGAAUUGAUUAGCUGGACCUAAUCCGACCAUGACACAUUUGCAGACGACUGCCAAUGCCAGACUCACCAUCUCCUUCAUAUUUUCCGUCCUUUCUCCUGUUAUUGGUUCCAUCGCCUAAUCCGCGCAGCUGGCCGUGCAUAUGUGUUCUCCUCAACCUGCUUUCGACACAACACUUGUAAACUAACACCCGGCAAAUACAACUAUAUCUGUCGGCAUUGCACUAUCUUCCUCAUACCAGGCAAAUACAACACUAAUUUAUCGAGUACAGAAGGAACACGAUACUUACCGAACACUGCAAAUAUAUGCCUUGUUGAAGCAUCUACCAGUUGCAUGGCUUCAUCAAAUUUUGAACUUGCAUGGUUCAACAAAAUCAAAUAGUGAACUCUCAGGAACAUUAGUUCAGCGAUGAUGCUCUGUCAUUGGGAUCGGGACCUCACAUCUUAAUGGAAGGAAGCAGUUAUUGAUCAAGUCUAAAAUCUGAGUGAGACUUAGGCAGUCAAGCCUAUUGCAGAACCAUGUCUGAUAGAAAAACACUAAUAACAUCUAACUAACAUAGAGUGACUUGAACCAUAUAUGUCUGCAAAUGCAACUCACAUAUUACUACACAAGAAAACAAAUCAAGUUGUUGCUGCUUCUUCACAUAAACGAUCAUAAAUAAGAUGAGAAGGCAGACACAACAAGCAGGAAGGACCUUCCAGUACAACUGUGAUUCUUUCAACAGUGACGGUAGUAGCUGUGUCCCUGGGGAGGCACCUGCAGUCGACCAUAUUGUACUUCUUCUAUGUACAAGAGAAGAUACUUGUGUGAAGUUUGGAACUGCCAACUUAAAAAAUGAAGAAGGAACUUUGAGAUCUUUGAGACCUUUGCCUCUUUCAAGUAACAACAUGUGGUUCUUUUCUUUGAUAAUAAAUCAGAGGAGACAAGGAAAUAAAAAUAUAGUAGCACUUCUGUUGCAUGUUUUGUACCAUAUCAAUAUGAAAUGCAUGAGAUGUGACGAAGAUGCAAGAUGAUAAGACUCACCUGCUCAUUAUGGCCAAGGCUAUUCAGUAUUCCAUCCGUUAACACUGAACGCACUUGAACAAUCCAUAGGAAUCCAUGUCUCAUGUAUCAUGCAGUCGAAAGAACCUGGAAAGUGGAACUGAUUAUGAACCAAACUAAUUUAUAAGAAAGAUGCUACAAAAGAUCAAUCUGCUGUCUAUUGAAUAGUGAUUCCUUUCUCUGUGAUCCUUGCAACAACAAAAAUGUUGACUUUACUCUCAUCAUAGUAUAGCUUGGUGAGAAGCUACUUCGCCAACCAUCAUGAAAAACUAAAACCAUCGGGGUCUGAUGAAAUCUUGUGUGAUAAUAUAUAAGACAGUAGCUGGAUAGCUUGAUAAAUCAAGAGGUCAAGUUAAGGUUUUGCGCCAGAGAACAAAAUAAAAUUUGCUGUGGCAGAAUCAAUAGCACAGAAGCAAUAAGGAAAAAAAUACAAGUAAUAUAUACAUUAAUAAAGUAUGUCAUGCAAAAUGCAGUAACCAAUUACAUCCCAUGCAAUUAUACCAGAUGAAAGUAGGAUAUCAAAAAAAUACCUGACCAAAUGAAGCUCACACAGCUAUUUGCCACCAAUUUAUCAAACAAUAGUGUACAUGAACCUGCAAUACUUACAUACAGUAUAUCAGUGGUGCUACUUUUUUUUAGAUCAACAGUGCAACAUUUAAUUAGUUGACGUGUGAAGCAUAAACAAAUUACAGAUGACACUAACUACAACCAGAGGCCCAGACAGUUUACUAUAUUCUUACUUCCACGGAUACUCCAGUUGGAGUGGUUGUCGACAUGAAACUGUAUUGCCAUGUCCGCCAACAUAUUCUUUCAUAAAGUAUCAAGAAAAACUGAAAAUUAGUGUAUUGCAAGUGCCACUUUCAAUGUUCAGGUUCAGUUCAUCAUACAAUUAUGGAAUAUUAACUCUGAAAUAAAAUAUGACCGUGCAACACUUCUUUUCCUCUCGGAUGUAAAUACGAAGACCGAAAUCCGGAAUUUCCAAGUUACCUGCACUUGUCAUUCUCGCAGAACCCGAACGACCACUUCUUCUCUCCUCGCCAUAAACCUUCACACAAUACAUCAGAAAAUAAGAAUUGGACAUCUGAAUAAAAAGGGCCAAGCAAGCAGGCAGAAGUGCAUAGUGAUCUACCAUGGUAGAGCUCGUGUUGACUGGUGGCCCGUCAUCUCCGACGUGCUAGAGCUGGGGACGACGCCAUGGACGACACCAUCUGCUAUUUCCCUCGUGAAGGAAGAGCACGAAGAUGUUGACAACAGUGACCGCCCCGUCAGACUAUGAAGGGCACAAUCUUCGUGGAGAAGAACUGCGACGUUUAGAGGAGGCGGGGCCAGGGUCUUCCGUCGGUGCAUGGGUCACGGGAACUGAACGAUGACGGACCGGAGAUGAGUGGAGGCUGGAAAGAAGGCCAAAUCGGGGAGGAAGAAGGCCAAAUCGGGAAGGAUUCAGCGCCUCCCGCCUCAGAUCAUGCAGAAUAUGAGAGAGGGGAGAGGGCCUUGCUAGCAGAAUCCGCCUCACCUCUAAUCUGGCCGGUCGUUGGUAGGCCUCUCUUGCUCGACGGCUGGGCUCCCCACGCGAAUCUUGUGCCGAUGGUGCCGUGGCCGCUGUGCAUCGGAGGUGGCGGUGGCACGCCGCCGUUGCUUCAUCUCCUCGGCCGUACGUCUGCCACUAGCGAAGCUCGAGGUUGGAAGGGUGCGGUAGAUGGGACGGUAGGGAGAGGAGGCGAGGCAGAGACCGUCAGGAAGGAGAAGAGCCCUUUUAUAGGCAUAUACGGCGGCCAACCGGUGGCACCACACUCGUCUCGAGUCUUCACGAGAGGAGACCCGAUAAAAUAUCUGAAAGACCGCCGCUUAAGGUAACGUGAGACAAUCGACAAGAAGAGAAGAUCCUGGAAACGAAGCCCACCAGAAAAGCCCAGAAGGCAACGUGUCCAUCGAUGGAAUGGCAGUCAACCACACAAGGGCACCGGACGUGGCAACCACACCCAGAACCAAACGUGCUAAAAUAACCCCACCAAGCAAAAAAUAAAAUCAAUCCACUCUAGGAAACCACCAUGCACACGUGUCGCUCAAACAAGGGCAGUAAAAAAAUUUCCAAAAAAACCAGGUAAAUCGAACACUUACGGACCUAGUCUUCUUAGUAUGCGCAAGCUCGGCGACAAGGGCAGUGGGCCCGCCAGAGGCAGCAACGUUGAGCGUGAAGCUACGACUAUUCCAAGUUGGCGCUCGACUUCGUUGACCCACCCGGUCCUUUAAUGCCUCGAGGAGCUGGUCGCACACAGUGUCGAUGAGAGAAUCUACAAACCUGAUGGGCAAAUGCGAUCCCUCGAACGCCCAUGGUUGCACUCGAACGCGUCCGCCGGCAUUGAUCGGGCAUAUGCCGCAUAUUUUGUCUUCCACACUCGCGUCCCUCAUAUUUGAAACCUUCUAAUCCUGCGAUUCAUGCAACGCUAGGUAACACAUGAUCAAAGCGCAGUUCAUCGGAUCAGCCGGACAAAAAGAACAUAAUUCAUCGAAGUUCAACGGCGGACAGUGCAAAUCGAUACUACAAACAGAACGGGGAAGGGCGGAGGAAAUCACCAUUUCCUCGCCGGCCCCUUCCCCUUCCAGUUGUCGGUGCGGCUGUGCCCCUCCUCCGUGUAGGCGUCGGCAUGCGGAGGCGCAUCGUCGUGGGAGCUAGAGGUGGAGCCGUCCGCCAGAUCCGAGUCGGAGCUGCAGCUAAUGCCCGAGAGCUAGCGGAGUAGGCCAUACUGCUCCUUCGCACGGUGGGCCGCCUUUGCCUUCGCCGCCGCCUCCUUGCUUGCCUCGCGCUCCGAAAACUCGAUGACGAGUCAGAGCGCCUUGGCAUUCUUGCGGUGGAGGCGCCGCACACCGUCUCCGCCGUCGUGAGACAGCAGCGGUGGACUGACGCGAGGAGCGCUGCCUCAGAAUCGACCGGCGCACUCACGCGAGGAUGGGGCGUGAACAUCGACUCGCACGCCACUGCCCUCUCCCUCGCCAGCUGCCACUCACGCCGGGCUGCUCAUGCCUCGAACUAGGGUGUCUUAGUGCGUGCCGGCCCCAGCGCAGGCACGAGGAACCAAAGAUGGUCGGGUACCACCUCCUCCGGCGAGAGGGUGGUGGUGGUGGGUGGCGUACCUGGAGGAGCGGAGUGGCUGGAGGUGCGCGCCAGGCAGGAAGGGCCGGCGACAUCGUCGACGCUGCGUCGACGAGCACCGGGCGCAGACGAAGUGGAUCUGCCGCUGCCGGAUCCGCCUUGGUCGACCAUUGAACGCCUCAAUGCGAUGCGUAAGGCAACCUCCUCCACAUCGCCGGGCUCCGCUUCGCGCAGCAGGCUAGGCGAGUCGUUGUCGGAGCCGGAAUCCCCACCGGAGGCAACGCUGCUUCGAUCGCCGGCCAUCGGAUGUGUUCGGAGGGCAUCGGAAGUGGAGUGGACGGAGAGGGGAGUGAAGUGGAGUUGGGAUUCACUGCGGUCUAGGAUUUUCAGGAUGGGGAUAUUUGUGGGGCAGGCGUGGGCUAAACUGGGCCAAGCCGACGGGCCCCGAUGCCCCUGGACUGCCCCAUACCCAUCCCAUUUUUUUGCUAGAUAUGAUGGGUGCCGCUCAGUCUGGCCGUUUGAUGCCCGUUUGAGGCGUCCGGAUGGAUCGAUUUAUUGUGGCCUGUUAGUGACCGGCAAUCCUCCCUGGCAUUUGAGACGGGUUUAGGGGCUGUAGACGCUCUAAAGCAGCUGACCGGCUGCUGCGUGCGAGCUAUGCCACGAAUCAGUGGGCAACUAUUCAAAGUCUGCAGCGUGUCUGCGUCCAUGCCAGCUACAAAUGUUGAAAGUCAAGUAGAGCGUGCGUUCAUACUUGAAUUGACCUCCAUAAACCAUUAUUCCGGACGAUCCAUUGGUGUGUGCUGACAGUUGAGACAUCAAUUCAAAUUUGUGCGUGUGCGUCCAAUCCAUACCGCCUAAAAUUCAAGCAUCUCUACAAAACCAUUAUAUAUAGACCAAGAAGCGGCAGGGUGCAUGACCAUACAAGAGAAGAGAGUGGUCGUUGUGCAAAAGACUGUUUUGCCAUAUCAUGGCUUCGAGUGGGAGGUUCCAGUACAUGAAGAUGGUCCUUCUCCUUGUUAUACUGGAGCUCAUUCUGGGAAUCUCUGCAGGUUACGGCCGCGGAGUCCCCAUCUACAGCAAAUGUACGUGCUCCAGACAUUCCAUCAUAAUAUCUAACCAGUUAAGGGUUUUUUUAAUCGACAACUAUAUAUGAUAGACAGACCAUCCUUACUGUUUUAAUCGAUGAAACAAUUUAAUUGGGCUUAGUAACACAUAAACCUCAAAAGUUUCAUUGGGUCCGUAUUAAUCUAAGUUCUCACUCAUUAUUGUAAUGUUAAUCAUAUUGAUUUGUGGGAUAUGAAACCGGAAGGCUCGUCAUGAUAUAGCCUGAGGAGGAUUUCAAUUAAAUACCUCACCCCCUAUUUUCUGUUCAAUCACAAAACAAUGCACAAAAAGAUAUGGUUAGUUAGAUGAGAUUGAUUAAAAUUAAUAAAAUCGAUGAUGUACCAUGCAUCUAUGCCCCUUUUUUUGUUAUAUAAUUGUUUUCUCUCUGGACUCAUUGUGUACUUCGUUCUACAAAUGCUUGUUCUACUUGAAGCGCUAGAUAGAAAUUCUGUUUAUCAUGUUGACAGUAAGGUGUUACCAGUUAUUCCCAUAAUUGUCAAUACCAGUUUGCAUGUGAUUAAUCGUUUUGCAGAUUAUACCGGAGGCGAUCCUAAUGGGCCGGGUCAUUAUUGCUGCCGUUAAAUCAGCAUUGUACUGUAUGUCUAUCAUUCCUCCCCGUUGAAAGAAGAUCUAGUGUGGAAGAAGGUCUGACUGAAGUUCGUCGUUUUGUACUCCCUUCGUCAGAAAAUAACUGUUGGUAAAACAGAUGUAUCUAGACAUAUUUCAGUGUUAGAUACACCCAUUUGAGCGAUGGUUAUUUUGGGACGGAGGAAGUUUUAGCUCGCCGCUUAUGUUCGAGUCCGGUAUAGUUCUGUUUCAGGUGUAAACAGGUCCUGGUUGCAUCGUGUUAGGCAUGUUACCGUGUGGUUUUGGGUGUCAAGUCCAUCUGUCCAAGUGAUGUAAAAGCCUUUUUGGCCUAUAUAAACAAAGAGAAAACCAAUGAAAAGACCAGGUUGCACACUCGUGCUUUUGUUGUAUCCGGCCGUUUAAUAAAGGAUAUCCUGUUACUCAUAUGGAUGCUACAGAGCGCUUGUGAGCCUUUUGAAAUCCAAUCUUCGAUUGAACUCGUACCAUACUACAUACUCCCUCCGCAUCAUAUUAAUUCACGCUGAAAUGGAUGUACCUAAAUAUAUUUCAGUGCUAGAUACAUGCAUUUCAGCGCUAAUUAAAAUGGGACGAAGGGAGUACUACAGAUCAAAAUCACCAACAAAUCAUAUUGAGCCAUCAGUUUCAAACAUUAAUUUUGUUUACUUCCAAACCUAGCACAAAAAUCAAAAUCCGCUUUCACCAUUGUCAAACUAGAUCACAGAUAGGCAUAUUCCGACGAAUAGCAAUCGAAGAAUCGAGGAGAGAAUAUGCGUGGAUGCUGUUAGAACAAUGAGCAUGGCCCAUGUAUAUUUCUGAAAUUCCUACAUUAAAUCUCAAAGGCCCAUAAAUAAAUGGCAAGAGGUGGUUUUAAAGUUUAGGCCACACCACUAGUGAAGGAGGCGCCGGACUUCUUUAUCUAGUGGGUUCUCCCCACUACAUUAUCUGGUGAGUAUGAGGAGAGAAAGAGAACACCAUACGUACACACUCACCUCUCCUGGUCUGUCCGGGCACGGCCUCAGGCAUGCCCAAUGCGAUGUCCGCGUGAAUGUUCCGCCGAAAUAUGAUCCGUGGCCUUGCAGGAGUGCGGCUUCCUUUGUAGUUUUGUUUUUUAAUGUCGUGGCUGAUAAGUUGAUUAUUUUCUUGUCCAAUAAGUUUAUCACUUGAAAACCAAGUCGGUUUGAUAUCGUGAUCACGACACAAUACCACCUUGGUCCUACGAUAUACAGGAUUUACCGCCCACGGCCAACGACACACCAAAACAAGUUAGGGUUUUGCCUCCUUUCGCUACUUUCAGUGCAAUUGUAGUUACUCCAUCCCGAACAUCGGCAUGCACCAGCGAGCAGGAGAGCAGGUCUCCACAACCUCUCGCUCUUGAUCAUGCACUGAGAGAUGGCGAAUUAGGUUUCUAGGAAGCGUUCUGUGCCAUUGCUCAAGUUUGUCACCAUGGUUUGUCUUCCAUCCAAAUCAAACGGCGUCAUGUGUACUUCCAUGUCCAACGUUGUCUGCUUCAACCGGGUUUCAACAACGUCAACAACCUCGUCAUCAACAUCACACCUGCAGUAGCUAUGGCUACAAACAAACAAUACAUGCGUAAUGAUCAGUUCAUGUCUCUAAUUAUGCUUGUUGUUACAUGUCUAAUACUGUUGUACAUGUUUUUGUGUUCGUCUAGUAUGCUAGAAUGUUGCAUGCUAGUAAUACUUUUAAUCAUGACUAGCACAUAUGCCCGUGCGUUGCAGCGGGAGAGAUAUUUUUUUGCGAGAAGCAACAGGAAAGAGAAUUGAUGUGUCAUCCAAAAAAAGGGUCUCCACAAUGGUAGGCGACAGAGUAAGGAGUUAUGAUCUUCUCGUUGGACAUGUUUGACACGCGAAAUCUUGAUAGUAGUGGGAUUGGGCGGCAUGGUGGCGAGCACCUAACUCAUGCUUUUUUUUUACUCCGGGUCUGACUCCAUCUCGGGGUUGUGCCUGCCUUCAGUACAUAGUUUCUUCGACCACGGUAUCCUACGACGGCGUAGCCGGGAGGAUUAUGAAUUGCAACGCAUAAAUCCCAUUUCAUUAUCAUAAUCAUGCAAGAAUGUCCCUUCUUUUUGAGGGUUUCUUCUCUUUGAUUAUUUUAGUGCUAGUGCCCAUAUUCUUGCUCUAAUUAAAGUUAAACAACAUAUUCUCUUUUAUUGGCACGUGCACAGAAUUUCUUUUAUUUAUAGUCAACAAGCAUAGAACGAACGUGCACCGCUAACCAAUGGUCAGCGCGAAUAUUUACAAAAAUAAUAUAGUGUUAGAUUAGAAUUUUUUUAACAUUAAAAAAAAUACGAAUUCACGAAUAUUUUUAACAUGAAAAUUUUAUAAAAACACAACUAUUUUUGAAACUUUGAUUUUUUUAGAAGGGGACCAUUCAAAAAAAUGUUAGAAAAUAUUUACUUAGAUGCAAAUAUAAUUUUGUAUUUGUGAAUAUUUCACUAAAACAAGAAUAUUUUAAAAUAUGAAAAAAUUCAUAAAAUUUAAUGCCUAUGAAAAUCUCGAAGAAUUUAUGAAAAAUCUAACAUUUUUAUAAAAAUGAGAAUAUUUUUUGAAUGUUGAGAAAAUUUCGUAACGGGGUUUUUCUAAAAGUUUCGAACAUUUUUUGAAACAGGAGUUAUUCUUGGAGUUCUAAGCUUUUUGAAUAUUUGAAAUUUUUUUGAAAUUGUGAAUAUUUCUGCAAAUUUUUACUUUACAGAAAAACUAGAAAAAAGAAGGAAAAAAUAAAAAGUAGAUAAAGGAGAAAGAUAAAGGAACUGAAAAAGAAAAAAAGAAAUAGAAUAAAGAACAAUGGGAAACGGGCUGGCCCAGUGUUAGACGCACUGUGGGAAACUUCAACUAUUUACCCCUCGAUGCGACAAAUAAGGUCGUUUGAACUGCGGAACAAUAUAAGUGGGCUGGCUUCGGUGGGCUGGAGUGCGCGUGGCCCAAUUAUGAAAUUCUGUAUAAAACUUUUUUCUUUUCUAGCGGAUAAACGCACAAAAAAUUAGUACCACCUCGGAUAGAAUUAUUUUUUCGACGGUGAACGGAUGAAAAAAUUGAAGAAACGCACCUUGCUUUAUUAGUACUAGCACAUAUGCCCGUGCUUCGCUACGGAGGAAACAUGAUUGCUAUGAACCAGGCGAUAAUGUAAUGAAUUAAACACAUGAUUAAAAGCAAACACAAUGUCUAUAAACAAGAGCAUUUAUUAUUCCAAAUCAUAAUAUUUAUCCUUCACGAACACUCUCGAUGAAGAAUUAUAGCGUGUGGCAGCCCUAGGAUCGGCUGGCAUCCGUUUCAUGUCCGUGAACUGCACGGAUCAUGGUGCGUGCGGUCAACAACAAUAAUAUAAUGAUUGGCGAUGUCUAGGAGGUUGGCAGAAUCUAGAUGAGUAGAUGGAUGCGAGCAAUUGGAAAAAUCUCUCACCGAUAAUGUUGUAGGCUUUGGUUAGUGUAGAUUAAAUGGUGAAAUUCGUCCUUCACAAUGCAUUGAACUGCUCAUAAAAUAUUCGUGCUAUUUAUUUUCUUAUUCAUCCUAAAAAAAGCUAAUAGUUGUAAACAUAUAUGUAUGAGCGCUUGCGUCUGUACUGUGUUAAAAAAAAUCUAUCAGUGCGUGUAUGGAUCAGAAAAAUAAAACAUUCAUAAACUCCUUAAUCAUGCUUGAGUCACAAAUGCAACCACGAAUGCUUACCCAAUUCAAUGGCUAAAGAACAUGCCAGUGGCACAUCUGGAAGCUUUUCUGCAUAAAUGGACGAACAAAUACCAUCAAGUGUGCAAACAAACCCGACGCAAGAAGCAUAAUCAGCAAUGGGCUCAUCAGAGUUAAAAAAAUAAUCAAUGGGCUCAUCAGCCAUGGGACACUCCUGUUGCUCCUCGACAAUGGGAGGCUCUUGUACAAAUUGUAUCCUCGAUCAUGUGUGCUUAGCAGCUUAGGGAUUGGCCAGUUAAUGGUCACCUUCCGCUGGAGCGGCCGCUACUACCUCGCCUCAGGCGGCAUCUUCAUUUCCUUUUUUUCCGGGACAGCUUCUUGAUAUGUGGAAAACUCAAAGAAGUAUAUAAAUUGGAUGAAUUAUAUGCAAGGGGGCAAUGUGGGACUAUUUAAGAGUAUUGACCUUCAUCUUUGAUCAUAACGUUGCCCAGGUCAAUUGGCAGCUUUGUCCUGUAUCGGCCAGGUGGUCAUGAGUUCGAUUCUUCAUAGCUGCUCUUAAUUUUUUGCCUCCGCUUGGCUCAUCAGGAAAGGUGGACGUGAUUUGUUGGGCCACUGGCCACAGUAGAUGGGCCUGUCUCAGAAAUAGGAAAAAACCGGCCCAGGAACCCAGCAACGGACAAAAAAUUUAGAUCAAGGAGCGUUUAGUACCACCUCGUACGUGAGCAAAAUAGAACGUACGGUCCAGCAAAAAUUAACGGAAAAAACUAAUCGCGGGACGAAACCAAAAAUAUCACCUUGCUUUAAUAGUAGGUAUAUAUAUAUAUAUAUAUAUAUAUAUAUAUAUAUAUAUAUAUAUAGAUGGGUAUGGGUAUGGGUAUUUAUACUUUCGAAUUUAUCAGGAAAUUGCCUAAUUCUCCAACAAACCAUACUCUAAUUGUAGCCAAUUUACUGUCUUAACUAUAGCUGAAUUCGCUGACGCACCGAAACUGGUUAAAUUUUCCAGGGUGUCUUUCAAGUGGUGGCAUGUGAAGUCCACGCUCUGGCUUAGUGCUCUAAAAAUAUUCCACGUUAUUAUUGGUAUGCCAGAGGGGAUAUCUGAUGAAGAUUUGAGAAAGUUCAAGGAAGCCAAUAUUAUCUUUAUGGUAUGCGUUUUGAGUGUUCUUACUGCCGUCUGUGUGAUGUGUACAUACAUAUACAAGAUAAGAAGACUCUGUGAGAUGCACUAAAUGCCAAAUCCAGUGCAAUAGAUGCAGUCCGUGAACAUGGAGAGCUUCUUUACCCUGGUAUAUUCUUGUCCGGUUUCUUUGCCACACACUUUUACUACUUCCUUCAUUCCACAAUGUAGUGAGCCCGCGUUUCCCAAGAUCUAAGUUUGACCAUACAUUUAAACAAUGAGACUGACUGCGGCGGGAGUAUAAAUUAUACCACUGAAUUCAUAGUUUGACCACAUAUUUAACCAACGGGACCGACUGCGGGGAGAACAAAAACUAUAUCACACUGAAUUCAUAUAUAUGAAUUCAGUGGUAUCAUUUUUGCUCCUGCCGCUGUCAGGUUCGUUUUUUUUUUGCGGGGUAUUUUUUUUCGUUAGUUAAAUGUAUGGUCCAACUUAGAUCUCGAAAAUGCGGGUGCACUACAUUAUGGUAUGAAUUUAGUGGUAUCAUUUUUGCUCUCGCCGCAGUCAGUUUCGUUAGUCAAAUGCAUGGUCCAAUUUUGAUUUCGAGAAACGCGGACACACUACAUUAUAGAAUGGAGGAAGUACAUUGUAAGUUUGUGCGUCUAAUAGGCAUGACUAUACCAAGGAAGUGCUUGUUCUCAUCAUGAGGGAGCGCUGGCCAUUGCAUUUAUUUAUUUGUAUAGUUUUACACAUGCAAAACUUAAUCUAGCUAGAUGCUUGAAUGGCCGCCGGCAGGAAACACACAUGCACGUGAAACUUGAGUCUCGCCCGUCGAUUAAAUCUGUGUGUGGCCGGCGACCUCGCUCCCCCGCUGACGCCGGCUGCCGGGCGCGUGCCCCCCGGCCCGCCCCGUUCCCCUCCCCCUCUCCCCCCUCACCUCCCCUCNNNNNNNNNNNNNNNNNNNNNNNNNNNNNNNNNNNNNNNNNNNNNNNNNNNNNNNNNNNNNNNNNNNNNNNNNNNNNNNNNNNNNNNNNNNNNNNNNNNNNNNNNNNNNNNNNNNNNNNNNNNNNNNNNNNNNNNNNNNNNNNNNNNNNNNNNNNNNNNNNNNNNNNNNNNNNNNNNNNNNNNNNNNNNNNNNNNNNNNNNNNNNNNNNNNNNNNNNNNNNNNNNNNNNNNNNNNNNNNNNNNNNNNNNNNNNNNNNNNNNNNNNNNNNNNNNNNNNNNNNNNNNNNNNNNNNNNNNNNNNNNNNNNNNNNNNNNNNNNNNNNNNNNNNNNNNNNNNNNNNNNNNNNNNNNNNNNNNNNNNNNNNNNNNNNNNNNNNNNNNNNNNNNNNNNNNNNNNNNNNNNNNNNNNNNNNNNNNNNNNNNNNNNNNNNNNNNNNNNNNNNNNNNNNNNNNNNNNNNNNNNNNNNNNNNNNNNNNNNNNNNNNNNNNNNNNNNNNNNNNNNNNNNNNNNNNNNNNNNNNNNNNNNNNNNNNNNNNNNNNNNNNNNNNNNNNNNNNNNNNNNNNNNNNNNNNNNNNNNNNNNNNNNNNNNNNNNNNNNNNNNNNNNNNNNNNNNNNNNNNNNNNNNNNNNNNNNNNNNNNNNNNNNNNNNNNNNNNNNNNNNNNNNNNNNNNNNNNNNNNNNNNNNNNNNNNNNNNNNNNNNNNNNNNNNNNNNNNNNNNNNNNNNNNNNNNNNNNNNNNNNNNNNNNNNNNNNNNNNNNNNNNNNNNNNNNNNNNNNNNNNNNNNNNNNNNNNNNNNNNNNNNNNNNNNNNNNNNNNNNNNNNNNNNNNNNCCGCGGGAUCCAGCGGCGCGGCGUCGGUCUCGCGGGGCGGCGGGGUGGCUUACUGUGGCGGCGCUCCGGCGACCCUCGGUCUGUGCGCGGCGGGGCGGCUGCGGUGCUCCCGUCUCGGGAGGUGGCGCGCGACUGGUCUCGUGUCGGAUCCGUUCGGAUUUGGCGUUGGGGGCCGGCCGGUGGCGCCUGGCUCCGGUGGUGCGUGCCCGACGGCUCCGGCGCUUGGAGCUCGCCGGGCGACGCGGGUAGGGCAGCGGCCGGGCGUGGCUGCUGCUCCGGCCGUGGGCGGUGGCAUGGGUAGGUCUCGGUGGCCUACCGGUGUUGUGGAGGCUUAACGGUGAUUCGAUGGAUCUGUCCGCGGCAACGGCCGGCUUCUCCGGCGUCGGUUUGUCUGCGUUCGGGCCGUCUCGUCCUUCACCCCAUCUCCUCGUCGCCCGGGCGCUACUCCCAUCAAAGGGCUGGUCCUCUCCCAGCUGCGAUCCACCGCUCGUCUCGCGCCCGAUGCCGCAGGACAGAGCUCGUCUCGCGCACGAUGCAGCAGGACCGAGCUCGUCUCGCGCACGAUGCAGCAGGACCGAGCUCGUCUCGCGCACGAUGCAGCAGGACCGAGCUCGUCUCGCGCACGAUGCAUAAGGACCGAGCUCGUCUCGCGCACGUUGCAGCAGGACUGACCUCAUCCCCCUCUCGUUGCUGCAGGACCGAGCUCAUCUCGCGCUUGGGGUAGCAGGAUGGGUCGGUGGAUGCAAGUUCUGGCCGACCUAUUGGGUCUCGAUGCUGGGGGUUGCCCAGGGGCGCGAAAGGUGGGACCUUUCCGCUCGUCUCUUUUGUUGGGGUGCGGCGGGUCACGGGUGAGGUGCUGUCGAGGUCUUGGAUGCUAGGGCGGCGGCCCUGGUGGUGGUGGUGGCGCGGUUCUCUUGGACAAAGCCCGUGCCUUGGUGCUGCCCUCUCAUCAUGGCCGUGUGGGCGGCGUGGUUGCCGGGGUGUGGCGUUCGGUGGCGGUAAAUGUUGGCCGAGGUGAAAACCUGCUCUUUUUUCGGACGGACCGGCGACGGCGAAGAUCGUUCCUUUCUUGAAGGCGUCGUCGCGGCUAUCAUUGCCCGUCAUGCGGCUCCGCGAGAAACUCUGAUCCUUGGAUCGGGCGGUGGCAGCGCUCCGGCGUCGUAUCCUUCCUGAAGGCGCCGCCUUGGAGCGCAUGGUUCGUCAUAUGUAGCUUCAUUUCUUCGGGGCGGUAGUGCUAGGAGUAGUGUUGCUGUGCUCAGCGCCUUCGUAUCCUGUCCUGGGUGUGUGCAUGUGUUGCGGUGGCGUGGCGUGUGGUUGUACUGGAUGCUUGUGGUUUUGUGCUUUAUAUAUAAAGCGGGGGCGAAAGCCUUUUUCGGUAUUAAAUCUGUGUGUCAUAGCAUGUAUGUCUUGCGCAUACCUUGGCAAGCUGAUUUAUUUGAGGCCCACACGCAUGUGAAAUUUAGUCUUAGGCUGUGUUUGGUUGAGCUGCAGAUUCUAAAAAAGUUGAUAUGAAAAUGUUGUUUGGUUAAACAACGGUGAAACUGUAGAUUUGGUUGUGAAAUGUCUGAAAUGCCCCUGUUGCAUAAUAAGUGAAUGUGUUUGUAAGAAAAUUCACCACAAAGCAAUGAUCUAUACAUUUUUACGUAAUUGUAAGCUUAAUUCAAUGGUAUGAAGUGCAUACCCAAUGUUUUUCAAAAAAUAAUUAGUCUAUAUGUUCAAUUAUACGUAAUAUGCCAUCUAUGGUAGUUUCUCUUUGUAUAAAACACACAAAAAAUUGAGCUGCAUUAUGGGAUUUGCUACAUCAAGACCAAAAGCUUAGUGAUCUCUUUACUAUUCGCCGUGGCCCCACCCUCCCUCCCCGCAUCGCUCCCGUGAGGCGACCGGAGGGGUGGGGGGGGGGGGGUGGGGGGUGUUGGGCCCUAGUGGCUAGCCUCGGCCCUAAUUCCUUCCUUCCCUUCCUCGCUCGCCGCCGCCGAGGGCCAAGCUGAUGGCCUAAUCCCGUCACCGCCGCUAGUGGCGGGGCUCCUUUACUCCGCGCUCGUGGGUGGUUGGCACGGGUCAACGGUUUUCGGUGGUGCAUCGCGCUGGUGAGGGGCGCGGUGGCGUAACGACGGGCUCUGGCGGCGGGGUCAUGGGAUCCUGGUGGCGGCGCGUGUUGGAAAUAUGCCGUAGAGAUAAUAAUAAAAUGGUUAUUAUUACGUUUUUCCUUAAUCAUGAUAAAGGCUUAUUAUUCUAGUAGGGCGUUUCGGUGCCAAGGCUCAUCUGCUCCUGGUUAGAAAACAAUUCGUACAAAAUUACAAAAAAUUAAAAAAAUUCCAAAAAAUAUUUGUGCCGUAGAUAAUUUGAUGCGUGAGGUCCUCUCCAAAUUUCAAGUCAUUUGAACAUCUGAGUAGCCCUCAGCAAAAAGAUAAAUCGGGACAAAACAGUACAUGAACAGUAAACAUUUUUAUAUACCCCCAAUUUAUCUUUUUUGCUGAGAGCUCCUCAGAUGUCCAAAUAAUUUGAAAAUUGGAGCAGAUCUCACACAUCAAAUUGUCUACCGCACAAAAAAAUGGAUUUUUUUUGAAUUUUUCUAGUAUUUGUUUUGAUUUUUUUGUCAGCGCGGGUGUAUAGAUGGAUUUUCGUUAUUAUUCAUGCUAUAAUUGUAUUGAUAGAAAAAUUAAAUACAUGUGUGAAUACACAAGCAAAAACCAAGUCCCUAGUAAGCCUCUACUAGACUAGCUCAUUGAUCAAAAGAUGGUUAAGAUUUCCUGACCAUAGACAUGAGUAGUCAUUUGAUAACGGGAUCACAUCAUUACGAUAAUGAUGUGAUGGACAAGACCCAUCUGUUAGCUUAGCAUAUGAUCGUUCAGUUUUUGCUACUGCUUUCUUACACUAGUAGAAAAACGGCCUAAUGUGAAGCACAUUAGUACCGGUUUGUAACAAAAUCGGUACUAAUGUGUCCAUUUGUGCCGGUUCGAACGGCAAGGCGGCCGGAGCUAAUUCGUACCGGUUCAUUGCGAACCUUUAGUACCGGUUCGUGGCACGAACCGGUACUAAAGAGGAUGUGGCACGCCCUAGUCCGGCUGGGGCCCCACCAGCGUCUUUAGUACCGGUUCGCACCACAAACUGGUACUAGUGGUUUGCAGUUGCAGCUAUUUUUUAGUCCCACCUCGCUCGGCUAAUAGGGUUUUUACCACCUUAAAUAUGUUACUUUUCAAACUAUCAGAAGCACUUGGUCUUCAUUGAACUCUGUGUGUAGAAUUUAUGACCGCAAUAUGAUUCUUCACCGGUUUCUAAACCGUUGAGUCAGUUUUCAUCAGUUUUCAUCUGCUUCUUCUCCUCUGUCCCGUCGCCUGCCGCCCCCAUCGCCACCCCUCGUCGCCGCCCCGUCCCCGUCGUCGCCGCCCUGGCCGUCGUCCGUGCCCCGUCCCUGGCUGUCCCCGUCGUUGUCGCCGCCCCGUCCCCAUUCGUCCCAUCGUCCUGUCCCGACCGCCCCGUCCCCGGCCGUCCCCAUCGUCGUCGCCGCCCCGUCGCCGGUCGUCCCCGUUGUCGUCGCCGCCCCUUCCCAGUCGUCCCGUUGUCCCCGCCCCAUCCCCGUCGCCGGUGAGCCCCCGGCCGCCAUGCAUGUCCACACACACAAACACACAUUGUUAAUUAGUUGUAAAAUUGUUAGUAUUUUUUUUAUGUUUUUUAGUUAUAGAAAUGUUAGAAAUUUUUCUGUUUUUUAGUUAGAAAUAUUAGAAAUGUUAUAGAAAUGUUCGUUAUAUAGAAAUGUUAGAAAUGUUAGAAAUGUUAGUUCUAGCUAGAUGAAUUAGAUUAAUGUCAAAUUGCUGGCCGAUGAUCGAUUUUUUUUAGUUUCUUAUAAUUUUAGUUAUAGAAAAAUUUAGAAUCUGCAUAUAGAAUUUUAGUUAUCACAAUCCAAUCAUUUUAAAAAUGUUACUUUUUGCGGCUAUAUAGUAUUUGUUGUCGAUGAUGCCCGACCUGCAUCCUCGCCGUCGAUCCGUUCGGGGCGAUGUCCCGCUUCACAAGACCCAUGUCCGGGACUGGGCUCUGCCGGGCUGGCGCUGGGAGGUGCUACCUUCAGGGGCGCGCCGCUUGGUGAGGAACCCGGCCCCGGGUCCCGUCGUCGACCCUGAUCUCCUUUGGUGGCAUUCGCGUGGGCCACAUUCGGUUUAGAGGGAGCCGGCCUCACCGGAGGUGGUGCGUCGCCGUGUCAGGGAGGAGGAUGAGCACGUCCGUUGCUACAUGGCUGCUCUGGACGUCAGGUUCUCCAAUACCUGGCAGGUUCUUUGGGCAGAUGACUGGAGUAUGAUCCUGUGAUGGUUCCUUCUCUUUGGGCGUUCACCGCCCGCCCCUUAGGAACCGCGAGUGGCCUAGAUUCUUCUGUAGUAUUCGAUCUUUAUUAAUUACCUAGCCAGUGAUGUAUUCGAUAUAUAAUAUUCGAGACGAUGUAUUCGAGAUUAUAUAUUAUUUGAGACGUUGUAUUCGAGAUUAUAUAUUAUUCGAGACGAUGCAUAUUAUGUACUAUGAUUCAGUUUUUCCUUAUUGAUUGCAUCCAUGCAUUGUAAUUUGAAUACUAAAUUGUUUUAUAUUUCUUCUGGAUUAGUUAGAUAAAAGCUAUGGCGGACAAUACCGGCAGAGAGGGAGAAGAGGCCCUGUUCGAGAUCAUACGCAUCCCUCGCAGGCCAGAUGAUCUGAAUGAAGCAGAUGACGACUCCCAAUAUCUGAACAAUGCCGGGGAGGGUGAUGAUAAGAUAUUCGAUCUUGACGACCGAAUGGAUGAAGUCAUGAACUAUGAUUAUGAUUAUGAUGACGCAGACAAUGUUGAUUUCGAAAUAACAAAGACCGGUGAGGUAUAUUUAUAAUAAGGAGGCAUCUGGUGAUCAUCACAUGUUUUUUUUUGAUUUGAAGAUAUAUUAACGAAUCGAUCUUUCUUCUUUCAGCUCUCCGGACCGAGCAAAUAUGCUUCUACAGACAGCAGGACAAAGCGAGGCCUGGGCAAAAAGUUGAAGGAGGGUGUAAAGUACAACAUCGAUUCCAUCAAAGAUAAUGGCGAACCCCUCAUGGCUAAGAGCAUUGCGAACAAGUUCGUGCGUCAGUGCGGAGUUCUUGUGAAGGACCAACUCCCGAUCUCCAUUCAAGAAUGGGAAGAGCCAAAAAAUAAACGUCCAGAUGUUACUUGGGUCGACGAUAGAGCAAAAAAAACGCUUUGGGAAUCUCUCAUGGAACAUUUCACCCUACCAGACCAUUUCACUGAUGCAGAUGUGCAGAAAGUCAAGGAUGCUGCUCUCAGGAAGAUGGCAAUUGCAUUCAACACCCACAAGAAAACUGUAUGGGCCGACUACAUAGAAGGAGAAAAGAAGACUCCCGAAUUCAAAGGAACACUGGAGAAGCAAAGAGAACAGUGGCCCGCUUUCGUGAAAUUCAAGGAAUCCGAAUUCGCUAAGGAACGGUCAAGAAAAAACAAGGCCAAUGCCGCAAAAAGACGCAGUUCCAUAGGCUGGGGCCAGGUGGCUACGUGGUGGCAAUGCCUAAGUGGGAUAAGUCUGAGGAAGAGAUGCUGGAUGCAGGGGUCACUCUAGUUACUAGGAGCUGGCGCCCCAGGUGCAGAACUUGGUUCUAUGCGCAUGGGGGGUGUUGGACCCGAAGACAGGCCUGGUUUCCAAGAAGGCAAGUCUAAAAGGAGCCGAAGAGAAGUUACUUCAAGCAAUAGAAGAUGUUCGAACGGGGGUGUUCACGACCAACAGAGAGAACGACGAGCUUACGCGCGCCUUGGGAAAUCCUGAACACCCGGGAAGAACACGAGGCAAGGGCGUUAUUCCCUGGUAUGAGGGCUUUUCAGAAUGGAACGAUGACUACAGGACCCGUGCAAGAAGGAAGAUGGAGGAGGAGAAGAAGAGGAAGAUGGAGGAGGAGCAGAGGAAGUAGGAAGUAGAAUGCCUUUGUAGGACCUUGAAGUAUGUCUAGAGGGGGAGGGGGGUGAUUAGACUACUUGAGCAAAUAAAAACUUAACCUUUUCCCAGUUUUAGUAUUUGGCAGAUUUUAGCUAACUUAGGACAGGUCAAGCAAUCAUCACACAAUUCAAGCAAGCAUGCAAAGAGUAUAUAGGCAGCGAAAAUUAAAGCAUGCAACUUGCAAGAAGGUAAAGGGGAAGGGUUUGGAGAAUUCAAACGCAAUUGGAGACACGGAUGUUUUUGGCGUGGUUCGGAUAGGUGGUGCAAUCGUUGAUGGAGACUUCAACCCAUGAAGGGUAACGGUUGCGCGAGUCCACAGAGGGCUCCACCCACGAAGGGUCCACGAAGAAGCAACCUUGUCUAUCCCACCAUGGCCGUCGCCCACGAAGGACUUGCCUCACUAGCGGUAUAUCUUCACGAAGUAGGCGAUCUCCUUGCCCUACAAACUCCUUGGUUCAACUCCACAAUCUUGUCGGAGGCUCCCAAGCAACACCUAGCCAAUCUAGGAGACACCACUCUCCAAGAAGUAACAAAUGGUGUGUUGAUGAUGAACUCCUUGCUCUUGUGCUUCAAAUGAUAGUCUCCCCAACACUCAACUCUCUCUCAUAGGAUUUGGAUCUGGUGGAAAGAAGAUUUGAGUGGAAAGCAACUUGGGGAAGGCUAGAGAUCAAGGUUCAUAUGGUAGGAAUGGAAUAUCUUGGCCUCAACACAUGAGUAGGUGGUUCUCUCUCAGAAAUGGCAAGUUGGAAGUGUAGGUUUAGUCUGAUGGCUCUCUCCACGAAUGAAGAGGAGGUGGAGGGGUAUAUAUAGCCUCCACACAAAAUCUAACCGUUACACACAAUUUACCAAUCUCGGUGAGACCGAAUCAACAAACUCGUUGAGACCGAUUUUAGUAAACCUAGUGACCGUUAGGGUUUUCGAUGGGACUGAUAUGCAUCUCGGUAGGACCGAUAUGGUUAGGGUUAGGGCAUAACGUAAUCUCGGUAACACCGAUUACACAAACUCGGUGACACCGAUUUUGGUAACAAACUUACCAGAGAGUUGGUCAGGUAAACUUGGUGGGACCGAUCUGCUCUUUUCGGUGAGAACGAAAUGUUACAAACAGGAAACAGAGAGUUUACAAUGCAAUCUCAGUGGGACUGAUCCGCUCUUUCGGUGAGACCGAAAAGUUACGAAAGGGAAACGGAGAGAUUACAAUCCCAUCUCGGUGAGACCGAGAUCCCUAUCGGUAAAACCGAUUUGCCUAGGGUUUUUGGCAGUGGCUAUGACUAUUGAAUUCAGUGUCGCCGGAUUGAAAGAAUCGGUGUGACCGAAUUUGGCUUUGGGUUUAGGUCAUUUGUGGAUGUGGGAAAGUAGCUGAGGGUUUUGGAGCAUAUCACUAAGCACAUGAAGCAUGAGGCUCAUUAAGCAAGACCUCAUCCCUCCUUGAUAGUAUUGGAUUUUCCUAUAGACUCAAUGUGAUCUUGGAUCACUAAAAUAUAAAAUGAAGAGUCUUGAUCUUUUGAGCUUGAGCCAAUCCUUUGUCAUUAGCAUUUUGAGGGGUCCACUUUCAUCAUCCAUGCCAUGCCAUUGACUGAGCUUUCCUGAAAUAGUAGUCUUGGAAUAGAAUUAGCUCAAUGAGCUAUAUGUUGUUAUGAAUUACCAAAACCACCUAGGGAUAGUUGCACUUCCAAUCUCCCCCUUUUUGGUAAUUGAUGACAACAUAUAGAUCAAAGCUUCGAUAAAUGAUAAUAAGAUUUAGAACAUCGUCGCUUUGAGAAGUAUGUGAUAAGCAAGAGCUCCCCCUAAAUUUGUGCAUAUAUUAAAAUUUGCUUUGGACAGCAAAUGCACAAAAGAUUUGGCUCAUGGGUUACUCUUCCAUGUCACAUACAUCUUGUUGGAGCGCUCAAAAUAAUAACAAUGAAUACAUGCACUCAUCACCAAGCAAAGUGAAUGAUCACAUAGGAUAGAUAAGAUAAUAUCAUCAAACAUGCAUAAGUGUAGCUUAUGAUCAAACACAUGAUCAUCAAUGUCUCACAAACAUAUCAUAGUAUCUCAAGCACUCAAAAGCAAACAAGUUUAAAAACCACCAAAUCAAGAGAGAACAAAAGCAACACUCUCUCUCUCUCGAAGCCUAUGAUCUAUACAUUUUUCUCCCCAUUUGGCAACAAGUUACCAAAAAGUUCCUAGAAAAUGCAUAGCGCUAGAUCGACUCUCAGGCUUGAUCUUCUGGUGGUGGUGCAGUUUGGAUCACUCCAAGGAUGAAGGCUUCUGUAGAAGUGGAUGGAGCUGGAGCUGAAGUAGAUGCUGGAGUUGGUUGGGCUGGUGCUGUAGCUGGAGCUGAGGUGGUGGCUCUGGUGUUUGAAGUUGGCACUGCGGCUGACCUCUGAGCUCGUGGCACUCUGGCAAAUGCAUCAGUUGUAGUUUUGCCCUUCCUUUCCUGCAUGUCAUCUUGAAGUUGCUCUACUGCAGACUGAAUCUCUGUUACUUUUACAUCCAAGUCAUAGAACUUUUGUUCCAUGAUCCUCUCUAAGCUCUCCUGAUUUUGAGUGAGGGUGGCCAGUCCUUUCUCAAUCCUCAGUGUAGAUGCAAUCAAGUAACCAAGCUGCUCUUGCUUGUUCUUCAAUAGAUACUCAGAUGCCUCCUCUUGAGUUGGCAUCCUGGCAGCUUUCUCCUUCCUUGCCUUCUCCCUCCUUUCUUGUGCUUGAACAGAUGAAGGAUCAUUUUCAUUCAUGACAACCUUGUUGUCCUCAAAGUCUGGAUAAAGUGGAAAAUGUUCCUUAUCCAACAGAAAUUUGCCGUUGCCCAUCUUUGAGUUUAUCAAUUCUUGGAUCUGAGGGGCAUAUCCACAGCUCCUCUUCUGGUCUGUUGCAGUUCUCUUGAUGGUUUCCACCAUUAGGCUCAUGACUUUGAAUUUUUGGGGCACAUCAAACAAAUGCAACAUGUUGAUUGCAUGCCCUCUGAUCAUAUUAUGAUCUCCAGAGUUAGGCAAAAGGGUUUGCCUCAAAAUCCAGUUGAUGGUUGGCAGCCCUGACAAAAGAAAGUGGACUGACCCAAACUUGUGAGUCUCUAGGGCAUCAUCUGGAAUUUCCUUGUACAUGUGUGCCAUGGUGUUAUGAUCCAUCUUCUUCUUUGCAUAGACAUCAAGGUCAUCUUCAUGUUCCUCUGGGGCAUUUAUCAACUUUUCCCACUCCUCAACAGUAGAUUGGUACCUCGUACCUUCUGACAUCCACACUAUCCUUCCAUCCGGAUAAAAGUGUGCUGUGGAGUAGAAUUGCAUGAUGAGUUCACCGCUCCAGUUUGUGAGCUUUUGCCCAACAAAAUCUGCUACUCCAACAGCAACAAAGCUGUCUUGCACUCCAGGAUAGUGCUCUUUAUUCUCCUUGAUGUAGGUCCAGUCGACCCACCUCAUGUCACAGACAAUUGGCUUCUUGUCAAGCAGAACGGUCUCAUAGAAAUCCUACUGCUCCUUGGUGUGGAAUCUAUAAUCCACAGUAGUUCUUCUCCUUGUGGCAUAUGGAUCUGACAUCCUCCAUAGCCUUAGACCAUGAUCUCUUCUGACCUUCAUAUCUUCAGCCACAGGAUGAGCAUCGUUGUGGUCUGGUAUCUUGGGCUUAAGUUUCCUCAGAACUUGUCCUUCUUCAUCUUCCUCCUCAGCAGCCUCAGGCAUAGGAGCCUUGUUUUUCUCAGUAGCUAGAAUACUCCUGGUAUUCCUCUUUGGUGCUGUCUUGGCCUUGGUGGCAGCUUUGGGUGCUUCCUUGGGCUUGGAUGUGGCAGCCCCAGAUCUGAUUGCAUCACCCAUAAGCUUAGGUGCCUUUGGUGUUGGUGCAGCAACCUCUUCCUCAUCUUCCAUCAUGGAAGGUCUCCCUAUGACUCUGACUUUGGUCUUCUUGACCCUCUCUUUCCUCUUUUUCCCUUCAGCAACAACUGGCUCUGUGGGUGCAGGCUUCUCUGGGAUCUGAGUUGAAGCUCUGGCCUUUGGCAUAGGCUGCCUGCCUGCUGGCCUUUUGAUUUUCAAUCCAGGCUUGGUGCCCUGAGCUGUGCCAUAUUCCUUCUUGAGCACUACUUUCUUGGAAGUAGCUUCUUCCUCUUCUGCUAUGUAAUCUUCAUCCUCAAAAUCGGAGGUUCUCUUCUUCCUUUGCCUAGUUGCAGCUUUUGGCAAAUUACUUGGGGUACUCCUGCCGCCCUCAACUGAAGAGCUGGAGGGACUAGUGCCCUCACUCAUCUGCACUUGCUCUUCUGGCCUGUUCUGACUGUCACUCUGAUCAGACAUGAUGCAAACUGUGACUGCUGACCCUGUGAAGAGUUUAUAGAUGAGGCACAGUAGAUGAGCAUCACAAAAAGCAGAGAUUUUUGCAAAAAGAAUGACUUGAAAAUUCAGUUUUAGUUUUCCACAGAAAGCAUUUCGGAUCUACCGAUUUUCAAACUCGGUGAUACCGAAGCUGUUUUGGAACCUAAACUGAUGAACUCGGUUGGACCGAGUCAUAGUUCGGUGGCACCGAGACAGCUAGGGUUUCACAGAAUCCUAAAAUCGGUCUCACCGACUAGUAAUUCUCGGUCAGACCAAGUCUCACUUGUGCAAUGGCAAAUGCCAAAUCGGUGGGACCGAGUUUUUCAACUCGGUGGGUCCGAGAUGGUUUCGGCGGAAACCUAACCCUAAAUUUUCGAAUCAAAGCCAUUCUAUGGAUUGUAUUGAUUGGACAGGAGUGUUUCAAACGUGGCUAGAAUCAAUAGGAAUACAAUGUGCUAGGAAUCAGAUGGGGAAUAGCACAAUGAUCGAGUCCAUACCCUAGUUCGGCGGAGACUCGCUAUGGCGGCAACGGCGGGGUUGAAUCCCGUUGACGGCGAUGGAGACCAGCGACUGGAGGCGGCUGGCGGCGAGGAGACGAUCCGGAGACCACGGAGGCAGAGCGAGCUAUUGCGCGGGCGAAGAGGUUCGGAGAAAUUUGCAAAUUUUUGCCCGUAACUAUAUAUAGCCCGACCCUGUCGGUGUGACCGAGUGGAACAACUUGGUGGCACCGAGAUACCAAACUGUGUACAGUUAUUGCAACUCGAUGAGACCGAACGGUUCAAAUCGGUUGCACCAAGAUCGAAAACAUAGAUCAACUUAAUGAUCUCGGUAGGACCGAAAGGGAGAAACCGGUCAGACCGAGAAUCACAAAGAGGUCCUGGAAGUUUAAGUCUAUGACGAAUCGGGGACUCCGAGUGCUCCUCACACAGAGUGGUUCGAAUCUGACUUGAUCAAAUUUUGUGAUGUAGCAUGAAUAGAGUUUGGGAAGAGAAAAGCAUAGAUAGCUAAAUAGGGUUCUUAGGCAUUCUUGUCCAUCCACUUGGAAAAAAGAAAAGAAUCCAAACAAUCAAAAAAACAAGUGGAUGUCCUCGAAUGAGUAAAGUAUGCAACCAGCAUGCUCACACAGAUAAGAUGACAAAAGAAAUAUGUGACAAAGCAUGCACAACCAAUACUAGCAUCUAUCAAACAAUUGGCGAUGACUAGGUCAUCUAUAUUUGAGUAUAUUGACUUAGGAGUCAAAUGAUAGACAUUUCAUCAUAGGUCAUACUCAUCGUUUAAGCUCAAGUGGGGUUACCACUUUUACAUAAAGCAUUGAUAUGUUCACACCAUUAGAGUUGCUUUGACUCAAUCCUUAGAGUUAAGCUCCCCCUAGAUGUGAUAUCUCCCCUUAGAGGGGUGAACUAACCUUGGGUUUUGUCGAUGAUGACUUCAUGUAGGUGUUGAAGAUGUGGAUGCUCAAUGUUGAUGUAGAUCUUUCGGAGCAAUCCGUUGGAGUGAGUUGCACUUUCAACUUACCUACAUGGGUUAGUCCCACAAGGAACAAACAAGAAUAUCCAUAGACAUAGAGUGAUGCACACGCAAAAUGAUGUCCAUGAAAACAUUAGGUUACCUUGUCCCUUGCCUUACCAACAUGAGGUUUUGUGACUCCUUGAACUUGUGCAAAAUAUGGAAGUUGGUUGCACUUGUUCUUGCCAUAAUGAUAUCAGUGAAGAAUGUUGGCGGAGUCACCCUCAAGAACUCUCUAGUUCUUCUUCUUCGGGAUCCACAUCAUCUUGAUGGGAAUCCUUGGAGUUGUAGUUGUACUUGAUGAGGUAGAACUUGAUGUAGUCUUGGGAAUCCACUUGACCGAGACCUUGGGUGCUUCUUCAAAUGCAUCAAUCUCUUCUUGAAGCUUGCCUUUGCCCUUGUUCUUGUGGUCUUGUGGUGGAAGAUCAUCUUGUGCUUGUGUUCCCUUGAAGGAAGUAGGAUCAUACUUCUCUUGUUGAGGAACAUACUUCGUCUUGGGGUAUUGAUCUUCUUCCCACUCAACUCCAUUGGCGUUGAACCUUCGUUCAAAACCAACACCUUGAUUCUUCCGGUGUCUUCCUUGCUUGCGUACAAUUUCCUCGAAUUGCUUACUGCCGGCAAGACUCUUGUAUACACCUUUCUCUAUGAUUCCAUUCAAUAAGCUAUUUUCUUGCUCAAGUGUAACUUGGCUAAGAGAAUCAUUAGUGGAAUCAAGAGAACUACUAGAAGCAACAAUAUUGGAUUUGACAUUGUUAUUGUUAAUACUAGAGAAAGAAUCUUUCUUGUUCUUGUUACUAGACUUGACUUGAGGCAUGUAAGUAGAUAAGAGUAAACGCUUGGCAAUGUAAGAAGAACUUUUCUUGCGGAGAUCAUCAUUGAUUGCCUUUAAGAACUCAUGCUCUUGCUCAAGAUUGAGCUUUUCAAACCGUAACUUCUCAUGAGCUCUUAAAAGUUCUCGAUGAUCUUCGAAGAUAGUUUCAUGAGCUAACUUAAGUGUGUUUAGUUCUUUAGUUGGACGCUCAAUUUUCUUCUUAUCAUUGUCAUUCGUUUCAGCAUUAUUAAUUGACGUUUCAUCAUAGUAUUCAUCACUAGAGUUGUCAACAAGUAAAUCAUCAUCUCCUAGCAAGUCAUCUUCUUCAACAUCAAAAUCAACAUACUCGGGGUGUGUUACCUUAGGACCUUUGGCCAUGAAGCAUCUUCCAAUUCCUUCAUUUGGUGAUCCAAAUAUGUCGUAGGAGUUGGUUGACACAAGUGCUAGACCGGCAACACCUUCAUCUUGAGUGUAUUCGGAGUCGGAGUGAUAGCUUCUCUCGGAGUGAUGAUCGGAGUCGGAGCCGGAUACCCAUUCACCAACAUGAGCUUGAUGUCUUCGUUUUGUGUAGCUCUUCGAUGACUUAUCCUUCCUUUCCGAAUCCUUGCUUCUCCGUGAGGAUCUUCGUUCAUAUCGAUCAUCUCUACUCCUCCUCUCUCUUGGUGGUGAUUCUUCUCUUUUGCUUCUUCUUCUUGGAGAAUCUUCUCUUCUUUUGUAGGGUGCCGUACACUCAUUAGAGUAGUGUCCGGGUCUCCCACAAUUGUAGCAAUUGCGCUCUCGACUAGAGGAUCUUUUGUCAUGGUAAGAUCUUGACUUGGAGCUUCUUUCUUUGCUUCUACUCUUGUAGAAUUUGUUGAAGUUCUUCACCAUUAAACUCAAUUCUUCAUUGAAGGUUUGUUCCUCACUUGAUGAUGCGGGGGCUUCACUUGAGGCUUAGUAAGCACCACUUGUCUUGUUGUGAAGUUGCUCCUUAUCCUUAAGUGAUAUCUCAUGAGCAACAAUUCUUCCAAUGACUUCCGUUGGCUUGAGAUCUUUGUAGUUUGGCAUCAUUUGGAUCAAUGUGCACAUGGUAUCAUAUUUUCCAUCCAAUGCUCUUAGGAUCUUCUUGAUGAUGAAUUUGUCGGUCAUUUCUUCACUCCCUAAGCCGGCAAACUCAUUUGUGAUAAGAGCAAGCCUAGAGUACAUUUCAGCGACACCUUCACCAUCCUUCAUUUUGAACUUGUUAAGCGGACUUUGGAGCACAUCCAACUUGGAUUCCUUGACGGAGUCGGUACCUUCGUGCAUAUCAAUCAAAGUAUCCCAAAUUUCCUUUGCGUUCUCAAGACGGCUAAUUUUGUUGAAUUCUUCGGGGCACAAUCCGUUGAAGAGGAUAUCACAAGCUUGAGCGUUGUAUUGCAGCAUCUUCAACUCUUCCGCACUAGCUUCACGGUUCGGUUCUCUCCCAUCCAAAGAAUUCACCUUGCAAACCAAUACACACAAUAGCCCAAACGGCGGGGUUAUGUCCGAGAAUAUGCAUUUUCAUCUUAUGCUUCCAACUAGCAAAAUUAGUACCAUCAAAGUAAGGACCUCUACAAUGAUAAUUUCCCUCGCUAGACGCCAUACUCUCCUAGGUUGUGAAACCAAGGCUAUGGCCACCAAAAGCUAUGGAAAUCAAAGCAAAUGGAGACCAAAGCUCUGAUACCACUUGUAGGACCUUGAAGUAUGUCUAGAGGGGGGGGGUGAUUAGACUACUUGACCAAAUAAAAACAUAACCUUGUCCCAGUUUUAGUGUUUGGCAGAUUUUAGCUAACUUAGGACAAGUCAAGCAAUCAUCACACAAUUCAAGCAAGCAUGCAAAGAGUAUAUAGGCAGCGGAAAUUAAAGCAUGCAACUUGCAAGAAGGUAAAGGGGAAGGGUUUGGAUAAUUCAAAUGCAAUUGGAGACACGGAUGUUUUUGGCGUGGUUCGGAUAGGUGGUGCUAUCGUAUAUCCAUGUUGAUGGAGACUUCAACCCACGAAGGGUAACGGUUGCGUGAGUCCCCGGAGGGCUCCAUCCAUUAAGGGUCCACGAAGAAGCAACCUUGUCUAUCCCACCAUGGCCGUCGCCCAUGAAGGACUUGCCUCACUAGCGGUAGAUCUUCACGAAGUAGGCGAUCUCCUUGCCCUUACAAACUCUUUGGUUCAACUCCACAAUCUUGUCGGAGGCUCCCAAGUGACACCUAGCCAAUCUAGGAGACACCACUCUCCAAGAAGUAACAAAUGGUGUGUUGAUGAUGAACUCCUUGCUCUUGUUCUUCAAAUGAUAGUCUCCCCAAUACUCAACUCUCUCUCAUAGGUUUUGGAUCUGGUGGAAAGAAGAUUUGAGUGGAAAGCAACUUGGGGAAGGCUAGAGAUCAAGAUUCAUAUGGUAGGAAUGGAAUAUCUUGGCCUCAACACAUGAGUAGGUGGUUCUCUCUCAGAAAUGGCAAGUUGGAAGUGUAGGUUUAGUCUGAUGGCUCUCUCCACGAAUGAAGAGGAGGUGGAGGGGUAUAUAUAGCCUCCACACAAAAUCUAACCGUUACACACAAUUUACCAAUCUCGGUGAGACCAAUUCUACAACCUCAGUCGGACCGAUUUUAGUAAACCUAGUGACCGUUAGGGUUUUCAGUGGGACUGACAUGUAUCUCGGUAGGACCGAUAUGGUUAGGGUUAGGGCAUAACGUAAUCUCGGUAAGACCGAUUACACAAACUCGGUGAGACCGAUUUUUGUAACAAACUUACCAGAGAGUUGGUCAGGUAAACUCGGUGGGACCGAUCUGCUCUUUUCGAUGAGACCGAAAUGUUACAAACAGGAAACAGAGAGUUUACAUUGCAAUCUCGGUGGGACCGAUCCGCUCUUUCGGUGAGACCGAAAAGAUACGAAAGGGAAACAGAGAGAUUACAAUCCCAUCUCGGUGAGACCGAGAUCCCUAUCGGUAAAACCGAUUUGCCUAGGGUUUUUGGCAGUGGCUAUGACUAUUGAACUCGGUGGCGCCGGAUUUAAAGAAUCGGUGUGACCGAAUUUGGCUUUGGGUUUAGGUCAUAUGUGGAUGUGGGAAAGUAGCUGAGGGUUUUGGAGCAUAUCACUAAGCACAUGAAGCAAGAGGCUCAUUAAGCAACACCUCAUCCCUCCUUGAUAGUAUUGGAUUUUCCUAUAGACUCAAUGUGAUCUUGGAUCACUAAAAUAUAAAAUGAAGAGUCUUGAUUUUUGAGCUUGAGCCAAUCCUUUGUCAUUAGCAUUUUGAGGGGUCCAUUUUCAUCAUCCAUGCCAUGCCAUUCAUUGAGCUUUCCUGAAAUAGUAGUCUUGGAAUAGCAUUAGCUCAAUGAGCUAUAUGUUGUUAUGGAUUACCAAAACCACCUAGGGAUAGUUGCACUUUCAGCCUUCAAGUCCUAGAAUCAGCGCACGCGGACUUGGCACUCAAAUUCCAGCGGCAGCAACAGCAGAUCGACUCCCUUAGCUAGGAAAGGGGGUCUCAGCAGCGGCAACAGCUAGCGGAUGAUCCAGCAUUGGAUAGCACCGUCCCAUCCAUGCCGAGAAGCAGCGUUGGUUCCGCCCCAGGGGACGCACUGCUGAUAGAUACCCUUUGGAUGACAUCAUGGAGAACACUAACUGUGAGCUACACUUCAAAAUGAAGAACAUAUCCAUGAAGGUGGCGGAUGCCGUUGCUUAUACAAAUCCCCCCGAAGCAACCUUCCAUUGCAACCCGAUUCCAGCCGGCUAUGCUCGUGUCGUGGUUGAUGAGGUGGUGGACCAAUAUUCAGGGCUAGGGCUUGACACUCCUGGACAGCACGAGGAGCACACAGUGGGAGAGGCCAUACAUCGUAUCAUCCUAUGGAGAAAGGAUUGCAUCAUCUUUCGAAGGCCACCGACACCGCGUCGUCAUCCGACUCCUCCUCGAUGUGAGGCCACUCCUCCUCCUCCAAGUCCAGCACAACAGCAGGCCACUCCUCCUACUUCAAGUCCGGCAUAGCGCGAGGCCACUCUUCCUGUUUUGAGUCUGACACCGCGUGAGGCCACUCCUCCUGCUUCAAGUCCGGCACAGCGUCAGGCCACUCCUCCUACUCCAACUCAGCCACGUCAGCCGUCUCCGCCGCCUCAACAAUCGGGGAAGAAAGCCGCCGUAGCUAUGGUGCGUAGCGCUAUGAGUCGAGGUAGUACAUGAGGUCCAGGCGGAGGCAAGCGAUAUAAAUAUGGUCCAAGCCUCGCUCCUCGUCCUCAAAGGCCUUACGACAUGACCGAGGAGCAAAAUGCAGCCAUAGUGAAGGCCCAAGUGGACACCCAUUUUGGACCGAAACCGGCACCGCCGCCAAGGGAGAAAGUGCCUGAGGAAAAGAUUGACCACUUUAUUCGUAUGGCUAGACCACCAGCUCCCAAGCCUGUUGACUCAGACUAUGAGUGCCAAAUCAGGAAGGCACAUCGAGCACGAGUACCGAAGGAGUCGAGCUCGAGCUCGAGCCAAGCAGCUCGCAAAAAAUGCAGGAAAAUCGUUUCCCAGCUGGGAGAACAGGCGACGCAAUCGAUCCCCCCGCUUGUUGUGCCAACAACACAUAAGAGUACCUACGCCCUAUAUAUAUGUGGGAAACCUGUUAAUGUUCCCCAGUUGGGCAAUCUGGUAAUAACCGAGGAGCAUAUAAUGCAGGCUGAAAUGCUCGGUAUGACUAUUGGACAACUCCUUGAGAUUGACUCCAUGUCUCCGCUUAGAGAAGAGGAAAUAAACGGAAAUAUGUCCGCGGUGAACCUUUGGUCGAGCCCGAGGAGGUCAAGAACCUCCCAACGAGAAUGUAUGAAUUGCAUCAAUGGUACAUGAAAAUUUACAAGACCCACAAUCUACAGUCGCUCAUGGUGAAAGUCAAGGAAGACGAUUACUUCCAUAAGCUAGCUCUGUCUAUUGAGUAUACAUAACUGUUUCAGUUAUUCAAUUAUGACGCACUCGACAAAUCUAUCGUCAGUUGCUAUUGUGUGUAAGGGAUUUCUUUCUGUAAUUUAAGUGUAAGGCUAGCUGUAGUGCUCUCGUUGAUCAUUACCUGUAAUUAUCCUCACUAUAUAUUAUUUUUUGUGGUAUUUUGCAGGAUGAAGAUGUCCGAAAUGAGAAAAGCUGGACGCUAUGGCAUUGGUUUCAUUGACCCAAAUACCAUUAAUGAAGAGACAUGGUCAUAUGAACAUUAUAAACCAGAAGUAGAGAAUAACAUGCUAGAGUUCUUGAAGCGCCUCAAUACCAAUGCAAAUAUACUACUUCCUUACAAGUUCCAGUGAGUCACACUGUCUUGUACUACAAAUUCUGUUUUCGUUACUAGCUAGCUAGAUGUUAAUAAGUGUAUAGGGUUUAGGCUUAGUUGAUGAGUGUUAUGCACAUGCCCGCUUAAUUUAUACAUGCAAAUGCGCGCAUGCAGGUACCACUGGAUCUUGGUAGACACUAAAGUUAAAAAGGAAAAGUUGAAGUACUGGACUCACUGCUUAAAAAACCUAAAGAGUACUCAAUCGUGAAGGGGAUAGUCAGCAGGUAAUUUCAAUCAUUAUAUAUAUGUCCUCAUAUCAACUAAUUAAUAACUCCUUUAUUCAUUUUCUUUGCCGGCGGGCCGGCAGGGCUUGGCAAAGGUUCAUCAAAGACGUUCCAGGCCAGUUCAGAGAAAAUCUGUAUUGGUAUCGACCCAUGGUAAUUAAUUAAGUAGUACUAGCUAGCUAGCUACCAUGCAAUCUCUUUAAUUCUAGUUUUAAUAACAUUAAUUAUCAUGCUUGAUUAAUUAUUAUCUGAUUGAACUCUAUUAUCGUACAUGCCAUGAAGCAGGAGCCUGGGAAUGAAUUAUGUGCAUACUACGUUUGCGAGAACAUUCGCAUGAUGACGUCGGAAAGGAGCACAUCUGAUAGACAGAUGUGGGUAUGUUUGCCAGAACACUAUACGUAAUUUUUACAUCAUUAUCGAUAUCUAGUCACAUGACUAAUACAUGCAUAUUGAUCUCCUUCUUAACACUUCAGUGAGGUGUGGCAGAAGCUCCUACCAAUGGAUCGCGUACGAGCAACUGCAGAGGAAAUAGCGGGAUUUUUGCUCGACCAGGUCAUUGAUCCUAGAGGAGUAUUCCGUCACCCGCUACCGUAGUAAUGCCUCCAUGUAGGAGAAAUUGUAUAUACCAAAUUGUAUAUAUAUACGUACAUGUGUAUGUGUGUGUGUGUAUAUAUAUAUAUACUACGAGAAAUUCUAUUUACAUAUAUAUAUAUAUAUAUAUAUAUAUAUAUAUAUUGAAAAAUAUGCCCUAGAGGCAAUAAUAAAGUUAUUAUUUAUUUCCUUAUAUCAUGAUAAAUGUUUAUUAUUCAUGCUAGAAUUGUAUUAACCGGAAACAUAAUACAUGUGUGAAUAUAUAGACAAACAGAGUGUCACUAGUAUGCCUCUACUUGACUAGCUUGUUAAUCAAAGAUGGUUAUGUUUCCUAACCAUGGACAAAGAGUUGUUAUUUGAUUAACGGGAUCACAUCAUUAGUUGAAUGAUCUGAUUGACAUGACCCAUUUCGUUAGCUUAGCACCCGAUCGUUUAGUAUGUUGCUAUUGCUUUCUCCAUGACUUAUACAUGUUCCUAUGACUAUGAGAUUAUGCAACUCCCGUUUACCGGAGGAACACUUUGUGUGCUACCAAACGUCACAACGUAACUGGGUGAUUAUAAAGGUGCUCUACAGGUGUCUCCAAAGGUACUUGUUGGGUUGGCGUAUUUCGAGAUUAGGAUUUGUCACUCCGAAUGUCGGAGAGGUAUCUCUGGGCCCUCUCGGUAAUGCUCAUUACUUAAGCCUUGCAAGCAUUGCAAGUAAUGAGUUAGUUGUGAGAUGAUGUAUUACGGAACGAGUAAAGAGACUUUCCGGUAACGAGAUUGAACUAGGUAUUGGAUACCGACGAUCGAAUCUCGGGCAAGUAACAUACCGAUGACAAAGGGAACAACGUAUGUUGUUAUGCGGUCUGACCGAUAAAAAUCUUCGUAGAAUAUGUAGGAACUAAUAUGGGCAUCCAGGUCCCGCUAUUGGUUAUUGGUCGGAGACGUGUCUCGGUCAUGUCUACAUUGUUCUCGAAUCGUAGGGUCCGCACGCUUAAGGUUUCGAUGACAGUUAUAUUAUGAGUUUAUGAGUUUUGAUGUACCGAAGGAGUUCGGAGUUCCGGAUGAGAUCGGGGACAUGACGAGGAGUCUCGAAAUGGUCGAGACGUAAAGAUCGAUAUAUUGGACGACUAUAUUCGGAGUUCGGAAAGGUUCCGAGUGAUUCGGGUAUUUUCGGAGUACCGGAGAGUUACGGGAAUUCGUAUUGGGCCUUAAUGGGCCAUACGGGAAAGGAGAGAAAGGUCCAAAAGGGUGGCCGCACCCCUCCCCAUGGACUAGUCCGAAUUGGACUAGGGAGGGGGGCGCCCCCUUCCUUCCUUCUCCUUCUCUCUUCCCUUUCCUUCUCUCCUACUCCUACUACAUGGAAGGGCUCCUAGUUGGACUAGGAAAGGGGGAAUCCUACUCCCGGUGGGAGUAGGACUCCCCUAGGGCACGCCAUAGAGAGGGCCGGCCCUCCCCUCCUCCACUCCUUUAUAUACGGGGGCAGGGGGCACCCCAUAGACACACAAGUUGAUCUUCGUGAUCGUUCCUUAGCCGUGUGCGGUGCCCCCCUCCACGAUAUUACACCUCGGUCAUAUUGUAGCAGUGCUUAGGCGAAGCCCUGCGACAGUUGAACAUCAAGAUCGUCACACGCUGUCGUACUGAAGGAAGUCCUCCCCGAACCUCUGCUGGAUCGGAGCCCGGGGUGCGUCAUCGAGCUGUACGUGUGUCAAGAACUCGGAGGUGCCGGAGUAACGGUGCUUGGAUCGGUUGGACCGGGAAGACGUACGACUACUUCCUCUACGUUGCGUCAACGCUUCCGCUUCGGUCUAUGAGGGUACGUAGACAACACUCUCCCCUCUCGUUGCUAUGCAUCAGCAUGAUCUUGCGUGUGCGUAGGAAUUUUUUUGAAAUUACUACGUUUCCCAACAGUGGCAUCCGAGCCUAGGUUUUAUUGUUUGAUGUUAUAUGCACGAGUAGAACACAAGUGAGUUGUGGGCGAUAUAAGUCAUACUGCUUACCAGCAUGUCAUACUUUGGUUCGGCGGUAUUGUUGGAUGAAGUGGCCCAGACCGACAUUACGCGUACGCUUAGGCGAGACUGGUUCUACCGCCGUGCUUUGCAAACAGGUGGCUAGCGGGUGUCAGUUUCUCCAACUUUAGUUGAACCGAGUGUGGCUACGCCCGGUCCUUGCGAAGGUUAAAACAGCACCAACUUGACAAACUAUCGUUGUGGUUUUGAUGCGUAGGUAAGAACGGUUCUUGCUCAGCCCGUAGCAGCCACGUAAAAUUUGCAACAACAAAGUAGAGGACGUCUAACUUGUUUUGCAGGGCAUGUUGUGAUGUGAUAUGGUCAAGACGUGAUAAGAUAUAAGUUGUUGUAUGAGAUGAUCAUGUUUUGUUGAAGUUAUCAGCAACUGGCAGAAGCCCUAUGGAUGUCUCUUUGUUGCAUAAGAUGCAAGUUCCAAAUAAUUGCUUUACUUUAUCGCUAUACGAUAGCAAUAGUUGCAAGAGCAAUAGUUGGUGAGACAACCAUGUGAUGACACAUUGAUAUAGAUCAAGAUGAUGAAGAUCAUGGUGUCGUGUCGGUGACGAUAGAGAUCAUGACAGUACUUUGGAGAUGGAGAUCAAAGGCGCAAGAUGAUCAUGGCCAUAUCAUGUCACAUAUUUUGAUUGCAUAUGAUGUUUAUCUAUUAUACAUCUUAUUCUUGCUUUGAUUGACGGUAGCAUUUUAAGAUGAUCUCUCACUAAUUAUCAAGAAGUGUUCUCCCUGAGUAUGCACCGUUGCCAAAGUUCGUCGUGCCCAGACACCACGUGAUGAUCGGGUGUGAUAAGCUAUACGUCCAUCUACAACGGGUGCAAGCCAGUUUUGCACACGCGGAAUACUCAGGUUAAACCUGACGAGCCUAGCAUAUGCAGAUAUGGCCUCGGAGCACGGAGACCGAAAGGUCGAGCGUGAAUCAUAUAGUAGAUAUGAUCAACAUAGUGAUGUUCACCAUUGAAAACUACUCCAUCUCACGUGAUGAUCGGUUAUGGUUUAGUUGAUUUGGAUCACGUGAUCACUUAGAUGACUAGAGAGAUGUCUGUCUAAGUGGGAGUUCUUAAGUAAUAUGAUUAAUUGAACUUAAAUUUAUCAUGAACUUAGUCCUGGUAGUAUUUUGCAAAUUAUGUUGUAAGAUCAAUAGCUUGCGUUGUUGCUUUCAUAUGUUUAUUUUGAUAUGUUACUGGAGAAAAUUGUGUUGAAAAAUGUUAGUAGCAAUGAUGCGGAUUGGAUCCGCGAUCUGAGGUUUAUCCUCAAUGCUGCACAGAAGAAUUAUGUCCUUAAUGCACCACUAGGUGACAGACCUAUUGCAGGAGCAGAUGCAGACGUUAUGAACGUUUGGCUAGCUCAAUAUGAUGACUACUUGAUAGUUUUGUGCACCAUGCUUUAUGGCUUAGAAUCGGGACUUCAAAGAUGUUUUGAACAUCAUGGACCAUAUGAGAUAUUCCAGGAAUUGAAGUUAAUAUUUCAAGCAAAUACCCGAGUUGAGAGAUAUGAAGUCUCCAACAAGUUCUAUAGCUAAAAGAUGGAGGAGAAUUGCUCAACUAGUGAGCAUGUGCUCAGAUUGUCUGGGUACUACAAUCGCUUGAAUCAAGUGGGAGUUAAUCUUCUAGAUAAGAUAGUGAUUGACAGAAUUCUCUAGUCACCAUCACCAAGUUAGUAGAACUUCGUGAUGAACUAUAGUAUGCAAGGGAUGACGAAAAUGAUUCCCGAGCUCUUCGUGAUGUUGAAAUCAACGAAGGUAGAAAUCAAGAAAGAGCAUCAAGUGUUGAUGGUUGACAAGAUCACUAGUUUCAAGAAAAGGGCAAAGGGAAAGAAAGGAGAACUUCAAGUAGAUUGACAAGCAAGUUAUCACUCCCACGAAGAAGCCCAAAGCUGAACCAAAGCCUGAAACUGAGUGCUUACACUGCAAAGGAAAUGGUCACUGGAAGCGGAAAUGCCCUAAAUAUUUGGUGGAUAAGAAGGAUGGCAAAGUGAAAAAGGGUAUAUUUGAUAUACAGGUGUUUGAUGUGUUCUUUACUAGUGUUUAUAGCAACCCCUCGGUAUUUGGUACUGGUUCAGUUGCUAAGAGUAGUAACUCGAAACGGGAGUUGCAGAAUAAACAGAAACUAGUUAAGGGUGAAGUGACGAUGUGUGUUGAAAGUAGUUCCAAGAUUGAUAUGAUCAUCAUCGCACACUCCCUAUACUUUCGGGAUUAGUGUUAAACCUAAAUAAAUGUUAUUUGGUGUUUGCAUUGAGCAUGAAUAUGAUUUGAUCAUGUUUAUUGCAAUACGGUUAUUCAUUUAAAAUCAGAGAAUAAUUGUUGUUCUAUUUAAAUGAAUAAAACCUUCAAUGGUCAUACACCCAACGAAAAUAGUUUGUUGGCUCUCGAUCGUAGUGAUGCACAUAUUCAUAAUAUUGAUGCCAAAAGAUGCAAAGUUAAUAAUGAUAGUGCAACUUAUUUUUUGCACUGCCGUUCAGGUCAUAUCGGUGUAAAGCGCAUGAAGAAGCUCCAUACUGAUGGACUUUUGGAACCACUUGAUUAUGAAUCACUUGGUACUUGCGAACCGUGCCUCAUGGGCAAGAUGACUAAAACGCCGUUCUCCGGUACUAUGGAGAGAGCAACAGAUUUGUUGGAAAUCAUACAUACAGAUGUAUGUGGUCCGAUGAAUGUUGAGGCUCGUGGCGGAUAUCGUUAUUUUCUGACCUUCACAAGAUGAUUUGAGCAGAUAUGGGUAUAUCUACUUGAUGAAACAUAAGUCGGAAAUAGUUGAAAGGUUCAAAGAAUUUUAGAGUGAAGUGGAAAAAUCAUCGUAACAAGAAAAAUAAAGUUUCUACGAUCUGAUCGCAGAGACAAAUAUUUGAGUUACGAGUUUGGUCUUCAAUUAAAACAAUGUGGAAUAGUUUCACAAAUUCAUGCCACCUGGAACACCACAUCAUAAUGGUGUGUCCGAUGUCACAACCGUACUUUAUUGGAUAUAGUACAAUCUAUGAUGUUUUUUUACCGAUUUACCAAUAUCGUUUUGGUAUCAUGCAUUAGAGACAACUGCAUUCACGUUAAAUAGGGCACCAUCUAAAUCCUUUGAGACGACACUAUAUGAACUGUGGUUUAGCAAGAAACCAAAGUUGUCGUUUCUUAAAGUUUGGGGCUGCGAUGCUUAUGUGAAAAAGUUUCAUCCUGAUAAGCUCAAACCCAAAUCGGAGAAGUGCGUCUUCAUAGAAUACCCAAAGGAAAUUGUUGGGUACACCUUCUAUCACAGAUCCGAAGGCAAAACAUUCGUUGCUAAUAAUGGAUCCUUUCUAGAGAAGGAGUUUAUCUCAAAAGAAGUGAGUGGGAGGAAAGUAGAACUUGAUGAGGUAACUGUACCUGUUCCCUUAUUGGAAAGUAGUUCAUCACAGAAAUCUGUUCUUGUGACUACUAUACCAAUUAGUGAGGAAGCUAAUGAUGAUGAUCAUGUAACUUCAGAUCAAGUUACUACCGAACCUCGUAGGUAAAACGGAGUGAGAUCCGCACCAGAGUGGUACGGUAAUCCUGUUCUGGAGGUCAUGAUUACUUGACCAUGACAAACCUACGAACUAUGAGGAAGCGAUGAUGAGCCCAGAUUCCGCGAAAUGGCUUGAGGCCAUGAAAUCUGAGAUGAGAUCCAUGUAUGAGAACAAAGUGUGGACUUUGGUGGAGUUGCCCGAUGAUCGGCAAGCCAUAGAAAAUAAAUGGAUCUUCAAGAGGAAGACGGAUGCUGGUAGUAGUGUUACUAUCUACAAAGCUAGACUUGUCGAAAAAGGUUUUGGACAAAGUUUAAGAUGUUGAAUACAAUGAGAUUUUCUCACUCGUAUCGAUGCUUAAAAGUCUGUCCGAAUCAUGUUAGCAAUUGCCACAUUUUUUGAAAUCUGGCAAAAGGAUGUCAAAACUGCAUUUCUUAAUGGGUUUAUUAAAGAAGAGUUGUAUAUGAUGCAACCAGAAGGUUUUGUCAAUCCUAAAGGUGCUAACAAAAUGUGCAAGCUCCAGCGAUCCAUCUAUGGACUGGUGCAAGCAUCUCGGAGUUGGAAUAUACGCUUUGAUAAGUUGAUCAAAGCAUAUAGUUUAUACAGACUUGCAGUGAAGCCUGUAUUUACUAAAAAGUGAGUGGGAGCACUACAUCAUUUCUGAUAAGUAUAUGUGAAUGACAUAUUGUAGAUCGGAAAUAAUGUAAAAUUAUUCUGCAAAGCAUAAAGGAGUGUUUGAAAGGAGUUUUUCAAAGAAAGACCUCGGUGAAGCUGCUUACAAAUUGAGCAUCAACAUCUAUAGAGAUAGAUCAAGACGCUUGAUAAGUUUUUUCAAUGAGUACAUACCUUGACAAGAUUUUGCAGUAGUUCAAAAUGGAACAGUCAAAGAAAGAGUUCUUGCCUGUGUUACAAGGUGUGAAAUUGAGUAAGACUCAAAACCCGACCACGACAGAAGAUAGAAAGAGAAUGAAAGUCAUUCCCUAUGCCUUGGCCAUAGGUUCUAUAAAGUAUGCCAUGCUGUGUACCAGAUCUAUUGUAUACCCUGCACUGAGUUUGGCAAGGGAGUACAAUAGUGAUCUAGGAGUAGAUCACUGGACAACGGUCAAAAUUAUCCUUAGUGGAAUAAGGAUAUGUUUCUCGAUUAUGGAAGUGACAAAAGGUUCAUCGUAAAGGGUUACGUCGAUGCAAGUUUUGACACCGAUCUGAAUGACUCUAAGUCUCGAUCUAGAUACAUAUUGAAAGUGGGAGCAAUUAGCUAGAGUAGCUCCGUGCAGAGCAUUGUAGACAUAGAAAAUUGCAAAAUACAUAACGGAUCUGAAUGUGAAAGACCCGUUGACUAAGAUUCUCUCACAAGCAAAACAUGAUCACACCUUAGUACUCUUUGGGUGUUAAUCACAUAGUGAUGUGAACUAGAUUACUGAAUCUAGUAAACCCUUUGGGUGUUGGUCACAUGGCGAUGUGAACUAUGGGUGUUAAUCACAUGAUGAUGUGAAUUAUCGAUGUUAAAUCACAUGGUGAUGUGAUCUAGAUUAUUGACUCUAGUGCAAGUGGGAGACUGAAGGAAAUAUACCCUAGAGGCAACAAUAAAGUUAUUAUUUAUUUCCUUAUAUCAUGAUAAAUGUUUAUUAUUCAUGCUAGAAUUGUAUUAACCGGAAAUAUAAUACAUGUGUGAAUAUAUAGACAAACAGAGUGUCACUAGUAUGCCUCUACUUGACUAGCUUGUUAAUCAAAGAUGGUUAUGUUUCCUAACCAUGGACAAAGAGUUGUUAUUUGAUUAAUGGGAUCACAUCAUUAGUUGAAUGAUCUGAUUGACAUGACCCAUUCCGUUAGCUUAGCACCCGAUCGUUUAGUAUGUUGCUAUUGCUUUCUCCAUGACUUAGACAUGUUCCUAUGACUAUGAGAUUAUGCAACUUCCGUUUACCGGAGGAACACUUUGUGUGCUACCAAACGUCACAACGUAACUGGGUGAUUAUAAAGGUGCUCUACAUGUGUCUCCAAAGGUACUUGUUGGGUUGGCGUAUUUCGAGAUUAGGAUUUGUCACUCCGAAUGUCGGAGAGGUAUCUCUGGGCCCUCUCGGUAAUGCACAUCACUUAAGCCUUGCAAGCAUUGCAAGUAAUGAGUUAGUUGUGAGAUGAUGUAUUACGGAACGAGUAAAGAGACUUGCCGGUAACGAGAUUGAACUAGGUAUUGGAUACCGACGAUCGAAUCUCGGGCAAGUAACAUACCGAUGACAAAGGGAACAAUGUAUGUUGUUAUGCGGUCUGACCGAUAAAAAUCUUCGUAGAAUAUGUAGGAACCAAUAUGGGCAUCCAGGUCCCGCUAUUGGUUAUUGGUCGGAGACGUGUCUCCGUCAUGUCUACAUUGUUCUCAAACCGUAGGGUCCGCACGCUUAAGGUUUCGAUGACAGUUAUAUUAUGAGUUUAUGAGUUUUGAUGUACCGAAGGAGUUCGGAGUCCCGGAUGAGAUCGGGGACAUGAUGAGGAGUCUCGAAAUGGUCGAGACGUAAAGAUCGAUAUAUUGGACGACUAUAUUCGGAGUUCGGAAAGGUUCCGAGUGAUUCGGGUAUUUUUCGGAAUACCGGAGCGUUAUGGGAAUUCGUAUUGGGCCUUAAUGGGCCAUACGGGAAAGGAGAGAAAGGGCCAAAAGGGUGGCCGCACCCCUCCCCAUGGACUAGUCCGAAUUGGACUAGGGAGGGGGGGCGCCCCCUUCCUUCCUUCUCCUUCUCUCUUCCCUUUCCUUCUCUCCUACUCCUACUACAUGGAAGGGCUCCUAGUUGGACUAGGAAAGGGGGAAUCCUACUCCCGGUGGGAGUAGGACUCCCCUAGGGCGCGCCAUAGAGAGGGCCGGCCCUCCCCUCCUCCACUCCUUUAUAUACGGGGGCAGGGGGCACCCCAUAGACACACAAGUUGAUCUUCGUGAUCGUUCCUUAGUCGUGUGCGGUGCCCCCCUCCACGAUAUUACACCUCGGUCAUAUUGUAGCGGUGCUUAGGCGAAGCCCUGCGACAGUUGAACAUCAAGAUCGUCACCACGCCGUCGUACUGACGGAACUCCUCCCCGAACCUCUGCAGGAUGGGAGCCCGGGGUGCGUCAUCGAGCUGUACGUGUGUCAAGAACUCGGAGGUGCCGGAGUAACGGUGCUUGGAUCGGUUGGACCGGGAAGACGUACGACUACUUCCUCUAUGUUGCGUCAACGCUUCCGCUUCGGUCUACGAGGGUACGUAGACAACACUCUCUCCUCUCGUUGCUAUGCAUCACCAUGAUCUUGCGUAUGUGUAGGAAAUUUUUUGAAAUUACUACGUUUCCCAACACACACACACACACACACACACACAUAUAUAUAUAUAUAUAUAUAUAUAUAACGUGUACAAUAUGUAGUACCAUAAAAUACCAGCAAACGAAAAAGAGUUAAAUGAAAAACACAAAAUUAAAGGAAAAGAAACCCUGAACCCAAAACCCCCCCUAACCUUUUAGUACCGGUUGAUUUUACCAACCGGUACUAAAGGUCUCCCAUUCCCCGGCGCCGGCUUGUGCCACGUGGUGGCCCUUUAGUGGCAGUUCGUGCAUAACCAUUACUAAAGGGGGGACCUCUUUAGUCCCCACCCUUUAGUGCCGGUUGCAGAAUCGGCACUAAAGGCCCUUACGAACCAGUGUUGUUGCCCGGUUCUGCACUAGUGUUAAUGUCUAAUACAUAUUCUUUCGACCGUGAGAUCAUGCAACUGCCGCAUAGCGGAGGAAUUCCUUAUGUGCUAUCAAACAUCACUUUGUAAUUGGGUGAUCAUAAAGGUGCUCUAAGCGUAUCUCCGAACGUGUCUGUUGAGUUGGCAUGAAUCGAGAUUGGGAUUUGUCACUCCGUAUGACGGAGAGUUAUCUGUGGCCCCUCUCGGUAAUAAAGCAUCACAUGAAGCUUGCAAGCAAAGUGACUAAGGAGUUAGUUGCAAUAUAAUGUAUUACGAAACGAGUAAAAAAACUUGCCGCUAAUGAGAUUGAACUAGGUAUGAGGAUACCAAUAAUCGAAUCUCGGGCAAGUAACAUACCGACAAACAAAGGUAACUACGUAUGUGGUCAUAAAGGUUCGACCGAUAAAGAUCUUCAUAGAAUAUGUAGGAACCAAUAUGGGCAUCCAGGUCACGUUAUUGAUUAUUGACCGGAGAGCGUUACGGUCAUGUCUACAUCACUCUCGAACCCGUAGGGUCCGCACACUUAACGUUCGUUGACUAUAUAGUACUAUAUGAUUUAUGUAUGUUGGUAACCGAAUGUUGCUCGGAGUCCUGGAUGAGAUCACAGACAUGACGAGGAGCUCUAGAAUGGUCCAGAUGUAAAGAUUAAUAUAUAGGAUGAAGGUAUUCGGCUUUCAGAAAGGUUUCAGAAUGCACCGGAUUACCGCCGGAGUGCCGGAAGGGCUUCCGAGAGGCCACCGAUAGGUUAUACUUAAUUGGAGGGCCUCGUGGGCCAAAGUAGGGAGGUGCACUAGCCCACAAGGGUUGGGCCUGCUCCACCUCCCCUGUCCACGCGCCAAGGAAGUAGGGGGCCCCCUAGGGUAGCCGACCGCCUUUUCCUUCGCGCACCAAAUAUGGAGGGGGGGGGGCUAAUCAGGCGUCUAGGAUAGCCGCCGGCCCCCUUGGGGCGCGCCCUAGGCUGCCUCCCGUCCACCCUUCACCUAUACAUAUGAGAGGAGGGGAGGGGCGCCACAGACCACGAAUUCCCAAGAUGUGUGUGGUGCCCCCUUUCCCUCUAGUUCGUCCUUUGCUCUAAACCGUUGUGCUUGGCGAAGCCCUGCGGAAAAGUUUCACCACCAUCGUCAUCACACCGUCGUGCUGCCGGAACUCAUCUACUACUUCGCCUUGUUGAAAAUAUGCCCUAGAGGCAAUAGUAAAGUGGUUAUUAUUAUAUUUCCUUAAUCAUGAUAAAUGUAAUAACGAUCCCACUACUUUAGGGAAUAAGUAGUUACCAUUCCAUAGAAUUUCCCAAGAAAGAAUGAGUAUAUAAGAAAACAAACGAGACCAUAUAUGAUACCAUCUUUAUGUUACUUUUCUCUAUGAAGAUAAUAAUGUAGACUACUAACAUACACAUGUUAAUAGUCUAAGUUAGUUCACACUAUGACUGCCCUAACGACACGGUAAGCUCCACAGCAUGGGCAGCAGGCCAGCAGCGGGCCCGUUGAGGUUACAGCUCUGAGUGUGAUGCUACGGCUAUCCAGAAAUAAGAGAAGGAAGCUCCUUAGAGAUCAGUGAUUCUGGGCCGUUGGAUCGGUUCUCUUGAUGUGUUUUCGUCCGUCCGAUCGAGAUCUGGAGAAGCCUGGGCCGUUGGAUCUGGGAUUGACACUGCUUGAAUGAAUAGUAAUGGCAACAAAAUGUAAAUACCAUGCCCCCACCGGGGCAUUUUGGUCAUUUCGCGUAGGGGGGGUAUAAAAGGCGGCCGCUCCCGUGGCUGAGACCUAGCCGCCGCCUCUCUCUCCCGCACUGGUCCAGCUCCUCGCCUCUUCCUCGAGUCCCCACCUCCUGCCCACUGUCCCGCCUCGGUCGCCGGCCGAUUCCGGCCGCUCCGGUGAGCUCCGGUGCCGCCCAACACACACAAGGGUGCUCCUCGACGAGCUCUACUAGCUUCACCGAGUCGAUCUACUUUUCCUCGCCUCCUGUGGUCGCCCCCAUUGAUUUCCCCCACUAGGGUUUCGGUGGUGGAGGCAGACCUCGCCUCCGGCGGCCGCCUGCUCGUUGCCUCGUUUUCUCGAUCCCCAUGGAUGCAUCCCUGCAGGAGAGAAGAUGCAGAGGGAUGGUAGGAGGAGGUAGGCGCACUGGGGCAGGGGGUCUCGCCGGCGACGAUAGGGCUGCCGGCCGGAGUUAUAUCGAGAUCCCAGCCCGCAUCGCGCCUUGACAAAGCAGCUGGCCAAGGCGGCGCUGCCCUUCUCCGCCCUGUUCAUGCGGAUAUCCAGCAACUCCUACCCCAACCUCGGCGCCCUCCACAACUCCUCCCACGUCAGCCUCACGGCCGCCGCAUACAUUGAGAUCUCCGAGGGCGACUUCUGAUACGUCCUUGACGAUGUGCGCCACCUCGCCCCCGACGUCCCGGUGAGCAGCCCCCCUCCCCCCGCCCUUCCCCUCCUCGCUCGACCGCGAGUCCUGGUUCCUCGUGGAGGCCAAAGGGGGUCGUGACCCCCUUCAAGAAAUGUAUUUUGUUACUAAUUGCUAGCGUUUUGUUCCAGCUCAUCCAUGGAUCAUCCCUUGCCAAUUCAAUUAUUAUCUAGGUUGGUUUUUGAGCAUUAGAUCCAUUAACUACUCUGUAUGUACAAAGCUAGCUAGCUACUACAAGCAGCUUAAUCGAUUGUUGUAUGAGCAGCUUCCUGCUUGCUGCUUCAUCUAAUCUUUUGAACUUGUUCAGAGAUCAUUGCACAAUAAAACUGAUCGAUAAGAUUUUCAUUGCAGUUCUCUAAUCUUUUGAACUUGUUAGAAGUUUUCUAAAUUCCAUAUUUGUUAUUUUUUGUGCUUUUCAGGUGACCCAUUGCAGUUCAGAGAUGGUUUAUAUGAAAUUUUUAUGAUCUAGGCCGCUACCAAACGCCUCUGGAGAGCAGUAUACUAUUUAUGCAUUUACCAACACGUGAGUCCUUGCUCACAUGGAUUACAUAUUCCUAGAAAAUAGAUUACUUUGCUAAUAAAGUAUUGAUGAGUCUGGCUAGAUUCUUUGCUCACACGGAUUAGAUAUUCCAAUAGAGAAUACAUUUCUUUGCUAAAAAGUAUUGAUGAGUAUGGCUGCAGGAGAUAGUGAUUCUUUUGUAGCUCUUGAUUUUGCAACUUAUGCAAGGUUUUCACCUUUACCCUUUUUUGGGGGGAAAAGAUCAUCCUUUCUGCACUUUAUUCCCUCAAGACAAACUGCGUGAUGGGAUGAAUAUGCAUACAACACAACUAUUGAACCAAUAUAACCAUUGUUGUUUUUAUGAAAAACAUAAACUUGCAUCCCUUCCCAUAAAUUGGUAGGCUAUCUGCAAGAUUUAGAAACUAUCUAUCCAUGUAAGUUGUUUACUUUGGCCUACCAAUUUCUAUAGUUCUACCACAUAUUUGAUCAUUUGUUCUUUCCUAAUUAUUUUCACUUGAUUUCUAUGAAUGGGGAUUUUUUUUACACUGACCUCUACCCAUUACAUGUGUGCUCUAGGUCCACACCUUCCAAGUGUAUAUCCUGGACUUGAUGCCUGGAGGCGAAUCUAUGGACGGCAUCACCACAACCAUAUUGAUGGUCUAAUCUCGAGGUGAAAACACUCUCUUUGUCUCUCAUUUAUGUUAGUUGAAUAGCUACUUGAUUUGAUGUUGGUUAGUGUACUACAUGCUAUUUCUAAAUUUUGUUAGUCCCAUUCUGCAACUACAACAUGCACGAUAAGGACAGUCGGAUAAUUCUAAUUUCUAUUUUUUGUUAGUCCCAUGGAUGGUAACAAUCUUUUACUAUUUUUUGCCGUAUGCUAUCAUAUAGUGCCUCCCUACUUGCUCAAAAUCAAAGGUACAUCUAUGAGAAGGUAAAAAUUAAGGACAAUAUGGCAGUAGAUUGGCACGUUUGCAGAAAAAAUACCCAUGUAAGUUCAAAAGAACAUCUUUAACUAUUGCUGCUAUAUGCUUUGUAUAUUUCCUCUCUGGUUCCUUUAAAAUCAGAGAGGGCCAAGGCCUCCAUCGUUAAUUUUGAAGGAAGUAGAGAGGAAAGAAAAUGUAUAUAACAGGAAAUAUGUUAAAAUAUGUUCUUUUUAACUUACAUGGCAACGGCGGCCCUUGCUGGCGAGUAAAUAGUUAAAUGAUGUUCGCUUGAUGGCAAGGGCGGCCCUUGAGUGUAGUAGAUCCGCGUUUACAGAAAGAUAAGAAAUUAGGGAUGCUAUAUAAGAAUCUGCAAUGUUGUAUCACACUUCUCAUAUAUUAGGACAAAGAAACAUGCAUUGUUUUGGUUCAUCCUUUCGUUCUUAUCUGUAUAUUUUGUGCAAACAAAAAAUCUCACUCCGCAAUGUUGUAUCUUUGGGUUUUGUGUUUUUUUCCUGGUGCAUCAUUUAUCGAUUGUUUGGUGUCCAAUUCUACAUACUCUUUGACGCCUGGGUUUGCCCUUUUGUUAAUCCCGUGAUGACAUGUGAGGCAGGCAAGUUUCAUUCUUUGGUCUUAUGAUACUUCUAAAACCUACUGCCUAUUAGGGAUGCAUGUUUGAAAUGUGUGCACACUUAUAGUUUCGGUUCUUCUGGGGUUAAAUUCUAAAUUGAUUUGAUUCAAUGGAUAUAAAAACUAGCUUUGAGCGAAACAGACUAUUCUUUACUUUAGCAUAUAAUAGUAUAUAGCUAUAUACAAUGAGUGCAAAAGCUAUUUGUUCUCCACUUAAGCUUAUAUUUCCUAUUAUCUUUACACAUCAUCCUUUUACUUUUUCUUUAUGCAAGGCUCCUACAAGCUCUCUCAGAGCUCAGGCACUCUCGGCCGUCGGAUCGUUUCCCUUGAUGCGUUCUCGUCCGUCUGAUCGAGAUCUGGAGAAGCCUGGGCCGUUGGAUCUGGGAUUGACACUGCUGGAAUGAACAAUAAUGGCAACAAAAUGUAAAUACCAUGCCCCAAUCGGGGCAUUUUGGUAAUUUCGCGUAGGGGGGGUAUAAAAGGUACAUCAGUUUACUGAAUAUUUCGAAGCUUUGAACUGCAUGACCACAGUGACAAUAUAACUAAAUAAUGGAAGAAACUUAUGGGUAGACACCACAUGAAUUUUUUAUUUGAAUUUACAAACAGACACUUGAAUUUAGCUUCAUACAUAUCAUAUGAUACCUUGGAAGCCCAUAUUGUAAAUUUGAUGAGUCUCCAUGACAGAAUCUCAUUGUAGAAUUUACCUUCUGUAUUCGAAUGCCCAUGUAUUAUGUUGCUCUCUGAUUCAACUUAUACGCAUUUAGCAGUUUAACUUUAUCAUGUUAUCCUGUUCUUACCAUACCAUAUCUAUGAUAAUUGAGGCAGCGACAAGCACAAAUAUGCCCUAGCUUUGAGGUACAAAUGUGUUCCGAACUUACAUUAGAGCUUGACGCAUCAUUAUGUCGCGAGUCACCAAAAAAACUGCAUUGCAAAACUCUACGCUUUUCUUUCGAUCAUAUGACAUCUUAAUCCUUUUAGGUUGGCAUCAAACUCUACGAGUGGAUUUUUAUUAUUGUGUUGAGAUAUUCUUUGAUUUCUAUUAAUUGGCCAAUAUUUGAUGUCAUAUUUUCUUUAGAUGCAUCACUUACAGUUAUCCUCUGAUUUCUAUUAAUUGGCCAAUAUUUUUUCUGGAGUCAUAAUUCUGUUAUAGCAUCUCCUUGCCUUUUUUGCUUUGAAAAACACCAUUGAUCAUAAGCUGAUUGCAGCAGCAGGGUUGUGAACUUUAAGCAUACCUAGGAUAUUUAUAUUUUAGUUGGCAAAUUGUAUGCCAAUUUUGUGAUUUAUCUAUUAUCUAUUUCUUUCACCUUUGAACACUUUGAAUAUACUAGCCCAUAUUGUUCAUUACUGAUGUAAGAUGAAGUUUUUAGAGAUAGACAUGUUAAAUCUGGGUGAAAGAAGUACAUCACAGGUGAAAUAUCACGAUGGCAUUGUUAUCAUGCACUCCCUUCAUUCCUAAAUAUAAGUCUUCUUAGAGAUUCCUUUUAGUUUUUUUAAUCGUGGCUUGCUAAUUAGGCAAAAACAAGAUACUAAAUCAUGCCAAACAAAAGAGGAAACCAUUUAAACAGUAAGAUUUUCACAACAAGAUACUAAAUCGGUGGCUUGAUUGCAUGAUGACAAGUUUUGACCACAAGAAUGUUCUAACAAAUCUUAUCCUUGAUUGCAGCUAAAAGAGAACUGACUAGGCCCCGGUCAUCUCCACCCCUGAUGGUGCUCCUAGAAGUGCUACACAUUGCCUCCUUGGCCGCUUCGGUGCGGGUGGUGUUCGUGCUCGUCGGCGGGAUGGUGCAAGGCGCAACUCUGAUGUGGUUCCUUGCCGGUUGGACGGCGUUCAAGUGCAACCCCGGCUCCCACUGAGUACUGCCUCAGCUACAACCUCCCUCUGUGAGGUCCAUCUUCCCCUGCUCUGCUUCGGCUACUAUAUGGGGCAUGGCCAGGGCUAUGAUGAUUAUUUAUGGCUGAUAUAGGCAUGCUCUCGAGCAAUCGAGGCACUUGUGGGUACUAAUUUGGAUCCUCCCUCAUUUCUUUGAGCUGUUUUGAUCACGUUCUUAUUUUAGUGGCUCUGUCCUUGGAUGGUCAUUUCUGAUGAGUGAUAACCAGGGCAGUUUCACCCUCGUAAGAACAUAUUGAUCCAGAAAUAAGAGAAGGAUGUUCCUACAAGCCUCCUCAGAGCUCAGGCACCUUCGGCCAUCAGAUUGAUUUCCUGAUGCGAUUUUGGCGUCGGAUCUCGCUCCGGAUUGAUCUUGGCCGUUGGAUCGAGCCUGAACUCCUGCAGUAAUGAAUAGUUACUCCCACGGUGAGAUAUCUCAUGCCACCGUGUUUGAAUCACGUGCCCCAUUGGUCGAAAGCAAUUCUUGCUAUGGCGAUGAUGAUUAGCCGUGGCUGAAACAAGUGUGCCUUUGAGCAACCGAUGCACCUGUGGGUAUCAAGUUGGAUCCUCCCUCUUGUCUCUAGAAUCCUUUUUUAUCCUGUGAUACUUAUUGUUCUAUCCUUGGAUGGUCAUUCUUAUUGAGUGAUAACCAGGGCAGCUCCACUGUAUAAACAGGUUGAUCCGGUGAUAAGAGAUGAUGGGGGUAGAUUAUAUGAUCGAGAAAAGGCAAAUCUGAGCCCACUACGCAUUGAACCCUGAACCCUUUUUAUUUGUGUUUAAAGGUGUUAUUUAUUUAUGCUCCGGUGUUUAUAGACGUCUUAUGUAAAGAUUUCUUCUCUCUCAUACCUUUAUUGCAUAUAAGUUGUUCUUGAUCUUUUAUUGUUUUUUGUUGGUCCUUGAUCUAAUCUGGUUAAGAGUAAGUUGCACUUUGUUAUUCUGGGAUAAGCGAUGGUUCAACAAUGCUAUUGGUUCUUCAUGAGGAGUUCAUAGAAGGAUUUAUGCCAGUAAGCUUUCUUCCAGGUACCCACACUUCUCUCUUCCUCCUGAUUAGCCUGAUCUCUUUUUACGUGUCUACAAGUUGUGAAUUACUUAUGUAAGUGUUAUGUUGGAUCAUUAGAUUGUUGCAGAGAUAUUAUAUAUAGGGUGUCAGUGUGUUGAUUGCUCUUGCUUGCUUGCCGCUUAUCAGCACAGUGAUGCGUUGCUUUUAGUGUAUUUAGAUUCAAAGGGGUCGCAAGGUCGUUUGAAAUUUUGCCAAUGUUUUUAUAAAAAUGCUAUCUUCAAAGUAAACCAUAUCUGUGGAAGCGCCUUAGAUCUGUUUUAAUUGCAAGUGGCCAUUUGCUUUCUUGAGGUGGAACUAUCCACUGGUUCUUACAUCUUAACUCGAUGUGAUUUCUGAGUUCUAACUUAUUGUUUCUCAUAGUUUUCUAAUAUUUCUCCUCAUUGUACUAUUUAUUUCAAUAUCUGAAAUAAGGAGGGCAAUCUUGGUGGCUUUUUACUCGCACUUUGAUAAAUCCAUAUGAUAUUUUCAGGAAGAGUUCAAUCUACUUCUUCGAAUUCAGGCAGCACAAGGAGGGCCCAGUGGUGAUCGGGCUGACGGGAGGACCCAUGUGACAGGCCAGUUUCGGGCAUUCAUUUCAUGCCCCAAGUCUUGCGAGUUAUGCCCAUGUUGAGAUUUGCUAUGGUUUAUUAUGUUUUUGUUUCAUGUUUAUUCCAGGUUUGCUUUGUGGCCUCAAAUCCAAUGUAUCCUUGAUUUUGUAUUUAUUAAAUAAAUGCCUGCAUUCUGCGCUCAGUUCUGUAACAUAGAAGUUUGGCGUGCUCCUUUUCAUCUCCAGCUAACUGGUCCACUAUUUCUCUGGUUUAUAAAAAGGAAAAUAUUGUUCUUUUUGUAGCUCAGUGGUACUUAUUGCCUUACUGGAUGCUGAUUCUUAAAUUGCCUAAUUAACAAGCAACGGUUAAAUGUAGAUGGUUAUCCUUUGCCACUCUUUAGUAAUAUAUCUGAUUUAAUUUUCCAUAUCCUGUUAAUGACAAAGAUGUGUAUGUGUGUGGACGUGUGUGUGUGCGCGACUGGAUUAGGAUUUAAAGGUUGGGCCUCCUCUGAUUUAGUUACAUGCAUAUCUUCCACUAUGUGAUCUUCCCCCGUCCUAUGGAUUAGGAUUUAAAGGUUGGGCCUCCUCUGAUUUAGUUACAUGCAUAUCUUCCACUAUGUGAUCUUCCCCCGUCCUACGGACCAUAUAGAAUGUGUGCUCGCCCUCUAUGAAAGAUCAAACAUUUACUUCCUCCUAUUCUAAUGCCGACGCUUUGCUUUUGUUAUUGCAGAUCGACUCGCAAUGUUGAGCAGAUCACCAUGUUAAAAUACGAGCAUUUAGAGAAGUGUGUGCUCGCCAAGGACCCAAUUGGUUUCUGAAGAGUUGGCUGCAUAUCGUUGGUGUCCGAUGCACAAACAAGUAUACAUGAGGUCUGCCCCUGGUUUUACCUUGGUCUUGUAGUUAGCAAAUCAAAACCUUUUGGACUGUUCAAUUUUAAUUACAUUUAGUUAGUCUUUCAUCCAUACAUGUCUUUGUGAUGCCAUGAUGUUAGGAGCCCCUUAAUUUCCACUUCCUUUUGGGUGUGAGCUUCGUUGAUUGCUAAUAGCAAAGAAAUUCGAAAAAUAUGAAGAAUAUAAAAGUAACUUAUUAUUUUGACAUGGCUUGAUUUAAUUUUUUGUGUACAUGUUCUGUGAUGGGAUAGUCAUGUCUACCAUGUCCAGUAUUAGAUUUUUUUUAACUCAGCACCAACAACCCCAAUUUAAAUGAAAUAUAGAUACACACAAUAUUUGUAAGCUACGUUAUUUAGACAACGGGAUAAUUAGAGGUGGUCAUAGAUAUCUUGGUCAAACCAAAUAGAUAAAGAACACACAUGAAUCCAGGCUUGUGCUCUGUUUUGUAUUUCUCAUGUACGACCAGAGUCUGUAUAUAUGUUGUAAGCUAGAACAGAUUGUACCCACCAAAACCUAUUUGUGUGUACGACCAGAGUCUGUGUGUAUGUGUUGUAAGCUAGAACGGUUUUUACCCACCAAAACCUAUCUGUGUGUACGACGGCGGCGGGGCACGGAGGCGGGCGUGGGUUGGGGUUUGGAGGGAGGGAGAGAGAGAGGCAAGGCAGGAGGAGGAGGAGAGGGGGCAGUGGGAGUUUAGGAGGAGUUGGCGGCUAAGUAGACAGAUGAUAUGAAAUGCAUCAAUAGAACUUCCUACUAACCUAAACCAUGUUUACUACUAACUGAUAGUUACCUGUUUGACCACAUAGUUGGGACCGGCACCCCCACAUAGUUGUUCAAGGAAUUACUUCUUCAUUUCUGCCCUUGGCUUUCUUUUUCUUGGAUAUUGUAGCCUCACUAGGAUGGAUUAAGAGUGUCAUUUGCUCCCUUUCCCUAAUCAAAUAGGACUUCCAAAAUAAUGAGACUUGCACUCAUUUUUAUUUGUUUAUCUCUUUAGUUUCUGAUUACAACUUAUGUUUCACAAAUAUAUGCAGGUUUCUACUCUGUUUUAGUGGUCCUUAGUUGAUCUCUUUGAUUUCUGAUUACAACCUAUCUCUGCGAUUAUAAGUGAUUUUGGUGUUGUUUGUAGUUGGUACUUCUCAUUUCAGAAAUUAGUAGUGAUCCUGGUAUUCAACCAUGAGAGUUUAGUGAGAACAACCGAAGGAGGAAUGAGCUCAAUACAUGUUUAGCAGCUUCACUAAGUAAGUCCCCCCUAAACCUUCAAAUCCAAAUAAAACAAAAUUUCAAGAGUAUGUUCUCCACAUUUGAAAUAGAUAAAUGUUGACAUGCUUGCUGCAUCUCAUCAGAUUGCAGGUCCAGAAGUUAAAGGACAUGCUUGUGAAUCAUGGACAACCUCGGCCUGGUACGGGGGCUCGAGUUUGAGCUCUUGCUUGGCUUUAGGUGCAAACAUGGAACUUCAAUUCACCUAGAACGAAUCGGAUCCUUGUGUCAAUUAUUGUAGUGAUUGGAGGCCCAUUGCGUGUGACCAUGAUGUAGGCAUUCACUCUAGGAUCUGAGAAUAAUUUGUUGAUCCUGUUUGGAAUAUAGUGGUUAAAUAGUGAUUUUAACCACUUAUUUAUAUUUUUUUUCUUUUGUUGUGUUAUGUAUGGAGAUGCAGAUAGUGGUUUUAGUUUUGGUAGUUUGAACUGCUAUUGAUUAUGUUAUUGCAAGUGGUCCUUGUUCAGCACGGUGACCUCAAGGAUGCCUCUUGAAAAUUAGCAUCUUUAUUAUGAGAUUGAGGCGAUGUAAACUUGAAUUCAGAAUCAACUUUGUGCUCUUGGCGAAAUGUGUACUGAGUUUAUUUCUUUUGGAUUUGGUGGGUUGAAUCAAGACUCUUGUAUUUUAUAUGGCAAUGCAUUAUAUCAUUGAUGUUUUGCAUAUAUGAUUGCAACCUGUGCUAAACUUGCCUUUCUACUACCGCUUGGCCAAGUCGUUGGGGCCAGCACCCUCGCGUUGCCGAUCUAGUUCCUAGUUAUCCCGGUGAGAAGCUGGCUGGUGUGAAGCAUGCCUCUGGACGCUGACCUCCUUCGAUUCAAAGUCUCCGUUCUCAGUCAAGCAGAGCGUGUCUGUGACCUUGCCGGCUCGUUAAUCACCACUAGCUGGUGAUCUGAUACACCAUUUUCAUGUGUAAAUUGCAGCGAUGAUCUCUCAUGCAGGACAAGGCAACCUGCUUAUGUGGAAAACAAACGAGACCAUAUAUGAUACCUUCUUUAUGUUACUUUGUUCUAUGAAGAUAAUAAUAUAGACUAGUAACAUACGCAUAUUAAUAAUCUAAGUUACUUCACACUAUGACUAACCUAACGACGCGGUAAGCUCCACACCAUGGGCAGCAGCGGGCCCGCUGAGGUUACAGCUUUGAGUGUGAAGCUACGGCUAUUCCUAGUUAUCCCGUUGAGAAGCUGGCUGGUGUGAACCACGCCUCUGGACGCUGACCUCCUAGCGAUUCAAAGUCUCCGUUCUCAGUCAAGCAAAGCGUGUCUGUGACCUUGCCGGCUCGUUAAUCACCACAAGCUGCUGAUUUGAUACACCAUUUUCAUGUGGUUGCACCAACUGAUGAUCUCUCAUGUAGGACCAGGCAAUGUGCUUAUGUGGAAAACUUCAAAAUGGGCAGAUUAGUUGAAUUACUCUUUCGCAUUUUGCACUAUGUUAGGAUUUGAAACCGCAAGAAAUGUCAUGUUUAUAAUUAUUUGUUUCAAGCUCUUCCUAGUUCUGCUACGGGGCUUCAUUUUAAGACAAAUUAAGUAGAAACGUCUGUACGGUUGAAAGUAAUAAUUAUUAAAUAGUACACCUUAUUGUCACUUGUGCAAAAAAGAUAACUUACAUCCUGAAUGAUCAUAUUUUUUCGAUGAAAUCUUGUAAGUUGGUGCCGAGAGCUGGAAAAAUGAAAUUCUCAUGAAAUAUUUGUACACAGGCAUCUGGCAGGUGCGUCCAAUGUGUUUUCGUACAUGCAUCAAAUUUUUCAAAUGAACAAAAUAUCAAAGAAAAAACAUCCCUAGCUAGUAGAAGGUUGAGUAUCUCUAACAUCAUCUUCUUUACAAAUUAUCUCAACACCCAACUCUCUGAAGACUUUCUCUUGUGCAUGGUUAUUCGUUGUUAAGAUCACUUUCUUCUAAAAACAGUUUCACGACAAGUCUUGGUUAUCUAGAUUAAACAGAACAAAGACUACAAAAUUAUUUCAGCUACUAGAAAAAACGUCUGGCCCUUCUUCACCCUGGUGAGAAGCUGGCUUGGUGUGAACCAAGCCUCUGGAGUCUGGACGCUCAAGCACAGCAAUCCUGAUCUCAUAGCGAUUCAAAGUCUCUGUUUUCAGUCAAGCAAAGCGUGUCUGUGGCCUUGCCAGCUCAUUAAUCACCACUAGCGGGUGAUUUGAUACGCCAUUUUCCUGUGGUUGCAGCAACCGACGAUCUCUCUGUAGGCCCAGGCAACCUGUUUACGUGGAAAACUUAAAAAGGGAGAUCAGUUCAAUUACUCUUUCGCAGUUUGCAGAAUGAUGUGAUUUGAAACUACAAAUGUCAUGGUUAUAAUUAUUUGAAAGCUAGAUUGUCACCUUGAUAAUUAGAAGUUUAGAACUUUACACCCAUUAUCCAUCCACCCUUUAAGACCUUCAACGUUGUUUACAUGAAGACUUCAUCCAAAUAUACUUAGUUUUAGUGCUUCCUCUCUGAGAAUAUAUCGAUUCCUGUAGUCAAGAUGAACAACCAUUUACUUGAGUUUUUGAAAAGACACUGUUGUCGUCGGUAACUUACCAGUGCAUUCGUAGUUUGGUACCUAGCAGGAUUCCAAAAGCCAGGAAAAGACACUGUAGUCAAGACUUCAACCAUUUACUCCCAAGAAACAGGAACACGUACUGGUUCCAUUCCUGUAAAUUGGAUAAUUAGAAUGUUCAAACUCAGAUCUUAAGUUCUCAAAUUGGAACGACUUUGGGACAUAUACACAAAUCACUACUAAACUAAACUUCCCUGAUUCAGAACUUAUUUAUAACUCACUAGUUUGUAUGAUCUCCUAUUAGUAAAAUUACAGCAAACAUGUAUUUUCCCAUGUGAUUUUCAGGUGAAAGAAAAGGUUGUGGAGCUUGCCAAGGCCAUGGAAUCAGAAGACGGUGUAACGGGUGCAGUCAGGGCAUUCCUCAAACACCUGCCCUGUAAAACGGAUGAAAAUACACCCCGACCUACGCACGGCUUUCUAGAGUUCCUAGGCCUAGUAAGUAAAUGUUUGGUGUGCCGUUAGGUGCUGGUCAGAUGCAGCUAUACCACUCCUCCAUGCUGAAAGAUGAGUGUAAAAAAGCCUCUUGGGUGACCGCUAUGCCAUUGUGUGCGAUAAGAAUGUGGAAGCCAAAUGUUAGAAGUUGAUGUACAUGCAUGCGACCAGGAUCCUGUGAUUUAUCGUUUUGCGUUUUUUGUAUGUGUGUUGUGUAAAGAGUACUUGUCUGGUGAUUUGAUACAUAAUUUUGGUGUGGUUGCAACCUUGGUCUGCAGCAACUGAUGAUCUCACAUGUAUGACCAGACAACCUAUGUAUAUGGAAAACUUCAGAGUGCAGAUUAGUUCAGUUAAUCCUUUUGUAGUUUACGACAUGGUUUAAUUUGGAACGGCCAGACAUGUCAUGGUUAUAAUUAUGUUUCAAGUUUUUCCUUGUUCUACUACAGGUCUUCAGGUUAAGAUAAAGUAGAGACCUGUGACCUCAUGCACAGGGGAAAGUAAUUCUGUCACCCCAGUACUUUUUUUCUCAGUUUCCAAAAAUGUGAAAUAAUUCAUGGUUGUAAAUUAGGCUAUAUCAUAUGCAUUUGCAAAAACUUUGAAAAAUAUGAAUUUUGUGACUUGUACAGAAAAUACAACUCUAUGGAUAUAUUACUUGAGGUUUGUUCAUUUAUAUACCUAUUUUUCUUGUCUAAGUCGCAAAUUGAUCAUAUUUUUGUAGAAAUUUGAGUUUUAUAAGCUCAUGGUGAGAGGUGAACUGGAGAACGAGCUUUUCACUUCCAACCGUAUUUUGCAUCUGAUAGGUGCAUAUUAUGUGUAUUUGUUCCAGGCUUCUUCUUUUUCCAGCAAAGAAAACAUAUAAAAUGUCCCCAGUUGAAACCCAUCAUUAUCAGGCAAAGGGCUCUAUUAACAUGGAAAGAUCCUCAAAAGAUCUUGCUGAGACAUCUAUAGCGUACACAACCAAAUUAUUACAGUGAGCCAAACAGAUUGACUUAUUGAAAAGGAAAAAGAUGGCAGCGGAAAAGAUAGCAAGUUAUCAACAUAUUGCCAUGCCGUGGUCAAAGCAAUGAGCUUCAACUUCAUCGACUGCCUUUUUUGCCUUAAUAAUGUAUAUAAGGUCAUUGCUUCAGUUGUCCAUAGAGAAAAAUGCCUCUUUUACUUUAGUUACUUCACCGUAGACAUCAUGCAUCGCUGGGCGAUCCUUCGGUGAUUCCGCUGAGCAUAAUAAGCCAAGUCUAAGGAGCCGGAGAGCACAUAUAUCCUUCAGUGCAAAUGUGUUGUGUUCUUGCAAGUUCUGGGUAUGAUCGACACACUGAUCCCCCGUCUCUGAAGUAAGAUCGGGGUGAAGAAUGUCUUGUGUUCGUGAAAGCGAUGCAUUUACGUACUUGCGGAGCGUCAAGCCAUCAUUGAACUCUUCAUUAGUAGUGUCCUACAACUAUUGUACCUUUCUUUGGCGACCAACCAUUCUGGGGUGAGCGGGUGCAUGCUAGAGGGGUAGGGCCUUCGCCUAUACCGGUUGAUCAAUUCACUUUGCAGAAGUUGGUUGAUGCUAUAAAAUUCAUGUUGGAUCCAGAGGUAACUCUACAACUUUUUUGCGCUUGGGCAGAUGAGACUUUUUCUUUUGUUUCAUAUCGCAAAAAUAGAUAACAAGAAUAUGGACGCAGAUGUGCAUAGGUAGGCUGCAGGCAGUGUUGCAGAUAUGGUUAUGAUAUACUGAUAUACUGAUAUACUGAUAAUUACUCCCUCCGUUCCUAAUUGCACUGGUGCAUUUGUAGUUUGGUACCCAGCAGGGUUCCAAAAGCCAGGAAUGGACUGGUUACUGCCAAGAAACAGGAACCGGUCCGUUAAAUUGGAUAGUUAGAAUGUUCAUAUUCAGAUAUUAAGUUCUCAGAUUGGAACAUCUUUGGGACAUAUACACAAAUCAGUACUAAACUAAACUUCCCUGAUUCAGAACUUAUUGUAUGAUCUCCUAUUAGUAAAAUUACAGCAAACAUGUAUUUUCCCCAUGUGAUUUUCAGGUGAAAGAAAAGGCUGUGGAGCUUGCCAAGGCCAUGGAAUCUGAAGACGGCGUAACGGGUGCAGUCAGGGCAUUCCGCAAACACCUGCCCUGUAAAACAGAUGAAAACUCACCCCCACCAACGCACGGCUUUCUAGAGUUCCUAGGCCCAGUAAGUAAAUGUUUGGGGUGCUCUUAGGUGCUGGUCAGAUGCAGGUAUACCAUUCCUCCCUGCUGAACGGAGAGUGUAACAAAAGGCUCUUGGGUGACGCACUAUGCUAUUUCGUGCGAUAAGAAUGUGGAAGCCGAAUGUUAGAAGUUGAUGUACUUGCAUGCGACCAGGAGCCCGCGAUUUAUGGUUCUGCGUUUUUUUGUAUGUGUGUUGUGUAAAGAGUAUUUGUCUGGUGAUUUUAAUACAUCAUUUUGGUGUGGUUGCAACCUUGGCCUGCAGGAACAGAUGAUCCCUCAUGUAUGACCAGGCAACCUGUGUAUAUGGAAAACUUCAGAGUGCAGAUUAGUUCAGCCAAUCCUUUUGCAGUUUACGACAUGGUUUAAUUUGAAACUGCCAAACAUGUCAUGGUUAUAAUUAUGUUUCAAGUUUUUCCUAGCUCUACUACAGGUCUUCAUUUUAAGAUAAAUUAGACACCUGUGACCUCAUGCACAGGGGAAAGUAAUUCUGUCACCCCAGUACUAUUUGUUUUCAGUUCCCAAAAAAUGUGAAAUAGUUCAUGGUU
rnacentral:lncRNA from 1 species